CCCAAAAGGCAAAAGCGCCCAAGCACACGGCCCAAAGCCUCUAUGUAUAUUCAGACGGGCCCCAAAGACCCAUCAUCUCAUAUCAUUUGUAUCAUUGUAUCUAGAGGGAAAGGGUAUUGUCCAAUAAUUUUGCAAACAACCUUUUAUACACAUGUACAUAAACAUAUAAUCACAUCUGAAAUCUCAUUUCCUUUUUAUUUAACAUAUCUCAAAUCCACUCAAUUCUAUUAUCAUGCAUUUACUCAAAAACGAUAAUAAAAUCAUUAAUCAAACUCAUUUUUAAUAAUAAUAAAUAUCAUCACGUAAAUAAAAAUCCAUUUUCUAGGAAAUCAUCAAAUCGAAGCAUCAAAUACUUAUUAUCAAAACAUGUUGUAUUGUAUCGUAAAAUUAGAAUAUACUAUGAAAAUAGGUUUUGUAUAUUUCACUCACAGUGACGAUGUUCAGACUCGGUAUCAACAACGUCCGUGGGUUGAUUCUCAUUCACGGGUUGUUGGUGAAUUACUCAAUUGCUAUUGAUGCCAAUGUGCAAGUGUACACAACAAGUAAUAAAGUGAUGAAUAUUCUAGAUCAUCUCCACAGAGACUGAUGUUACUAGAAAUGCUACAGCAAUCACAAUAGUGCAAUCUACCUUUAUUUCAUGAUGAACCUAGUUAAAGUUGAUUACUACCGAAAUUAAAAAUUGUAAAGAAAUAAAUCAAAUAAUUGCAUUAAUGAAAUAAAUUAGAUAAAUUGCGUAAAAAAAUGAAAUGAGAAUGAGGUAGUUGAAUGAUCAAACUCUCUUCAUGGGUUGACUGCUUUUCAUCAAAUUAGCACAAGUUGCUACAACAAUUCCUACAGCACUGGGCAUAAUUAUUUUGCAUCCUCAGCUGUCGCGUGUUGGACUUCUCAUACCCUUAAGUAUCUUAACAAUGACCAGUUACUAUUCUACCUACGGCAUGGCAUUAUGAACAUCUAUUCUCUCCACCCUACAAGAUGAGUGUCUAUGUCUAGUUCUUCACAAAUCUUAACUUCAAGUAUAGCCCUUAUGGGAUUCAAGAUAAACUUAAUCCAGGAAACUCAAAUUAAGAUCAAGUAUUACUCUAAUAAUAUCCACUAAGACAGGCCUUUUGCGACUCUAUCUUAACUUGAACCAUUAAAUGGGUGAUCAACCGAAAUAACAGUUAUAAUAAUAGCUACUAGAGUAAAAUGCUACAACAAUUAUAUAGCAACUCAUAAGAAUAGUCAAAAACCCAUUGAGAUUGUUUGUCACUCAACUACAAGCAAGUUUAGUUCAUACUUUGAAAAAGAAAAACACAUAGCAAACUAUUGGUCACGAAAUACAUCGGUUCAAUCAAAGAGUAACGAAAAGAACAAUGAAGAUUGAAUCCAAAUAACUAUGCUGGAUUCUUCACUGAUACAGCUUGGUUCUCUUGAAUUCAUAUUGUUUUCUUCUUUUCCUCUUGAUUUUUCCAAUGUUAAUUCCUUUCCGCCGUUUUAUGUGAUGCGCGCCCCUUUUUAUAACUGAAACUUAGGGUAAACAAAAGCCUAGGGCGAGCAUGAGUCAAAUUAGAAAACUGUAGAUUGCAAUUCUGCAGAUAUCCCGUGCUAAGUUUUCUCUGUCGUUGUUCCAGGAUUGCUACAGCAAUGGUUGCUCCAGCAACAGCUAUAACACUGCACUGAUCUAGGUUUUGUUUCCCUUAUUUUUUGGUCAUAUUCUUCCUCCUUUUUGCCAACCUAUUGCAUCAGCAUCCCUUCCAUGAAUUAUAAACUUCUGAAAACCUACAAUUAUGCACAUGUUUUGAGCACAAAUUACUUUAAAUCAAGCAAAACUUAUUAAGACUAAACUAAAAUGAAUGUUUAUGCAAAACGUAACAAAAAUGUAAUAAAAACACAUCAUUACUUUCUAAGUGAUCUUGAUUUAAGUCUAGAAUUGCCAUAAUAACUCUCAUUUCAUGAAGUUAUCACGGGUCCUCCUAAUCAAGUAAACGACAUAAUUAUUAUCUGUAACAUGAAAUACAUCUAACAAUACAAAAUAAAGCUUGAAAGGAAACUCUCAGAUACAUAAAUUUCAAAAUUACCCUUAUAUCCAAAAAUUACCAAAAUCCCCCUGACAUCGAAAUUUACUGAAUUGCUAUCGGAACCAUAAUUUAUCAAAUUAUCCUCCAAAUCCUAAAUUACCUAAUUGCUCUCAAUUCAAAUCACAAAAUUAACCACAAGUUCUGGAUUUAUGAAAUUACCCUUAGAAUGCAAAAUUACUAAAAUGCCCUCAACAACAUAAAUUAGCGAAUUUCCCCCGAAAUCUUAAAUUACCUCACUGCCCUAGUCUGAAAUUACCAAAUCAUCCACCAAUUUCAGAAAUUACGAAAUAAUCCCAGAGUUUGCAAAAUUACCAAAUUGCCCAUGCCGGUCAACGAUACCGAAGUUCAGUCAACGGCGACGAGAAGCUCAGGUCUGAUAGUUCUUACCUCGAUCAGUCCAAUGGUGCCAAUGAUGACCCCCCAGGCGUAGCGACAAUGGCGGAUCGAACUUCCCAAACCGCAAGAUUUCUGACAGUUGUUCGCAGCCAAAACGGCAGUUAUAGAUGGCGGGGUUGGUUGGAAAACGACGAGGGUGAGCUGAGGAUCAAGAUCUAAGUGGUGAUGCGGCCUAAAUUCGGCGAAAUCAACUGCGACAAAAGCGAGUUGAGUCGCGGUCCUUGAAGCUUCGAUCACCCGUGUUCUGGCUGUUUUUCGGCGACGAUGACAGCGGGGAUAUGACCGGCAUCGCUCAAACUUCAGAUCGAUACCAAACUUGACUGGAACGGUGGCCGAAAACAAGAGUUGGAGUCGGGUCGGCUUCGCUAGUCAGGUUGGGUCAAAUGGGUCAAUUUCUCUUUCUCUCACGCGCCCCCUCUCUUUCCAUUUUUGGAAACCAACUCCCCUCUUUCUAUUUAUAGAAACUAGCUUCCAUUUUUUUUUAAAGCUUACUACCAAUUAAGCUAAUGCGAGACCCGUGUUGAAAUAAAAAUCCAACGACACAGCCAUUGAAUUGUGUUCGAAUUGUCUCAAUUUUAUGUCGUGACAAAUUUAAAAUAAUCCAAACAUGAUUUAUUUAAGAAAUGCAUAACAUUUAACAAUCACCACUCAUAAUGUCAGAUAAUCGUGUUGUAUCAACUUCACCGUAAUAAUUUGGAACAAGUCCGACAAAUUUAAAAUUAAUGUCGAAGGGAAAAAAUUAAAUAAUACACUUAAUUAGGAAAAUUAAAGUGCAUAUGUUACAGUUUUAUUAUUAAUUAUUGACUUAUUAUUUUUUGCAAUUUAUUGUGACACAUAAAAAAUCAUAUUAUUGAAAUUCCCAAUUGAAUAUAUAAAGUGAGUAAGUAUAACGUUACUCUUUCCAUAAUUGAUAAGGAUGGCAAAAAGACUAGACCAUGUUCUUGUCUGAUUGACCUAACUUUAAUUUUUAGGGUUUUUAAUUGAAUUUAAAGGGUCAAGGAUCAAGUUUCGACCGGAUUACAUUCAAGUCUGGGUUAGGACUUUAUAAAAAAUCCUAACUCAACCUUUGACCCUUAAAUUAAUUUUCAAAAUUAAAAAAAUAAUACUUAAAAAUUAGAACACAUACACUACAAAUGUGGUCAAAACUCACUCCUCAAACUGAUAGUAUUUUGUAUUCGAUUUAUUUACUUGCUAAUUUGGUUAGAUUUUUACAUGUUGGAUUUUCAAUAAAGCUAAAUAAAAAGUUAAUUUAUUAAAUGCCUUACAACCAAAUUUAUCAUAAAAUGGAACAAUAAUAGUACAAUAUAAUUAAUAAAGAAUGAAGAGUUGGAGUCCUACUAAAGUAUCUAAAAAUUAAAAGGUUAUUGCAAAGUGUGGAUAAAGCUCGAGCCUGAACUUGACUUGAAAAAGGCCGACCCUAGUCCAACCCUUACUUUUGAGGAUCAAACUUUUGAAAGUUAAGACCCUUUAUUUUUAAUUAUAAGGGCAAGGCUAGGGGUUGGCCAAGCCUGAGCUCAACUAGAUCAAUUGCCAAACUUAUUGAUAAGAAAAUAAUUAAUAGAGUUGUGAUAUUUGACCCCCUCGUUGUACCUCACCAGCCCCCACUAAUUACUUUUAUACUAAUAUUUAUUUUAUCUUUGUAUGAAAUGAUUUAAAAGAGUAAAUAGCUUUUAAGUGCACCCACAUGAUAAUUUCCAUUAAUAUAUAAUUUAACUAAUUUAUUUUCUUAAACCUUAAUUUUUUUAAACUUUUUAAUUCUUUCUUAAAUAUUGUAUACUUUACUUUUGGAAGAAAUUAAUUUAUAGCACGCAAUAGAAGAUGAUGAAGAAAUAUUAAUUUUUUUAUGGUUAUGGUAAUGAUGGAUAAAUCUUUAAAAAGAGAGAGAGAGAUUAUAGUGAUUUUGAGAUUUUUUUUUCUUUUUGAAAUAGAUUUUAUAAGUUUCAGUGCUUGGAAAAAAGAUAAAAAAUCGUAAUAAAGCUAAGUUCGCGAUUCAAUGAGGUAUGUUGAUAUAUAAAGUUUAGUUUAAAAUUUUUAAUAGCGUUAACUGAAAGGGGUUGGUAAAAUAUAAUAAGUGGGUCAAAUCUACCACCCUAAUUAGUAUCAUUUUACUCGAAAGUUUUACUUAUAAAUUUUGGAUUUUGACCAGCUUUAAAUCUAUAAAAAAAAUUCAGAAAAAGUUACUUUAAAAAAUCUAUACAUUAUCCCAAAAGUUGUACCCAAAAAAAAUAAAUAAAAAUCGGCCCGUUCUGGUUAAAUUCAAAAUGAAAAAACCCGGCCCGUUUCCCUACUUAAGACCCUCCUAGCAGUUUUAAAAAAAAUUUCCCAGCGAAGAAUAGAAGUGAUAGCAGCUGCUCUGUCUUGCGACCCAUCGCAAUGGGAAUUUAGCUGGUUUUAAUUCUCUCUCUUAGCUGUUUCUGUUUCUUUAAUUUAACAUUGUGAUAUAUAUUUAUUAUGCUAGAGGUUCAACUAAGUCUCCAUUUACUGGGACUUUUCUCAUCUUGGGAAAUGUUAAUUUUGCCUUAUUUAUUCAAUAUUGUUAUCUUCCUCUGUCAAUAAAUUUUAUGCUUCGGUUGGUUAUUCAAUGUGGGUUUGUUCCAUUUUGUUCUUACGCUGUUUGUAUAAAUAUUAAAGGUUUGUUUUUUAAAAUGGCUUUCAGUCAAUUGCCUUCAAAGCUUUAUUUCCUAAAAGAGGAAAGAAAAAUAUACCAAAAUGUUUAAUUUCUACUGCUAUAUGUUUGCGUUUUUAGCUUCUGCUAUGCUUUGUAUUGUGUUGUUUGUGUUGGUAUUAAUGCUAGAAAGAUGUUUUCUUCUCAAAUCUGAUUGCUUAGAAUGAAUAUGAGGUGGUUAUUGAGUUGCAAUAUAUCGAAUAAAUUGAAGACGUCUGCUUCAUAGGUUUUGAUUCUAUUAAUUGUUUUCAUUUCAAGCAUGACACAAUUGCAUGGGUGUUCGAGGAGGCUAACGAUGAUUUCUUAGGGUUGAAGCUAUAACUUUCUUUUAUUAUUGUCUAGUAUCAAAACUUGAAAACAAAGUUUAAAGAUAAUACUUAUGAUACAAACACAAAUGAUUGGAAAGGUAACUUGAACAAAAUAGAAGGAAAUCAAUAAGAAUAGGUUAAUUCGAGGAACUCUAGACCUUCAAAAUAAUAUUGGUUAUUUGAGAAACCAAUAAACUCACAAAAUUUAAUUUACAAGUUGCGAAAAUAAUAGCACUCAAGACACUCUUUUAUUGAACAACAUCAAGCUUUAAAUAGAGCUUUACUUCAAAGCUACAAGUAUAAAAAUAAGCAAGCAUUAAGCUUGUUCUCCAUCAUUCUCCAUGAAUCCACAAAAUAAGGAACCAACUAACAACUUGAUUUUGACUUAUUAAAAACCAGCGACACUUAAAAUAUAAAGUAAAUAAUUAAAACCAAUAUUAAAAUGGAAAGAUUGUAAAAUGUUAUAGUGUUUACUUUAAUCAAUGGGCCGUGGCGCAUAUUGUUAAAUUGUGGAUCGGAUAGUUUACUGGACACGCGAACUAAUUUGUAAUUUAGUUAUAAGUUGUGUGAACCAUAAAAAAAUAAAGUCAGUGGUACUAUUAUCAGAAUGUUGGAUAGUUCUGAAAGAUUUUUGAAUAAGCUGGCAUUGAGGAUAAUAUACUAUUGGAAGUUGAGGAACAGGACAGAGCAUCUGUAAUUCCUCUGUUAUUUACGAGUUAUCUAUUUUUAUCCCAUGACAGUGUAGUGCUCUUUCUCCCCCUUUCAGAAAGUUUUUAGAGGAACUGUACCUGAAAUGUUUUGUUGUUUCUUAGAAAAUGGUUUUUCCCAUGCAGUGACUUUGAAGUGGAUUACGAGUCCAAUGAGAAUGCAUCAAUUGUGUAUGCAGCAUUAGCUAUUGAUAAGGAGGUGAUCCACCACGAUCCUAUUCCCAAGAUCAUACUUUGCUCCUUUAACUUUAUUGCUUGUUCAAUAAAUUCCUACUUGAAUUCAAUUUCCAAGUGCAGUUGCAACCAGACAAAUUGAAAAGGCAGAUAUCUGUGAUUAAUGGGAAACUUUUAGUGUAAGUUUCUAUUCUUUGGUCAUUCUUGUAACUGAUUUUUCAUUCUUGUCCAAUAUUUAUUCAAUUUGCAUCUAUCAGUUUAUCCUAUGAGACAAUAUUCAUUUGGAACUUUUGUGUGGCUCGUUCAAUAAUCAUUUUUCCCCUUUUCCUGAAAAAUUUUCAAAUAUGUUACUUCAGAAGAGUUCUUCCUCUAAGAUACCAUUGUUCUUUAGUAUAUCAACUUUUCUUGGACAUUUUGUUUAUUUUCUCAUCUGAUUCAGGCACUUUGAGGCAGUUGAGGCAGGGUUUCUUCGUGCAUCAUUUUCUGCUUUUGUAGAUGUGCUUACACUUGCGACAAAAACAAUCGAACAGUUUGGUCAUGGAACGGAAUUGUAACAUCAUACUAUCUUUGGCAGUUGGAGAAUCAUUCAUAGUAGGAACUGUAUUACUUUAAUUCGCCAUCUUGUUUCGGAUUAGUUGACGUGUUUGUAACAAGAGAAUCUAUAGUGUUCGUUUUAUAAUGUAAACCUUCAAAUUAUCGGAAAGCUGAAAUCUUCAAAGCUGUGAAUUAUAAUUUUUUUUUUUCAAUCAUUGGGUUUUAGCAAGAGGUUGCAGCUGUAAAUGUUACAAUCCUCCCUUAGACCUUUUCAAUAAAGUUAUUGGCAAGCUAUCUCCAACUCUUUCAGUUUGGGCCUAACUAGAUUGCCAGACCUCACUUCUAGGGCUUUUCUGUUUACCCUCAAAACAGUUCAAUCUGAUAUUGAUUUCGUAAAGUGAAUAGAAUGAAGAAUUCAUUAGUGCUAAUAUUCUUCCAGCCAUUGAUGCAAUUCUUUACCAUUGUGUGACGCAGGAGGUACCUACUUGGCUACCAAGUGGCCCUCAGCUUAACGUGCCUCGAUAGCCUUCAAGCUUUUAGAAUUCAUCUAGCUGGUGGAAUCCUAUCAGGCGUCUCUCUAUAAGUUCGAAAAUCAAGAUUUUUCUAUAGCAAGCGUCAAGGGAUUUCUUGUCACCCAAAAGGAACCCAGAAAAGAUAAAAUCGUAGACAGCACUGUUUCACAUGCUGGAAUUCUCGGGAGGGUGCUUAUCAUGUGCUUGUGGCUAUAAAUAUGCUCGAAAAAAAUUGGAAAUUGAUGCUGCAAUCCCUCUGCCUGAAGCCUCAAAGAAAAAAAAAAUGCAUUUUUAUAGCAUUGCUAAGAUGAAAGAUUACAGACUUAGCAACGCUGACAUUGAGCAACAAUUUUCUGCAUACACUUUAUCUUGGGCAGAAUCACCAAAAGUCGAUGCAUCUUUAAAUUUAGAAUAAAAGCAGAUUCGACUUGUAUUAUAAGAAAUUCAAAUGGGGUGUCACGGCUGCUUCCAUCUCUAGGAAAACUUGCUUAGAAAAAAUGCUGAAUGCUUUGGCAAUUCUUGAUGGCAUCAAAAUGGCAGUUGACUCUGGACUGCACCCACCACUAACUUGAAUCUGACUAUUUUAAUGCAGUGAAAUCAAUCUUAAAGAAGAGACUUCGGAUGGAUGAUCAAAGGAAUGCUCGGUUAUGUAAGAAAAGGAAAACAAUUUAUAGUUGCAAUACACUCAUCAAUAAUCUCAGGAACCUCUGAUGAUUGAAUUACAAGCAUACCUGUUCAUGCAAGAUAUUCGAUGCUCUGCAUCCGAAACUUCGUCGACCUUUGCAUCUAAGAGAUCAUUAACCUUACAAGUCACAGAACCCAAAUGGUCCACAGUAUUCACAACAGCUUUGCUGGCAUGAUCUUUCAAUGUUUCCACCACUUUGCGUAAAUGUGAAGAUGGUUUGUUUUCUCAAUAGAAAAUUGAAAUUAUCAGCAGUAAUUAGAGCAACUUACAUUUGUUUUUGGUCAUCACUGGUGUUUGUGGGAUAUUCUUCAACGAAGACCAACACUAAUGAGCAGACAUCUGGUAGCAGGGCUCCUCGAACAUGUAUAUCUGGUAAGAAUCUGGUAUCCGGGGGAGCAGGAGCAGGAAUAUCCGGCUCGUCCACGAGUACGCCAUCCACAAGGCCAAUCUUCGGCUGGAAGCAUAAAGCCAUUCCUACUGCAUUCCUGCUAAGGGCUGAGUAGAGGAGACCCGGUCAACGACAGUUGGUGAGACAUGCUCUCCAGUCCGAUAAUCAAGGCACAAAGGCCACGCAACCAUCCACGACUACGGAAAUGGGGCAUCCACUUACGAGAGGUGGGGAGAUAACAACCGCGAAUGGAGGGAAGGCUUGAGUUCAGAGGUGGCCUAUAAAAAGGUAGCCAACGAAGGUAAAAGGGUUAGCAUUUUUGAGAUUAUAACUGAGAAAAGAGAGCUCUAAAGAACGGGUACUAGAGAAAAGCCAUAAGAUUCGUGGCAAACAUUCCCAGAACCUUCAUAUCUGACUUGAGCAUCGGAGGGUUUACGCCGGGGAAACAACCGGCGUACUCUGACCUGCUUCUGUGUACGCAGGAACUUUCGGAGAAGAAGCCUUAUGAGGAGAGAACCUGAUCUGGUAGAGUUGGUCGAGCAGAGGUCCUAGUCUUGGUAGAAAAGGCAACCAGAAUCUCGCAUCAACAUUUUGGCGCCGUCUGUGGGGAGCUGAUCAAAAAGCUUCUAUUGAUAGUAAGAAGAGGAGUAAAGCAAGUGGAAAAAACAAUGGAGGCAGGAGGAAGUAGUGCGCAAAGGGGUGAUUUGCGGCUUAAUGAUUCCGUGACGUUGAGGGAGAUAGCCAGUGAAGCACGGGAAAAAGCCAUGUCUGACCGGAUGGAACGGAUGGAAAAGCAGAUGGAGACCCUGACAACCAUCCUACAUGAGCUGCGGAGUGAACGAAGGGGAACCCAGGAGGAAAGGGUGAGAAAUGGUGGAGUGGCACCAGGUCACGAUAGUAUAAGGAGAAGUCAAACCACCAGGAGAUUUGGUGGUGAGAGAGGUAACCUAUCUCUGCAGGGAGAAAUUCACAGAGAGGAAGAGCAAUCCCCAGCAAGAUAGAUUUUUGAUGAGGAUGAUGGGGUGGCAAAUGCAGAGGAAACAGAGCUCAGGCAACACUUACAUGAUGUAGAGCAAGAGCAGGAUCAAGUUGCAGCACGUGACCCUGGUCGUGUAGUGCAGCUGGAGGAGGAAGUGCGCAGAUUGGCGUAGGCAAUUGAUGACAUGCAAGGAAAGAGCAGAGCUCCUGGUUGGAGGAUAAUGCUGGACGGAGAAUCAUCGCUCGCAGCAGAGAUCAUGAGGGCAAUCAUUCCAAGAGAUUUCCGCCUCCCAGACCUUAGAUAUUCGGGACGAACUGACCCGCUGGUACACAUAGAGCGCUUCAACGAUAUAACCGGGGUACAAGGAUUAUCUCAAGCCCAAAGGUGCAGGGUGUUCCCACUAUCCCUAGAGGGACGUGCACGCGAGUGGUACAGGAAACUGCUUCAGGGGAGCAUUAAAACCUUAGAGCAGAUGUGCCAGGAAUUUACAGAGCAGUUUCGUGAGGCAAUGGCACCAGAAGAUGACAUGAUGGAGUUGAAAAGCAUGAAGCAAGGGGAGCAAGAAACCCUUUAGGAAUUCAUCAAAAGGUUUCAUUGUGUUGUCCUCGAUUUGGGAGCCUUCAACCAUCCUCAGGCACAAAGGGGAUUGAAAGAGGGAGUGAAGAUAGGAAGGCUGUGGUACAACUUGAGAAGCCCAACUAUUCAGACGUAUGCAGCUGCAUACGAGCAGGCUAAAAGAGACAUAGAGAUCGAGGAAGAAAAGGCAGCUCGGAUUAAGACAGACCAGCUGGAAGGGUUGGGAAAGAAAGAGAAGAGAGCAUUACCAAGAAAUGGGCCGAUCAGGAGGAAGGACCACCAGACCGCAGGUAGUGGUGCAGGAGGUCGGAUAACCGCUUACUAGCCUUAUCAAAGGCCACCAUAGUAUCAGCGCAGCAGGGCACAACCUCUUCGCUCACCAGCUAGGGAGCCUUGGAGAAGGCAUGACUCGGCAUUAGGUGGUCUUCAUCCACACUCCCACGGUAGUAGAGGGAGCAGACCAGAAGCACUGCCACCGCCUCCAACUCAGAACAGCGCAAAUAGUGAAAGGGCAGUGCACAUGAUCGACCAAAACCAGGACUAUGGACGGUAUACCUCCUUAAAGAUGCCCCUGGACGAGGUGUACGAGGCUAUAAAGGACUGGGGACUACUGUACCUCCCUGCCCCAAUAACAAAACUACCCAGCAUGAGGGAUAGAGGACGCUAUUGUAAGUUCCAUGGCACUCAUGGCCAUACCACUGCAGAAUGCAGAGAUCUCAAAACCCAGGUUGAAGAUUUGGUGAGAAAUCAGUACCUGGAUGAGUUCAUAGAUGGGACUUUCCCGAUGGUUGCCUCGACAUGUGAAGGCGAGCAAAAUCCCCAAGUAUCGAAAUAUUCACUAAGGCAUGCAAAGGCUCACCAAGUCUCAAAGCCUGUUUUACAGCGAGACAGAAGCCAAGCGUGCCAAGAUUUGCUGGACCGAACGAAGGCGAGCAGAAUCCCCAAGCAUCGAAAUAUUUACUAAGGCAUGCAAAGGCUCACCAAGUCUCAAAGCCUAUUUUAUGGCGAGACAGAAGCCAAGCGUGCCACGAUCUGCUCGACCGAACGAAGGCGAGCAGAAUCCCCAAGCAUCGAAAUAUUCACUAAGGCAUGCAAAGGCUCACCAAGUCUCAAAGCCUGUUUUAUGGCGAGACAGAAGCCAAGCGUGCCAGGAUCUGCUUGACCACGCGAAGGCAAGCAAAAUCCCCAAGCAUCGAAAUAUUUACUAAGGCAUACAAAGGCUCACCAAGUCUCAAAGCCUGUUUAUGGUGAGAUCAGAAGCCAAGCGUGCCAGGAUCUGCUCGACCGAACGAAGGCAAGCAGAAUCCCUAGACAUGCAAAAAACUAAGUCUAAAAGCCAGUCAUGUGGCAAAACCAUAUGCCAAGCCUAAGCCCGCUCGACCGAGUGAAGGCGAGCAGACUCUCAAAUGGAAAAAUAGCUCGUAAUUACAAACAUAAGAAAGUAAUCAAAAACAUUUUUCAUUAAUUUGUUAAUAACUAACAAAGCCGAUAAUCAAUACACAUAUUGUUCAUUACAAUACAAGAAACAUAUUUAAGAAGACGGUAGGUCAGUAAGCCGAGCAGCCUCAGUUGGCUGGUCCACCUCAGGUGCUGGGGGAGUAUCACCAGUUGCGUCCGGGGGGGUGCUCGCCUCACCCACAUCAAUAAGAACGGCACGAGGGGGAGAGUUUUCCUCCUCAACUACGAUUGGUUCCACCCAUUCGGCAUCUUCCUUUGGCUCCUUGUCCAUAUGUUGAGCAACACCAACUGCAAGAUCAUCCAUCUUCAGAUCAGGAUGCUGCUUUCCGAGGACGGCCAUGAUGCAGCGAUAGAAAUGCCGGAGUCCCUGGUCGUACUGGUUGUCGGCUUCCCUCUCCAAGUUCUCGACCUGAACUCGGUGAGAAUCGCGGAGAGAUUCGAGCUGAGCCUCGUACAUAGCCUUCUGCCUUUGAAGAUCCUCAUUGACCUUGAUCAGCUCUUCCUCGAGGGUAAUGGCUUUUGCUUGAGCAAGAGAUUCCUGCUCUAUCAGCUUCAGAUUCUCGACAUUCAGCUCCCCUACUUUCUUCUCGGCAGCGUCAGCUCUGGUCAUCGCCGACUGAAUGUCCUCCUUCAUCUUUCUGUCAUAACGGCCAACCUUGGCCUUAUAGUAGGUGGUUAUGCAGCUGAAAUGGAAAGCGCUAUACUACAUGGCCCCCACCAACUCGCCUAGGGUGCAGCCAUCAAAGUCCUCCAGGUCCUUUUUGCUCACAAGUUUAGAAAGCUCGUUUAGAUAGGGGACCAAGUGUUCUGCUCGAUUGUCAGGCAAACGAGAUCUGGGCCCGAUAGGGGGAGAAGAGGAAACAGGAUCAGUGGCUGCUCCACUAGUUUCCCCGACUUUGGCAGAAGGAGGAGGUAAAGUGUUCAAGAGAGAGACCUACUGCACGAUGUUGGCCCGCUUUGCAGUAGGGGCGUCUUUGUUCUGGUCCCUCUUCGCGGUUUGAGCUAGAGAACGUUUCUGGUUCAGAGCCCCGAUCACAGCAUCCUCCAUCUUAUGGUCGGGAAGCACCAAGUCAGAUUCGAUCAGGUUGUAAGUGGUUAGUAGCUCUCGUUGCGAGCAGGAAUUGGCCAGUACAGCCUUGACCCGUUUGAGCUGGUCAGGUUUGAGUGGGAGGUGAACACCCUAAGAACCUGUAAACGAGCAGACAUUUGGUUAAAGACAAAACAACAAAGUAAGAACAAUUAUGAAGACAAGACAUCUAAAACGAGCAGGCAACCUAGGACCACGAAACGGAGUGGGACACGACAAUCUUUCCCGUCAAUUUGUGCAACUUGACCCCAAGAACCCCCAGCGAAAAAUAUUUUUUUCUUCCAAGUCCCACCACCACCAGUUGGAAGAUCAGUUAUGGGUUUUUUGCUCUUGGUACUAGAUUGGAAGUAGUACCAGCUGGCAUCUUUGGGGCUGCUCUUUAGCUGGUACAGGUGCUUCACCUCAUCAAUUGUGGGCUCGCUUUGGCAACAUCUGUCCCACAAUAUGAACAGACCAGAGAGCAAUCUCCACCCGUUGGAGUUCAGCUGACCAGGAGCUAGAUUUAGCCCGUUGAGUAUCCGGGCAAAAUAGGGUUGCAAGGGGCACCUCAGCCCAUACUUAAAACUCUCCAGAAACAGGGUAACAUAUCCCCUAGGAGGUUUGCUAGGAGUAUCCUUUUUUCUUGGGAUCCUAAGGGGUAUUUCACUAGGAAUAUGGUACCUAAGCCAGAGGUCAUCGAGCUCAUUGAAUGUGGUCGUGCACGUUAUGUAAUCAAUAGCAUAAUCCCGUGACAGGGCUCUACCUCCUACUGUAUCCCGCCCUUCUGGUCGCGAUGUUCCCGGUGAGGAUCCCUCACCAGAGUCACCUCCUUGAUCUUCACUUUGAAAUACUAACUAGGCAACCCAAGAGGGGGGUGAAUUGGGAUUUUAAAAAUUAUCUUAGGCAAACCACACAACAAUUUAAUCUAAUGCCUUAAUAAAUUCGAAAACAAUAAAUUCAAUAAAAGCACAAUAAUAAAUUAGUAGGGGAAGAGAAAGCAAACUCAAGGAUUUUUACGUGGUUCGACAAUCCCCGCCUACGUCCACGCCUCCAAGCACCCCGGGCUUGAGGAUUCCACUAAGCAAGCCUCCAAGGCUUCAAACGCUUACAAUUGACUUCCAAGGUGUCAAUGGACCUUUACAACAAGAGAUUAUCCCCAAUCUCUUAACCCAAGUGUAUCCCAACACUUACAAUCUUUUAACUUGAUUUUACAAAAAAGAUUACAAAUGAAUCUCUCUCACACAAUGUGUUUGAUCACAAGUGAAAGCUCAAUGUGUGAAUGAAUAAGAUGAAUACAAAGAUUUAAAGCUCAAUGAAAGUUGUAUUCUCAAUAUUUUGCUCAAUGAUGAUUGUUGGAAUUCUACUUGUUUGAAUUGGAUUGAGCUUAUUUAUAGUUGGAGCUGAAAAACUAGCCGUUAUAGACUGUCGGACAGAAAAUGGUUCGCCGUUAACCCUAAACGGUUAACCGUUUCGGUCGGUCAAAGUUACCGUUGGGCUAAUUUUCAAAUAAACGGUUAGCCGUUUAGGCUUACCCUUUCGCCGUUAAUUUCCAGAGACCUGCAAAACAAAUUUGGUUUAACCGUUCUUACUAAACGGUUCAAGGUUAGCAAACUGGAAAUAAUCGGUUAACCGUUUUCAAUAAACGGUUCACCGUUAGUUUCCAGAAUCAUCAUAUUAACAAUACUUUAAAGAACAUGCUUUCUGGAAAUUAUCGGUUAGCCUUUUUAAAUAAACGGUUAGCCGUUUUUAAAUAAACGGUUAGCCGUUUGCUACAGUGAUUGCUACAGUAACCUGCACAGUGCACUAUUUUUUAAAAUUACCGUUUGACCCCAAAACUUUACAAAACUAUACCAUAGCCCAACACGUCAUGAAACUUUGCAAAUAGGUCCAAUUUCAAAAUUUCUAAAUAAUGCUUUGUUAAUCCCAAAACUUUCUGAAAUUAUGUUAUAGCCCAAAAUGCUAUGACACUUUUCAAAUAAGUCCUUCACCAAAAUUUCAAGCAAUACUUGUUUGUUUCAAAGUUUUCAAAAUGCUUUCAAUUAAACCAUAAACUUUGAAAAACAACAAAUUUCAUAAAAUCAUUUUUCCAUUAAAUAUGAAACAUUUAUAAUGUGAAAAUAAUGAUUUAUUAUUUAAAAAGAAUAAAAACAAUCAAUUUCAUAAAAUCAUUUUUCCAUUAAAUACAAAACAUUUAUAAUGUGAAAAUAAUGAUUUAUUUAAAAAGAAUAUUAAAUAAUUUGAGCUUAAAAGAUUAAUCAUUCUUAACUUUGUUUGUUAUCAUCAAAAUCAAUAUUAUGGAAACAUAUAUGUUAACAAUCUCCCCCUUUUUGAUGAUGACAAACAUUUCAUGUAUUUAAAGAAUGAUUCCACAAAUUGCUCCCCCUAAAUAUAAUCUUCUUUUACAACUUGCCAAUUAGCUAAAUUAAUGAUUUAAAUACAUGGAUUUUUCUCCCCCUCAUCAUCAAAAAGAAAAACUUAAUUGGCAAAGACAAAAGUAGCAAAUUUUUAUAGAUUUGAAAACAUGUAUUCUUCUCCCCUUUCAUCAUAAAAAAGAAAACGUAAAGGAAAAGAAUAAAAGUAGCAAAUUUGUUACCCAUGUUGUUUGAGUAGAAAUUUUGAAAGAAUCUCCCCCUAACAACAAGCAUUACCUCAAAUACAAGAUUAGUAAUAUUACUCCCAAAUUAUUAUAGAUCAUGAUAAAAGCCAACUCCAUACACAAAUCAUCACACCAAAAUAUCAUGAACCAUUAUUCCAUUAAUCACCAAAUCAACAACUCAUAACAUGAAAUUUAUCAUAUAAAACACCCAUGAAAUCAAAUCGUCAUUAUAUCUCAAAAUCAUCACCAUAAUCAAAUAUCAUCAAAAUGAUCACCAUAAUCAAAUAUCAAUUAUCAAAAGAAUACUCAAAGUGCAUAUUAUUCUCCUCCCUUUUGAUAACAUUGAAAUGAUAUAUUAGUUUAUCUCCCCCUUUGGACAACAAAAAAAUUCAAAAUGCAUAUUAUCCAAAAUCAUAUUAUAUGCUCCCCCUAAAUAUAUGGCCAAUUUUAAAUUUUAACCACAAUGAUUUUAUCCAAAAACAUAUCAUAUUUAUCUCCCCUUAAAGAUGAGCAAAUUCUCAAAUACUCAACGUGAUUAAAAAAUAUUUCCAUAUAAGCUUCAACAAUUAUAACAAACCAAUAACUCCUUCAAUUCAUCAAGCAACGCACAUCUAAUCAUCAAUUACCAAAAUCAUCAAGAAAUCAAAUCAUUCCAAGUUUAUGCCGAAUUUUUGAAAAUUCUUCUUCGCAAAGAGGUUUUGAUUUCUUUACCAAAUUGGCAUGCAUAUUAUCAAAUAUUCAAGCUCCAUAAUUAUCAAUCACAUUUUAUAAAUAAAGACAACUAAACUCAUCAAAUAUCUAAUGUGACAUUCAAUAUAACAAAAAAAUCUCAUAUACUUAAAACUCUCGAAGUAUAUGUAUUUCUCCCUUUUUCGAUAUCAUUUAAAAUAAGUAAGACAUAUUCAACAAUACAUCGAUAAAGUACAAAAAAUGCAUUCAUUCACUGAUCAUAGAUUGCAUAAGAUCAAAGCUUCAUCAAAUACAAUGUAAUCAUCAAUGCACAAACUUUAUCAUCAAAACUUAAGCAAAGCAUAAGUACAUAAUGACAAUGUAUAAAUCAUCAAAAUCAACAUAUGCCAAUAUAUGGAUCAUCAAAAUUAACAUAACUAUUAAGAAAAGCCAUAAUUAUGAGUUAAAUAACAAGUGAUCAAAUCCAUACUUACAUAUAUUUUUAAAUGAUGAUCUAGUAAUUACAUCUUGUGAUGGAUCUUUCAAAAUUAAGUCAUUAGGGUGAGAAGAAACAUACCUCCACUCUUUAGGGAGUGUUUGAGAAGUACUUUCAUUUUACUCCGCGUGUUGCUCCUCUUGAUUUUCAAGUGGUGUGUUCUUUUGGCUAUCAUUUGAUAAUCUUCUUGUAGCUUUUCAUCUACAUUAUCAUCAACAACAACUUUCUCCAUAGAGGAAGAAUUAGACUCAUCAAAUAUAACAUGUAUAAAUUCUUCCACAAUCAAAGUUCUUUUGUCAUACACUCUAUAAAUUUUGCUUGUGAUUGAAUAACCAAGAAAAAUACCAACAUCAAAUUUUGGAUCAAAUUUGCCAAGAUUAUCUUUUGUGCUCAAAAUAAAACAUUUGCAUCCAAAAAACUUUGCAAUAACUAAUGUUGGGUUUUCUAUAAUUCCAAAGCUCAUAGAGAGUAUUACUGAGAUGAAGUCUAAUCAAUGUGGUCCUAGCCAUUUUUAUUUUUUUUAAUAGACCUAUUCUUUCUCUCUACAACUCCAUUUUGUUGUGGAGUCCUAAGUGAUGAAAAUUUAUGCUUAAUGGAAAAUCAUUAAAAAAAAUCUCAAAUGCAUGAUUUUCAAAUUCUCCACCAUGAUCAUUUAUAAUACAAGAAAUAACAUAUAACUCAUCUAUCAUGCAUAUACCUCACACAAUCAUGAAAUAUGUAAGUAUUCAAAGAUUGAGAAUUAAAGCAUAUCACUUAUUUUUCAUGCUUAGGCAUUAAAUAAUCAUUAAAAUCAAAACAAAUUCAUCAUGAUGAGUUGACAAGCUAUCAUCUUAUAUAUAACCAUGCAUCAUGAUAAAGCACUAAAUGUUAAACACAAUGAUAAUUCCAUCAUGUAAACAUACAAGCAUACUUUCGUAAAUUCAUUUGUCAUGAUUCACUCAAUAUAGUAAAUAGGCAAGAUAAACUUAUCCACUUCAUGUUAAUGCACUCAAUGUUAUGAUACCAAAUGAAAUGUUAAAUAUUUACUAAGAUUAAAAGACCAUAACUUAUAAUCAAUAAGGCAAUAAUAGUUACCAAAACAAUUAAAUCAUUUUGCCUCAUUAUUUUUGCUUAGACCAUGAUCAAGUGAUUAUCCUCAUAAGCUUCAUCAAGGAACUCUCCACCAUUCCUUGAUUGUGGUUCCUACAAAGAGAACAUUCACGUUGUGCCCUUUGGUACCCAAAUACUCUUGGGUCCUUGAGUGUUAGAUUUAGUUCCUUUCGGAACCCAAAUACAUUUAACUCCAUAAUACACAUUUCUUUUAAUUUGACAUCUAUUCUUCAUAUGACCAUUUUGAUUGCAAUAAUGACAUACAAUUUGAUCAUUUGUGGAGGUAGCCUUAACAAAAUAAUUCUUAUAAUAUUUUGUUUCAAGUAAGGCUUAUACCCAAGUCCUCCUUUAUCAAACACACAUUUUUGUGAAUUAAGCAUGUUAUCCAACAUCUUUUGCCCAUUUGUGAAUUUCAAAACAAUCUCAUUCAACUCAUUGCUCCUUUUCUUAAGCGUUUCAUUUUCAUUUAUUAAUUCAUCAACAUGUGAUUUCUCAUGCUCAUACAAAGUACUUUGUUUACAUGUGAAUGAUGCAAUUCUAUCAUGUAACAUUUCAUUAUCUAAUUCCAAUUCUUUGAUCUUUUCAUUUAAUGAAACAUUGGAUUUUUGCAAGGCAUCUUUUUCAUUUUUCAAGUCAUUUACAUGUGAUUCUAGAUGCUUGUGUGAAAUGUUAGGUUUCUCAUUUGAUAAUGCAACUCUAUCAUACAAUGUUUUAUUCUCUAAUUCUAGGCAUGUAAUCUUUGCACAUAGAGAUUCAUUUUCAUUUUUGAGCUCUACCAUUUUCUUUUUAAGACAUGCAUUCUUUUUACCAAUUUUCAUCCACUCAUCAUACAAUUCUUUAAACGCAUCAUGUAAUUCAUCAUAAGUAAGAAGAUCAUUUACCUCAUCAAGUCCAUCAUCCGAGUCAUCUCCAAUUGCCAUAAGUGCCAAAUUCGACACUUCAUGAAAUUCCUCCUCCUUUGUAGUCUCCUCAUACACAAUUUCAAGUUUUCUCCAAAUUUCAUAAGCAUUAGAACAAUUUGAAACUUUAUGAAAUUCCUUUUUAUCUAAGGCACAAAAUAAAGCAUUCAUAGCCUUGGAAUUUAAUGACAUCUUUUUCUUAUCCAAUUCACUUAAAACAUUCUUCCUAGGAAUGAAUGAAUCAUCACAAACUAUUUCCCAUAGUUCAUAAUCUAAGGCUUGUAAAAACACUCUCAUCCUAGUUUUCCAAUAAGGAUAGUCAUUACCAUCAAAGAACGGUGGUCUAAUUGUGGAUUGUCCUUCCCUAAAAAUUGAGUCAUUAUGGGUUGCCAUGGAUCUUUAACUCUAGACGGUUAAGUCUACACAAGAGCACCUCUCUCUGAUACCAAAUGAAAUACUAACUAGGCAACCCAAGAGGGGGGUGAAUUGGGAUUUUAAAAAUUAUCUUAGGCAAACCACACAACAAUUUAAUCUAAUGCCUUAAUAAAUUCGAAAACAAUAAAUUCAAUAAAAGCACAAUAAUAAAUGAGUAGGGGAAGAGAAAGCAAACUCAAGGAUUUUUACGUGGUUCAGCAAUCCCCGCCUACGUCCACGCCUCCAAGCACACCGGGCUUGAGGAUUCCACUAAGCAAGCCUCCAAGGCUUCAAACGCUUACAAUUGACUUCCAAGGUGUCAAUGGACCUUUACAACAAGAGAUUAUCCCCAAUCUCUUAACCCAAGUGUAUCCCAACACUUACAAUCUUUUAACUUGAUUUUACAAAAAAGAUUACAAAUGAAUCUCUCUCACACAAUGUGUUUGAUCACAAGUGAAAGCUCAAUGUGUGAAUGAAUAAGAUGAAUACAAAGAUUUAAAGCUCAAUGAAAGUUGUAUUCUCAAUAUUUUGCUCAAUGAUGAUCGUUGGAAUUCUACUUGUUUGAAUUGGAUUGAGCUUAUUUAUAGUUGGAGCUGAAAAACUAGCCGUUAUAGACUGUCGGACAGAAAAUGGUUCGCCGUUAACCCUAAACGGUUAACCGUUUCGGUCGGUCAAAGUUACCGUUGGGCUAAUUUUCAAAUAAACGGUUAGCCGUUUAGGCUUACCCUUUCGCCGUUAAUUUUCAGAGACCUGCAAAACAAAUUUGGUUUAACCGUUCUUACUAAACGGUUCAAGGUUAGCAAACUGGAAAUAAUCGGUUAACCGUUUUCAAUAAACGGUUCACCGUUAGUUUCCAGAAUCAUCAUAUUAACAAUACUUUAAAGAAUAUGCUUUCUGAAAAUUAUCGGUUAGCCUUUUUAAAUAAACGGUUAGCCGUUUUUAAAUAAACGGUUAGCCGUUUGCUACAGUGAUUGCUACAGUAACCUGCACAGUGCACUAUUUUCUAAAAUUACAGUUUGACCCCAAAACUUUACAAAACUGUACCAUAGCCCAACACGUCAUGAAACUUUGCAAAUAGGUCCAAUUUCAGAAUUUCUAAGUAAUGCUUUGUUAAUCCCAAAACUUUCUGAAAUUAUGUUAUAGCCCAAAAUGCUAUGACACUUUUCAAAUAAGUCCUUCACCAAAAUUUCAAGCAAUACUUGUUUGUUUCAAAGUUUUCAAAAUGCUUUCAAUUAAACCAUAAACUUUGAAAAACAACCAAUUUCAUAAAAUCAUUUUUCCAUUAAAUAUGAAACAUUUAUAAUGUGAAAAUAAUGAUUUAUUAUUUAAAAAGAAUAAAAACAAUCAAUUUCAUAAAAUCAUUUUUCCAUUAAAUACAAAACAUUUAUAAUGUGAAAAUAAUGAUUUAUUUAAAAAGAAUAUUAAAUAAUUUGAGCUUAAAAGAUUAAUCAUUCUUAACUUUGUUUGUUAUCAUCAAAAUCAAUAUUAUGGAAACAUAUAUGUUAACACACUUAGGGUGUUUUCCGAGCCAGAAGAUCCCUCCUCACCGCUACUUCCGCUCGUGGAGGUUGUUUGGGGAGACAUCCUCCUAGCACUAGUCCCGACACUAGACCUAAUGGGUUCUAAGGGGAUCCCGGGGUCAAAAGCAGGAUCGAUGAGCAGACUAGGCAAGAAACCUAGUUCGUCGUCAUCAAUCUCAACGACUUUCUCUUUGCCUUUCGACAUUCCCUAAAUUAUAACCAGAGCACCACCACCAACCACUACCCAAACAAAGCACAGAGAAAAGAAAUUAUCUACAACUAACCAAGACCGAGAAAAUAGAAGAAAUACCUGAAGUAGGGACUCGGUCAAAGAGAGACAGGGAUGAAAGCUUUAAUGCCGAGGUUCAUUCGCCGGAGAGACAAGAAGGGAGAAAAUGCAUAUUUUGGGUUAUCCUAAUUGUUGAGUGUUAGAAAAUGCAUAUUUAUAAAGGAGAAAACCGUCAUUUUACCUUUCAAGCCUUACUAACAACCCUUACUUUUAUAUAUUUAACCUUCUUGUAAUUUAAUUACGUGUCUGUUAUUUUAAUUAAGUAUUUUAUGUAUUUUAGGGGCAUUAUAGUCAUUUCACAAUAAAGGAGAGAUCAGACGGCAAAACGGACAUCACUUUUGAACUUAGGACAGUCGAAAACCUUAAGAGGAGCAUAAAAGGAAAAAUGACACUAUUCACAUGUACGGUACUAUUCACGUAUACGGUACUGUAUACGUUACUGUUCACGGCAUUGUUUACCCUCGUCAACUAACGGUCAAACCGUAUGUAUACUAACGGUAGGGGAGGUAAGUGAGAAUACAAUCAAACUCGCCAUCUAAGUGAAAUUAUAUCAAACCUCAGGGGAGGUUUCUGAAAAUUGCCCUUUGUAUGAAUUGACGACCUGUCCGGUGUCCCCUGGCCUACUUAUCAUAAAAAUAAAAAUUGAAGCCCAAUAACAAAUACAUCCGCAAAAUAUUCAUCAAAGAUAUUUCAACAAGCCAGUCAAGUACUGGGACAGGGAAUGGCUCUGUUCCUCAUAAUGAAUUGACGUCCGGUCCAGUACCCCAGUGUCCCUCCUUGGCUUCUCAUCACAGAGAUGAAAAUUGAAAUUAGGCCAAUUAGAUUAAAGGCAAGACGGAAUGGAAAUAUGGAACCGUUAAUUAUUAUACCCAUGACCCCUCUAAUUAAUGGCUCUUUGCCUUUCAAUAUUAUUGUAGGUAUUUGCAAGGAAACCUCCUCUAUCUUUCUUCCAAUUAAGACUUCUUGUGUCCAAUUACUGUCGAUUCUUUUUGAACGUGUAAAGGAUAGCAACUUGAAGACUUGAGAGGGCCGGCGUUUAUUCAAAGUCAAGUACAGGGACUGGGAAUGGCCCUGUUCCUGAAGUAUGAACUGACGUCCCGUCCGGUGUCCCCUUGCCUACUCAUUAUACAAACAAAAAUUGAAAUUAGGCCAUUUAGAUUAAAGAUAAGACGGAGUGGAAAUAUGGGAUCGUUAAUUAUUAUAGCUCUGACCCAUCUAAUUUGCAAAUGGUUCUUUCCCUUUCAAUAUUAUCGUACGUAUUUGCAAGGAACCCUCCUCUCUCUCUUCUUGCAAUCAAGACUUUUGCGUAUCCAAUUACUGUCAACUGUUUUUGAACGUGUAGAAGAAAACAACUUGAAGACUUGAGAGAGGGCCGCGUUAAUUCAAAGUCAAGACAAGCUUAUUCUUGCAGGAUUCUUGAUGAUGAGGGUAAAAAAGGGUUGACAGAUGCUGGUAUAACGUCUAUAAAACUUUAAUUAUUUCAUAAAAUUGUUUUAUUUUUUAUUCGCCAUCACGUUUGAGAUUCCCCCCCCCAUGGCCCAUUUUAUUUUCAUUUUUUUUUUUAUGUAGGUCAGUACUCAGUAGUGUUACUGGAGUCUGGAAAUCAACCAUUGCCUCUUUUUUCUUAUGGAGAAUUAAACAAAACUCACCAAUGACCUAAAAUAGGACAUGGCUACGGUACAGAGGCUGCAAGUAACAGCUUCGAACUUUCCCAUUUCCAUCACCUUGCAUUGGGACCUCUUUCUCUCUUCUCUAGCACCCGUGGAAGUUCUCCAUUGGCUGCUGUUACUUACAGAAGCCGUAACAUAGACUUGUCCCCUAAAAUAAAUAUAUAAUGAAUAUUUAUUAACAGAUUCUAGACAAAAUUAAUUUUUCAACCGAUUGAAGCUUCCAAAAACUCAAAUUUCGAAUUUUUAUAUAAAUAUAAUCUAUUUUAAGUAUCAUUAUUAAAUCCUCCUCUAUAGCACAUUAGCAAAUAUGCAACUUUUCUAGCUUAAAAUCUAGGUUCAAAUCUUGCCAGCAGAGUUGAUUUUCGUUAUUUUUUAAGUCAUAGUUAAUUUUGUUAUAUAAUUUCGAUCACAUAUAAUUUUGAAAAUAUUACGAGUAAUUGUGUAAUUCACUCAAACCUUAGAGACUAAAGGAACAUUUACUAAAGAUUAAAAAAAAAAAAUUUUUAAAGCUACAUUUUGUUUCAUCCAAAUGAAGCUACUCAAUCCAUAUUUUAUUCCGAUAAAACUAUGGCUUCGUUUCAUAUCUUAAUUAAAUUAUAUAAUGAUGAAAUAUUAUAUUCUGAACUUAACUGAAUCCAAUAUCGUUUCACCAAUUGGUCAUAUGAGAUGAAGGAAAAAAAUCUGUUGAAAUUAAUUUUAAAUUAAAGUUGAAGAAUGGCGAUAUGAUACAUACACAUACAUGACUCUAAUUUUAUUAAAUUGAAGACGUACUCAUCGUCUUGACGAUGUGACCAAAUACUGGAACGUGAGAAGGGUCUUUGGACUUUGGAGAAGACUUGAGAGGGCCCGGAGUAAUUAAAAGUCAAGAUUGGCAUGCCGAAAUUAAUCUCUGGCUUUAACUUGCAGCACUUUCGUGUCGGUGAGAGUUUUAUGAGGAGCUAAUAUAUGCACUUUCUGAACUAAAGAAAACUGAUUUUAAGCGGCGAAUGGCUGUGCAUCUUUGUCUGGUGUUGUUGCAGAUUAUUGUUUUGCACCUAAGGCCGAUCAAAGCAUCAAAAAGACUCCCCUGUCCAACUGAAUGUGGAAAUGUCAGCAUCAGCUACCCCUUCGGAAUCGGAAAAGGGUGCCACUUUGACAAGGGUUACGAAGUUAUCUGCGAUCACUCUUCUGGCUCUCCCAAAGCUUUUCUUCCUGGCGUCAACAGGCUAGAAUUAUUGGAUAUUCUCCCUUAUCCAAAUCCCGCGGCGGUUAGAGUCAACGUUCCUACAAUUUCUUUAAACAGCAGUAGUAAGCGAACAAGCAAUAUUGCUAAAGGCGUCAACUUAUCAGGUACCCCUUUCGCCUUUUCGACUGACAAUAAAUUCGCUGCGGUAGGCUGCAGCAUGAGAUAUCACCAAGGGAACGGUUCAUCUGUGUUUGUUGGGUGUCUGUCGAUUUGUACUUGUGAUCCCACUCUCUACCCUGCUUGCUAUGAUUUCCUAUGCCCCCUUGGUCCAAAUAUUACUCAUCUGUUCAAUGUAAAUACAUCAUACUUGUUUUCUCCAAGUAUUCCUCAGAAAUGUCAGUCUGUUUUCCUGGUUGAUGAAGAUUGGGUCAACAGCAAGUACCUUGGAGAUCCUCAUGAUUUGAAAGAUCAACAAGAAUUUCCUGCAGCGUUGAAGUGGGGAGAAAAGAUAGGCAGUUGUUUUGAAGAGAAUAACUCAUAUUCUAUUUCUUGUAAUUCGGAUAACACAAGUUGUUUAAAACAAUUAAGCCCAGGCCAUUUAUGUCUUUGCUCUUCCACCUACUACCUACUGAAAGGAUACUGCGCAGGUACAUAUUGGAUUAUGAGUUAAAGAGUAAUUUUAUUUUUUUCAAAGAAAAUAUCCGAACGAGAAGAAGAAAAGGGAAAAUUCUUGGUGCUCCACGAGCGUUAUGAAAUUAUUGAUUUCAUAAGUGUGAAUGAGAAACAGAAAAUGCUAUUGGAGCACCCUAGACUUUACUAGCAAGAGUUAAAUGUCAAAUGAUGUAACAUUCCUCUAUUGGAUGGUAAGAUGAUCAGAAAAGAGUUGUAAAAUUUAUCAUCAAAUAGAUGAUUGAAAUUAUUGAUUUUUAAAAUAUCCACCGGAUUACUUGUAAAUGAGUAAAGUUUUCCAAUUACUGUAACUAUCUAUGUAAACAGAGAAUCAGAGACUAAAAAUGGUGGAGUUUUAUUUAGUUGUAGCCAUGAUUUAGUUUGAUCUUCUCUUUGAUUUAUUUUUUUAUUUAUUAUUUCCUGGGCAGGCGACUUGAUCUGUAAUAUCUCAAGCGGCUACAAUUGCUCCAACUGUCCUGACGGUUAUAAUCGUCUCUCAUAUGGUUGCGAUAAAGUUUCAACAAAUCUCGGGUUAAAUUCAUUAUUAUAGGUAUGCAUGUCGAUCCGUUAAUUUACAUCAUAACAAAUUAAUAAUGUUUUUUAACAUAUAUUUCAAAUGAAAAUACUAAGUGUUCAUACGUUCAUUUGAUGAUAUCUUUCAUUAUUGUCCUCGAGAGCCGCAGGCUGCGGUGGUGGGCUUGCGUUAUUCUUUCUGCUCAUUGGAAUAUGGUGGUUGUACAAGUUUGUAAAAAGAAGAAGGGAAAUCAAGCUCAAGCAUAAGUUCUUUAAAAAAAAUGGUGGUUUAUUAUUGCAACAAGAAUUGUCUUCCAAUGAAGGUAAUAUUGAGAAAAUGAAGUUAUUUACUUCAAAAGAUUUGGAGACGGCCACCGACAACUACAACGCCAAUCGGAUCCUUGGUCAAGGAGGCCAAGGUAUUGUAUACAAAGGAAUGUUAGCAGAUGGAGAAAUUGUGGCUAUUAAAAAAUCCAAAAUAUUGGAUGAGAAUAAUCUCGAGCAAUUCAUCAAUGAGGUAGUAAUUUUGUCUCAAAUAAACCACAGAAAUGUUGUUAAGUUGUUGGGAUGUUGCUUGGAGACAGAAGUUCCUCUUUUGGUGUAUGAAUUUAUUCUAAAUGGAAGCCUCGAUCAAUACAUACACUACGAAUCAGAAGAGUUUCCAAUCACAUGGGAAAUGCGUUUACGCAUUGCUGUUGAAGUUUCAGGUGCUCUAUCUUAUCUGCAUUCAGCUGCAUCUAUUCCUAUUUAUCAUCGAGACAUCAAAUCUGCAAACAUACUUUUGGACGAUAAAUAUCGAGCUAAAGUUUCAGAUUUUGGGGCUUCUAGAUCUAUCACAGUUGAUCAAACUCACUUGACCACUCAAGUACAAGGAAGUUUUGGAUAUCUAGAUCCAGAAUACUUUCGAUCAAGUCAUUUUACUGACAAAAGUGAUGUUUACAGUUUCGGAGUAGUUCUUGUUGAGCUUCUAACUGGACAAAAACCUAUCCGUUCAACUGUAGCUGAAGAAGAUAAAAGUUUAGCAAGAUAUUUUAUCCUAGCAAUGAAAGAGAACCGUCUGUUUGAAGUCCUUGAUGAUCGAGUUCUUAAGGAAGCUGAGAAAGAAGAAAUUAUUACUGUUGCUACACUCACCAAAAGAUGCUUGAACUUGAAUGGGAAGAAAAGACCUACGAUGAAAGAAGUGGCAUUUGAAUUACGGGGUAUAAGAGAAUCAGUUGGAGCUUCUAUUUUGCAGCAAAAUUGUGAAGAGACUGAUUUUGUGGAUGGUGACAUUACCGGACAUGAUUUCGAAAGGGAUUCAUCUUCCAGUGGUUCAACUUUAAAUAGUGUCUCAGUUUCUGUGGAUGCCGACCCUUUAAUUUCAAACGAAUGGUGACAAACAGAAGAAUGGCCUUGAAACUGUUUCGUAUUUCAUAAAUAAGAUUUUUAGGCUUUUCCGAUACUAUCAUUCUUGUAUCCUUACAGUUUCUUUGGGCACCAUCAUUUGUAAUUAAACACUUCCAAGUCAUUUCAAACAAAAUUUCCACUAUUUCAUUGCAUGCGCUGCAUCUUUCUCUUUUUUUUUGGGGGGGGGGGGGGAUGGAGGAGAUGAAGGAAAAAUCUGUUGAAAUUAAUUUCGUAGUUGAAGUUUAUAAAUGCACGAUGAUAUGAUCUCAGUCUAUUAAAUACUGAUGUGCAAGAACUUUAGCACUAUGUGACCUUCUCAGAGUCUAUUAAAUACUGAUGUGCAAGAACUUUAGCACUAUGUGACCUAAUAUCUCUAGUAAACAGGAGAGAACAACUUGAGCACUUAAAGAGGGCCAACGUUAAAUAAACUCCAGAGUGGCAUGUCGGAAUUGUUGGCUUAUUGUGAUGCAGGACUUUCCCGGUAGCGAAAUAAAGUCGAAAGGAAGAUGGGAGGAAAUAAAGAUCAAUGCGCCUUCUUGUAUUUCAUGGGUUAAAAAUCUUUUUAUCUGAUUACAAACUGAUAGAUAAAAUACCCUUGUAUCAUUUGUGAGUGAAUCUCUUAGGUCAAAAAUAUAAAGUUAGAACAAUCCUCAACUCUUUAGUUAGAUUUUGAGUAUGGCUUAAACCCAUGAACUUUUAUAUUUUAUUAGAGAUAAACUCACCCACGAUUAUGCCCGCACUACCUCCCACAGUACCUUACCACUAGACGCCCUUCACAUGGAGGCUUGGGUACCACUCGAAAAGUCAUUUGAAAGAAAAGUCUGUUUAAAAUUACGUUCCAAUUCUGUACUCUCAACUCUCCCAAGUUAUAAAUUGAUAUUCACUCAUGUUAUAAAAGAGUAAUGCUAGAGGAUCCCAUAUUGGGUACCAAUGGAUGUGGCAUUCAUUCAGUGGAUAGUAAAAUAUUUAUGUUAUCAGUUAUUAUUCAUAGAUAAACGAUAUAUAAUAGUUGGGACUCAAAUCGGGACUUAAUUGGUGGGUCACAAUCAUUAUUGGUUAAAAAAAAUAUACAGAGAUAACUAGCGUAAGAGGUAAAUCAAAAACUCUUUCUCUCUCUCUGCUAAGACCCUUUCUGCCACCAGCUAAAAUUCACUAGUUUUGAUCAAUCAACGUGCCUGAAUUACACGGCCACCACAUUUUCGAACCUCUAAACUUUCAAAUCUAUUUUUCAACUCUGUUUUUCCAACCACUGCAGCCUCGAACCAACCGAAACUCCCUGCUGCUACCUCUAGUUACCACGUCGCCAAUUGCCCAUCACACAGCAAAAAAUUAUACUAAAGGAGUUUCAGUCGGGGGAGAGAACCAGUAGGUCUAUCCUUUUUUCUUAUUUUCUAUUUUUCUUCUAUAUUUCUUUUAUUUUUAUUUUUGUCUCUGCUUCUGUUAUUGUGCUUGUUUUUAUGUUUUUAUGUUUUCUAAGAUUUUAUACUGCUCCUAAGGUGGUUCUGGUGGUCUCUACAUAGAUGGUGUUGUUUCAAUGUCCAAAUCGAGAUUGUGUCAGUGUUCGGAUUGGAACGGUAUGCCUAUAUCGAAGCUGUUGAGGACUUUAAUAGUGGUACAUCAAGGUUCUAAUAACCUAAGGGGAGGUUCUGAUGGCCUAGGUCAAGGGCUCAUUGAGAGGCUUUCUAGUGAACCGUAAGGUUGGUUUUUUUUUGGUUGCAUUUUGUGGUUUUUUUUAUUGUUAUUUGUUUGCAUUCUGUUGUUACAAUUGUAUUUUCUUGUGCUCUGUUGUAUUAUCAAACACGAGGGGGAUUUCAGCUAUAGUAGCUAAGAUUGGUUCCUCUAGUUUUUCUUUGGAUUUUAAUUUGAGCUUAUUGUUAUCUUAUGUAUUGUACUUAAGCCUGUUAUUAUUAUUACAGGUCCGUCAUACUUCCUUUAAAAUAAAAAGAAAAAAAGAAUAUAUACGGAGGAGAACAACUUGUAGACUUGAGAGGGCCAUGGUUAAUUAAAAGUCAAGUUGACUUGCACGACUUUCUUGGUAUUGGGAUAAAAGCUAAAAGGAAGCUAGAAGGAAUUUAAUUAAAGAUCAACGCAUGCAAUUGCUCUGUUAAAUCUUCAUUUUUCCGAGUAAAAAUAUUGAGAAUGGUUGUUCAUCAUUAUCUGGCGUUGUUGCAAUUGAUGUUUUUGCUAUUAUGGCCAAACAAAGCUUCGAAAGAUUUAUGUCAAUAUGAUUGUGGGAAUGUCACUAUCGAUUACCCCUUCGGAAUCGGAGACGGUUGCUACUUUGAUAAGAGUUUUGAAGUAUUCUGCGAUUACUCCUCUGGCUCCCCAAAAGCUUUUCUUGCGGGCAUCAACAACCUGCAAGUAUUGGACGGUUAUGUUUAUGAUUCAUAUACUUCUUUUGAUGUAUACAUGAUGAGGGUAUACAUUCCUGUAAUUUCUUUGAACAGCAGUAACCUGACAAGCAAUGAUAAAGGGGUCAGUCUAUCAGGUAGCCCUUUUACAUUUUCCCGGUCGCGCAAUAGAUUCACUGCCAUAGGUUGCAACAACUAUUCAACGAUUAUUAAGCGACAGAAUGAUUCAUCCGUUUUUGGUGGGUGCCUUUCGAUUAGCACUUGUGAUCCUGCUCUUAACCCCAGUUGCUACGAUUUCCUAUGCACCCUUCCUCAAAACAUUACUCAGGUUUUCAAUGCAGAAAUAUCUAAUUUUUAUUCUAAAAGUAUUCCUCAGAAAUGCCACUCUGUUUCCAUGGUUGAAGAAGAUUGGAUCAACUCAAAGUACCUGAAGAAUCCUCACGAUUUGAAAGAUCACGGACAAGUUCCUGCAGUGUUGGAGUGGGCUGAGUAUAGAGGAGAUUGUUAUGAAGAAUAUAAUUCGAAAACUACUUGUAACAAGGACAAUAGAUGUUUAAUACAAUUAAGCUCAGGCUACCUUUGCCUUUGCUUUAGGGAAACAAGGUUUGACCGACACCACCAUGGAUAUUGCUCAGGUACAAUUUCGAAUACUAAUUAAAUUAAUUUCAUAUAUGAAGUGUGUACUGCAUUUCCUUGAACCAACUACGUAUCUAACACAAAAUUAGUGAAAGUAAUUGCAGAAUUCGCAUAUGUAAAAAGGGCAAGAUAUAUAUAUAUAUAUAGCCGUAAUUUAUUUUGAUAUUCUAUUUCAUCUUUUGGGUUUGUUCAGGUUACUUGCUCUGUAAUAUCACAAGCCCCUACAAUUGCUCAUCAGGAUGUCCCAAAGGUUACAACUCUUCAAAUCCCCCCUUCAGUGACUGCCGAAAUGAACUUCUUCCAAUUUUGCACAAAAAUUCUCAUGUCAAAUUCAUUAUUAUAGGUAUGUUUUGGAAUUGCAGAUUUCGUCGACAGAAUUAACUGUUCUUUUUUUUUGUUAAUUUCAGUAUAUAUAGGCUAACAAACGCAAAAACUUCUGCACCUGAAAUUUGCAAUAGCUUAUACAUUUAUGAUCUCCUAUUCUAAACAGUUCCUUGCCAUAAAUCCCCUCGAACGCGUAUUAAAUAUUCUUGUCCUGGAGCGUUGCAGGUUGCACUAGUGGGCUUGGAAUGUUGUUCCUACUAAUCGGAACAUGGUGGUUGUACAAGUUCAUUAAAAGAAGAAGAGAAAUCAAGCUUAAGCAGAAGUUCUUUAAAAGAAACGGUGGUUUAUUGUUGCAACAACAAUCGUCAUCAAAUGAAGGUAAUACCGAGAAAAAAAAAUUGUUUACUUCAAUGGAAUUGGAAAUGGCUACUGACAACUUCAAUACCAAUCGAAUCCUUGGUCAAGGAGGCCAAGGCACAGUGUACAAAGGAAUGUUGACAGAUGGAAGAAUUGCGGCUGUGAAAAAGUCGAAAUUAGUGGAUGAGAGUAAUAUUGAGCAAUUCAUCAAUGAGGUGGUAAUUUUAACUCAAAUUAACCACAGAAAUGUUGUUAAAUUGCUCGGAUGUUGCUUGGAGACAGAGGUUCCUCUUUUGGUGUAUGAAUUUAUUCCAAAUGGAACUCUCUAUCAAUAUAUACAUGAAAUUGAGGAGUUCUCAAUCACAUGGGAAAUGCGUUUACUCAUUGCCAUAGAAGUUUCAAGUGCUCUAUCCUAUUUGCAUUCAACUACUUCUAUUCCAAUUUAUCAUCGAGACAUCAAGUCUGCAAAUAUACUAUUGGAUGAUAAAUUUCGAGCAAAAGUUUCAGAUUUUGGGACUUCUAGAUCUGUCACGAUUGAUCAAACUCACUUGACCACACGAGUACUAGGAACUUUUGGAUAUCUAGAUCCAGAGUACUUUCGGUCAAGUCAAUUUACAGAGAAAAGUGAUGUUUAUAGUUUUGGAGUUGUCCUUGUUGAGCUUUUAACUGGACAAAAACCUAUUCGUUCAACCGACGCUGAAGAAGAUAAAAGUUUAGCAGGGUAUUUUCUCCUAGCAAUGAAAGAGAACCGUUUGUUUGAUGUGCUUGAUGCUCAAGUUCUGAGGGAAGCCAAGGAAGAAGAGAUUAUUACCGUUGGCAUGCUUGCAAAAAGAUGCUUGAAUUUGAAUGGGAGGAAGAGACCUACUAUGAAAGAAGUCGCAUUUGAAUUAGGGGCGAUUAGAGCUCAAAAGUGUGAAGACAUUGAUCUUGUGGGUGGAAAUUUUGAAACUGGUUCAUCUUCAACUGGAGCAAUUUUAAAUGCUGUUGCUUUUUCUGUAGAUGCUAGCCCUUUGCUUUCAAACAAGUGGUGAUUAAAGGGAAGAAUUUUCCCUUGAAAUCUAAAGAAUUUUCUUUUGAAAUCCAAGUAUUUCAUUUCAUAUAUAAAUAAAUUAAGUUGUGGAUUUUUGCAUUAUGCUUCUCUUAUGGCUAAAAUUUUUCAUCUCUAGAAUAAAAUAUACAGAGUUUGAUGUUCAGUUUGUAAGCGGAGAAAUAAAUUUAUAAGGUAGAUUCCAACAAAGCAUCUGUGGCAAACAUAUUUAAAUAUCUAAGAAGCAAGCUUCUAAUGCUACCAAUAUUUAGUGCACUAGAACUUUGAAGCUGACAGAGUGAGGCAUCUCGGCAUCUGAAUCUGCAUACAAGUGGAACAGGAGAUGCUGACAUGAUAUCCUACGUGGAGCUUAUGUGACACAUAUAAUGAGUCCAGUUCGUUCCUAAUUCACACGCUUACAUUGUAGCCCCGUUCUUUGUGUUUCGAGUACCAUUGGUGAACCAUCACUUGGUGCCAUUGUAUUGCUAAUAGCACCUUUGCCUUGAUUGAUUUUGCUGACAAUAUAUAGGGUGUGUUUGGGAGUAAAGUCCUACAACUUUUAUGUUGCGUUUACUUUCCGGACUUGGGAAUCAAAAUUAUUAACAGUGUUUUUUUCCCAAAAUAAAUUCAAGAAUAAGAAUCGGAAUCAUGGAGCACACCACAAUUUUAGAAUGAGGAAUGGGAGACUCAUUCCUAAGAGGGACGUGGGAAUGAGUCUCCCAUUUUCAGGAUUGACUAUUUUACCUUCCUCAAAUUUUUGUCCUCAGUUAUAAUUAAUUAAUGUAUUAUUAUUAAUUAAUUAAUAUACUACUAUAAUAAUUAUUAUAAUUAGUUCAAAUAUUAUUAAUUAAUUAAUUAUAAUUGUUACUAUUAAUUAAUAUAUUAAUAUAUUAUAAACCAUAAUUAUUAAUAAUUUUAAUUUUUGAUAAAUAAUCACAAUAAUUAAUAUACUUUUAUUAUAACUAAUUAAUUAGUAUACUAUGAUAAUAAUUACUAAUAUACUUAUUAUAAUUAAUUCAUAUAUAUUAUUAAUUAAUUUAUAUAAUUAUUACUAUUAAUUAAUAUAUUAGUAUAUUAUUAACAAUGAUAUAUUAAUAAUUAUAGUUUUGGAUAAAUAAUCACAACAAUUAAUAUAUUUUUAUAAUAAUAAUAAUAAUUAUUAGUUAAAAAUUUGUACAAUUAAUUAAUAUAUUAAUAUAUUCUUGUCAAUACUAAUUAAUAAUAAUACUUUUUGAAUAAAUAAUCACUAUAAUUAAAAUAUAAAAUAAUAAUUGUGACAAUAAUUCAUUAAGUGCUUUUUAGUAAUUUUUUACAAUAUAACUCAUUCUGAUUCUGAUUACAAGAUAAAAUAAAUACAUCAAUAAGAUUCUAACCCAUUUCUAUUCUGAUUCAUGUAGAUCAAGUAAACAACUUAUUCUGAUUCCUAUUCCUCAUUCUCAUUCCAGCUCAUAAUGAUUUCAACUCAUUCUGAUUACAGUCCAUUUCGAUUACUAACAAGUAAACACAACAUUAAGAUGCAGCUGUUGUGGAGCAAAAAUCAUAGUUGUGGGAUAGAAGCUGCUGGGGUUUAGCAAAUUUUAAUAGUUGUAGAGUCAAAAUUGAUGGUAUUUGGUAAAUUUUAAUUGUUGUAUAGUGAAAGUUGAUGAAUAUUUGUAAUAAUUAAUUUUAAAUAACAUUAUUUUUAAUUAGUAAUUAGUCAAAUUAUUUUUCAUAUUUUGAAUUAUCAUAUUAACAUAUGAUUAUUGUUUAUUACUUUGACAAAUCAAAUUAAUAUUUAAUUAAUCGAAGUUAUUUUUCUUCACAAGUUGUAAUAAAUAUUUUUUAAAACAAAAUAAUUUAAAAUUGAAAGUACAUAAAUUCUAAUUUUACUCAUUGAUUGAAGAAAUAAAUUAUACCAAAUAUGUCUAAUAAAGAUUGUACAACAUAACAUUAUAAAAUUAAAAUGUAACUAAUUACAAAAUUCUUAUAAAUAUUUACAUUGUCAUGCCUCCAUUAAACUUGCAGCAAUGCCAUCUCCCAAGAUUAUCAUAUUUUGAGCUAUGUUAUUAGUUGUAUCAUAACUUUCUUUAGGAGACGCAAUCCUGCUUAUAUGUUCGCUAUUACUAUGACUUGGUUCAUCCAUUGUUUCAUCAAAAUGAUCAUGAUUUUAUGAAUGUCUUCUUAUGUAAUUAUGUAAGGCCAUGGUAGUAAUAACUCUCUCCACCUGCUUCUUGAAUGUGUAGCUUGGCAUAUUUCGUAAAAUCUUCCAUGUGUUCUUUCAAACCCUAAAAGUACUCAUUAGAGUUAGCAUUACUCUCAACACUAAGAUAUUCAAAUGCUUCAUUACUCUCUAAAGGAAAACCAGAUGAGGGAAGCCAAACAUGCUCACUCAUAGCCACUGUGUUUGAACAUUAAAUUUAGGUUUUUUUUCUAACUCUAGAUCAAUACCAUUUUUUUUCGAAAUCUACUCAUUUGCAAAUUUUCCUUUAUUUUCUUUUUCCACCAAUCUUCACUUGCAUCAACUAUCCAUAACCUAUGAUUCCACCUUAGACCAAUUUCCAAGCUAAUCAAAUUCUUUCACAAUUUCCAAUCAGUUCUAAGAGAAUCCCAUUUGUUUUUCUUUUGAGUUCUAUUGUAAUCCGAUCCAGUUUCUUUAGUGGAUUCCUUAAUUAAAUUUUCAUAUGCUUCGGAAGUCACAUGAGUCCUAGGACGAUGUUCGGAUCCACCACCUUAAUACAUAACUCACAAAAUACAUAUGAAGUCUGAGGGUUCCAAAUAGCCUUACUAGUUGAGUUACUAGACAUAAUUGCGUACACUUAAACCUAGAAAAUAGAGUAAUAUUUCUUCAUCAAACAGCAAUAUAGGAAAGAGAUUAAUUAAGAGCAAUACCCAAUUUUCUUUUUAAAACAAAUAACAUUAAUUAAGGAUGAAUUAUGUCUAGCAGCAAGGAUGAAUUAUGUCUAACAUUACAUAACUUGUUUCAAAAUGAGUUGUUAGUUUAAUAAACUUGCGGGUUCCUCUAAUUACAUAACCUGUUUCGAAGAAAUUAAAAUAAUUUUUCUCAAUAGUUUAAAUUUUCUUUAGUUACCUUUAAGUGAAUCCUUUCAAAUUUGUGUGAAGCUGAAAUGAUUUGUUCAAAAACAUGUAUUGUUGGAAUCUAUAGGAAUUGAUUACUUGUUUGUUCACUACUAGAAAAAUGGGCUUUACUGACACUAAAUUAGUGUCAGUAAUUACUUUUCCUGACACUUGUUAAUUGUGUCAGUAAUGCUCCAGCCAGAACACACUGACACUAAUUUUUAGUGUCAGCGAUUUUUGUGUCAGUAAUUCAUGUCAUUAUGGUAUCACUAAAAUAAUGACACGAUAGCAUUAGUAUUUAAUGAUACUAUUUAGAUGUCAGUAAUUUAUGAGACUACAGUAUCAAGAGCACACUGACUCAAUAACAUCAAAAAUUAUUACUGUCAUUUUAAACAUUUAGUGUCAGUAUUUAGUGAUGUUAUGAUUCUUUUGGUUAAUAGUAUACUUUGAUUUUAAUUAUAUUUUCCUAUUUGUUUUACAACUGAAAGAAAACUCAAAAUAUAUUAAAUAUACAAAAUCUCGCAACACAAUUGCAUAAGAAACAUCUCAAAUACAUCACUUAAAUUCAUAUAAUUCAACUACAUCAUUGUUUGGAAAAGAAAAAUAUAAGUACUAAAUUAAGUCUUGGACAAGCUCUUAACAACCAAGUACUAAGUUAAGAUUCAACAAAUAUUAACCAACAGAAAGAAGCACAUAAUGUCAUUGAACAUCCACAAGCAGCUUCAUUGUUCUUUUCCCACCUACAAGUACAUAAAAUCAAUUAGUAUACCACAAAAAAUAAUUCUUGGAUUUUUGGGAGAAAAAACAAUCAGGCCAAUUUCAGUGUUCAAAGAGACUAACAAAGAAUGGGGCAAAAACAAUACAUAGCUCUCUUAGUGCAAGCUAAUUGUAAUAGGUAGUAUUGUGAAGAAUAUUUAUCUGCUAAGAAUUGAAUUUGAGUGGAUUUUCCUACAGAUCUAUACACAACUCAACUUAAGUAGAAUACAAAAAUAAAAAAUAAAAAAUCCUAAGGAUUAAGAAAGAUAAAUGGAGAUUUAUUAGUAUACAUCCAAAAUUAAAAACUCAUUAAACAAUCCAGGGGUAAAAAUUGAGGAAUAAGAAUAUAGCGUAUCUCAGGAUAAGACCAAAGACAUAAUAACAGAAACAUUUGAGGCAAACCACUACAAAGUUUUUACAUAAUAACCCAAAGCAAAGCAAACCAUUAUAAAAUUUUUACAUAAUAACCUAGAAACAAAACAGACGAAAAUUGGGCAAGUCCAUAUCCCAAACCUCUGUUAGGAAAAAUGUGUUCAGCAGACUCAUGGCUCCAACAAUAGAAAUUAACCCGCACACAAUGAAACAAAUUAAUUGAUAUAAAAAACAGUCAAAGACAAAGCCAACUAAGAAGAUUAACUAAUUUGGAGAUUGAAUUACAUAGUUAUUUUUACAAAAAUAUAGCAUAAGCCCAUUGUAUUUCAUAGUAAGCAACUGCAAAAAUGCCUAGAGGUAAAUUCAUAAAGAAACAGUAGAUAGAAGAAAAAAAAGACGAGGAAAUAAACAGCAUGAAACAAACAAAUCACCUAACACAUCAUGGGAAUUGACUUGUUAACGUUAAAGAGCAAAAUAAAACUUGGCACCUUCAUCCAAACAAGAACAGACGCUUACCCCUUACAGAGAAUGGCUUAGGUUUUUCGUUGGAGUUUGAGGCUGAUUUAUAAGAAUAUGAAGAAGAAAUGAUUGUUGAAGUUUGAUAGUGAUCAAGGAUUGAGUAUUGGGCUUAAAAUACAAAUUGGCAGUGAGGGCUAGUUUUCGAUCAUAAUGUUGAGAGACCACUAAUCCCCAAUACUUGUACCGUCUCACAUAAAAAUCCACAUUUAAUAAACAUGAACUAAAUCCAGUGUAUUGAGUGUUAUUAUUUAAUGGAACAUAAAAUCUCUGGGUCAAAUAAUUCUAAAGUUAAACCAACAAUAAUCCCAAAAGCUAAAGUUGAUAAGAAAGGCCCAACAGUAUACUUCUAUCACACAAAAUUUGAAGAUAGAAAAAAGAAGGGCCUUUUUUUUUUUAACUGAAACUGAAAAAAGAUUCAGUAUUAACAAUUCAAUAAUUUUAACAUUGAAAACUUGGUGUUUAUAUAUCCGAAUAUAAUUAAGCCAAAAAUUUUAAUUUAUCACUAAAUAGGAAAACAACUAAAUAAGCUGCAUAGUUUUAUUUUCCAAUAAAUGCUUAUAAUAUUUAUACCUAUCCUUCAUUAUUUAUUUAUUUUUUAUAGGAAACAGAGAAAUUAGUAUUAAUAUGAACAAUAAUUACAAAAUGUCAAAAAGGAGUCCACAAAAAAAGGCUAUUGAAGUAUCACACACCAAGAGAAGAAUAAAUAGAAAAAUAGAAAACACUGAGGCAUUCAAACCCUCAACAAUAAACUCAACAUAUCAACUUUAAACAAAUAGAUUCUUGGCUGUUCUUAGUGACAUUAAGAAACAAAUCAAAAGAAGGAAACUCCCCAGAAGAAUUAUAAUAAGUGAGAAGACAUAUUGUAAUUCUAUCAUCAAAGAAAGAUAAGCUUAAUCAUUUUUAAUUUUUUCUCAAAUAUCCAGUAGUACCUUAAGGUAAUAGGACAAGAUCGCUGAAGUUGUCAUGAAGAGUGUAAAGCACUAAAUAACAAAAAUUAUGCUAAUAAAUAAAACUCAAUUUAUUUUCUCCCUCAAUCAAUUGCUUUGAGCUUACUAUGAAUUCAACUAUGAAUUUGAGGAAAAAAUAUAGACCGCAGUUUGCCAACUUCUUGUUCAUGAGAUUCAGCCGCAGUAAAUGCAAACCUCCAUUUCUCGUCAAGCAUUGUUAACCUCUACGACAAAUUGAAGGUAAGAAGAUGAACAAAAUAAGUGUAAUGUGCAGGAAAAAAAUGAAGUCUAUGGGUACAACAACACUUCAAGAUUUUUCAAGUUCUAGUUCAUUUAAAUAGACAUUCCUUGAACUUCAGCAGCAAAGAAAGUACAUUAUAGCAACAAUUUCAAUUCAUUCCAAUCUUUAGAAUUUUUUAUUUUAAAAAAAUAAAUUCCUUCAAACUAGUGAAAGGAAAAUAAAAGUGUGUUUACAGAAGAAAAAUUAUGGAAUGAAUUAAUGACCAUGCAAGUGAGGAAACACAUAAAUUUCUGAAUAAGAGCGAAACUAACCGUGCAAAUGAACAAAGAAAAUGUAAGUCUUCAAGUGCUACAACAAGCAAAACUACCUAAAAACAAGCAUUUUCUUCUUGAAUUAAAGACAAAUCAUGAACUUUGUGCAAUCUCAAAACAUUCAGACAAGCAUGAACUUAGUUAAUUCAUAUCAUAGUCAUUGUCUCUAUUAAAAAUCUUCCAACUGAAAAAAAUAAAAAAAUAAACAUGUUGGUUUCUAUAACAUAAUUUCCUAUCUUUACAUGAAACAGAGCAAUAAAUAACACGUAAUAAUUAUGAAAUACACAGCCAUUCAAUCUAUAUAAUAUAGAAAUAUAGGAAAAAAAGAAAAAAAAAUUCAAAUUACAAUUAAAUAAACAAAAAAUAGAUAUGGAAAAGAAAUCCCACCAAGACUGCACUACUGGGAGAAUUUCUCAACAUCUGCAACAACCCAAAAAAUUAAAUUAACAAAAAACCCCAAUAAUCAUAAGCUAAAAUAAAACAAAUCUAUUAAUUAAUUUGACAAAGAAAAUAAAAUAUUAAGCCAUUACUAGCAGUUAAGCCUUAAUCAAGGCAACAUGUUUGCCCUUAAAGUCAUUGAAAAUCUCCUUCACAGGUCUACGUAUAAGGUGUGGUAUCCCUUCCAUAGCAAGAAAAUUAACUAAUUUCUCAAUAAUUUUAUUCAAAUUCAAGAAAAUGGGUUUUGAAUAUUGAACAAAAAAAAGAGAAAUUUGACCAUAAAAAGAAAAAAAAUUGAUGAAAGAAGCCUCGAUUACGGUUUUGGUCCGUUUUUCAAUUUGGGAAAAAAAAAGGAAAAAGGGAAUAAAAGCCUCACUUAGGGUUUUAGCUUUAUAUUAUCUAUUUGAGUUAAAUGAACGAAUUUGUGAAUGGACAGAAAAAAAAGGAAAGAGAUCGAGAAGAGAAAAAGGAAAGAGAAAGAGAAAGAGAAAGGCAAGAGACAGUUUUGGGUUUGAGUUUGGGUUAGAGAUUUGUGUGUAUAAAAGACAACGAGACGGGGACAAUUGCUAAGUUUGGGAUAUGUUUUACUUUCGUUUUACAUGUUUUAAAUUCUUAAUUUAGUACCUGCAGUGUCGAACCACUUGAACGGAAGUGACAGUGGCAACGGCGUGGGGGUGGGUGCAGCCGUGGGGGUUGGGCGCGGCCGUGGACGUGGGCGUUUGGGCCUUGUCAUUCGGCAUCUUUCACGAUAGAGAAGAAGAAGUCAAGAAAGGCAAGGAUAUUAUGCAGCAGCUGCAGCAUGGGCUCUAUUGCACAAUGGAAAAGGGGAAUUAGGGUUUGGUUUUUUAUAUGUUAAUAUUUUAUAUAACAUUGUAAUUCUAACUCAAUUUUAUGGGGUCCAGUGGUUUGCAAUCUAAACGUAAAAGUUUUGAGUUUUAGAAGUCGCAGGUUCGAGUUAAAAUCAAAACACAUUUUAAUGAUUUUUUUUAGAUCUCUGAUGCUGAAGUAUCAGUAAUCUCUAAUAUUUAAUUUACUGAUACAUUAGUAUUAAUAAUUUGUGACAUUUAUUUGUUAAAAGCAGAAAAUGGUGCAUAGUUAGGUAAUUACUGACAUUUUUUUCAAAGUGUCAGAAACAAAGUGUCAGUAAAAGUCAUUUUUGUAGUAGUGUCGUUGCUGCCUUUAAUGAUUUUUAUUAGGGAAAUUUCAUCAGAUAGGGAUUGUGCAUGUCUAUAAAACCAACUAAAAAAAUUAAAAAUGCAAUAAAGAUAGUGACUUCAAAGCAAAUAAAUCACACGUGACCAAUCACCUAUUAAUUUAUUCCAAGCAAAAGGCCCAGCACAUUCUGAACAAAAGGGAAGAAAAUGAAAAAUUACAUGUAACAAAGUAAAGGAAAACGCACCUUUCUUAGAUAUUUUGAAAACAAAGAUAGAAGAACAGAGGUGUAUGAAUAUGAUUGGUGUCAAAAUCGCGUCGAUGAGAAUAGCCGCUUUUGGAAUUGCAUCGAUGAGAACUGUCGAUGUUGGAAUCAUGCUAAUAAGAUCGGUGUUUAGAGUUUGUUUUAUGGAAAAAUCGAUUUGAGAUUAAGUUUAAAAAUGAGGUGGGUAAAAUUGAAAUUAAAUAAUAUGUAAGGAUAAUUUAGUAAUUUAAUACACAACUGAGAAAAAUUUCUGUUGAACUGCCAAAGCCCAACUACAAAGUGUUACUACUAAAAAUGAGGGGAUGAUAUAUGGAAAAAAAGAAGCUUCAUUUUAAAUUAAUGAACAAAAACAAUUUAAAGAUUUAAGAGAUCUGAUUUGUCGUUUCAUUUCACUAAAAUGUGGAUAGAUAAAAUUAGUUAUUGGGUGUGUCUUAUCCUAAAAUUAAUCUUUCACGAAGUCCUUAGAAACAAGAAAAUACUAUUACAUAGCUCGGAAAGUGUUAAUAGUUAUAGAAUUAGGCGUCUCUUACACAUAUGUCUUCCCAUGUAUAAAAGCGUUCGUAUGAAGUUAUGAAAUGGUGGAUUAUUAUACUAAACAAACGGCUCUUUCCCUUUCAAAAUUAUUGUACGUAUUUUGCAAGGAAACCUCCUCUACUUUGUUUCUUCCAAUUAAUGUCCGGUUAAGACUUCCGUGUGUCCAAUUAAUGCCAAUCGUUUUCGAAUGUGUACAGGAUAACAACUUGAAGACUUGAGAGGGCCAGCGUUAAUUCAAAGUCAAGACUCAAGACUAGGUUGUUACCCUGCAGGAUUCUUGAUAGUGAGGUGAAAAAACAAAAAGUUGAAGGAGAUUAGGAUUUAAUGCUGAGUUUAGUUUUUAUUGACCACUAAGUUAAUGAUUAUAAUUUAUUUUGUACUUUUUCUUUUAUUUAUCUUAGUUAAUAAUUAUUUAUUGAGAUUCUUGUCCAAUUGAAAGAUACUAGAGAAAAGGGUUUUAAAACUUUAGUUAUUUUUAUGUAUAAAACAAAAAAUUUAAAUUAUUAAAAGAAAAAAAAAUGUAAUUUUAAGAGACAUCUUUUAAGGUUUGACAUAUUAAUAUUUAGAUAAAAAAUAUGCCUCUAAUUACAGAGAUCUUCCCGCCGUCUAUACUCAGUUUCGUAUAUUGUCAGCUAGGAGGGUAAAUUAGUAAAAGCGCAUUUAAAAUUGAAAUAAGUAAAAAGCUAAUUUGAAGAUAAGCCCACUGAAACACUCAAAAAAUCCCGAUGAAAAUCAGUUACCACUAACUAGAGGAUGGAUGAAUGCUUGCUCUCUUUCAUCAACCUAACUCAUCACAAAACCAUUUUCUCUUUCAAUCAACCGAGGCCCACAUGCACUCCUCAUCUCUAAAUGCUUUGAAGAUGAAAAAAAUCAGAUUUUUAUUGCCAAGUUCCGCAACUUUAGCUUAGAUUUAUUAACAAGAAAAGCAUCGAUGGUGGCCUAAGGGUGGUGUCAGGUGAAAAUAGCUGACUAUUCGGCGUCGGACAUGACUGUUAUUGACUUGAAUUCAAAGAAGGUUAGUCUUUGAAACAAUUUUGGAUUUAAUUUUUUUUUUGUUUUAAUAUGUUUUAUAUUUUAAAAUAAAAUUGAAAUUUUAUUUCAUUUUAAUCAUAGAUUGUUUUUUUUUUGUUUGAAAAUGAAAAUGGGCUGAAGUGUUGGAGAACAGUUGGCAUUGUGUUGUUCAUAAAAAAAAAAGAUAUCAAAUUGUUGAUGUAUUAGAGAAGAUGCAUGUUGUUUGUUACUUUCAGACCGUAGCUAUUUGGAUUUUUCAAGUUAAGAGCUAAUCAUAACAUAUGUGUUGGAAAUUAGUGAUUUUUAUGUGACUUCUUUGUCAAAUGAAAAUGGGUUAGCACUGUUAUGAAGAAUAUGGAUGCUAUUUGGAGGAAUUAACUUCUUAACAUGUGCUUGAACUAAAAAUACCAAUGCAUAUUAGAAAUUAGUGAAGUUAUAUGCAUUAAUAAUAUUGGAAAUAAGGGUUUGUUUGUGAUGCUUUAAAGAAGCUGAAAAGGGUAUUGCUUGUGCUCCUUAAUAUGGAGAAUUUUUAGUUGCUUGAUAAAAAAAGCAUUAGUGACAAAUAAAAUGAAGAAAUUUUGGAUGAUGUUUGUGUAAAAGAUUUAAAUUAUUUAUUUUAUUGAAGCUGUACUGUGUUUUUAUUUGUGAUUUAACCAUUAAAACGGCUCUGUAACAUUGAUUAGAGGCUGCAUGUGCUCUUUUUAUAAAAAAAGUAGUGGCAUUCCUAAGUGGAGUAAUGAGAUGCUAAGAUGGGAAUGUAUGAAUAUUUAAUUUUGUUCUUGCUUUAAACUAUGACUAUAAAUCCUAAGUCUUCUAAAAUGAAACUCAAUUAUGCUUUUAAGAUGUAAAAAGGCAUCAUUGCCAUUUUUAAGUGACUUUGAUAAUGCUUCAAAUGGAAGUUCGCAUUGGUUUGUCAAAAUCUUUUGUUAAGCAGGGUGAAAUGAUUCAAUUUGCAUUGAAUAUGCGAAAGUUUCUAAGCGAAUAACUUGUGGUCUCAUGUUAUUUUUUUUCAGAUGAUGCUCUAGUGGAGGUCGAAAAGGAAAAGAGAGUCUUUGUUAAAAAAAAAAAAAGCAGGGAACAAAUAUGCCUUUCUAUAAUUGUCUUCCUUUUAACAUGUAUGUCAGGAUUGGUGUGCAUAAAUGGCCUUUAUUGACUAAAUAAUAUAAUCAUGAACAAGUAAAAAUAUAAUUUUUUUUAGUACUUUUCCUACUGAUCAUAUGUGAAUUGAAUCAAUUGUGUUGAAAAUGUUGAUCAAGGCAAAAAAGCUCUCAGCCUUUGCUACAUUCGAAAAUAGCAAGAAGGAAUUUUGUAAGCCCAAUUGAAAAAGAUUGAGGUAACCUGUCUCUUCUUAUUCUAGAUUCUUUUUUUUUUCUUUGUUUUACUUCCCAUUUCAUCUUCAACAAAUCUAGUAAUUGGCAGGAAAUAAUUGGAAGGAAAGAAGGCUGAAUAUGCUGAAAAUCUAAAAAAUAAGGCAGCUAUACGUCACAAAGAAAUAGAAGAGAAAAGGGCAACGGUUGAAGUUAGUGGUGGAGAUUGAAUUCUUAAGUUAAAGGAGAUGGUUGAAAAAAUCGGUGUAACUAAGAGCAUUUUAAUGAUCAAUGGAAUUAAACAAAUGUUAACAAUAGGUUGUUGUCUAUUAGAUAUACCAAAUUUGACUUUGAACUGUUGUAUUAUGUUAAAUUUCUAAAUUUUAUUUCACUGUAUAGUAUCGCUAGCCCUAGUUUCCCUACGAUAUUUUUUUUUUACAAUUGAUGAAUAUUUGAUGUCAAAUUUUUAUUUCCCAAGAGUGGUAAAGUGUAAUGAUUAAUUUGAUAUUUAGUACUACUAAAUUUUUAAAUUUUAGUUCACUGUAUACUAUCGCUAGCCCUAGUUUCCUAGUAAUUUUUUUUACUUUUAACAAUUGAUGAAUAUUUGAUGUCAAAUCUUUGUUUCCCAAGUGUGUUAAAGUGUGAUGAUUAAUUUGAUAGUUAGCAAUAAGGCUGUUUAGGUCUUUUCUCAAAUCAAGGGUAAUUUUUACAUAUCACUAGUCAACUAACAUUCAAGGAAACUGAGUACAGACAGUAGGGGAGGUCUCUGUAAUUAUGAUUAUACUUUCUAUUUAAGUGUCAAUAUGUCAAAUCUCCGAGGAGGUCCCUAAAAAUUAUCCAAAAGAAAUCGAGACUUUGAGCUGGUUUGGAACAAAUUAUAUUUUCAAUUGAAAUUGAAAAGAAGAAAAAAAAAUAUAUAAGAGAGGUUUUAUAAGAUUAAUGAAGGGGUUCCAAUAAUCCAAUAUUUUCACAAUUUUUUCUUUUAAGUUUUAUUCAUCACCCCAUAGGCCCAAUUUAUUUUCGUUAUUAUGUAGGUGUGGUGUUACUAGAAAUCAAAUGUUGCCUUUUUUUCUUUUUCUUUUUUUCCUCUCCUCUCCUCACUUAUGGUGGAAUGUGGAGAAUUAAACAAAACCAAUAUCCUAAUAUAUAAUUAAUAUUUUGAAAUGACCCGCCCCGAAUCCCCCUAAGCAAGUCUAUCUAGUCUCAUCAAAACAGACUUGAUAAAAAUUCUAUUAGUAAAGAUUCUGCCAAAAAUUCGGCAGAAUCUCCUUUAUAUAUAUAACACUCCCAAUCUAUAAAUAUGAAUAUAACACUCCCAAUACAAUUCAAUAUACAACAAACUCCAGUGAUUAACAUCCUCAACUAAAAUGCUGAGUUUUAUAUCUCCAGAGUCUCAAAAGAUAAUAUUAUAACUAAUAUUAAUAUAUCAGUUUAUUCUUAAUCCCAAAAGAAUAGUAUAACAAAAUUAUACAAUCCCAACAGAACGAGAUAACCAAGAUGUCCUAACAAAAACAUUUAUAUCUUCUAACACCAUCACGUGGCCAAGACUCAAAAUAUAUUUACAGUCGCUGGGUCGGUCUGGUGUACCUGCAACCUCCUGGUGAGGGAGGGAAAAUAUAAUAAAAACGAGGUGAGUUUAAAACUUAGUGAGAUCAGUGAGUGGAUAGUAGUUUUGAAAAUUAAUUCUUACUUUAAAAGAAAUAAUCAUAUCAUUUCCAAACACGAUUUCAUUAAACCAUAAGCGAGAAACCAGUAAUAAAUCAUUAAACAUUUAAAUCAGAUUACUAACCAUGGAAAUCAUAUCACAAUAUCAUAUAGAAUUCACAAAUCUGAAAAUCAUCGCCAAACAAGUACCCAGGGAAAUAAUCUCGUCAUAUCCGAAUCUCAACGGAUGGGCAAUGAUGUACUAUCUGGGUAACGUCACGCCCCGGAGCUACACGGAUAGAUAGGGAAAUCUCAUAUCUCAUCAUAUCUGUGCAUGCAUAAUCUAGUCCCCAAGGGACAAAAGCGCCCAAGCACACGGCCCAAAACCUCUGUGUGUACUCAGACGGGCCCCAAAGGCCUAUAUCUCAUUUGUAUCAUAUGUAUUAUUUGUAUCAUAUGUAUUAUUUGUAUCUCAAUAUCUGUCUGUAUCUCAUAUCAGUAUAUCUGUAAUCAUCAUACCGCAUGCAUAUGGCCCCAAAAGGCAAAAGCACCCAAACACACGGCCUAAAGCCUCUAUGUGUCAAAGGCCUCUCAUCUCAUCUCAUCUGUAUCACUGUAUCUGGAGGGAAGGGUACUGUCUAAUGAUUUCAAAAACAAUCAUUAUACUCAUUCACAUACCUCUUAACCAUAUUUUAAAUCAUACCACAUUUGAAUCCACUUUUCUUAUCUUUAAAAUACUAUCAUGCUUAUUCAAAGUCGAUACGCAAAAUCAUUAACCAAACAUUUUAAUAAAAUAUCAAUGCGUGAAUAAAAUCCAUUUCGAGAAAUCAUUAAAUCAGAACAUUUAAAAUACUUAUUUCGCAAACAUGCUUUACUAUCAUCGCUAACUAUGAAAAUAAGUUUUGUAUAUUCCACUCACAGUGACGGUGUUCACGGUCGGUUAUCGUCCACGUCCGCGGACCGGUUCUCGCUCGCAAAUCCUCCUAAAUUAAGGAAACGACAUAAUUAUUUUCCGUAAAUCGGAAUUAUGACUAAAUUUUAUGCAAUAAACUCGAAACGAACAUCUAUCCAUAAUUUACAACUCCUGUGUCCAUAAAAUUUCUAAAAUGCCCUUGAGUCCGUAGAUCAUUAACAUGCUCUGAAAUCGUAAAUCACCGAAUUACCCUCGGAAUCGUAAUUACACCCAAUCCUCAAUUCUAGGAAUUACUAAAAUAUCCACAGGCUCAGAAAUUACAAAAUUGCCCUCAUAGUGUGAAAUUACCAAAAUGCCCUUGCCGAUCAACGGUCACCGGAAUUUGGUCAACACUGGCUAGGAAGCUCAAAUCUUAAAGUUCCAAUCACGCUGAGUUCAAUGGUACCGACGGUGAGCUCCAACGCGCGGCAACGACGCCGGAAUCUAGCUCGGCAGCCGUGAAUUCCAAGAAUCGACCGGCGGCAAAACAGUGACUCUCGGUGCCUAUGAAUGGUCGGAAAUGGAAGAGGGAAUCGUGGGGAACAAAAUCCAACUGGUGGUGUCACCCAAAACCGGCGAAAAUCCCGGCGGAGUAAAGUGAAACAGUCGCGGGUUUCAAGCUUCGAUCUCCGGUGUUCCGGUUGGUUUUCGGCGGAGAGGAUGGCAUGGGAACGACGGUCGGCUUCUAAGCUUCAGAUUGGUACCAAGCUCGGCCAAAACGGUGGCCGGAAAUGGGAGAUAUGGCCGGGUCACGUUCGCAGGUCAGGUCGGGUUUUUUCGGGUCUGUAGUUGGGUUGGUUUGGUAGCUUCUCUCUCACUCUCUGUUACACGUGCAUAUGUUUCCUUUGUUUCUAGCUUAUUCUUUUACUUAUAAAAUCCUUAACCGCCUCAUUUUCAUUUUAAAUUCACAUAUGUUACAUAUUUAUUAACAGAUUUCAGAAAAAAUUAAUAUUUUAAAAUAUUGCAAACUGCCAAAAAGUCAAACUUUUAUUUGCUACAUAAAUAUAAUCUAUUUUAGAUAUCAAUAUCAAAUUUGUUAGGUUAAAUUCUAGGUUCAAAUCUUAGCAGGCAGAAGUUUGAGUUAAAUUGGUAAAUGAAUUAUUUUUUAAUUAAUUUCUUCUUUUUGAUUUUGAAAAAAACAUUCGAGAGAAAGAGAGGAAGUUGAAACUGAAGCCGAAUCAACUGGAGCAGCAUCAAGCAUCUUUUGAAAUUCUUCUACAUGCUGCUUUUUUUCAGCUUUUGUUUUCAAAUGUUAUUGAGGGCAAAUAAAGUCUGUAUGCUUGAUAUUGAACAUAAUUUUUAACAAAUAAAAACUAACACUGACGUUGUGCCAAAGAAUUUGUUUCUAGCUUAACUGGGCCCAUUUAGGAUAGCUAAGAUAGCUGCGCUGCCAAACAGGGCUUUGAUUUCAUUGCUAUAAGUAUUUAUCAAGUAUUUUUAAUAGAUUUUUUUGGGUGGGCUGAAUGGUUAAGUAAAUUAAUUAAAUGGUUUAAAUAAGGAUAUUUUUUUAUAUUUUAAAAAAUGUACGUAUUAAAAUUUUAUAUAUUAAAUAUACAAAAUAAUAGAAUGUUUAGAAUAAUUUUUAGACAGCAAGCAGCCCUACUCAUUUUAUUAAUCAAGACUUAAGUGUCACUAAACUAAACCUCCAUAUUCCAAAUCUAUAGAAAAAAACGAGAAAAGGUACCGAAUGCAAGCGAUCUGCUGUUCAUCAAUAUUAUCUGGUGCUGUUGCAGAUCAUUUUGUUAUUCUGGUCCAUCAAAGCAUCAAAACAAUUUGUCUGUGAAAACGAUUGUGGAAACGUGUAGAUGAUAUUCCCCUUUGGAAUUGGAGAAGGGUGCCACUUUGGUAAGAGUUAUCACGUAAUAUUCACUCUUCUGGCUCUCCCAAAGGUUUUCAUCCUAGUAUCAAGACGGAAUAUCGUACCGUUACUCCGUAACUAAAACUGGAGCAACAUUCCUAUAGUUUCUAUACACAGUGCUAUUGCCACAAGCAAUAAUAUUGCUAGAGCAGUCAAUAUAUAUGGUAGUCCUUUUACCUUUCCCUGGGGGCUCAAUAAAUUUACAGCCAUAGGCUGUGACAAUUAUGCAAUUAACCUGGACAAUGAUAAUGAUUCAGCUGUGCCUGUAUGUCUGCACUUGCGAUCCUUCUCAGAAAAGUGGUUGCUUUAUUUGUUCAGAGUAAAAUUUGGAAUGUAAAAAAUUCCAUCCAAAACUUUAUCAUCGAACAAUUUGUAUGAAUUCCUGUAAGGAAUACGUUGGCAUAUCACAGAAGCCCAAUUACAAAUACAUCCGCAAAAUAUCUACCAAAGAUAUUUCAGCAAGCUUGUCAAGUAGUGGGACAGGGAAUGGCUCUCUGUUCCUGAGGCAUGAAUUGACGUCCUGCCCAUCGUCCCCCUUUGCCUCCCCACCAUACAAAUAACAAAUGAAAAUUAGGCCAAUUAAAUUAAAGGCAAGACGGGAUGGAAAUAUGGAAUCGUUGAUUAUUAUACCCAUGACCCCUCUAAUUAAUGGUUCUUUCCCUUCGAUAUUAUUGUACGUGUUUGGAAGGAAACCUCCUCUAUCUUUUUUUCCAAUUAAGACUAUUGAAUGUCCAAUUAAUGUAAAUUGUUUUUGAACGUGUAGAGGAUAACAUGACAAUGCGGAGACAUUUAAAGUUGAUUGACAGAAUGAACAAAAUAUCCUAAAUAAUGAGGCUAAUUGAAAAAUUUUUAAAUUAACAAAACUAGAGUUUUAGAUCUUUUUAUAUAAUAACUUUAAAUAUAAUAAAAUUCUCUUAAUCUGAAUAAAAAAUCCAAAACAAAUAGUGCUCAAAUCUAUUAUUUAGGGAAAAAAAGAAAUUAGAAAAAAUAGAAGAAUAUCUUAAAAAUCGAAAAAUGAUAAGGAAAGAAAUAAUUUUUCAGGCUCAAGCAAGGCCCAAAAUGGCAUAAGCUUUGUAGGCUUGAUUUGUCUUCUCGCAAACUUUAAAACGAUAUAUUAUACACUCAAAACAGACACAUGUAGCCUAAGUUAUACCCUUUGGAAAGUACCCUUCUCAUCCCACACACCCAUCAUACAGUAGUCCCUCUCACUUGGAAAAGAACUUGCCCUCGAGUUUGACUUGUACAAUGCCUCAUCAUCUAGAUGAUAUUUAAAUAGAUUAGCCAUAUUGAAUGUGUAAGAGAUCUUCUAGUUGUCCGGCAGUUAGAGCACAUAAGCAUUAUUAUUAAUCUUCCUUGCCACACGAAACGGUCCAUACUUGAUGUGGACAUGCAUCACUUUCCCGUGUCGAUGCAUGUUCACAUCGACCUUGUACAUAGCGUUUGCAGCCUCCAAAUGAGCUCGUUCCUUGACAUGAAUCUGUAGAGCUCUUUUUACCACAUUAUUCACUAUUUUACUCCCUCCAGUUGCUAUGGGCAUGAUAGCUAAAUCAUAAACAUGGGGUAGGGAACAAGUGUAGACAAUCUCAAAAAGGGUCUUACCACCAUGUUAUUGAAAGCAAACUUGACUUGAGGCAAGAUAGUUUCCCAAUUCCGUUGCUUGUCACCACAAACAUAGUGCAACAUGUUAACCAGAGUGCGAUUAACCACAUCCAUUUGACCAUUUGUUUGCUAAUGAAAAGCACUACUAAAUUGUACUGAACUUAUCCUAGAGAUGAUGCCAAAACUUACUGAUAAACUUCACAUUCAUGUCAGAAGUAAUAGUCUUUAGCAUACCAUACAAACUUACCACUUCUUCAGAGAACAAAUGCGCAGCUAAAGCAGCAUCUUUAGUAUUCUUGCAAGCAAUAAAAUGCAUGAUCUUUGAAAACCUGUUGAUCACAACCUAUCAAUUUGUUCCCUUAGAAUUUCGAGGCAUAUAUAACUAAUUAGAAUUGAACAGAUACCCAUCUUGAAUAAGGAAAUCUUUUACAUUUUGAUGAUUAAUGCAUCGAUCUUAAAUAUGCGCAAAGUCUUCAUCCUUAGCGUACAACUCCUUCAAGCAUUCAAAACCAGUACCUUUAAUGACGAGAGUAGUAAAGUUGCUCGCCUACUGAGUGCAUCUGCUAUCUUAUUAUGUUGCCCAAAUUUAUACUUAACAAUAAAAGUGAACUUUUACGUAUAGCGCACCCAUCUUGCAUGCAUCUUGCUCAGAUAUUGCUGGUUAUUAAAGUACUUGAAUGCUUGAUGAUCACUAUAAAGUACGAACUCUUUAUGAAUCAAGUAAUGCUCCUAUGACUUCAACACCCUAAGGAUUUGAUAAAAUUCUUAGUCGUAAGUAGACCAUUUCUGUUAUAUUUUAUUUAACUUCUCACUCAUAUACCUAAGUAGUCGUCCCUCUUGAGAAAUAACAGCCCAAUACUAUUACCAUAAGCAUCACAUUCAACCUCAAACAACUUGAUGAAGUUUAGUAAGGCUAACACAGGAGUAGUAAAAAAAUUCUCUUUUAAUAAAACAAAACUGCACUCUGUAAUAAGUGGGGCUAUGUUACUAAAACUAUAAAUAAAUCUCUUAUAAAACAUCGUCAACCCAUGAAAACUCCUAACUUCACCCACUAUCUUCGGCAUAGGCCAUUCAUUAAUGGCUUGUAUCCUCGACUCAAUAACUCGAAUCCUAUCUACAUCAGUUAUAAAACUAUAAAUUCCACAUUACUCUACAGAAAGCUACACUUCUUUAGAUUAAUAUAAAGUUUAUUUUUUUUUUGCAACAUCUUUAUAAUCAUUCUCAAAUGUUCUAGGUGUGCCACUGCAUUAACAAAAUAAACUAAGAUAUUGUCAAAAUUCACCACAAUAAAUUUGCAGGAAAAAGACUUAAGAACUUGAUUCAUUAAGUGCAUAAAAGUGCUUAACACAUUAGACAACCGGAAUGGCAUAAAAUACCACUCAUACAGCCCUUUUUUUAAUUUUAAAUGUUGUCUUCCACUCACCAUCAGGCCUAAUUAUGAUAUUAUGAUAUUAUGAUAUCCAUUACACAAAUCUAUCUUUGAGAAAACCCGAGCAUCAUUUAGUUGAUCUAAUAACUCUUAAAACGUGGAAUAAGAAAUCGAUUCUUCACUAUAAUAUGGUUAAUUAGCAUACUAUCUGUAUAUAUAUGCCAACUCUCAUCCUUUUUCGAUACCAACAAAGCUAGUAUAGUACAUUAACUCAUGCUCUCAUGAAUGAAACCUUUCCCUAACAAUUCAUCAACCUACCCUUGUAAGAUCACAUGCUCGUGAGGGCUCAUACGAUAAUGAAGCAAGUUAGGUAAACUCGCACCAUAUCUCAUAAAGGUGGCAGCCCAUCCAACAACUUUAAUGGUCUAAUAUCAACAAACUCAAUUAAUAAUGGCUAUACUUUUUUCAAGAACAAUCUUCACCUUUAAUUCUUCUUUUUUCUCUAGCUUCUAGCAAUCAUCGCAAUCAUCCUCUUGAUGAUUUUUAACAACCUUAGUAUUCUUCUUGUUGUUCGUUAAAGGCAUCAACGAACCUUCUUGUUAUUUCACUAAAACUCAUACACAUUAUCCUCUCUUCUAUACUGUAUCAACAUCAAAUUACUAAAGUCUACCAAAUAAUAGAUGGCACACAUCCAUAUUCUUUACAUCGCUCAACACAUCACUCUUAUAAAUCUUCCCAAUGGAGAAAAGAACACGACGGUCCUUUAUUACUUGCAUUUUUGUCUCUCUAUUUAUCAAUCAUAUUCUGUUAGAUACUGGAUUUUUUUGGUUGAAAGUCCUAUCAUGUCAAAUAGCACCUUUGAAAAUAUGUUCUCGCUAUUGCCACUAUUAAUUAUAAUGUUGUACACCUUAUCGUUGAUAGUGCCACAUGUUUUAAAAAUCUUAUUGCGCUGAUUAUCCUCUUUAAAUUUUCAAUGAUAAUAAAAUCUUCUAUAUAAUACAAUUUAGUUUCUCCUUCAUUUGCUUUCAACUCUAAAGCUUCUUUGGCAUCCCCAUUCUCAACGUCGUUCAGCUCUGUCUUGCUGACUUUACCCUCUACUAAAUUCAAAAUUUUAAAAUGAUAGUUACUCGAUCGAUGGCCUAGCUCCCUACACUUCAAACACUUGUCCAGCAUAGGCUUCACUAUAAGUGAUUGUAUCUACUAUCUCAUCUUAUAUCUCUUGUUUUAAUCUGCCAAUAUAUUUCGUAACUAUUCAAAAUUCUGGCUCAUCCAUAUUAUUUUGAGUGUGUAGACAAUAAAAUUCGUUUAUAUAUUCAUUGACACUAUGAUUUCCUUACCUGCAGUUCUGAUAUUUAAAACUGCUGCCAGUAUUCUACUGGCAGGAAAUACUCUCUCAUCAUCCUUUGCAUUCCAGGCCACUAUUUGAUAAUUUUUUUUGCAACUUUUCUUUAAUUAUGUAUGUAUUGCCAUUAUGCAGAAGCUGGACAAGCUUAAUUCACUUCUCUUGAGGAAUCUCCAUAUACUCGAGAAAAUUAUCCACUUGUGAUAUCCAGUCUAAAAAUUUUUCAACAUGCAUCCCACCAAAAAAAUUCAGAAUAUUAACAUUAAUCUUGUAAUCUAAACUCUUUUUGGGCCCCUAUCAUCCUCCAUAUAUUUUUCUUCUUCUAAAUCGUUUCUUAGCUCCUUACGCACGUGUACUGGUAUUCAUCACGUAGGACCUAAAUUUUGAGGUACUACUUCAUGAUUGAUGCCUUGAGGUUUUAUUUCAUGACCGACCCCUUGAGGUAUCUCCAUGUAGUUGUAAUCUUCAGGUUGUACACCACGAUUGACUCUUUGAAGUUCUUCCUCGUGAUUAACUUUUUGUUGUUGACCUCUCUUUCUGUUUUUGUUCAAGGAAAACUUAAGACUCAUAAUUGUCUUGCUCUAUCACCACUAAUCCCGAGUUAUAAGCUUCCUCAAUUGCUUCCAAGGUUGCUUCUCGAGCCGCCCGUUUCACAGCCUCCACAGUCUUUGGCUACAUCCCUUUGUUAACAUGUAUGUGUCUAUAAUAAUGAUUUUGAUGAUAACAAACAAGAUUAAGAAUGAUUAAGUUUUUAAAAGCUCAAGUUAUUUUUCAUACAUUUUAAAUAAAUCAUUAUUUUCAUAUAAUAAAGGUUUUUUUUUCAAAGAAAACGUGAUUUCAUGAAAUUGGUUGUUUUUCAAGCUCAUGGUCUAAUUGAAAAAAUUUUGAGAACUUUGAAAUCAACAAGUAUUGCUUAAAAUUCUAAAAAUGGACUUGUUUGAAAAGUAUCAUAAAGUUUUGGGCCAUAGUACAAGUAUAUAAAAUUUUGGGGCAAAAAUAUAAUUUUAGAAAAUAGUUUCAUUGUAGCAGUCGCUGUAGCAAAUAGCUAGCUGUUUGGAAGAUAACAGCUAACUUACAUUGAACAGAAUUGAAGAUUAGUGUUUGUAUACUAACGGCAAACCGACUUCUUGAAAAUGGUAAAUCGACAUCUUCUUUGCAAGUUACUGGACGAUAAUGGCGAUCCGACAUUUCAAUAACGGUGAUCUGACAAUUUGAAAUUCUGUCUAAUGGUAACUUGCUCAAGUCAAAACGGCAAUCCAACUUCUAUUUAACGUUGAUCCAACUUCGAGUAAAUUAUCUCUAACGACUAUUCUUCAGCUCAAACUAUAAAAAGGCUCAUUUAAACACAAAUAAUAGUGAUUGCAACUACUAUCAAUGAGCCAUGUAGAUGCUGUGGUUCAAAACGAAAAUAGAAGAGUGUGGAGAUGUACCAGUAUUUAUGGCCAUCCAAAAUUGACCUAAAAGCACCAUACUUGAACUCUCUUGAAAAGGUUAGCAGCUCUCUCUUUUCACCCCUGGUGUUGCUUUGGAGACUUCAAUGAGAUUUUGUAUUUGCAUGAGAAAAAAAGAGGGAAUGAUAGAAACCGAAAUGUGAUAGCUGAUUUUAGAGAAGCUGUCCAAGCUUAGAAUUUGGUUGAUAUUGGGUAUCACGAGUAUCCUUAUACAUGGUUGAAUAGGAGAUUUGGCCCUCACCACAUAGAAGAGAGGCUAGAUAGAUUCCUGUGCAACAAGGAUUGGUGUGAUAAUUUUCAAGCGUCAACAACAAUUAAUCUGGUGAAUUGGGUUUCAGAUCACUACGCAGUUGUUUUUUAUUGUAAUGAGAGAGGUAGAAACAAAAGCUAGAGGAAACAACAUCCCACUCGAGAGCAUUACGAAGACACGUGGAGUCCCUAUAAAGACUGUAAGAGAAUAGUUAGUGAAGAAUGGGCUCACUAUGGAGAGAAAUCUUGGGAGAAUCUGGCGCAACAAUUCCAAAGGGUAGCUAAAAAUUCUUUAGCUCAGCUCAAGUUGUGGAGUAAAGAUGAGUUUGAAGGCAACCAAAAAAAAACAAGAAAAGCUUAUCAAACAGCUGGAGAACCUCAGACAGAGCAACGAUCAAAUGAGGGAAGGGCUGAAAUUAGAAGAAUUGAGAAUCAAAUUAAUAACAUGCUGAUUGAUAAAGAAGUCUAUUGGAAGUAAAGAUCAAGGGCUGAUUUGCUUAGAUAGGGAGAUAAAAACACCAAGUUCUUCCACUCCAAUGCUUCAGAUCGGGGGGUAGAAAACAAUCAAGGCCAAUGGACAGCGAAGCAGGAUGAAGUCGAGAGGGAGUUCUGCAAUUAGUUCCAAAGCUUAUUGACAUCAUCCAGCCCAACCUACAACCAAAUUUAAGCUGCCUUAGAGAAACUUCCAGCAAAGGUCACCCCAGAGAUAAACGCCUAUCUGGAAGAGCCUUUCAGUCUUGAGGAGAUUGUCAAAUCUCUAUCUCAGAUGCCGCCCACAAAAGCUCCAGGCCCUGAUGGACUUCCUGCUGCUUUUUUCCAAAAGCACUGGAAAUCAGUUCAUAAAGGAGUGGAAGAGACUUGUUUAUACAUCCUUAAUGAGCAAGGUAACCUCGCUCCUCUAAAUCAUACUUUCAUUGCUCUUAUUCCUAAGACAAACAAGCCAAGGAAAGUCUCUGAGUUUAGGCUAAUCAAUCUCUGCAAUGUAGUGUACAGAAUAGUUGCCAAAGUUAUUGCAAAUAGACUGAAACCAAUACUCUCCCAAAUUAUCUUCCCCACCCAGAAUGCCUUUAUUCCAAAUCGGAUAAUUACGGACAAUGUGAUAAUUGGCUAUGAAUGCAUGCAUAAGAUCAGAAGCAGUAGAGGGAAAAGAAAGGGUUUGGUAGCUCUAAAGUUGGAUAUGAGUAAGGCAUACGAUAGGAUUGAGUGGCCUUUUCUGAAGCUCACAAUGGCUAAGCUCGGCUUCUCUCAAAAGUGGGCAAAGUUGAUAAUGAACUACAUACAACAACAGCCACCUUCUCAGUCUUAAUCAACGGCAGUCCCAAAGGUUUUAUCCAACCUGAGAGAGGUCUGAGAUAGGGCUGUCCCCUUUCCUAUUAUUUAUUUAUUUUGUGUGCUGAGGUUUUCUCAAAUUUAUUGCUCCAAGCAGAGAAAAAUCAGCUGAUCAGGGGCUUGAGGUUUGCCAAAGAAGUCACAAUUUCUCACAUACUGUUUGCAUAUGAUAGCCUUAUCUUCUCAAGGGCUACAAAAUCCGAUUGCAGGCACUUGAAGAGAAUAUUUGACUGUUAUGCUAAAGCCUCUGGGCAGAUCUUUAAUUUUGAAAAGUCAUCUAUGGUGUUUAGUGGCAAAGUGCCGAACAACCAGAUUACAGCAAUCAAAGAUAUCCUCAACUUAAAGGUAGUCUUCAGCCAUGAAAAAUAUCUCGGCCUCCUAUCCAUGAUAGGCAGAAAGAAAACCAAUUUUUUCAAGGACAUCAAGCUGAAAAUCCUGAGUAAAAUUUCAAGCUGGUAUCACAAGAUGUUCUCAAGUGGUGGGAAUGAAACUCUUAUUAAAGCGGUAGCCCAAGCAGUCCCAGCCUAUGCCAUGAGCACAUUUAAGCUUCCAAAGAGCUUAUGUGAAGACAUACAAAGAGCCAUUGCAAAGUUCUGGUGGGGAUCUAAGGAGGAAAAACAAGGCAUCCAUUAGGCAAAAUAGAGCAGACUCAGCCGUGCAAAGAGUAGAGGGGGUAUGGGAUUUAGAGAUCUCUUCAGCUUUAAUCAAGCUUUGGUGGCCAAACAAGGCUAGAGGUUGAUGCAGUAUCCUAACUCUCUGGUUUCCAAAGUGCUGCAGGCACGAUAUUACAAAAACUCCACCUUCUUAAAUGCAAGCAUAUGAUCCAACCCAUCUUAUAUAUGGAGGAGUAUCAUAUGGGGGCGGCAAAUCAUCAAGGAAUGAGCUAGAUGGAGAAUAGGUAAUGGUAAAAAUAUUCGGAUUUACAAGAUUGCUGGAUUCCAAGACCAACCUCUUUCAAGCCGAUAUCUCUACCAAGCUUGUCUACAGAUGCUAUCGUGGCAGACUUGAUAAACGCAGAAAACCAAUGGGAUGUGGAAACAUUAAACCAGCACUUCAUGCCAUCAGAUGCCGAUUUGAUCUUGAAGAUCCAUUUGCCACAUAGGCAAUCCGAAGAUGAAUUAAUGUGGCAUUUUGAUAAGAAAUGAGAUUAUUCAGUGAAAAACGGCUACCAAAUAGCUUUAAAAAUAAAUCUUCCAGAAGAGCCUGGCUGCUCAGGAAGCAAUUCAAACCAAUGGAAAGGAAUAUGGUCUCUUGCUUUGUCCGAAAAGAUUAAAAUUUUCUUAUGGAGAGCUUCAAUAACCUGCUGCCAACAGCUGAGAAUUUGUGGAGGAGAAAAAUCAUUCAAGAUCCAAUUUUUCAAAGGUGCAGAAGGUCCAUUGAAUCAAUAAGUCAUGCGCUCCUAAUCUGUAAAUCAGCAAAGAAAAUCUGGAACCAUGCCCCUUUUCCAGUGAACAAACAUGAAUUUUAUUCCCAGGACAUCUUCACUAUCAUCCAGGACAUGAGCAUCAGAUUUAGGAAGGCUGAUAUAGAGCUAAUGGCAGCAUACUUGUGGGUUUCAUGGUAUGCAAGAAACAAGUUCUUGUUCGAUGGGAAGAACCUGAAGCCAAGCAUCUUAACAGCUAAGGCAUAAUCAACAGUGGAAGCAUACCAGAGGGUAAGGAAGAUAGGGCUUUCUCAUAUUAGCAAUACCAUCAACAAGAAGCAGGAAAGAUAGAUCCCCAUCCAGACAACUCUUUCAAAGUCAACGUUGAUGCAGCCAUAAACAGCAAGAACCAAACAGUGGGCAUAGGUGCAGUUAUCAGGGAUUCAAAAGGCAUUGUGAUAGUAGCAGGCAUCCAGUAGACCACGCUAAAAGGAGAAGUCAGCUUUGCCAAAGCAGAGGCUAUGAGGUGGGGUUUGCAGAUUGCAAAGGAAGCAGCCUUAUCGAAUCUAAUAGUUGAGACAGAUUGUCAAGAGGUGGCUGAGUUGGUUAACAACACAAAGGGCAGCAAAACUGAAAUUUUCUGGAUUGUGUCUGAUAUCCAAGACCAGAGAAAGUAUUUCCAGAAGACUACAGUGCAAUAUGUUCCUAGAUAUUGUAAUGCUUAUGCCCAUUCCUUAGCAAAAUUUGCGUUAGGAAGAAAAACAUCUGCGAUCUAGUUUUAUCCAUUACCAGCAGAGAUAAUGAAUGUAUUUGACAGUGUUGUUUGAAGUAAUGAAAGUCUUUACUUUCUUUUAAAAAAAAAAACUACUAUCAUUGAGCAAACUAUUGAGCAUACAACUUUCAUUGAGUUUUAAAUUCUUAUAUUCAUCUCAUUUACUAACAUUUUAAGAUUUCAUUUGUAAUCGAACACAAUGUGUGAGAGGGAUUUAUUUGUAAUCCCUUUUGUAAAAUUAAGUUGAGAGGUUAUAAGUAUUGGGAUACACUUGGGUUAAGAAAUUGGGGAUAAUCUCUUGUUGUAAAGGUCUAUUGGUAUCUUGGAAGUCAAUUGUAAAAAGUUAUUGAAGCCUUGGAGGCUUACUUAGUGAAAUCUUCAAGUCCGAUGAGCUUAGAGGCAUGGACAUAGGCACGGGUGGCCAAACCAAGUAAAAAUCACGUGUUUGCUCUCUCUUACCCUAUUUCCUUAUUUUUUAUUACACAUUAAUUUGUUUAUUUCAAAUUUGAUUGCCUUGUUUAAAUUGCAUUAAGUUUCUUAGUUGCUUAAAUUUUUUAGAAACUCAAUUCACCAUCCCUUUUGGGUUGUCUAGUUAGUAUUUCACCAUUGAUUAUCGUCUUCCGGGCAAUUGCUCCUAUGAUCGUGUGGUUGCACCAUAAUGAUAAGCGAACUUGCUUUGAUACUAAUUAAAGAUGCGGAAAUGUUUAAAUUUGAUUGAUAGAAGAAACAAAAGUUUCUAAAUGAUAAAAUUUAAAUGUCUGAAAUUAAUAAAAUUAGGGUUUUGGGCCCCUUUAUAUAAUAAUCCAAAAAAUUUUGAAUUUACCAAAUAGGUAAAUCUAAAAAAUUAUUUUAUAAUAAAAUUCUCCUAAUCUGAAUAAAAAAAUCUAAAACAAAUGGUGCCCAAAUCUAAGAUCUUAAAAAAAGAUAAAAAUCAUAAAAGAAAUAGAAAAAAAAAUAAGAAAAUAUCUUAAAACUAAAAAAACGACAAGGAAAGAAAUGGAUUUUUAGGCUCGAACACUGCCCAUGCAACAAUUCUAGUUUUGAUUCGUCUCGUCACAAGCUUCAAAAUAAUAUAUAAUAGGCCUAAUAUCUCAUUCGUCCUAUGCAUCCAUCCUACAUCAUAACAGCUUGAAGACUUGGGAGGGCCAACUUAAUUCAAAGUCAACACUAGCUUAUUACCUUGCGGGAUUUUUAAUUGUGAGGGGAAAAAACUGUUGAAAGAUGUUGGGUUUAAAGUUUAUAAAACUUUAAUUAUUUCAUAAAAUUGUUUUAUUUUUUAUUCGUCAUCACGUUGGGAUUAUCCCCAAUGGCCAAUUUUAUUUUCAUUUUUUUAUAGGUCAAUAAAUGCUACUAGAAAUUGAUUAUUACCUCUCUUUUUCUCAUUUAUUGAUGACUAUGAAGAAUUAGAUAAAACUCAUAAAUGACCUAAUAUAUAUAAUGAAUAUUUAGAUUUUGUUUCAUAUCCAUACGAUAUCUGGGAGUAUGACAUAGUCUCCAAAAAUAGCCAAAUAUUUCACAUCUAUCACAAGUGCUUUCUUGAAUAUUAUCUUGUGGCAGGUGUUUCAUCCUCAAUUUUUUUCCUUUUCUAUGGUUCUUAUAACCACCGUGAGGUCGACAAUAAUUUUUUUUUUCAUGACCUCAAUCUUAAUAAUAGCCAUGACCACAACCAUGACUACAUCUACGGGCAUAGUUAUGCCCACGACCAUGCCCAUUUUCAUCAUGAUCACAUAGACAACAUUUGCUCCAAGAACUUGUUUUGUAUCAAUAGGAUGGGCUUAAUAAUUGAAUAUUCUUUUCUACCAAAAGAAAGCAUGCAAUCAAAUCAGAAUAUUUUGUAUACCGACGAGCUCUAUAUUGUUGUUAUAGAACUGUAUUGGAAGGAUGAAAUUUUAUAAUUUUUUUUCAACAUAUCCCCAUCAGUAAUAUUUUCCCCACAUAGUUUUAAUUAUUUAGUAAUUUUGUACAAUGUAGAAUUAUAUGUGUUGGAGAAAAAUCAGUUUUUUAAAUUUUUAUAAAACAUUUUAAGAUCGCUCUCAUACAAUAUAUAAGAAUUUGUAAUCUAGAAAUCGUACCUUGAAAAUCCGAUUUGGCUUUUUCCACUGAAUUGAUUUAGGCUCCCAGAUCACGAUCCGUCACCACCACUCCUGUUAGAUCACGAUCCGUCACCACCACGCUUGUUAGAUCACGAACUGUUACCAAUGAUCUUCCAGGUUAUGAUUCAGGUUUGAUCUGCACUUGACGUGUGGGUGCCUUUAUCACUACCAAAGCAGCUAGCACGAGAAAAUUUUUCUCUCAACAAUAGAGAGAAAAAUCUUUUUCUCUGAUCUGUAUAAAGUAGCUGCUCCCCUUUUCUUUAGAGAAAAUAAACCUUUUUAUAUCUCCCUUUAGUGAAAACCCUAGACUCCAAAUAAUGAAAAUCAAAACUCACGUUACUUGCUUUUUCUAUAGGGGAUCCACCUUGUAAAAUAACAUAAGGCCCCUUACACACAAGCUAAUAAAAUAGAGCCUCCCACUAAAUGAUAUAUUUAGGUUUUUGACCCAAAUAACCAGUUAUCUUUUUUAUUAAUCCAGUAGUGGUGCAGUCAAUUAAAUGAGCUAACCAGGGGAUCAUUUGGGAACAUACAAUAGUGGCUAUAACAAUUAAGCAUGUAAUUAAAAUAGCCUAAUUUUUUAAUUCCAAAUCUACUCCACUAAAAGAUUGGAAUUGACCUCCAUAAUUGUAUACUCGAAUAAUAAUUCGUCCCAAGCCACAUUGAUUUCUUUACUGCACAAUCCUUUGUACCACAUCAUUAAUUAAAUCGAUAUCUCAACUGUCCAAUCAAUUUAAUUACAUCUUGUUCCUUAAUACUUACUGGUUUUCUCUAAUGAUCAUUUUCAACAUACUAAAUAUGUUGACACACUCUGGCUAGAGAAUUCUAUGAUCAAGUACCGAAAACCCAUCAAGAGAUAUGUUGUACAAAUUAUUGUUAAUUCAUAACUCCAAUCCUCAUAAUUGCUCCCACCAAGAUACCGGGUAAUCUUGACCACAAGUAUUUGUCGUGCCCAUUGGUAACUCAAAUGGAAUAACAAUUACAAUCAUGAAAUCGUAAUUAACUCAAGAUUAAGAUUACAGUAAAAUCAAUGCCUAUGAGAUUUAAUAAGUAUGACAGUUAUUACAAAGUUAAUUAAAUCUCAUAUGUGAUCAUGUUCAAUGUAGGCGUACUACAUCAAUAAAUUCAUACAUGAUUAAGACAAAUCAUUCAAUGAAUUCAUUACAGUCUAUACCUAAAUAAAGUGCCCAACUUUAUUUAUCAACUGCGAACUAAAUUUAUUUAAUCAUAAGAUAACUUGUAUUUAUGUCUUCUGUGAAUCCACAUAGUGAUCACAUAAAUACAUAUACUAUGAUUAAAUAGAUUUUAAUCAAAAUAUUAAUUUAAUUAAGAUAUUUGAAUAAAAUACCUCAUUUAUUUUAUUAAUUAGAAAAAUUAUUUAUUACAAUUAAAUAAACACAUAUGUUUUUAAAGAGCACAUUUUCCCAACAAUCUCCUAAUAGCUCUCAAAGCAUAUUUGGCAUCUCACGCAUGCCCAUGGAUUCUAAGUGCAAGUUAAAAGGUUUCCCAGGUAUGGCCUUAGUAAAAGGAUUUGCCAAGUUUUGCUCUGACGCAAUCUGAGUAACCUCCACAUCACCUCUCUGCACUAUAUCCCUUAUAAGAUGAUACUUCCUCUCAAUAUGUUUUGUUUCUUGUGGUUCCUUGGUUCCUUAGAUUGAGCUACUGUACCACUAUUAUCGCAAAGUAGUUUAAGGGGUGCAGUUAUAACAGGUACCACCUCAAGAUCUUGUAGGAACUUGCGGAGCCAUACAACUUCUUUUGCAGCUUCGGAUGCAGCCAUAUAUUCAGCUUCAGUUGUGGGGUCUGCGAUACAAGAUUGUUUCACACUCCUCCAACUAAUAGCUCCACUUCCCAAUGUAAACACAUAGCCGGAAGUUGAUUUUCUGGAAUCCUUAUCUGACAUAAAGUCAGAAUCAGUAUAACCCAUUGGAAUGAGUUCAUCACCAGAAUACACAAGCAUAUAAUUUUUAAUUCUUUUCAGAUACUUCAUUAUAUGCUUGACCGCAGACCAGUGUUUAGGUCCAGGAUUAGAUUGAUAUCUACUAACCAUCCUUAUUGCAAAACAAAUGUCUGGCCUAGUGCAAAGCAUGGCAUACAUGAGACUUCCCACAGCUUCUGCAUAGGGAGCUUGUCUCAUUUUCUCUAUCUCUUCAGAUGUUUUAGGUGAUUAAUCCUUAGAGAAUGUAAUUCCAUGUCUGAAUGGUAAUAAACCAGUCUUGGAAUUUUCCAUGCUAAAUCUAGCUAAUAUCUUAUCGAUAUAGACCGCUUGAGACAAGGCUAAAGUUUUAUUCUUCCGGUCUCGUACUAACUUGAUAUCAAGAAUAUAACUUGCCUCUCCUAGGUCUUUCAUAUCAAAUUGUUUUGCUAACCAACUCUUUGUUGUAGUCAAUACUCCUAUAUCAUUUCCAAUUAGGAGAAUAUCGUCUAUAUAAAGAAUUAGGAAGGCUACAUAUUUUUCUUGAAUCUUCUUGUACACACAUGGUUCAUCAAUGUUCUGAAUGAAUCCAAACGAUUUAAUCGCUUGAUCAAAUAUGAUGUUCCAUGACCGGGAUGCUUGCUUCAAUCUAUAAAUGGAUCUCUGCAACUUACAUACCAUGUGUUCUUGGCCUUUUUGUAUAAAUCCAUCUGGUUGCUGCAUAUAGAUGUUUUUUUCAAGAUGCCCGUUAAGAAAGGCAGUCUUGACAUCCAUUUGCCAAAUUUCAUAAUCUAGCACUGCAGCAAUAGAGAGCAGAAUCCUGAUGGAUUUAAGCAUAGCAACCGGAGAAAAAGUUUCCUCAUAAUCGAUUCCCUCUUUCUGAGUAAACCUUUUGGCUACCAAUCUUACUUUAAAUGUUUCCACCCUUCUGUCUACUUCUCUUUUUCUCUUGUAGAUCCACUUGCACCCUAUAGGUUUUACCCCAUUUGGUGCCUCAACAAGUUCCCAGACUUUAUUGGAAUACAUAGAUUCCAUUUCUUGAUUCAUGGCCUUUUUCCAAAAUUCAACAUCUCUAUCUAUUAGAGCUUCAUUGUAACUAGUGAGAUCUUGUACAUGUUCAUAUGAGAUAGCUGUAUAGGUUUCUCCCAAAAGUAUGUAUCUCAUAGGUAACCUAGUUACCCUCCCACUACGACGAGGUUCUAAAAGUGAUGGUUGUUCAGGGAUAAUCCUGUAUUGAUCAUCUGGUUGUUGAUGUUCUUCCUGUUCUGUAACAGGCGUUGAAAGCUGACCAUCAACUUGAUCACCUGACAGUUCUUCAAGUAUUACCUUACUCUUAGGUUUAAAGUUAUUCAUAUAGUCUUCCUCGAGGGAAGUGAAAUGUGUGCUCACGAUCACUUUCCUAUCUUGAUGACUAUAAAAUAAACCUCUCCUUGUUCCUUUGGGAUACCCCACAAACAUACAAAUCUCAGAACGUGAAUCCAUUUUGUCUGCCUUUGGUUUCAGUACAUGUGCUGGUGAUCCCUAAAUACGAACAUGUCGUAAACUUAGUUUGCGACCUGACCAUAAUUCUAUUAGGGUUUUAGGCACUAACUUAGAUGGAACUAAGUUCAAGAGGUAAACUGCAGUUUCUAGUGCUAGUCCCCAAAAAGAGAUUGGUAAUAACGAAUAACUAAGCAUAGAUCUCACCAUAUCCAAAAGAGUUCUAUUUCUUCUUUCAACUACCCCAUUUUGUUGUGGUGUUCCCGGGGCAAUCAACUGAGAUAUAAUCUCAUUUUCAACCAGAUACUCUUUGAAAUCUCCUGAGAGAAAUUCACCACCUCGAUCAAAUCGAAGUUUCUUUAUGUUCUUAUCUAAUUGCUUUUCUGUCUCAGCCUUAUACUCUUUGAAUUUCUCAAGAGCUUCAGACUUAUGAUGCAUCAGAUAAACAUAAUCGUAUCUCGAGUAAUCAUCAGUGAAAGUGAUGAAAUACUCAUAACCUCCUCGAACUUGUACAUUGAUUGGUCCAUAUACAUCUGUAUGAACUAAGUCAAGUGGUACUGUUGCACGUACUCCUUUGGCCGAGAAUGGCCUUUUGGUCAUUUUCCCUUCUAAAUAGGAUUCACAGAGUGGAAAUGAUUCAUUUUCUAAUGGACCCAAAAUCCCAUCUUUGAUCAUUCUCUGUAUCCUAUUUUGGUUUAUAUGACCCAAACGUAAAUGCCAGAGGUAACAUUGGUUGGAAGAAAUAUUUAUUUUCUUAGAUAAAUGUGUAUGCUCAUCAUUAUUUAUCACUGUGUCGUGCAUAGAAUGGAUCAUUGGACUUAAAUGAUAUAAAUUAUCUUCCAAUGUACCAGAACAAAUAAGUCUUUUAUUAUAAAAAAUAAAAACAGAGGAUCCAAAAUUUACAGUGUACCAUUGCUUUGACAAACAAGCUACUGAAAUUAAAUUCUUCUUUAUGUCUGGAACAUAAAGAAAAUUAUUCAAAAUUAAAGUCUCAUUAUUAAAAGAUAAUAAAACAGAUCCGGUCUUCACUGCUGACACGAACUAUCUUGUCCCUAACUGCAGCUUGACGCUUCCUUCACUUAUUUUCCUGGUUUCCUGAAACCAAUAAAGUGAAUUACAAAUAUGAUUAGUUGCUCCUGAAUCCAACACCCAAGUGUCAAUAGGAUUCUGAACUAAACAUGCCUCAAUUACAAAAAGAUUUCCCAUACCUGAUUUCACAAUCGUAGGGCAAUCCUUUUUCCAGUGACCUUUCUGUCCACACUUGAAGCAUUUGCCUUUUGGAAUUGACCUCCAUAAUUGUAUGCUCGAAUAAUAAUUCGUCCCAAGCCAUAUUGAUUUCUUUACUGCACAAUCAUUUGUACCACAUCAUUAAUUAAAUCGCUAUCUCAACUGUCCAAUCAAUUUAAUUACAUUUUGUUCCUUAAUACUUACUGGUUUUCUCUAAUGAUCAUUUUCAACAUACUAAAUAUGUUGCACACUCUGGCCAGAGAAUUCUAUGGUCAAGUGCCGAAAGUCCAUCAAUAGAUGUGUUGUACAAAUUCUAUAUUGUUAAUCCAUAACUCCAAUACUCAUAAUUGCUCCCACCAAGAUACCGGGUAAUCUUGACCACAAGUAUGUGUCGUGCCCAUUGGUAACUCAAAUGGAAUAACAAUUACAAUCAUGAAAUCAUAAUUAACUCAAGAUUAAGAUUACAGUAAAAUUAAUGCCUAUGAGAUUUAAUAAGUCUGACAGUUAUUACAAAGUUAAUUAAAUCUCAUAUGUGAUCCUAUUCAAUGUAGUCGUACUACAUCAAUAAAUUCAUACAUGAUUAAGACAAAUCAUUCACUGAAUUCAUUACAGUCUAUACCUAAAUAAAGUGCCCAACUUGAUUUAUCAACUGCGAGCUAAAUUUAUUUAAUCAUAAGAUAACUUGUAUUUAUGUCUUCUGUGAAUCCACAUGGUGAUCACAUAAAUACAUAUAAUAUGAUUAAAUGGAUUUUAGUCAAAAUAUUAAUUCAAUUAAGAUAUUUGAAUAAAAUACCUCAUUUAUUUUAUUAAUUAGAAAAAUUAUUUAUUACAAUUAAAUAAACACAUAUGCUUUUAAAGAGCACAUUUUCCCAACAAUAUGUUGGAUCAUAAACUUGAUCCAUACAACUUUGAAACGCAAAUGACUCUUGAUCUAGUUCAUGCAAGCUUCUUUGGGUAGUUAAGAUUUGGGGUGUUAAAUGUGGUAAUAUGGGAAGUAGAAUUUGUGGUGUUGAGUAUGUUGUUAGGUUUGGUUUGUGGUUAUGAUUUAUGUGGUAGUUAAGUCAACGUAUGGUUGUGAUUAAAUUGUAACAAGUAUAAAUAUCUACUCUCUCAGUUGGUUUAAGUAACAAGAAGUAGUAAAGCUUAUUAAUUGCAAAAGAGUCGUAAUUAAGGAGUUAUAUUGAGUUAAUAAGAAAAGAGUGUUUUGAGUGUUUGAUUAUUCAAAUUCUCUACUAUUAUGUUCAUGAACUGACUUAAAAUCCUACAACUUAAGGGCAUUCCAUUCAUUACAAGUAUUUGGAAGAAUUACUAACCUUAAAUUACUAUAUCUCUCAUCAAGCUAUUUCAUAUGACAUAUAUGUCCUUUAUAGGAAGAUAUCUUGUUUUGAGUGCUAGAUGGAGAUGGUGACAUUGAUAAAUCGUGGUCUUCUCUUGAUCUUGAAGAGAUGAGUCAUUAUUAUUUUUCAUUGUAUCACUAAGCAUCAAGAUAAAUUUCAGCAACAUCAAGUAUUUUUGGAAAUCCUUCUUGUUCUUGUUUUUUUAUUUCUUUUUUUUGUCAAGAUGACCAUUUUUUCCCCGAAUGUUAUCGAGGGCAAAUAAAGCAUAUAUGCUUAACAUUGAAUAUAUUUUUAUAAAUAAAAGCUAACACGAACGUUAUGCCAAAGAAUCUGUUUAUAGGUAAACUAGGCCCAUUUAGGAUAGUAGCGUUGCCGAACAAGGCUUUGAUUUGAUUACUGUAAGUAUAUACUAAAUAUUUUUAAUAGAAUUUUUGGUUGGGCUGAAUGGUUGAGUAAAAUAAUUCAAAUGGUUUAAGUAACGAUUUUUUUAAUAUUUUAAAGAGUGCACAUGUUUUUUUUUUUGAAAAGAAACUUCCAUUAAAUCGAAGAAGAGAAUAAAUACAUCAAUUGUGAAGGGUAAGAACCCAUCCAAACAACAUUUUCACAUUUCUCUAAUGCUAACUUAGAUAGAGAAUGGGCAAUGGCAUUACAAGAUCUAUGAGUAUAUUUAAUGCUAACUAGCUCAAAAUUCCUCAUUAAGUUUUGAAUCUUCAAAAUUAUCCAAAAGAUCUCAGAAUUGCCGCCUUGCUUGUUGUUAACUAACUUGACUACGCUUUGAGCGUCUGAUUCAACAAUUAAAGCCUUUGCACUUGCAUUCCUAGCAAUCUGUAAUCCCUAUUCCAAGGCUUCUGCUUCAGCAAAGGAAACAUCUCCAUGAAAUUUCCAAAUCUUGAUUGCAGCUGCUAUGACAUUCCCCCGAUCAUCUCGGAUUAUAGCUCCGAGCCCUGCAAGGUGCUUUUCUGAGUUUGUAGCAGCAUCCACAUUGACUUUAACAAAUCCACUUCGGGGGGGAUUCCAAAUUCACUAAGCCUGAACCUACUGAAUUUCAUUUUGAGCUUGCUCUGGUUUUUGAACUCUUUUGUAAGCCUCCAUUACUGCUUCAGCUUUAGCAACCAGAGCCUGGGGGUAAAGAGUGCACAUGUUAAAAUUUAAUAGAUUAGUGUACAAAAUAAUAGAAAAUGGAACUAUCGUACUCUUACUCCGAAACUGCAAUUAGAGUCAACAUUCCAGUAAUUUCUUUACACAGUACUAUAUUACAACAAGCAAUAAUAGAGCAAUAAUAGAGUAAUAAUAUAGUUACAAAUUCUUGUAUAAAUAUUUUUGUAUACAAAUUGAUGUAGCAUGAUUUAAUUGGUUGGAUUAAAUAUCUAUUAGUUUGAAUGAUUUGUUUUUAUUAUUUUCUAUUUUCACUUAACCAAUGAGUUAAUGUCAAAUUAAUUUAUGCAAAAUAAGUUUGUGUAAGAGUUUAUAACUAUAUCAACGCUCACAAUAAUAUUGCUAGAGGAGUUGACUAUUACUUUUCCCUGGAGGCAUAAUAAGUUUACAGCCAUAGGUUGUGACAAUUACGCAAUUAACCUGGAGAAUGUUAAUGAUUCAACUGUGCCUAUGUUUGCACUUGGGAUCCCACUCAGAAAAGUGGUUGCUACGAUUUCCUGUGCUCUAUUCCUCCAAGUAUUAGUAAAUUUUUCAAUGCAAAAUAUGAAUUUCUAUGAAGAAUCCGUUGGCAUUUCACAGAAGCCCAAUAACAAAUACAUCCUCAAAAUAUCCAUCAAAGAUAUUUCAACAAGCUAGUCAAGUAAUGGGACAGGGAAUGGCUCUGUUCCUCAGAAUGAAUUGACGUCCUGUCCAGUGUCCCCCGUUGGCUUCUCAUCACAGAGAUGAAAAUUGAAAUUAGGCCAAUUAGAUUAAAGGCAAGACGGAAUGGAAAUAUUGAACCGUUAAUUAUUAUAGCCAUGACCCCUCUAAUUAAUGGCCCUUUGCCUUUCAAUAUUAUUGUAGGUAUUUGCAAGGAAACCUCCUCUAUCUUUCUUCCAAUUAAGACUUCUUGUGUCCAAUUACUGUCGAUUCUUUUUGAACGUGUAAAGGAUAGCAUCUUGAAGACUUGAGAGGGCCAGCGUUUAUUCAAAGUCAAGUACAGGGACAGGAAAUGGCCCUGUUCCUGAAGUAUGAACUGACGUCCCGUCCGGUGUCCCCUUGCCUACUCAUCAUACAAACAAAAAUUGAAAUUAGGCCAUUUAGAAUAAAGAUAAGACGGAAUGGAAAUAUGGGAUCGUUAAUUAUUAUAGCUAUGACCCAUCUAAUUUGCAAAUGGUUCUUUCCCUUUCAAUAUUAUCGUACGUAUUUGCAAGGAAACCUCCUCUCCCUUUCUUCCAAUUAAGACUUCUUCUGUCCAAUUACUGUCAAUUCUUUUUGAACGUGUAGAGAGGAUAAUAACUUGAAGACUUGAGGGCGCCGGCGUUUAUUCAAAGUCAAGACUUAAUUAGCCUGCAGGACUCUUGAUGGUGAGGGGAAGAGAAAAAGAUGAAAGGCGCUGGGUAUAAGACAUAUAAAACUUCAAUUACUUCAUAAAAUUGUUUUAUUUUUCAUUCGUCGUCACGUUGGGGAUUACCGCAAAUGACCCAUUUUAUUUUCAUCUCUAUGUAGGUCAGUAGGGUCACUGGAAAUCAACUGUUGUCUCUUUUUUCUCACUUACUGAGGAAUUUGGACAAUUAAACAAAACACAUCAAUUACCUCAAAUAUAUGAUGAAUAUCUAGAUUUUUUCGAAUCCACAUGAAGUGUGGAAAUACGACAUUCUCUCCAAAAAUAACCAGAUAUUUCACAUCUAUUACAAAUAUUUUCUUGAAUAUUAUGUUGGCCAGAUAUUUUCUCCUCAUUUUUCUCUUUUCCAUCGAUAAUAAUUUUUUUCAUAACCUCAACCUUGAUAAAAGCCACGACCAUGGUUACAACUAUGUCCACAGUCAAUAAUAAUCUUGCUGAGAAAUUAUUUCUAAUUAAUUUUUUUGUGGUGCUUUUAAUGACACAACAUAAUAACCUUUUUUUAUCUUUAUUUUGUUCCCAAUAAAUCUCAAAACUCACAAAUUUGCACCAUUAUACAUAUGAUAUCUUUUUUCUUCCGUUUAUUAGCUUUAUAGAAUUUUGAUAUAAUACGUGCGUCGCACUCAUAACAUGUACGGCCUGGCGCAUUAGAUUAUUUUUCUAACUUUAUAUAAGUAAAGUAUCUCUCUUAGCGUACAAAUAUAAUUUGAUGCGACGUGGCGCACUGGUCGCACUAGAUGAGUGCUCUAACUUUGUUUAAGUAAAAGCGUCUCCCUUAUUGUGCAAGCAUAAUUUGUAGUGGUUCGGCCCCAAAAUGGCAAAAUUUAUCACUCCAUCGCCUCAAAUUUUAAAAUCCGCAACUAUUGGGCUGUGUGGCGGGCUCGCCAAAGUCACAACCCAACCUUUAUCAUGGGCCCUUUCCAAAGCUAACUUGCACUCUCCAUAUUCUUCCUCUAUUAAAUAAAACCGAAUAUGAUGCAUAUUAACAGACUCUCACCAUUCACGUAUUUUAUAAUGAAUCUCGCACCAAUUCUAAGUUUUCAUUUUUUUCCUACAAAGAAGAAACUUUGGAGUCUUAGGCCCCGUUUGGUACUGUUUUGCAAGUUAUGUUUUCGUUUUCAUUUUUAUAAUACACACAUAAAUCAUGUUUGGUGGAUUUAUUUCACAAAAUAAAUUACAAAACACAAAAUCCGGAUUCAAUAUUAUAACUAUACAACUGAAAACAAGUUAAACAUGUUCUCCAAAUUUUACAAACUAAAUCCAAAAAUGAAUUAAAAAACAACAAAAAAAUCGUGACCCUGCAGCCCUCACUUUUCUCUUCACUGCAGCCCUCACUCUCAAUCCAGUUCACUGCAGCUCCCUCUUUCCCCUCAAUUUUCUCAAUCUAGUUGCAGCAAAUCUCUCUCUUGGUCGCUCUUGGUGUGCUAGCCACUGCCGCAGCUCUUUCUCCGCCGUAACCGCUGCUGCUCCGACUCCGUCCAGCUGCUGCUACUUCGUCUUUGCUCUCUCGGAUCUGCACUUGCUCUCUUGGUUCUUUGCUCUCUCGGAUCUUCGUCUACUGCUACUUCGUUGUUGCUCACUCGGAUCUGCACUUGCCCAACCAUUGUUGCUCUCCCGGAUCUGUCACUUGCUGGUGGGCAGUUGAAGCAUGUUAUCGGAAGGCCAAUAUUUAAAACUGAUCAGAAAGAAGAUUGCAUUUCAAUGGCAGUUCUGUAUUCACCUCCAAGCAUCACUAGCAGCAGCAGCAGCAGCAUCACCUACAUUCCUGAGAAGGGAAAAACUAUUUCCCUUGGCCAACAAUUUAUGAUUGCAAUAUUUUUAACUCUUUUGUAUCACUUUUUGGUUUAUGUUUACAAAAAAUUCUGAUUCUGUCAAGAUUUUUAUUUUUUAUUUUUUCCUUUCAAUUGAUGAAAAUCACACACAUUCACGUCCAUCAAUCAUGAUCCACAUUGUCUAUUGCCCUUUUUUUUUUAAAAAAAAAGUAAAGCUUUCAUUAUCAUUUAGAAUAAAUUUGUAAACAUACUUUGCUCAUUAUAAAAUUAUUGUUAUUAAAUAAUUUAUUUUUUCAUUGUUUUAAAAUUAUUUUCAUUUUAUCAAUAGAAUUGAUUAUAUCAAAUAUUAGGAUUAAAAUAUAGUUAGGGUCCAUAAUUAAUAAAGACAUUUUAGUGGGGAUAAUAUAAGGAUCUUAAAGGAGUGUGAAAAGCAUUACUCUAAUUUUUUUAAAAGAAUAUAUACAGUAUAUGAAUAGGCAUAUAAAAUUAAAGCCAACACCAAAUACACAAUUAAAGCCCAAAUUAAAAAAAAAUGAAAAGACUCAAAUUCUCCACCAAUCCGCCUAAAAAGAUAAGAAAAUAAGGUCUUAAUCAAAAACACUACACUAGCAUACCAAAUAUCUGGGUGGGUAUUUCCGUGGUAAAUGAUUCCCAAAUCUUCAAGUUGUAAGCUGUCCGCAUUGAGUAACAAAUAACCAAGUUCAAAAAGCAAGUUCAGGCUUUUAGUUAUCAAUAUUAAUGCAAAAAGUCAUAGCAAUGCAACCUUUAUGCUGAUUACAUUACUGAAAUUGAGUGGGGGAUUAAUAGCAUGUACUGAAAAUUGUAUGUUAUAAUAUUGAAUCCGGAUUUUGUGUUUAUUAGCUAAAUAAUUAAUGUUAAUUCUUAAAAUUUAUUAUCGUGUAAUUUUUUUAUAUUAAAUUUGGUUAAAUUAUUUUGUUGUAUUUGUGUGUAUUAGGUAAAUAAUUAUUUUAUGACUAUAAAUAUAAUGUAAAUGAUUAGUAAAAACUGUUUUUAAAAAAAGCAUUACCAAACGCAUAUUCUCUGUUUUAAUCAUUUUCAACUGUGUCUACCAAACGCAUAUUACUGUUUUCAGUUUUAAAAUAUAGGAUACAGAAAAUGAUACCAGACGCAUAUUUAAAUUCGAAAUACAGUAACUGCAAAACACCAUUUUCAUUUUCGUUUUUAUUCUCAGAAAAUACAAAUUCAAAAACAAUACCAAACAGACCCUUAGUGACUGCCUAUUUUUUUUUCUUAUCUCGAGGAAAAGAAAAAUGCUAUAAUAACCUAUCAAAUUAUCCAUUAAACCUAUUUAUUAAAUAAAUCACCGAUUAAAAUUUAAAAAUUCAAAUUUUUAUCUAAACUUACGUAUUUCAUUUCAUCAAUAAAUAAAAUUGUGGACUUUUGCCUCUAGUGUCUUAUUUGGUAACAAUUUUUGACUCUAGAACCAAACAUGCAGAGUUUGAUGUUCAUUUUAUAAGGUAUAAAGUACUCAAUGGAGAAAUGGAAGUGGUAGAUAUAUACCAACAAAGCAUAAUAAGAUGGGAAACAUGUUGUGCGCAAAAUGCGGAAUCAAACGCACCGAAUAAUCACAGAAAGGACACAAGAAUUAUGUGGUUCAACAAUAUGCCUACGUCCACGGGAGUAAGAGAAAAAAUAAUUGUAUUAUUAACAAUUAUUUGAAUACAAAUUUGAGUAAAGAAACCUCACUUUCCCAGAACCCAAAUACACCCAAUACUCUCACACACACUCUACAAUUGCUCACACUCUCAGAACUCUCAAAAGCUUAGAAACUUAUAAGCUUAACAAAUUUUUAGGAUGCAAAAACCUCUAUGAAUGAAGCUCUAUUUAUAGUUAAGCUUCAUUGCAAAAAGUCUUAAAGUAGUUGGCAAAAGUCCUAUAAUUUGGUGCCGACUUGAAAAACAAAAGAAAUGCAUGUGGGUCACCUUUUCUUUUUCAACCAAUUUGAAUAAACUCACCAAAAAUCUUUGACUUUUUAACAAUUCUCCACCUCGUCAAAGAUUUGUCCAAAUAUGAGUCGACUACCAAUAAACCAUCAUUCUCAAAGUGAUCAUUCAAUAAGGAUCCAGAAUGGCUGUGUCGCUUUGACUGCCUACGUACCCAAAAUUUGGGAUCAAGCCAACCGUAGUUCAAAAUUCCCGAAUGACAUAACUUAAUACAAUCGAAGGAUUUGAAUUAGUUUUAAGCAAUGUUGAAACUUAACUCUAGAAACUACCUUCGUCAACAUAUCUGAUGGAUUAUCUUUGGUAUCGAUCUUUCUCAACAACACAACACCGCUCUCGAUAAUCUCCCUCACAUAAUGAUAUUUCACAUCUAUGUGCUUUGACCGAGCGUGAUAUGUUUGAUUAUUCGCAAGGAAUAUCGCACUUUGAUUAUCGCAGAAGACCGCAAUGUUCUCUUGGAUUAUUCCUAAUUCACCUAACAAGCUUUUCAACCAGAUAGCUUCUUUUACAGCUUCAGUUGCUACCAUAUACUCUGCUUCCGUAGUGGACAGAGCAAUUGUCGAUUGUAAAAUCGACCUCCAGCUAACCGGACCUCCAUCCAAUGUGAAUAAGUAGCCCGUUGUUGAUCUUCGCUUAUCUAGGUCUUCGGCGAAAUCAGAAUCACAAUACCCAACACAUUGUUGACCACAAUCCUUCUUGAACAAUAACCCAACAUCAACUGUCCCAUACAGAUAUCAGAGAAUCCACUUUACCACAAGCCAGUAAUUUUUACCCGAAUUGUGCAUGUAUCUACUAACUAUGCUCACUAAUUGAGAUAUAUCGGGCCUUGUGCAUACCAUAGCAUACAUAAGACUACUCACAACACUAGCAUAUGGAACACGAGCCAUGUAAUCACGCUCUUUUUGAGAUCUAGGAUAUGAAGAAGAGCUUAAUUUGAAAUGAGGAGCUAGAGGUGUACAUACUGGUUUAGUUUUGUCAUCCAUACCGAAUCUUUCUAGCACUUUUUUCAAAUAAGACUUUUAAGUCAACCAUACGCUCCCAUUCUUCUUGUCUCUACGAAUCUCCAUCCCAAGUAUUCUCUGUGCAUCACCCAAGUCUUUCAUCUCGAACUCAAAAGCCAGCUGCUUCUUUAAUCUUUCGAUCUCAUCUCUAUUCUUCGAAGCUAUAAGUAUAUUGUCGACAUAGAGUAACAAAUAGAUGAAAGCUCCAUCUAGUAGUUUUCUGAAGUAAACACAAUGAUCGUGUUCACUUCUGGUGAAUUUCUGCCCUUGUAUAAAUUGAUCAAAUCUUUUGUACCACUGCCUUGGCAAUUGCUUCAGUCCGUACAAAAAUUUAAUCAACUUACACAAAUGAUUCUCCUUUCCAGCAACUCUAAAACCACAAAGCUGAGUCAUAUAGAUUUCCUCCUCCAAAUCUCCAUGUAAGAACGUUGUCUUAACAUCUAAUUGAGCCAACUCUAACUCAUAUUCUGCAAUUAAGGCAAGUAGGAUACGAAUGCACGUAUGUUUUAUAAUUGGAGAGAAAACUUCAUUGUAGUCAAUACAUUCCUUUUGAGCAAAACCUUUUGCAAGGAGCCUUGCCUUGUAUUGAAGAGUUGAUUGAUUUAGAGAUCCUUGCUUCUUGGUGUAGACCCAUUUAUUGCCAAUACCCUUUUUCCCCUUUGGUAACUCCACAAGUUCCCAAGUCUGGUUUUGAUGGAGAGAUUUCAUCUCUUCUUCCACGGCUAACUUCCAUUGAUCACUUUCACUGCUGCAUAAUGCUUCACCGAAAGUGUUGGGGAUGUCAUCAUUAAUAACUGGAAGUGCAUAGGCUACUACCAUAUCUUUAAUAAGCCAUCCAGAUUUUUUUAUCUCUCUUUUUAGCCUCCUUGUUGCUAUAAAAUCAUCGUUUUCUACAUCAUCAAUUGUUUCUUCAUUUUGGGGGACAUCAGAAGAAAUAACCUCUUCUUCAACUCUAAGUGUCACCUCCAUAGUUGAACCAUUCUUUGAUGUAGAACUAACUGGUACAUAUGAAGUUACAUCAAACUCUACCUGCUGCAAUACCUCUUUGGUCUUGUUCUCCACUUGCUGAGAACUUGAAGCUUCAUCAAACGUGACAUCUCUACUACACACAAACUUUUUAUCUUCGAGAUCCCAAAGCUUGAAGCCCUUUACUCCAUCUUUGAAUCCCACAAAGAUAACUUUUCUAGCACGAGGAUCGAAUUUACCAUUUUUGACAUGAUAAUAAGUUGGACACUCGAAUAUACGAAGGGAAUCAUAGUUUUGUGCAUGUUUUCCAGACCACAUUUCCAUAGGAUUUUUACCUCCAAUUACAGCAGAAGGAAACCGGUUUAUUAAGUGACUUGCGUAGCUCACAGCUUCAGCCCAAAACUUUUUAUCUAAACCAGCAUUAGAUAACAUACACUGUACUUUCUCCAGCAAAGUACGAUUCAUACACUCAACCACACCGUUCUGUUGCGGAGUAUGUCUCACCGUGAAAUGUCUUUUAAUACCCUUAUUCUGGCAUACUUGCAAGAAUAGAUCAGAAGUAUAUUCACCCCCAUUAUCAGAUCGUAAUACUUUGAUCUUUCUAUCAGUUUGAGUCUCCACCAAUUUCUUCCAUUUCACAAAAAUCUCUAGAACCUCAUCCUUUGCUCGCAUGGUAUACACCCACACACGUCUAGAGAAAUCAUCAACAAAUGUAACAAAAUAAUAGUUUCCACCAAUUGAUGCAGUCUUGGUUGGUCCCCAUACAUCACUGUGAACAUAUUCAAAGAUCUCACGAGUAUCGUGAUUAGCCGUACCAAACUUGACCCUUAUUUUCUUGCCUACUACACCAUGCUCACAGAAAUUUAAUUUACAGGUUUUGGUACCUUUUAGAAGUUCAUACCUCAUCAGAGUUUUCAAAGACUUCUCUCAAGCAUGUCCUAGUAGAACAUGCCAUAACUUGGUGGUGUCACUGUGGGCCUCAGCAACAUUUGCUUCAUCAGUUGUACCUCCCUUCAAAUAGUACAAAUUGUGACGCCAAACUCCCUGCAGAAUGACUAUAGCCCUAUGUGCAAACUUCAUUGUGCCAUCUUCAAUAGUAACCUUGUAGCCUUUAGCUUCCAACGCACCCACAUAAAUUAGAUUUUUCUUUAAAGCUGGAACAAAUCUAAUCUCUUUAAGUUCUCUAAUCGUUCCAUCAAACAUUUUGAGCCGAAUUGUUCCUAUCCCCAUUGUACGACAAUGUUGAUCAUUCCUCAUCACAACAGCACCGGAUUCCAGAUUACGAAAAUCCGUAAACUAUUCUUUAAUAGGACACAAAUGAUAGGUUGCCCCAGUAUCAAGUAUCCACUCGCUCGAACUAGCCACGUAUGCUGCAGGAGUAAUAAUUAGUGAAUAAUCAAAGUCCUCAUCUUUUCGUGCCAUGUUUGUUGAUGCGGGUUUCUUCCCAUCUCUCUUUUGAGCUUUUGGACAAUUUUUCCUCCAAUGGCUUUUUUCAUGACAAAAGCCACACUCGUCUCGAGCUAUAUUUCUACUUCUCGAUUUAGAUCGAAAAUUCUUUCCACCAUGCUUAUUCUUUUUCUCCAUCGCCUAAUCUCUGCUCACCAAAGCUUCAGACGAUGCAUGUUCAUAAUUUUUAUCAUUAUUUCAAAUCUCUAAGUUAGUCAAUGCUGUGCAAACAUCUUUGAAGAUGAUCACACUUUUCCCAUAUAUCAAGGUAGUCACAAAAUGGCUAUAUUCCUCUGGUAGUGAGUGUAACAAAAUCAUAACCUUGACUUCAUCCUUAAUAUCUUCAUCAAGAUUCUUCAAAUCAGCAAGUAACUCUGGUAGUGUGUGAUGGUGCUAAGUCUUCACUUAGCCAGUCACUCAACAAUAUCUAGCGGAAGCAAAUAAAGUAACAAGCAUGCAAAGAUCCACAAUGGAGGUUUACGUAAGAGACUAAUUGAUGGUAUUCGAAGUCAGCAAAAAUAAAUACAUACUCUAAAUAAAUUGUGUAUAGUGAUUGAGUAGGGUCGUGUCCACAGAGAUUGGUAAUUAUUUAAAUCUUUUUAAAAUGAAAAAUGCAAAAUGGGGGAAUUGUUGACAAUAAUAAAAAUCAAAUUAAAAUAACAAGAAUGCAAAUUAAAAUUGUAAUUCAAAUUGGGAAAAGCUUUGGUUGAAGGAAUUAACUCAGCUUGAUUCGACUACUGAUCAUUGAUUCAAAUAUAAAUCAUUACUAUUAUGAAUAGACCAGUUAUAGCUACUGAGACCCUCUAAUAGCCAAUCUCUCCUUAACUAGUCGAUAACCAAGGUACGACCAUUGGUUAUUUCCCUAAUCAAUAGACAACCCUAGAUACGAUCAUAGGGUUUAAUCAAUUGACAGCCUGAAAAACCAGAGAGACCCAAAUCCUAAUCAACAAACGCAUACGAUGGUUCAUUUAAAUUAGAUUGUUUAUUCUCAUAACACAACGCACUGCUAUGCUAUUUUGUCACAAACAUUAAAAUCUUCAUACGAUGAAUCUUUUAAUUGACAAUAGAUUAAGUUGAUAAUUAAAUAGUGGCCAAUUAUCUAAUUAACAAACAUAAUCAUGACAAUAAUUUAGAGAAUGAACAAAUAUCCAAAAAGUAAUAAAACAAUUAAAGCAUAAGAAAGAUCUCACAGUAAUGAUGAAUCAAAGCUUUAUUAACCUUCAACCAGAAUAAUAGAUUUAGUUCUUCAUAGAGAGAAGAGAAAAAUUUAGAUCUAGAGUUUCUUUUUCUUCCCUCCUCUUGAAAAAUUCUCCUCCCCUUUGUUUUUCAUGUCUCCUUUCUCUUAUAGAGUUUUUCCAAAAAUAAAAUACUAAUAUCUAAAAUAUUAUCUAAAUAUUAAAUUCAAAAUUACAAAAAUAACCAAAAAGGUAAAACACGUUAAAAUAAAAACUGCAGGUCCUUAGUCGACAGCACGCGCCCAUGCCUUAUCAACAAAGUUCUUCUGAAGCUCAUAAUUUCUCUAGGAAAACAAUCAUCUUCAAACAUCAUCUUGUAGCUCAAUUUUAGCACCAAUCAAUAGAAUUGUACCUACAAAAAUAAAACAGAAGUAAAUCACUAUUAUUAAGUGCAAAACAUCGAUAUUAAAGGAAGUAAACAAUGCAAAAUUAGUGCAUAGAUUGCACUCUAACAAAUUCCCCCACACCAAGAUAAUGCUUGUCCUCAAGCAUAUAACUCAAGACUAAUCUCAAAUCUCCACUCAAUUCUCAUCUCAACUCAUCCAAAAACAAUCUUAAGCAAAUAUAUCUUAAGAAUUUAAGUCAAUCAACAUUCGAGAGACAAGGAUUUUAAAGCAUAGGAUCUCAUAAGCUAGUAUAAAAACAUUCAACCACCCAGAAAAUCCAUUCAAAAUUCAAGUGCAACAAGUUUUAAUAGCCCUCUCAUUGACUUCACUCCAUCUCAAAGUGUUUAGGGUAUCAUUUAUGCACUCCAAUCAAAUCAAAGAAUGCUAUUACCGUAAGCUUGCUCAUAUAUCACAUCUCAAUCCACAAAACAAGAAUUAAAUGCAAAAAUUUAAGGGUCUUAAAAAGGUUGUAACGGGGUUAAAUGGGUUGAAUGAAAAAUAAAGGUCUAUGAAAGAAAAAGAGGUCAAAAUGAGAAGAAUGAACUCAUUGAAUGAACCUUAUGAUAUCAAAAUGCUUAUUUCUACUCAAGUCGCCAAGAAUGUAAACACUUUUUUUUUCAUUCAUUUUUUUUUCAGUAAUGGUGAACCAAACAAAAGAAAUGAACCUUGCAUAAUUUAAUUCAAGCAUAAUGCUUGUUGAUCUAAUUGAGAAACUUUAAUUCAAGGUAGCAAGAGCAACAAAAUAUAUACAAAAUAUAUCCAAACAAUGAGUCCAAAAAUCUCCUUAAAUUGAGGCUCAAAAAGAAGGAAAAUGGGUAAGUAGUUGGAGAGAAUUAGAUGGGUAAAAAUAAUAAUAAUAAUAAAACAAGUGAAGAGAAUGCUUAAGGCUCAAACAAAGAUAACAAAUAAAGGUCUUCGGGUGGAGAAAAAGAAGAAAAAUGCGAAAAUAGAAAAAUGGAAAUUGGUUUGCCCUUAUCAUUUUAGUGCAUAAAAUCCCGUAAUGCAGCUUCAACAUGCAUAACAAAGCAAGUUCUAGCAUAAACAAACUAAGAUUGAUAUUCACAUAACAAAAAUAAUUAGAGCAAAGUGGUUGCUCAUAGGCUCAAAUCCUCACAAAGUUGGUAAAUUUGCCAUCAAAUCAUGUACACUCUUCAAAUGAAUCAACCAUCAAUAGUGGUGUAGAAUGAAAAGAAGAUAUGAGUGAUAUAUAAAAGGAAAGGUAAAAAGGAUAAGAAGCGAGAAAGAUAUAUGUAGUAAUAUAAAAAAUAAAAAUAGAUGUAAAUAAUUUGAAAUAGAUGGGAAAAGAGUAGUGAGAAAGAAAAGAAAAUUAAAAAUAAUAUAUGAAGCAUACUAACUCCAAAAUCAUUUAAGGAUGAACAGAGUGAAAAUAAUACUUUCAGACAUCAAUAUUGCAAAAAUCCCUCCCCCACACCAUGAACUCACAUUGUCCUCAAUGUAUGAUAAUCAAAGCUCACAUAAAGAAAUAAAGCGUAAGGAUACAAGAUUAAAGGCAAAACGUCCCUGAAUUGUGAGCUUUGAUCCACAUAACGUAUAUGGGCUUGGCGGAAAUGGUGGGAUAAAUCCCACACUCUCGAAGUAUGCGGCCAAAUUCUGCUCCAUCUUGUUCAGCUUGUGCUCCAUUUUCUCUAACUAAAUGCUCAAAGGUGGUGCAGAUGUAGAAGGAAUAGUUGGUGGGGCAGCAGUUUCGUCGUCAAACUUGUCAUCAGAGGUAGCACCACUCCUAGCAUAAAGCUUCUUUAGAAGUUGAGUGGGUCCUGGUUCAGUAAACUGAAAUCUCCCCUCCUUGAAUUCGACCACACCUGUUUUUUCAAACAAAGACAUAUCCAAAAAUUCCUUUUUGCAAGCAGGAUGUAAAUCAUUAUUGUUAGGAUCAAGCACACAUAAGUUUAUAGCUAACAGAGUAAUGUAUGGACCAAGAAAUAAAGUCCUAUACCUUUUAAGCACACUCUGAAAUUGAUCUGCUAACCAAAAACCUAGAUUAGGCCUCACAUAAUUUAACAUGCACCAGAUAAAAUAAAACUCAGUUUGAGAGAAAACUUCAGAGUAAUCUUUCUUUCAUAAAAAGUUAUAUGCUAAGAACCGAUGCACACAUUUCAAAAUAUGAUCACGUAAGAAAGAGCUCUUUGAUUUACUCGGGUCAUAGGCAUUGUGAUCAAAAGAUAAAUUACGCCAAAGACCAUAAGGCUCAAAAUUUUCUCUAAAAUCACAAGUUGUCCCUAAAGAUGCAUCAUUAGAAGAAUAAUCAUCAUCAAUGAAUCCUAAAGCUAGGUUAAAAUCUGUGAUAGAUUAUGAAAAAUUUCGUCCCAUUAACCUAAACUUUAUAACAUUCGGAGUAUGCAAAGUAAAAUUAUUUGGUAUAUUAAAUUGAAAAGUAGCAUAGAACUCCCUAAUCAACUCAACAUAACCGAAACAAUCAACAUCAACAAAAUUACGCAAACCAAUCUUAUCUAUCAAAGAAUUAAAAUUAUCUUUAACAUUCAAUUAUUCAAGAGUCGGGUAAUGAAUAUACUUAGCUGGAAGUAUUUUUCGCUUGGAAAUAUCUUUGUACUUUUCUUUCUUUUGUUGAGCCGUGAAUGUGAGGCACCCUCCGAGGUUGGAUUUAGCAAGUGGCAAAACACUCAUGCCUUUUCCAUGUUUCGAUCUUUGUCUCACGGCUCGGCGUGAAUUUGAAACUGUGUUCCAUGGGACCGUAGUGGGAGCAGCAGUCUUGGAUUUCUUUGCGACGGGUUUUGUUUUAGACGUUGAUGACUUGGAAGUUGAUGCUUUCCUCUUCGGCAUUGUUACAGUAAUUUCACUCACGGGUUUUGUUUGAAUGCGAAAAGCGGCGGUUCUUUGAACAGAGGAGAGUGAGGCUGUGCGAGUUGCUGGACGCGGCAAGGAUGUGCUGGAAACCGAUUGCAACGCGCUGGAAACACUGGUACAGUUGGUUGCUGGACUGGUUGUGCUGCUGGAGUGAGGAGAUGCGGCUGGUGCUGCGCUGCUGGUUGCUGGAGAUGCGGCUGCUGGAGUGAGGAGACGCGGCUGGGGACGCGAGACGUGGCUACUGACGGGAUGUUGGAUGCGGCUGCUGCUGGGAUGCCAGUCAUACGUUAGGGAUUAAAACCCUGAAAAAAAAACCUUUUUUCCGAUUAAUUUUUCAAAUAAAAUAAAAAAAAACCUUUUUUUUUCGAUUUUUUUGUAUCAAAUAAAAUAAAAAAAUAAAAUAUAUAAAAAAAACCUUUUUUAUUUUUUUAUUAUUGAAACUAAAAACUAAAAGAGACUUGAGACAUAAAAAAAAAUUCCAGAAGUACUUUUUUAAUAAGCAUAUGGGCAGCCCUUAAAACUAUUUUACUUUAAAAUCACAAAACUACUUAUUAGUAAAAACAUGGGCACGCCUAACCAAAAAUUUUCUUCUGGCCAAAAUAAGAAAAAACAUUAUUUAAACAAUCUGAAUCAAAAUUAAAACAAAUGAUAUAACAAAAAUCAAAAUAAAUAAAUCAUUUGGGUUGCCUUCCAAAAAGCGCAUUUGUUUUAUGUCUUUGGCUAGACACAUUCAUGCAUCAAUCUUCAUAAAUUGGACUCUCGAGAGCCACUUCCUCCACAAUAUACACCAAAAAACCUUUAUAAAAAGGUUUUAAGCGAUGUCCAUUAACCUUAAAAACUUUGUCAGAGGUUGGACUCCGAAUCUCAACUGCACCAUGAGGAAAAAUAUUAGUAACAAUAAAAGGUCCUACCCAACAAGAGCGUAAUUUACCAGGAAAAAGUUUAAGCUUAGAAUGAAAAAGAAGAACUUUUUGACCAACAAAGAACUCCUUUCUCAAAAUCAUUCUGUCAUGAAAUGUCUUCGUCUUUUCCUUGUAAAAUCGCGAACUCUCAUACGAUUUGUUUCGAAUCUCCUCCAACUCUUGCAGCUGCAACUUUCUCUGCUUUCCCGCUUCAUCCAUCCGCAUAUUGCAUUGUUUAACCGCCCAGUAUGCUCUGUGCUCAAGCUCUACAGGUAAAUGACAAGGAUUACCAAAUACUAAACGAUAAGGAGACAUACCUAUGAGAGUUUUGUACGUGGUGCGAUACACCCACAAUGCAUCAUCUAAUCGUAAGCUCCAAUCCUUUCGAUUUAGACCAACCGUCUUUUCAAGAAUAGACUUGAUUUCUUUGUUUGAUAUCUCAGCUUGUCCACUUGUUUGUGGAUGAUAGGCGGUAGUCACUCGGUGGGUAACAUGAUAUCUCUUAAACAAAGCCUCCACCACCCGAUUACAGAAAUGAGUGUCUCUAUCACUUAUCACUGCUCUCGGUACACCAAACCUGAGAAAAAUAUUAGACUCGACAAAAUCUACAACUUCAUCAUUGUUAGUCCGGGUGGCCUUAGCCUCUACCCACUUAGAAACGUAAUCCACUGCUAAAAGAAUGUAAGCAUUGCCAAAAGAUGAGAGAAAAGGUCCCAUAAAAUCAAUGCCCCACACAUCGAAUAUUUCACACACAAGAAUAAGGGUAAGUGGCAUUUGAUUCUUAUGACUUAAAUUGCCAGCCUUUUAACAAUUCUCACACGACUUACAAAACAUGUAUGAAUCAUAAAAUAAAGUAGGCCAAAAUAUACCACAUUCUAACACCUUAGAUGCUGUCCUUUUGGGACCAAAAUGACCACCACAUGCAUAUGAGUGACAAAACUGAAGAAUAAAAGUUAUUUCAAACUCAGAUACGCACCUUCUGAUGACUUGGUCAGAGCAAUGUUUCCACAAGUAAGGGUCAUCCCAAACAUAGUACUUAGCAUCGCUUUUAAUCUUAUCUUUUUGAGCCCUCGUCAGAUCACUAGGUAGAGUUCUUGUAACUAAGUAAUUGACAAUGUCAGCGUACCAAGGAACCAUACCUUGAGUUACAAAGAGAUGCUCAUUUGGAAAAUCAUCCUUCAAAGGUGUUACUUCUUCACUCGUGGUCAAUCUACUAAGGUGGUCUGCAACCAAGUUUUCUGCUCCUUUCUUGUCACGGAUCUCCAAGUUGAACUCUUGAAGUAGUAGGAUCUAGCGGACGAGUCUCGGUUUCGCUUCCUUCUUGGCGAGCAAAUAUUUGAGAGCUGCAUGGUCAGAAAAAAUAAUCACUUUAGUGCCCAAUAAAUAUGAACGGAAAUUUUCUAAAGCAAAAACCAUAGCCAAAAUUUCUUUUUCCGUUGUUGCGUAAUAUAUCACAUGAGCAGCUCUUCCAACCAUUUGUCGGAGAACAACACCAACAGCAUAGUUACUGGCGUCGCACAUUAUCUCACAAGGGAGGCUCCAGUCGGGUGGCUGUAUAAUUGGAGCUGAAGUCAAUAACUCCUUGAGCUUAUCAAAUACUACCUUGCAUGCUUCAUUAAAAUCAAACGUCACAUCUUUCUGAAGCAGCUUGCAUAGAGGCUGAGCUAUCUUCGAAAAAUCCUUGAUAAAACGUCGAUAGAAACUUGCGUGACCAAGGAAAAAACGAACUUCCCGCACACAUGUGGGAUAGGGUAAAGAUUUAAUAACAUUUAUCUUACCUUUAUCUAUCUCAAUUCUUCUAGCAGAGACUACAUGACUUAAAAUAAUGCCUUGAUCUACCAUAAAAUGACAUUUUUCAUAAUUCAAGAUAAGGUUUGUUUCAAUGCAUCUUUCAAGCACUUUCUUCAGAUUAUAGAGACAAUCAUCAAAAGAAUCAGCAUAGACAGUAAAAUCAUCCAUAAAUACCUCUAUAAUGUUCUCUACAUAGUCUAAAAAAAUACUGACCAUGCACCUCUGAAAAGUGGCGGGAGCGUUACAAAGACCCAAUGGCAUACGUCAGUAUGCAAAGGUUCCGAAAGGACAUGUAAAGGUAGUCUUCUUCUGAUCCUCAAGGGCAACUGGUAUCUGAUGAAAACCUGAAUAGCCAUCAAGACAACAAAAGUGAGAUUUUCUGCCAACCUUUCAAGCAUCUGAUGAAUAAAAGAAAUAGGAAAAUGAUCAUUCCUUGUGAGUGAAUUAAGCUUUCUAAAAUCAAUACAAACCCUCCACCCAUUCUGAACUCGGGUGGGUACUAACUCACCAUAAGAAUUCUCAACAAUUGUUAUAUCAGUUUUCUUCGGUACCACUUGUACCGAACUUACCCAUUUGCUAUCCGAAAUUGGAUAGAUUAUACCUGCAUUAAGAACUUUCAGAAUUUCUUUCUUCACUACUUCCAUCAUGAGUGGAUUCAAACGGCGUUGAGCUUGAAUCGAAGGUUUGGCAUCUUCCUCCAGCAGUAUUCUAUGCAUGCACGUGGAUGGACUUAUCCCUUUAAUAUCAGCAAUUGUCCACCCAAUAGCCUUUUUGUAAUCCUUCAACACUCUAAUAAGCUUUUCUUCCUCUAAAGUAUUAAGCUUUGAAGAGAUGAUCACCAGAAGUGUCUCACUAUCUCCUAGAAACAUGUACUUUAGAUGACUCGGCAGUGGUUUAAGCUCUAUUUUCGGUGCCUGCAAAAUAGAUGGAAGAAGUUUUACAUGAGAUAAAAGUAAUUCAAUAUAAGACAUAUGAUGAGUUAAAGUUCUCAAAGAAUUUAAUUCAUAAAUUGUCUCUUGCAAUACAGAAUUUAAAACAAACUCAUUUUCAUCAUUUUGCAAUCCUUUGAGGCCUAAACUGUUAUUUAAAGCAGCUAUCAAUGAAUCUUCAACAUCCAAAUAAAAAACUUCCUGCACUAUAGGGUUAAUAACAUCCACAGAAAAUACCGAAUGUUCCUCACGAGGAUAUUUCAUGGCAUAAUUCAUAUUGAACUCUAUAACCUCUCUAUCAAACUCCAUAGUGAGAGUGCCUUUAUGUACAUCCAUUUUAGUCCUAGCAGUCUUAAGAAAAGGUCUUCCUAGCAAAAUUAGGACAUAAUUAGAAGAGUUAUCCUCUUCCAUAUCAAGUACAUAAAAAUCAGUAGGAAAAACCAACUCAUUAACUUGUACUAAGACAUCUUCUAAUACCCCAUCAUGAUAUGCAUUAGACUUAUUAGCUAGUUGAAUUAUCACGCCAGUUUCUUUUAAUGGACCAACAUUCAAAGAUGAAUAAAUAGAAUGAGACAUGACAUUAAUAGAAGCUCCUAGAUCUAACAUAGCCUUUUCAACUCUAACACUACCAAUUUUGCAAGGGAUAGUAAACAUACCUAGAUCCUUGCACUUAGGAGGUAGUUUCUUUUGGAGAACUGCUGAAACAUUCUCCCCCAUGUGAACUCUUUCAUCUCCUCUUAAUUUUCUCUUGGAGGUGCACAGCUCCUUAAGGAAUUUAGCAUAUCGAGGUAUUUUUUUAUAGCAUCUAAUAAAGGAAUAUUUACCUCAACCUUGCGAAAUGUCUCAAGAAUGUCUUUCUCUUGUUCCUCCUUCUUGGAUUUUGCAAACUGGCUUGGAAAAAGAAGAGGUAUCACCACAAGUAGGGGUUUUGCUCUGGUGGGUUGAGCAUCUUGAGAUUUAGGCAUCAAUUCAUUCUUCUCAAGCUCAUCUUCUACAUGCUUUGUCACUUUCUUACUAGGCUCUUGCAACUCCUUCCCACUUUUAAGGAUGACAGCACUAGCGUUUUGCUUUGGAUUCACCUAAGAUUGUGAAGGCAAUCUCCCUGAUGCUUGAGACUCCAGGCGGCUUAUUGUAGUCGCCAAUUGACUAAUUUGGUUCUCCAAAUUCUAAAUGCUUGUUGUAGUUGCCUGAUAAAAUUGUUGAGUAUUAGUCCAAGUGAUUUAAUAAUUUCUUCAAGAGAUAUACCUGACUUGGAGUUUGACUGUGGAGGGGCUGGUUGUCUUGGUGAGUAUUGUUGUGGGAAUCCUGAUGGUCUAACUCCAUAGCUGAAGUUGGGAUGAUCCUUCCAUCCCGGAUUGUAUGUUUGUGCAUAAGGAUCAUACCUCCUCUGAGGCAUGCCUGGAAAUCCUCCAACUACAUUGGCUUGUUCAACGAGUUCUUCUUGAAGUGUCGGACACAUAUCAGUUGAAUGACCAUAUUAGAACAAAUGCCACAAGUCUUCACCUGUUGCACAUUACCUACAAUAAACUUUUUCACAAGAGAAGUAAGUUUAUCUAAACGUUGUUCAAUAGAAGAAAUAUUUACCUCAUUCACCUUCCUUAAAGUGGGAUCUUGCAUGCUGCCAAACUGUUGUGCAUUGGCAGCCAUAUUUAAGAUCAACUCCCUUACUUGAGUAGGGGUCUUGUUCACCAAUACACCUCCACUAGCAGCAUCUAUCAUACUCCUAUCCAUCAAUGACAGUCCUUCGUAAAAGUAUUGAAUAAGAAGUUGAUAAAAAAUCUGAUGCUGAGGACAACUAGCACACAAUUGUUUGAAUCGCUCCCAAUACUCAUACAAAGUCUCCCUAGGAAGUUGUCUGAUCCUAAAAAUAUCUUUUCUGAUGUUAGCAGCUCUUGAAGCAGAAAAGUACUUCUUAAGGAACUGCUUCUUCAAACCAUUCCACAUUGUAAUCGAUCCAGGAGGCAAGUAGUACAACCAGUCUUUAGCUAGCCCAUCUAAAAAGAAAGGAAAAUCACGCAGCUUAAUCUGCUCUUCAGUCACGCCUUGUGGCCUCAUACUUGAAUAGACAACAUGAAACUCCUUGAGAUGUUUAUGAGAAUCUUCACCGGCAAAACCAUGAAACUUGGGUAACAAAUGAAUAAGACCAGACUUUAAUUCAAAAUUUACCUCCAAGUCUACAUAUUGAAUGCAGAGUGGUUGCUGAUUCAAGUUUGGUUCAGCUAACUCUCUAAGAGUUCUUUCUACAAGUGUAACUCUAUCCAUCACUUGUUCUUCUGAAUCGCUAGAUGAUUCAACCAAAUCAGGCACCGUAUCUGUUUCAUAAAGCAAAGGCGACGAGGAUUGUUACUUAGCUCACUUCGUCUGCUGUCUCAGCUGGUGAGCUGUCUUCUUAAUUUCAGGAUCAAACGAAAGUGUACCUGUACGAGAAGUACGAACCAUACACCAAGUAAAACGUAAAAAGGAUUAAAUAAACGACACCAAUCCCCGGCAACGGCGCCAAAAUUUGAUGGUUGUCGAAGCCUGCAAAAAUAAAUAACUACUCUAAAUAAAUUGUGUAUAGUGAUUGAGCAGGGUCGUGUCCACAGAGAUUGAUAAUUAUUUAAAUCCUUUUAAAAUGAAAAAUGCAAAAUGGGGGAAUUGUUGACAAUAAUAAAAAUCAAAUUAAAAUAACAAGAAUGCAAAUUAAAAUUGUAAUUCAAAUUGGGAAAAGCUCUAGUUGAAGGAAUUAACUCAGCUUGAUUCGACUACUGAUCAUUGAUUCAAAUAUAAAUCAUUACUACUUAUGAAUAGACCGGUUAUAGCUACUGAGACCCUCUAAUAGCCAAUCUCUCCUUAACUAGUUGAUAGCCAAGGUACGACCAUUGGUUAUUUCCCUAAUCAAUAGACAACCCUAGAUACGAUCAUAGGGUUUAAUCAAUUGACAGUCUGAAAAACCAGAGAGACCCAAAUCUUAAUCAACAAACGCAUACGAUGAUUCAUUUAAAUUAGAUUAUUUAUUCUCAUAACACAACGCACUGCUAUGCUAUUUGUCACAAACAUUAAAAUCUUCAUACGAUGAAUCUUUUAAUUGACAAUAGAUUAAGCUGAUAAUUAAAUAGUGGCCAAUUAUCUAAUUAACAAACAUAAUCAUGACAAUAAUUUAGAGAAUAAACAAAUACCCAAAAAGUAAUAAAACAAUUAAAGCAUAAGAAAGAUCUCACAGUAAUGAUGAAUCAAAGCUUUAUUAACCUUCAACCAGAAUAAUAAGUUUAGUUCUUCAUAGAGAGAAGAGAAAAAUUUAGAUCUAGGGUUUCUUUUUCUUUCCUCCUCUAGAAAAAUUCUCAUCCCCUUUGUGUUUCAUGUCUCCUUUCUCUUAUAGAGUUUUUCCAAAAAUAAAAUACUAAUAUCUAAAAUAUUAUCUAAAUAUUAAAUUCAAAAUUACAAAAAUAACCAAAAAGGUAAAACACGUUAAAAUAAAAACUGCAGGUCCUUAGUCGACAGCACGCGUCCAUGCCUUAUCAACAAAGUUCUUCUGAAGCUCAUAAUUUCUCCAGGAAAACAAUCAUCCUCAAACAUCAUCUUAUAGCUUAAUUUUAGCACCAAUCAAUAGAAUUGCACCUACAAAAAUAAAAUACAAGUAAAUCACUAUUAUUAAGUGCAAAACAUUGAUAUUAAAGGAAGUAAACAAUGCAAAAGUAGUGCAUAGAUUGCACUCUAACACUAAUUCCACCAACAACAAAGAACUAAAACCACAAGGAUUAAAAUACACAAAAAUACACACAUUUGCUUUUUACGGAGGUCCCAACAGUGAAUUUUCUAUUUCUGUAAAUUUGAAAAGAUAACAAAUAACUCAGGGUUUUGCAUGCUCAAGGACACCACUCUAUUUACCAAAACUCAGGAUCCCCAAAACAUACUUUCCCAUCACUAUAUAUAAGGCGAGGAGGCACACUGCCCUCGUUCCAUCUCAAUUAUUUCUUCUAAUGUUUAGGCACUACUAAGCAUGUUGUGAGGAAGCACAUCUCCACUCCCCCUUGAGUAAAACAACCGCUACCCACUUAGCCUAGAAGUAAGGAUGUCAUGGAGUGUAACCGUCGCUGCCCACCUUUCUUGAUGAGUAACCGUCACAGCCUACUUCCUUUGCCCCCAUUUUCUAGGCAUGUUAUCCAAGGUCAUGCUCUCUCAUUAGUUACACCCACAACUACCUACUUCAUGCUUAAUUUUAGGUCUCAUUUUUAUUUAUAGCCAAUAAGCUCCACAUUCAACUGCCAUUGUUUGCACACAGAGUGCGUGCAAACGCCUCUUAUCUUUGCAUAGUUUGGCCCCUGUGCAUUCCCUAUUGUGAUACGCUACCUCUACAUACGUUUGCGCUACUGCCACGCGUCAUCCCGUGCGUCCUUUGGGCCCUAUGCGUCCUGCGGUCCUGCACCAUAUGCGUCCUACGUUCACGACCUACACGUCCACACACUUAUGAGAUGUUGCGUGCGUUGUCGAUGGCUUCAAACCCGACAUAAAUUUGAAGAGCUUGUCCUCAUCUAACUCGUUCUUAAUGUACAACAUUAGUGAACUGAAUUCCUUAAUGUAAUACCUCAUUAAUUCAUUAUGCCUUAGCUUUUUCUUCAAGCUUUCUCUCGCGAGCCAGCUAGUAUAUCCUGGUAGGAACUGACCCUUUAGUUUUCAUUUGAGUUUGUCCUAUAUUUCUAUUGCUGAUCACUGCACUUCAACAUCUUCUUAAAGUCUGCUCCAUAUCCCACAUAAAACUCUUCAACUCUUUGGCAUUCCGAGUCCCAUUAUAAGUCUUAGGUUUGGGCACCUUAACUUUCAAAAGUCCAUCCUUCGAACGAGAAGUGUUGUUUGCUGCCCGCUUCAACAACCCAACUUCCGUUUCGAGAUCCCCAAUGUCAACUUUCAGCACCUUCGCUAAUGCAGCAACAUCCUUAUCAUCUUAUUUAGCUUGUCCAAAAACUCAUUCACAAACUCUGUGCAAGUUAGUCUCACACUUGGUAUCUUGAUGGAGUUGAUUUCUUUGUUCUCAGCCAAACUCUCCAAGUCAGGUUGUAAAAUACCUACAAUUGCCUCCAAGUGCACUGACUUGUCCUUUGUUGAUGGCCUCAUCAUUUUGGUUUCUGUCAUUGUUAAUUUCUCCGAAAUUAUACAACUUUACUAUUGCACCGUAGCUUCCCUAAAACCACACAAUCAGCUGUUUGCAAACUAAUUUUAAUUGAAGCUUGCAAUCAAUUGCCACCUACAACAAGUUAUAAUCGUGCUUUGUAACUGAAUUCUGCAAACCCAACUAUGCCUUCUAAUAUUAGUUUCUUCUCAAAAUGAAGCAACCUUUUCUUUGAUACUAGUUGUCACCGAGACUUAUCUUAAGGAUGUGGCAACCCCACGUGAUGGUGUUAAGUCUCUGUUUAGCCAGCCACUCAACAAUGCUAACGAAAGCAAAUAAAGCAACAAGCAUGCAAAGACUCAUAAUGGAGGUCUUACAUGAAAGAUUGAUUCCACCAACAAAAGGAAACUAAAAUAGCGAGUAUUAAAGUUCACAAAAAUGCAUACUAUUUGCUUUUUACGAAGGUCCCAACCCCUAAAUUUUCUAUUUCUGCAAAUAAGAAAAGAUUACAAAUAGCUCAAGGGUUUUGUAUGCUCAACAACACUACUCUCUCUACCAAGACCUGGGAUCGCCAAGACAUACAUUCCCAUCACUAUAUAUACUAGUUUGCAAAUGACGCCCCCGUUUGCUAAGGCAAGGUGGAGCACAACCCUCGCACUACCUCAAUUCUUCUCCUAAAGUUUAGGCAUCAUUAAACAUGUUGUGAGGAAGCACAUCUCUACUCCCUCUCGAAUAAAGCAACCACUACUCGCUUAGCCUAGUUGUAAGGAUAUUAUAGAGUGUAACCAGCAGUGCCCACCUCUCUUGAUAAGUAACCACCACUGCCUACUUCUUUUACCCCUAUUUUCUACGCAUGUGAUCCAAGGCCAUGUUCUCCCAUUAGUUGCACCCACAACUACCCACUUCAUGUUUGAUUUUAGGUCCUACUUUCGAAGAAUUUGUAGCUAACAUGCUCUGCAUUCAACCACCACUGUCCCCACACAGUGAGUGCGCGAACGCCUCUUAUCUUCGCAUAGUUUGGCCCCCGUAUAUGUCCCACUGUGCUGCAAGUUUGUACGCAACCCCCGCAUGCAUUUGCGCUACUGCCUCGCGCCAUCCUGCAUUCUACCCACAUGGCCUGUGCGUGUCCUAUACGUCCCGCACGCCCCAUGCAUCCCCUGCCCGCAUGCCCCAUGCUUCCAGUGCUCGCACACCUGCAUUUCCAUGCGCUUAUGAGAUAUUGUGUGCAUUGCCACUGCAUGCCCUUGCGCACGCUUUCUCACUCUCUCUGUGCUUUUCCUUUAGCUUACGCUUGUUACCGUGCCCCAAUCUACGCAUUAGCCUUGCCUUACUUUCGUGUUUGCCUAGGAGCAUGCUCAUGUUGCUUCCACGCUUGGCAUAAGGCGACAAGCCAAGCCUAGGCAUUUGGUCAUCAUGACUCACGACAACGACACUCACCUACUAUACAAUGCAAAACCAAACAAACAAGUUACACCUCUCUAGUCACUAGUCUUGACGUACAAGUCUUUCAAUUCAUGUCUCAACUCUCCCUCAAACACUCCAUUCCAUACGUCAGUGUGUUUGAAAAAUAUGAGUUAUUUAAUGUUGUAUGAUAUUAAUUGGUUUUAUUAUUAAUUAUCAACUUAUUAUUUUUGCAAUUUGUUAUGACACAUAAAAGAUCAUAUUAUUCAAUAUCUCAAUUGAAUAUAUGAAGUGAGUAAGUAUAAUAUUACUCUUUCCAUAAUUGAUAAGUAAGGAUGGCAAAAAGACCAGACCCCGUCCUUGUCUGAUUAACCUAAUUUAAUUUUUAGGAUCUUUAAUUGAAUUUAAAGGGUCAAGGAUUAGGUUUCGGCCCGAUUACAUUCAAGUCUAGGUUAGGACUUUACUAAAAAUUCCUAACUCAACCUUUGACCCUUCAAUUAAUUUUCAAAAUUAAAAAAUAUAAUACUUAAAAAUUAAAGCACAUACACUACAAAUAUGGUCAGAACUCACUCCUCAAAUUAAUAGUAUUUUGUAUUCGAUUUAUUUACUUGUUAAUUUGGUUAGAUUUUUACAUGUUGUAUUUUCGUUAAAGCUAAAUAAAAAGUUAAUUUAUUAAAUUCCUUACAACCAAAUUUAUCAUAAAAUGGAACAAUAAUAGUACAAUAUAAUUAAUAAAGAAUGAAGAGUUGGAGUCUUACUCUAAAAAAGUAUCUAAAAAUUAAAAAGGUUAUUGCAAGGUGCGGAUAAAGCCCAAGGCUGAACCUGACCUGAAAAAGGUUGACCCUGGCCCAACCCUCAGUUUUGAGGAUCAAACUUUUGAAAACUAAGACCCUUUAUUUUUAAUCAUAGGGGCAAGGCUAGGGGUUGGCCAAGCUUGAGCUCAACUAGAUCGAUUGCCAAACUUAUUGAUAAGAAAAUAAUUAAUAGAGUUGUGAUAUUUGACCCUUCGUUGUAUCUCACCAGCCCCCACUAAUUACUUUUAUAUAAUAUUAUUUUAUCUUUGUAUGAAAUAAUUUAAAAGGGUAAAUGACUUUUAAGUGCACCCACAUGAUAAUUUUCAUUAAUAUAUAAUUUAAGUAAUCUAUUUUCUUAAACCUUAAUUUCUUUAAAUUUUUUAAAUUAUUAUUUCUUCUUAAAUAUUGUAUACUUUACUUUUGGAAGAAAUUAAUUUAUAGCACUCAAUAGAAGAUGAUGAAGAAAUAUUUUUUUUUAUGGUUAUGGUAAUGAUGGAUAAAUCUUUAAAGAGAGAGAGAGAGAAAGAGAAAGAGAUUAUAGUGAUUUUGAGAUUUUGAGAUUUUUUUUUCUUUUUGAAGUAGAUUUUAUAAAUUUCAUUCGGUGGGUGCUUGGAAAAAAAGAUAAAAAAAUCAUAAUAAAGAUAAAUUUGCGAUUCAAUGGAGUAAUAGACAAAAAUUAGUUUAAAAUUUUUAAUAACGUUAACUGAAAAGGGAUUGGUAAAAGGGUCAGGCUACAGUGCAACGGGUGGUACCGUGCCACAGUUUCACCAGCCGUUGGGUUCACUCAAAUGCGUGGGGUCUACUUGAAUAAGUGGGAAUCCAACGGUUGGGUGCAACUGUGGCACGGUACCACAGUUGCACCACAAUUUUAUCCUUGGUAAAAUAUAAUAAGAGGGUCAAAUCUACCACUCUAAUUAGUAUCGUUUUACUCAAAAGUUUUGCUUAAAAGUUUUACUUAUAAAUUUUGGAUUUUGACCAGCUUUAAAUAUAAAAAAAAAAUUGAGAAAAAGUUACUUUAAAAUAUCCAUACAUCAUCCCAAAAAGUUGUACCCAAAAAAAAAAAAAGGCCCAUUCUGGUUAAAUUCAAAAUUAAAAACCCGGCCCGUUUCCCCACUUAAGACCCUCCUAGCAGUUUUAAAAUUUUUUCCCAGCGAAGAAUAGAAGUGAUGGCAGCUGCUCUAGCUUCCGACGCAUCGCAAUGGGAAUUUAGCUGGUUUUAAUUCUCUCUCUUAGCUAUUUCUGUUUCUUUAUUUAACAUUGUGAUAUAUAUUUAUUAUGCUAGAGGUUCUACUAAGUCUCCCUUUACUGGGACUUUUCUCAUCUUGGGAAAUGUUAAUUUUGCCUUAUUUAUUCAAUAUUGUUAUCUUCCACUGUCAAUAAAUUUUAUGCUUUGGUUGGUUAUUCAAUGUGGGUUUGUUCCAUUUUGUUCUUACGCUGUUUGUAUAAAUAUUGAAGGUUUGUUUUUGAAGAUGGCUUUCAGUUAAUUGCCUUCAAAGCUUUAUUUCCUAAAAGAGGAAAGAAAAAUAUACCAAAAUGUUUAAUUUCUACUGCUAUAUGUUUGCGUUUUUAGCUUCUGCUAUGCUUUGUAUUGUGUUGUUUGUGUUGGUAUUAAUGCUAGAAAGAUGUUUUCUUUUCUAAUCUGAUUGCCUAGAAUGAAUAUGAGGUGGUUAUUGAGUUGCAAUAUAUCAAAUCAAUUGAAGUCAUCUGCUUCGUAGGUUUUGAUUCUAUAAAUUGUUUUCAUUUCAGUUACGACACAAUUGCAUGGGUGUUCGAGGAAAUCUAGUACUUCAAAAUAGUAUUGAUUAUUUGAGAAACCAAUAAACUCCCAAAAUACAAUUUACAAGUUGCGAAAAUAAUAGUACUCAAGACACUCUUUUAUUGAAGGAAAAUUAUCAGUCAUAUAUUUUUAAAUGACACCUGUAUCAAAUAUGUGUGAACAUUUUUCAAGUGUAUAACUCGUAUAUCCUAAGUUGAUAAAACACUUCUGCCGUCCACUAAUCCAUUAACUUCUGUUAGAAAAUGAAUAGAAUUAUGGUAAAUUGACUAUUUCGCCCUUGAAACUCAAAAUGAGGUAAAAAAAAAAUUUACCCCAAAAAUUAACAUAAAUUUUUAAUACACAUUUUUUUUUAUUUUGUUAUUAACAAUACAUUUUUUUGAUUAAAAAAAUGAAUUAUUAAUGGUACAUAUUAUUAACAAUUAUCCGUCAAAAUAUCUAUAUUAUACCAUAAAAAUUAUUAACAACAUAUAAUUUACAAUUAUACAUAUUAUACCAUAAAAAAUUCCAGUUGGAGCUUGGAGGAGUAGAUCUUCAAAAAUUUAGAUUAAAUUUUGGAGUAGAUUCGGUUGUAAAGUAAUAUUUUUUUAGCAAUUAUUAACAAUUAUCCAAUAAAGGGAAUGACAUGUCAUUUUUAUCAAUAUAUAUCAUAUGACAUGUCAUUUUUUACUAGGUAAAUGGGAUGACAUGUCUUUUUUUAAUCAAAGUUUCGUCCAUCUUAAAAGACUAGAUUACCCUUAUGAUGUCAGCGUUUACAAACGGCAGUUAACGGAUUGGUGGACGACAGAGGUAUUUUGUCAACUUAGGGUAUACGAGUGAUAUACCUUAAAAGUGUUCACACACGUUUGAUACAUGUGUCAUUUAAGAGUAUAUGACUGAUAAUUUCCCUUUAUUGAAUAACAUCAAACUUUAAAUAGAACUUUAGUUCAAAGUUACAAGCAUAAAAAUAGCAAGCAUUAAGCAUGUUCUCCAUCAUUCUUUAUGAAUCCACAAAAUAAGGGACCAACUAACAACUUAAUUUUGACUUAUUAAAAAACAGCUACACUUAAAAUAUAAAGUAAAUAAUUAAAACCAAUAUUAAAAUAGAAAGAUUGUAACAGCUUUUCUAUUUUUCUGUUAUUGUGUUUACUUUAAUCAAUGGGCCGUGGCACAUAUUGUUAAAUUGUGGAUCGGGUAGUUUACUGGACACGUGAACUAAUUUGUAAUUUAGUUAUAAGUUGUGUGAACCAUAAAAAAAUAAAGUCAGUGGUACUAUUAUUGGAAUAUUGGAUAGUUCUGAAAGGUUUUUGAAUAAGCUGGCAUUGAGGAUAAUAUACUAUUGGAAGUUGAGGGGGUGAACUGUUCUCAGUUCUGUUUGUUGAGGAACAGGACAGAGCAUCUGUGUAGAAAAUAUAAAUUGAACAAAGAAUUGCUGUUUGGCAGCUAGGAAAAUGAAAGGAAAAUUUCUUAUUUCAUUUGAUGAACUGAUAUUUUGCACAUACUGAAAAAUCCAGAAUAUGUAGCUAUUUAUAUAUGCAUUACACACGCUAACUAAUUGAGAACUAACUAACUAUUAGUAAAACUAACUUUCACUCAGCUCACACUCAACACAUAUACAGAGGCUGUAUAAUAGAGUUAGUUAGGCUGUUAGCUGCUGCUGAUUUGGAUUCUCUGACGUGGCACUAAUGACAGCUGGCAACUUGACAUUCUUGAUACGAGACUUGAAAACAGACUGAUUCUUCUUCUUCACUUCUGCAUAAUGAGCUAUCUUCACAAUCUGUAAUUCCUCUGUUGUUUACGAGUUAUCUAUUUUUUUCCCAUGACAGUGUAGUGCUCUUUGUCCACCUUUCAGAAAGUUUUUAGAGGAACUGUACCUGAAAUGUUUUGUUGUUUCUUAGAAAAUGGUUUUUCCCAUGCAGUGACUUUGAAGUGGAUUACGAGUCCAAUGAGAAUGCAUCAAUUGUGCAUGCAGCAUUAGCUAUUGAUAAGGAGGUGAUCCACCACGAUCAUAUUCCUAAGAUCAUACUUUGCUCCUUUAACUUUAUUGCUUGUUCAAUAAAUUCUUACUUGAUAAGGAGGUGAUCCACCACGAUCCUAUUCCUAAGAUCAUACUUUGCUCCUUUAACUUUAUUGCUUGUUCAAUAAAUUCUUACUUGAAUUCAAUUUCCAAGUGCAGUUGCAACCAGACAAAGUGAAAAGGCAGAUAUCUGUGAUUAAUGGGAAACUUUUAGUGUAAAUUUCUAUUCUUUGGUCAUUCUUAUAACUGAUUUUUCAUUCUUGUCCAAUAUUUAUUCAAUUUGCAUCUAUCAGUUUAUCCUAUGAGACAAUAUUCAUUUGGAACUUUUGUGUGGCCCGUUCAACAAUCAUUUUUCCCCUUUUCCUGAAAAAUUUUCAAAUAUGUUACUUCAGAAGAGUUCUUCCUCUAAGAUACCAUUGUUCUUUAGUAUCUCAACUUUGCUUGGACUUUGCAGUUUACAAGUUUCUACAUUUUGUUUAUUUUCUCAUCUGAUUCAGGCACUUUGAGGCAGUUGAGGCCAGGAUUCUUCGUGCAUCAUUUUCUGCUUUUGUAGAUGUGCUUACACUUGCGACAAAAACUAUCGUACAGUUUGGUCAUGGAACGGAAUUGUAACAUCAUACUAUCUUUGGCAGUUGGAGAAUCAUUCUUAGUAGGAACUGUAUUACUUUAAUUCGCCUUCUUGUUUCGGAUUAGUUGACGUUUUUGUAACAAGAGAAUCUAUAGUGUUCGUUUUAUAAUGUAAAUCUUCAAAUUAUCGGAAACCUGUAACAAAUUCUUCAAAGCUGUGAAUUAUAAGUUUUUUUUUUUUUUUUUUUUUAAUCAUUGGGUUUUAUCAAGAGGUUGCAGCUGUAAAUGUUAUAAUCCUCCCUUAGACCUUUUCAAUAAAGUUAUUGACAAGCUAUCUCCAACUCUUUCAGUUUGGGCCAAGCUAGAUCGCCAGACCUCACUUCUAGGGCUUUUCUGUUUACCCCUCAAACAGUUCAAUCUGAUAUUGAUUUCGUAGAGUGAGUAGAAUGAAGAAUUCAUUUGUGCUAAUAUUCUUCCAGCCGUUGAUGCAAUUCUUUACCAUUGUGUGACACAGGAGGUACCUACUUGGCUACCAAGUGGCCCUCAGCUUAACGCACCUCGAUAGCCUUCAUGCUUUUAGAAUUCAUCUAGCUGGUGGAAUCCUAUCUGGAGUCUCUCUAUAAGUUCGAAAAUCAAGAUUUUUCUAUAGCAAGCGUCAAGGUCAAGGGAUUUCUUGUCACCCAAAAGGAACCCAGAAAAGAUAAAAUCGUAGACAGCACUGUUUCACAUGCUGGAAUUCUGGGGAGGGUGCUUAUCAUGUGCUUGUGGCUAUAAAUAUGCUCGAAAAAAUUGGAAAUUGAUGCUGCAAUCCCUCUGCCUGGAGCCUCAAAGAAAAAAAAAAAAAAAAAGCCCUUUUAUAGCUUUGCUAAGAUGAAAGAUUACAGACUUAGCAAGGCUGACACUCAGCAACAAUUUUCUGCAUACACUUUAUCUUGGGCAGAAUCACCAAAAGUCGAUGCAUCUUUAAAUUUAGAAUAAAAGCAGAUUCGACUUGUAUUAUAAGAAAUUCAAAUGGGGUGUCACGGCUGCUUCCAUCUCUAGGAAAACUUGCUUAGAAAAUAUGCUGAAUGCUUUGGCAAUUCUUGAUGGCGUCAAAAUGGCAGUUGAUUCUGGACUGCAACCACCACUAACUGUUGAAUCUGACUAUUUUAAUGCAGCGAAAUCAAUCUUAAAGAAGAGACUUCGGAUGGAUGAUCAAAGGAAUGCUCGGUUAUGUAAGAAAAGGAAAACAAUUUAUAGUUGCAAUACACUCAUCAAUAAUCUCAGGAACCUCUGAUGAUUGAAUUACAAUUUUUUUAAAUCCAUUCCAGAAUACAAGCAUACCUGCUCAUGCAAGAUAUUCGAUGCUCUGUUGGAAAAUUUUCAAAAUAAAUGGUGUCUUAUGGUAAAGAUAUGUCCUAUUAAUUGUGCCUUAUAGAAAAUGUAUCUUCACUAAAGACAUGUCUAAUUAAAUGAUGUCUUAUUGUAAGAACAUGUCAAUUUAAUUGUGUCUUAUAGAAAAUGUAUCUUUUUACUAAAUAAUCUAACUUUUCAUGGUAACAUUUCACUUAGAGAUGCAUCAUUUCAUGGUGACAUUUCAUUUGAAAUGGUGAUGGUUCAAUUUGGACCAUUGAUUAAAAUUAAAUCUAGAUCCAAUGGCCAUGAAUGAAAGGAUAUCAUGAAAGAUGACAACCCGAAUGAAGGGGCACAAGUAUAUCUAUAAAUAGGGGUCAUGUUUAAGCCAUUUAGACAUGAAAUUAAUGAUCCUACACCACUCUUUUCUUGGCAUUCCUUUCUAGUACGAAUUUCAACACAAAACACCCAUUUCUUUUGUGCAUUAAAAAUCCAAUAUAUUGUUUUCUGCAGGAACAAUAUAUUGUUUCUUGGCAGACUUGCAACAUUCAAGAGUAUUCUGGUUUGCUUUCGUCGAUGCAUAACGCAAGCAAACAAACAAGUGCUUCAUUGUAUCCUGAAGGCGUAUUUGCUUAACCCAUGUGCAUCACUCAAUUGGUGGGGGCAAAUAACGUCUUAAGGAAAGCGACAUUUGUAACGUGCCUUGAAACACACAAAUUUUCUGCAGUUUACUUAUUAAUAUUAUUUUUCUUCCUACAUACAGAGUUAGUUGUAAACACAUUACUUUACGUAAUAAAGUUCCACCAUUAUUGUUGCAUUUCUCUACAUUUGCCAUUCCCCACAAUUUCAACCACCAACAAUCUUAAGACGUUAUUUAUGCAACAAUGGCACCAAGUUCAUCUUUUCGACAAUUCGCAAUAGAUUUUGUUAAAUUGGAGCGAUUCGAUGGUGGCAACUUUAUUCGUUGGCAGAAAAAGUUGCAUUUCUUGUUGACAAGCCUCAAUGUGGUCUAUGUUCUCACAACACCAAAGCCUCAAGAACGUGAGGGUGAGACAUUAGCAUAAACCAGAGUGCGGUAGAAGUGGGAGCAAGAUGACUAUGUGUGCAAGGGACACAUUUGCAAUGCAAUGUCUGAUACUUUGUUUGAUCAAUAUCACAACAAAACUACAGCAAAAGAAAUAUGGGACUCAUUAGAGACUAAGUACAUGAUGGAAGAAGCCACAAGUAAGAAAUUCUUGGUUUCUAAAUUUUUUAAUUAUAGAAUGGUUGAUAAUAGACUUGUGGUUGAACAAUAUAAUGAGAUUUUGCAUAUUCUUGAUCAAUUCAACCAACAUAACAUGAAAAUGGAUGAGUCUAUUAUUGUCUCUUCAAUUAUUGAUAAACUUCCUCCCUCUUGGAAAGACUAUAAGAAAAGUCUUAAACAUAGCAAAGAGGAAAUUAGUCUGGAUGGCUUAGGCCAAAGUCUUCGUAUUGAAGAGGAACUCAAACUUAAUAGUCUUGAGGACCAGGCUACUAUGUCCUCUAAAAUUAAUGUUGUGGAGGAGAGGAAGGAGUUUAAGCAUUUUAAUCACCCUAAGAAUAAGCAAAAGAGAAAGUUUGAUUCCAACGAGAAUCAAAACAAUAAGAGGAAAAAGAAGGGUACAUGCCACCACUGCGGAAAACUUGGCCACUUCAAAAGAGAUUAUUGACUUCUGAAGAAACAAAAGGAAGUUUCGAACACAAAUUUUGUGGCCAUGAUAUUUGAGAUUAAUGUUUUCGAAGAUGAUAAUGCAUGGUGGAUAGAUUCUGGUGCAACUAAGCGUGUAUGCAAAGAUCGUAGCCUUUUCAAAUCUUAUAAAGCAAUGGAUGAUGGAAGUGUUCUUUACAUGGGAAAUUCCUCCAUUGCAAUAGUUAAAGGAAAAGGCAAUGUGCAACUACAGUUUACUUCUGGAAAAACUUUAACUCUUACUGAUGUUUAUCAUGUUCCUGAAGUUAGGAAAAACCUUGUAUCUAGUGGGCUUCUUGAUAAGUUUGGCUUCAAACUUAUUUUUGAGUCAAACAAAUUUAUAUUGUCUAAGGGUGGUACCUUUGUUGGGAAAGGAUACAUGUAUGAAGGAAUAUUUAAACUCAAUAUCAAUAAUAUGAAUGUUUCUUUUGCUUAUAUGGUUGAUUCAUUAUCUUUGUGGCAUAAUCGUCUAGGACAUGUGAAUGUUAGAAGAUUGCAUGAUAUGGCUAAUUUGGAGUUAUUUCCUAAGCAUGAAAAUGAUAUGCAUGAAAAAUGUAAAGUAUGUGCACAGACUAAAUCACAAGAUCUCCUUUUUCCAAAAAUUGAAAAAACAUCUUCUUUAUUGCAUUUAAUUCAUAGUGAUGUGUGUGAUAUGCAUAGUAAUCCUACUAAAGGUGGUAAAAAAUAUUUUGUAACAUUUAUUGAUGAUUUUUUAAAAUAUUGCUAUGUAUAUUUAUUACAUUCUAAAGAUCAAGUGUUAGAGAAAUUUAAAACUUAUAAAAUGAAGUUGAGAAUUUUUGUGACACUAAAAUUAAAUGCCUUAGAAGUGAUAAAGGAGGUGAAUAUGCUUUUUUUGAAUUUUGUGAAUCUGUUGGCAUUGUACAUGAAACUAGCACUGCAUAUACUCCACAACAAAAUGGCGUAGCUGAAAGGAAAAAUAGAACAUUAAUAGAAAUGGUUAAUGCUAUGCUUUUUACUGCUGGGCUUGGUAAAGGUUUUUGGGGUGAAGCUAUUUUAACUGCAUGUCAUAUCUUAAAUAGAGUGCCUAAUAACAAGACAAAGGUGACCCCAUAUGAAUUAUGGAAAAAGAGAAAGCCUAAUAUUUCUUAUCUAAGAGUUUGGGGUUGCCGAGCCAUUGUAAGACUACCUGAACCUAAGAUAAAGAAAUUAGGAGAAAGGGGCAUUGAAUGCAUAUUCUUGGGAUAUGCUAAGCAUAGUAAAGCUUAUAGGUUUCUUGUAAAAGAACCUAAUAACUUUGUUGAGAUCAAUACUAUAGUGGAAUCUAGAGAUGCAAUAUUCUAUGAAAAUAGAUUUUUCACUAUACCAAAAAGUAUUGAUUCUCAAGAGAAUGAUAAACAAAUAGAAAUUAGUCAAAAGUGUGAUGCUAAUAAUGAGCAAAAUCAUUUGAGAAGAAGUAAAAGAAUAAGGACUAUAAAAUCUUUUGGACCAGAUUUUAUAGUCUAUUUAGUGUAAGGGACAAGAGACUUACAAUCAAAACAGACCAUGAUCACACCUACUGUAAAGUCUGAUCCCCUCACCUAUGAAGAGGCAAUGAAGUCUCAAGAUGCUGCUUUUUGGAAAAAGGCCAUUAAUGAUGAAAUGGACUCUAUUAUGGGUAAUAAGACUUUGAAAUUAGUUGAUUUACCACCUGACUCUAAUCCUAUAGGUUGUAAAUGGAUUUUCAAAAAGAAGAAGAAAGUUGAUGGAACAAUUGAAGGAUUUAAAGCAAGACUAGUAGCAAAAGACUUUACACAAAAAGAAGGCCUUGAUUAUUUUGAUACUUAUGCACUUGUUGCAAGAAUUGCUACUAUUAGAGUCUUGAUUGCUUUGGCUUCAAUUUAUCAUUUUGAAAUCCAGCAAAUGGAUGUAAAAACAGCUUUCUUAAAUAGAGAAUUAGAUGAGGAAAUUUACAUGAAACAACUAGAAGGGUUUGUUAUGCCAGGACAAGAACAUAAAGUUUGUAAACUAGUCAAGUCUUUAUAUGGUCUUAAACAAGCUCCAAAGCAGUGGCACGAAAAGUUUGACAAAGUGAUUGUCUCAAAUGAAUUUAAUAUUUAUGAAUCUGAUAAAUGUGUCUAUAGCAGAUUCAAUGGAAAUAAAGGUGUGAUUAUUUGUUUAUAUGUAGAUGACAUGUUAAUUUUUAGUAUUGAUAGUGAGAGCAUUGAACUCACUAAAUCAUUAUUGUCAUCUAAUUUUGAUAUGAAAGACAUGGGACUUGCUGAUAUGAUUUUAGGGAUUAAAAUUAUAAAAAAUAAGAAUGGCCUAGUAUUGACCCAAUCACAUUAUAUUGAGAAAAUUUUAAAGAAAUUUAAUUAUUAUGAUUGUAAGCCUGUGUCAACACCUUUUGAUUCAAACAUAAGAUUGUAUCCUAACACUGGCAGAUCAGUAUCCCAAUUAGAAUAUGCACGUGUUAUUGGGUGUCUUAUGUAUGCGAUGACUUGUACUAGGCCUGAUAUUGCUUUCGCUGUUGGAAAACUGAGUAGAUAUACUAGUAAUCCAAGCCAAGCACACUGGCAAGCAGUGUACAAAAUUCUAAAAUAUUUAAAACAUGCAAUGGAUUAUGGUAUAUACUACAUUGGAUAUCCUUCUGUUUUGGAAGGAUUUUCGGAUGCUAGUUGGAUUACUGAUCGAGAUGAUCAUACAUCCACAAGUGGUUGGAUUUUUAAUCUUGUUGGAGGAUCUAUUUCAUGGGGCUCAAAGAAGCAAACUUGUAUAGCAGACUCCACCAUGGCUGCAGAAUUUGUAGCUUUGGCUUCAUGUUGCACGGAAGCUGAAUGGUUAAGGAAUUUGCUUAUAGAAAUUCCUAUUUGGCCUAAACCAAUGCCUCCUAUGUCCAUUCAUUGUGAUAGUGAGGCAACUUUGUCAAGGCCAUAUAGUAAAAAAGAAUUGUGUAUUUUUGAAAAAGUUAAAAAAAACAGGUGGACGGUGGAUAUUUUCCCAUGGAGUUAUCAUAAUUGACUUUGUGAAAUCAUGCCAAAAUUUGGUGGACCCCUUAACUAAAGGCCUUAUAAGGGAUAUUGUAUUUAAACCUUCUAAGGGGAUGGGACUGAAGCCAGCAUCAUCUUAUUACCAAUGAUGGAAACUCAACCAAACACUUGAAAUAUCAAGAUCUUGGGUUCAAUGAGCAAAAGUACAUCAUAUGUUGUGAUAGCAAAUACUAUAAUAUUUUUAGAUGUAUCCCAAAGGUUAGUGCUUGAUACCUGUAACAUAUGGGAAAGGUUAAGCUACUUAACUUUUAAUAGACUUAUAAAUGUUUUAGUUACAGGGACAUUUUAGAUAAGUCUACCUAUAUGAGUGUAGGAGAUGGUGCCACUUCCUAUGUAACUUGGCUGGUUACUAAAGCGCUCAUGAAAACAGGAUAUAGACACAGGGCCAAUCCACGUGUCGGCUAAAGAAUAGUUGAGAAUUUGAAAACUUAUGUGUGAGAUAUAUCCGGUUAGUCGAUUAAGGUCGCUGGUUCAAAGCUUUUCUACCAUGCCACCUUGAUUAACCUUGAUGUAUUGUCACUAAGUGAAGGUUCAAGUCCAAAAGACACCUUUAUCUAUGCAUAAGUUUUCCAAGCCUGUGCAAGAUAAUUUUUUAAAAUUCAUUUAUUUUGAAAAUGGUGGGGGAUUGUUGGAAAAUUUUCAAAAUAAAUGGUGUCUUAUGGUAAAGAUAUGUCCUAUUAAUUGUGCCUUAUAGAAAAGAUACCUUUCACUAAAGACAUGUCUAAUUAAAUGAUGUUUUGUUGUAAGGACAUGUCAAUUUAAUUGUGUCUUAUAGAAAAAAGGUAUCUUUUUACUAAAUGAUAUAACUUUUCAUGGUAACAUUUCACUUAGAGAUGCAUCAUUUCAUGGUGACAUUUCAUUUGAAAUGGUGAUGGUUCAAUUUGGACCAUUGAUUAAAAUUAAAUCUAGAUCCAAUGGCCAUGAAGAAAGGGGUAUCAUGAAAGAUGACAACCCAAAUGAAGGGGCACAAGUAUAUCUAUAAAUAGGGGUCAUGUUUAAGCCAUUUAGACAUGAAAUUAAUGAUCCUACACCACUCUUUUCUUAGCAUUCCUUUCUAGUACGAAUUUCAACACAAAACACCCAUUUCUUUUGUGCAUUAAAAAUCCAAUAUAUUGUUUUCUGCAAGAACAAUAUAUUGUUUCUUGGCAGGCUUGCAACAUUCAAGAGUAUUCUGGUUUGCUUUCGUCGAUGCACAACGCAAGCAAACAAACAAGUGCUUCAUUGUAUCCUGGAGGCGUAUUUGCUUAACCCAUGUGCAUCACUCAAUUGGUGGGGGCAAAUAACGUCUUAAGGAAAGCGACAUUUGUAAUGUGCCUUGAAGCACACAAAUUUUAUGCAGUUUACUUAUUACUAUUAUUUUUCUUCCUACAUAUAGAGUUAGUUGUAAACACAUUACUUUACGUAAUAAAGUUCCACCAUUAUUGUUGCAUUUCUCUACAUUUGCCAUUCCCCACAAUUUCAACCACCAACAUGCUCUGCAUCCGAAACUUCGUCGACCUUUGCAUCUAAGAGAUCAUUAACCUUACAGAACUCAAAUGGUCCACAGUAUUCACAAUGAUCUUUCAAUGUUUCCACCACUCUGCGUAAAUAUGAAGAUGGUUUGUUUUCUCAAUAGAAAAUUGAAAUUAUCAGCUGUAAUUAGAGCAACUCACAUUUGCUUUUGGUCAUCACUGGUGUACCAUAGUUCAAGAUAUUCGGUCGCUGAGUAUAACUGUGUUCUCAGGUUUUUCAAAUCUUGAAAGUAAAGUCGCUUGAGUUAAAAAAAAGACCACAGUAAAUAUUUCCAUAAGAACUUAAAUGUUUUACAAAUUGGUGCUUUUGUAUUUCCAUAACUGUGCUUUUGUAAGGCUAGUCGAAAAAUGAGUAAAAUUUGGAAAUUGACACACGAUCCACCGUUUAAAUCAUAUAAACAAGUAUCGCGCGAUGAAACAAGAGUUACCCUUGAAGACAUAUGCCCCUAUUUGCCACAAUCCUUUUUUUUUUUACUUUUUCUUUUCUUAAAAGUGAAUGUUGAGGUGGGUGCAACUUUUAGUAAUAGCUAUUAGUAGCAUAAAACAAAGAUUGCACGCUCUAAAACAAUUGUAAUAGGGAAACGGGUAUAGACAUACAAUCCAACAGAUUAAAACAAAAUAGAGAAACAGUAGUACCUUGAGACUAUCAGAGAAUAGCAAGCUCCGCUACCCUUUUCUUAAAAGUGAUUGAUUAUGAUGAAACAUUCAGCCUUGUAAUUAAGCUUGCUCCGGUUUGCUUUGUGUUUGGCAUUACUACAAGGAUGGUAUUUGCGACAACUUCGGUGUGAGCAAUGCUUUUUUACAUGGGCACCUAUCAAAGGAGGUAUUUAUGCCUCAGCUACCUCGUUUUAUUGAUCCCACGUAUCCUACUUAUGUUUGCUAACUUAAAAAGGCACUCUCUGGCCUUAAGCAAGCUCACGUUCUUGGAACAACACUGAGCUUCGAAACUUUUUUUCUAUCGACGGGAUUUUUCACUUUACUAUCAGAUUCUUCUUUAUGUAUCUAAUCUCAUGCUAGUGUGCAUGAGAUUAUCUUUGUGGGUAAAUAAACUUUCAUCUGUCGCCAUAAUGUAGCUAGGCACCAAUUAUCCUGUAUAUUACUGUCGCAUGAAACACAUAGCCAUUGACUUUCACUUUGUUCAUCACAAAAUUCAAAAUGGUGUUCUCCGGGUGUCUCAUUUAUCAUCUCAAGACCAAUUAGCAGAUGCCGUCACCAAAACUCCAUCUCAUCAACGAAUAAGUCUUCUUUGUUCCAAGCUCGGUGUCGCAAAUGGUAGCGCCAUCUUACAGGGGCAUAUUAGAGAUACUCUCAAAGGCACGGUGUAAUUGUACAACCUUUUUAUCAUUUGUAUAUACGACUUUCAUAACUUUAAACUGCAAUUGUGUACUUACUAUAAUUAACUAGCUUUAGUUGUGUAUAUAUUGAAAUCAUAUCAAUAGAAACAGUAAGCUGCGUUGUUAUUUCCUUUCUCUAUAUUAUUUAUUGUAUAAACCUAACUUUUUUCAGCCCUUUUUUUCCCCCAAAUCUGACACUUUUUUUUUAAUAAAUUUAUUUACCCACACCUGUGUCGUUUGUCUCACCUUUUUUUUUUUUUUUUCACUUAUUUCGUUACCCAGGCCACACUUUUAUAAACUUUGUCCUGGCCCCGCACUCUACUUUUGUUAGUUUUAUCAAAUGAGCAGCACUAGCAGCACCGUAUGAUUAUCUUUUCAGACCCCUUCUGGUAUAUCAAAGAAGCCCUAUAACAAAUACAUCCGUAAAAUAUCUACCAAAGAUACCUCAACAAGCUAGUGAAGCAGGGAAUGACUCCAUUCCUUAAGCCCAUGUUUGGUUGGGAGAAAUGAUAGAAGAGGAGAGGAAUAGAAAGGAAAGAAUGAGGGAAAAAUGAGUGUAAAUGAUGGUCAAAUUCAUUUGCAUUGUUUGGUUGGAUAUGGAAUUCAUCUUUUUUUCCUAUUUCUUUCCUCUCUCUUUUCCUCUCCUCUUCUCUCCUCAUAUUUCUUAAAACCAAACAUGCCAAUUGACGACCUGUCUGGUGUCCCCUUGCCUACAAUAAAAAUUGAAAUUAGGCCAUUUAGAUUAAAGAUAAGACGGAAUGGAAAUAUGGAAUCGUUAACAAUUAUAGCUAUGACCCAUCUAAUUUGCAAAUGGUUCUUUCCCUUUCAAUAUUAUUGUACGUAUUUGCAAGGAAACCUCUUCUAUCUUUCUUGCAAUUAAGACUUUUGCGUAUCCAAUUACUGUCAACUGUUUUUGAACGUGUAGAAGAUAACAACUUGAAGACUUGAGAGAGAGCCAGCGUUAAUUCAACGUCAAGAGUAGCUUAUUAGUUUGCAGGAUUCAAGAGUAGCUUACUGUCAACUGUUUUUGAACGUGUAGAAGAUAACAACUUGAAGACUUGAGUGAGAGCCAGAUGCUGGGUAUAAGGUCUAUAAAACUUUACUAUUAUUUCAUAAAAUUGUUUUAUUUUUUAUUCCUCAUCACAUUGGGGAUUACGCCCCCAAUGACCCAUUUGAUUUUCAUUUUUAUGUAGGUUAGUAGUGUUACUGAAAAUCAAAUAUUGUCUCUUUUUUUCCACUUAUUGAGGACUAUGGAAUUAAACAAAACUCACCAAUGGCAUAAAAUAUACACACUACUAGAAAAAUAAGCUACUAUGACAGAAUUUUUGUGAUAGAUAUUCAAAAAUUAGUCAUUUAUCACAAAAAUAUGAUAGAUUCGUGAUAGAAUUUUUAUAUAUCAUAAAGGCAUGAUAAAUUUGUGAUAGUUUAUUUAUUUAUCACAUACACAUGAUAGCAUAUUAAUAUUUAAUGAAACGAUGAGUUUUGAAUGGGUUAAUUUAGACAUAGAACGACACCGUAUCUUAAAAAAAAAAAUCAUAAGUGGUAGACUCUCCUUUCACUUCAAUUGGCAAACCCUAAUUUCCAAAUCAUACACAAAAACAAAAUCACGCUGCCGACAAAAAAUUUGGUCCUCUGCUGCGCUGCUUGCCGACAACAAAUUUCUACUCUUCGUCUUCGUCCUUACUCUUUAAUCUGCUGCUGCUACUACUUGCCGAUGAACAACACGCUCAAGUUCAGCUAGGUCUUUACUUCCUCUUUUUCUUAUAUUAUAUUCUUUUGAUUUGAUUUGAUUUUUCUGUGAUCUAAACGCCGUUCUUGCUGAUAUUGGUGAUGAACAGUCCUUGUCACAAUUUUGACCGAUCUGAUUGCUAUUCAUAUAAGUGAUUAUUCUACUAUUAUAUAACCUGCACUGGGUUACUCAAUAUGCAAGCCUUUACGUUUUAUCUUCAGAAUAUGCAAAGGUUCCUUGGUUUGAUUCAGUUCUUGCUGAUAUUGGUGAUGAACAGUCCUUGUCACAAUCUUUAUCUACCUUCUCUAGCCACUUGAAACAAAUAGGUGUAAGGAUAUUCACCUUUCAGAAGCAGUUAAUCAAGUUUGUUUGGAACAAAUGCCCCUUUUUCAACGCUAUUCUUUCUCAUUUUUGUAUUAUGUCAACAAUCUUUAUAAACUGCUUUGAUUCUUUGCAGAUAAUUUUGUUUUCUUAUAAAUUAUUAAGACAUUUAACAAGAAAAGGCACAAGCUCUUGUUGGGAUGUACUUAAUACGAUUUGCAACUUGUGUCAGUGAUGGAUCUCAUGAACUCCUAAGCUUAGUUACUAUAUUGUCAGUCCUGAAUCACUUAUGAUAAUGCUGGUUUUAUUUAUUUAUUUAGUUAUUUUUGGGAUAUUACUAGUUUGUAUUAUAAUACAUUCAUAGUACUGUUGUAGUUUUAUGAUUCCAAUUUAAGUUGACUGAAGCCAAAUUGCUCCUUUGGCAGUAACUACUUCUUCGAGAAUGCUUGUAUGGAGUUCGAUAAAGUUAAAUUAAAGCCAACUUACAAGGUCCUUUGGGGGUACCAGGUUACAUAAUUAUAACUUCUAUUUAUUUGAUGUCUGAAGUGUUAAUGAGUUUAUUAAUUUGGUUUUUUCAAGCCUUAGUGAUUAGAGCUGUAACUAUAAGUUGGCUUCUCCUAUAAAUUACUUCUUGUAGAUAUUAUAUGAAUUGCUAAGAACUUACUUAUGCAAUCUCUAGGUACGUAGAUAUUUGUUUACUUUUCUCCAGAUAAAUGCCAACUGAAACAACUAUUAAAUGCCCAGACUGAAUAUUAAAUGUUACUUAAACAAUUGAAAAUUUUUAUUCUCUUGUAAAUUUCGCUUUAGAAGUAUUGUAUAUUCCCUCUUUGAGCUAAUAAUACUAGUUGGUAGUCGUGCUCUGAACUUUUGGAAACUAAUAUUUUUCCCCGAGGAACUAGUGAUAGCCGGCUUUCUUUGAUGGUAUCAAAAUGAUUUAUUUUUUGUUUAUUUAUUUAUUUAUUCUUUUGUUUGGGCAGCAGCUUCAUGUAAAAUGACUUAAGAGUGUGGUACUGAUUGCAGGUUGUUCAAAAUGCAACUCUACGGUGCUGCUAGUGCUGAGAUUAAUAAGGUAAUAUGCCUUAGAGGUAAUGCAUGUGUAAAAACUUAGCAUCUUUUUUAGCUAAUAAAAAGUUUACAUGUUAUUUUUUCCUUUUGUAAACAGAAGCAAAAUUUUAGUUUUAAGUCUCACAUGUUGUGACUUAAGCAACAGACAACCAGUUUACCUGGUAGGCUAAUUAAUUACCUUUGGGAAUUAUAUGGUCAAAAGAAAAUUCAUACAUAAAACAAAUGUGAUCAGGUAAUAGUCAGUACAUGAUGAGCUUACAUGAUGGAAUUAUGGUCAAAAGAAAAUUCAUACAUAAAACAAAUGUGAUCAGGUAAUAGUCAGUACAUGAUGAGCUUACAUGAUGGAAUUAUGGGAAUCUAAUUUUUUGCCAGUAUAGCAAAGGCCACAGAUAACUUCUCAAGUUGCAAUAAACUGGGAGAAAUUAGAUUUGGGCCAAUGUCCAAGGUAAUAUUGUGGCAUUCUACUGAAAUUAGAUCAUAUUUUCUUUUUAUACUAACUAAUAGGCAGAUCUAUGGUACAUAAAUAGAAAGGCAAGAAAUUACAGUUAAAAGGCUGUCAAAAGGUUCCAGACAAGGAAUGGAAGAGUUCAAAAAUGAAGUUACAUUGAUUUUUGUUAGUAAUUAUAGGUUUUUGUUACACGUGUGAAAUUCUUCAUUAUUCUUGAUUAUUGAACUGUGUGAUGACACCUUAUGAAUUUGAUUAACUAUAAGUGGCCGAUAUGUUAAUUUGCAUUUUUUUGGUACUCAUCUUAAUGUCAUCUGCUUUUCAGGUGAUGUUGGUGGCUUUUGGGAAUUUACCAUCAAUGUUUUUUUUAUGGAUUAAUUAUUUUUCUAGGAUGGGUUGGUGAUUGGAUAUUUUAGGUGAUUAGAUAUUGUAAAUGAUUUAUGAGAUAUUAUUGUGGAUUUGAUUCACCAUGUAUUUUGAUGAUGCUAUUUGAUGGAAGUUUCCAGUGAUUAAAUAUAUGAUGCCCAAAAAGCUAAGUGGUAGUGAAUUUUUUGUAUGCUGGUAUUGUUCUAGAUGAUAGUGAAUCUUGAUAAAGUCUAAGUGGUAGUGAAAUUUGUAUGCUGAUAUUGUUUGAUAAAGUCUUAAGUAGUAGUGAAUCUUGAUCAGCCUGGUAGUGUUUCAGAUGAUAUAUAGUGUUGUGAUGUUUUUGUAUGCUGGUAAUGAUCCAGAUGGUAGUGUUGGGAUGUAGAUUUGUGAUAAUUGAAUAGAUGAUGUUUUGACAAUGUUAUGGUUAUUUCAAGUGAUGAUUUAGUGAUGUUUUGAUAAUAUCGUUGAGAUAAUUUGGAUGUAUUGAUUUUAUACAUAUUUUGAUUUUUAAAUUUCAAUGGAAUUUAUAAAAUAAUAAAAUAAUAAUAUUAUUAUUUAAAAUAUUAAAAAUUAUUUUCUAAUUUAACAAUAUUAAAAAUGAUUUAAAAUAUUAUUAUUAUUUAAAAUAUUAAAAAAUUUUGAUUUUAAAAAAAUUAAAAAGUCUUUUAAUAAUAUUAUUAUUUAAAAAAAAUUCUCAUCAUGACACCAUAUUAGCAUCAUAAAGCUGCGACACAUAAUUACACGCCAUAAUUUAAAAUUGAAUUCAUAAUACCCGCCAAAUGUUUUUUCACAAUAAAACAAAUUUACCACUAAAAUAUUAAAACGAUGUUGCUUUUGUUGUGACACAUUUGUGAUAGCUAUAAGCUGUCACAUACACCUGUGAUAAAUAAAUUAUUGUCACGGAUUUAUGAGAGGGGCUACAAUGAUAGAUAAAAACUCUGUCAUAAACAGGGUCGGAUGAUAGAUAUUCUCUGUCAUGGUAGCCCAUUUUUCUAGUAGUGACAAUGAAUAUUUAUUAACAGAUUUGACAUAAAAUUAAUUUUUGAACCGAUUGAAACUUCCAAAAACUAAAAUUUCGAAUUUGUUAUAAGAAUAUAAUCUAUUUUAAUUAUCAUUGUCAAGUCCUCCUCUAUGGAACAUUAGCAAAUUUGCAACCUUUCUAGCUUAAAUUCUAGGUUCAAAACCUCGCGGCGGAGUUAAAUUUUGUUAUAUUUAAAAGCUAAAUCUUGAAGAUGAAUUAUUUUCUAAUUAAUUUUUUUGUGGUUCUUUUAUAACGAUGGCAAAAUUCUCUACAGGUUUCGGACCCCACCCCAAAUGGCGUGAAUUUUGAAUAUUUUUUAGAAAUGGGGUGAGAAAUGGAUAAAAAUUAAUCCCUAAGUUUUUAAUGGGGUGAACUUUUAAUUAGAUAGAAACCUAUCCGUUCAAUUGAUGCUGAAAAAAUAAAAGUUUUGCAGGAUGUUUUCUCCUAGUAAUGAAAGAGAACCGUUUGUUUGAUGUACUUGAUGCUCCAGCAAUGAAAGAACCUUAGAAGAGAAUGAAAUGACAACAACAUCAGAGAAUCAAGGCAGAGAACAGCCUAUUGAUAAUAAAUAAUUUAAAAAAUAUAAUGACUAAUUGUGUAAUUCAAUCAAACCUUAUAGACCAAAGGAACAUUUGCCAAAGAUUAAAAUAUGUAUAUAUAUAUAUAUAUAUAUAUAUAUUAAGGCUACAUUUUGUUUAAUCCAAAUGAAGCUAAUCAAUCUAUAUUUUAUUCCAAUAAAACUAUGGCUUCGUUUCAUAUCUUAAUUAAAUUAUAUAAUGAUGAAAUAUUAUAUUCUGAACUUAACUGAAUCCAAUAUCAUUUCACCAAUCGGUCAUAUGAGAUGAAAGAAAAAAAUCUGUUGAAAUUAAUUUUAAAUUAAAGUUGAAGAAUGGUGAUAUGAUACAUACAUAUACAUGACUCUGAAUUUAUUAAAUUGAAGAUGUACUGAUCGUCUUGACGAUGUGACAAAAUACUGGAAUGUGAGAAUGGUCUUUGGACUUUGGUGAAGACUUGAGAGGGCCCAGAGUAAUUAAAAGUCAAGAUUGGCAAUCUGAAAUUAAUCUCUGGCUUUAACAUGCAGGACUUUCUAGUCGGUGAGAAAAGUUUCUGAAUUAAUAUAGGAGCUAAUACAUGCACUUUCUGAACUAAAGAAAACUGAGUUUAAGCGGCGAAUGGCUGUGCAUCUUUGUCUGGUGUUGCUGCAGAUUAUUGUUUUGCGCCUCAGGCCGAUCAUAGCAUCAGAAAGAUUUCCCUGUCCAACUGAAUGUGGAAAUGUCAGCAUCAGCUACCCCUUCGGAAUCGGAGAAGGGUGCUACUUUGACAAGGGUUACGAAGUUAUCUGCGAUCACCCUUCUGGCAUUCCCAAAGCUUUUCUUCCUGGCGUCAACAGGCUAGAAUUAGUGGAUAUUCUCUCUAAUGAUUCAAGAGCCGCGGUUAGAGUCAACGUUCCUGCGAUUUUUUUAAACAGCAGUAGUAAGCGAACAAGCAAUAUUGCUAAAGGCGUCAACUUAUCAGGUACCCCUUUCUCCUUUUCGACUGACAAUAAAUUCGCUGCCAUAGGCUGCAAAAUGAGAUAUCACCAAGGGAACGGUUCAUCUGUGUUUGAUGGGUGUCUGUCGAUUUGUACUUGUGAUCCUACUGUCUACCCUGCUUGCUAUGAUUUCCUAUGCCCCCUUCGUCCAAAUAUUACUCAUCUUUUCAAUCUAAAUAAAUCAUACUUGUUUUCUCAAAGUAUUCCUCAGAAAUGUCAGUCUGUUUUCCUGGUUGAUGAAGAUUGGGUCAACAGCAAGUACCUUGAAGAUCCUCAUGAUUUGGAAGAUCAACGAGAAGUUCCUGCAGUGUUGAAGUGGGGAGAAAAGAUAGGCAGUUGUUUUGAAGAAUAUAACUCAUAUUCUAUUUUUUGUAAUUCGGAUAAAACAGGUUGCUUAACACAAUUAAGCUCAGGCCAUUUAUGUCUUUGCUCUGCUGGCUACAACCUAGAGAAAGCAUACUGCUCAGGUACUUGUUGGAUUAUGUGUUAAAGAGAAUUUUUUUUUUUUUUCAAAGAAAAUAUCCGAACGACAAGACUUGGUGCUCCAGGAGCAUUUAGAUGCUAUUUCCGUAUGAACAUUAGCAAUAAGUGUGAUGAGAAACGGAAAAUGCUAUUGGAGAACCCUAGAGUUUACUAGAGUUAAAUGUCAAAUGAUGUAACAGUCCUCCGUUGGAUGGUAAGAUGAUCAGAAAAGAGUUGUAAAAUUUAUCAUCCAAUAGAUGAUUGAAAUUAUUGAUUUUUAAAAUAUCUAUCGAAUUACCUGUAAAUGAGUAAAGUUUUCCCAUUACUGUAACUAUCUUUGUAAACAGAGAAUUAGAGACUAAAAAUGGUGGAGUUUUAUUUAGUUGUAGCCAUGAUUUAGUUUGAUCUUCCCUUUGAUUUAUUUUUAUUUGUUAUUUUCCGGGCAUGUGACUUGAUCUGUAAUAUCUCAAGCGGCUACAGUUGCUCCAAUUGUCCCGAGGGUUGUAAUCGUCUCUCAUAUCGUUGCAUUAAAAUUUUCAACAAAUCUAACAGAUCUAACAAAUCUCGGGUUAAAUUCAUUAUUAUAGGUAUGCAUGGCGAUCGUUUAUUUUACAUCAUAAUAAAUUAAUAAUAUUUUUCAACAUAUAUUUCAAAUGAAAAUACUAAGUGUUCAUACGUUCAUUUAGAUUGAUGAUAUCUUUCCUAUCAUGAUAUCUUUCAUUAUUGUCCUCGAGAGCCGCAGGUUGCGGUGGUGGGCUUGCGUUAUUCUUUCUACUCAUUGGAAUAUGGUGGUUGUACAAGUUUACAAAAAGAAGAAGGGAAAUCAAGCUCAAGCAUAAGUUCUUUAAAAAAAAUGGUGGUUUAUUAUUACAACAAGAAUUGUCUUCCAAUGAAGGUAAUAUUGAGAAAAUGAAGUUAUUUACUUCAAAAGACUUGGAGAAAGCCACCGACAACUACAAUGCCAAUCGAAUCCUUGGUCAAGGAGGUCAAGGUAUUGUAUACAAAGGAAUGUUAGUAGAUGGACGAAUUGUGGCGGUUAAAAAAGCUAAAAUAUUGGAUGAGAGAAAUCUCGAGCAAUUCAUCAAUGAGGUAGUAAUUUUAUCUCAAAUUGACCCCAGAAAUGUUGUUAAGUUGUUGGGAUGUUGCUUGGAGACAGAAGUUCCUCUUUUGGUGUAUGAAUUUAUUCCAAAUGGAAGUCUCAAUCAAUACAUACACUAUCGAUCCGAGGAGUUUCCAAUCACAUGGGAAAUGUAUUUAUCCAUUGCUUUUGAAGUUUCAGGUGCUCUAUCUUAUCUGCAUUCAGCUGCAUCUAUUCCUAUUUAUCAUCGAGGCAUCAAGUCUGCAAACAUACUUUUGGACGAUAAAUAUCAAGCCAAAGUUUCAAAUUUUGGGGCUUCUAGAUCUAUAACAAUUGAUCAAACUCACUUGACCACUCAAGUACAAGGAACUUUUGGAUAUGUAGAUCCAGAAUACUUUCGGUCAAGUUAUUUUACAGAAAAAAGUGAUGUUUAUAGUUUUGGUGUAGUUCUUGUUGAGCUUUUAACUGGACAGAAACCUAUCCGUUCAACUGACGCUGAAGAAGAUAAGAGUUUAGCAAGAUAUUUUAUCCAAGCAAUGAAAGAGAACCGUCUGUUUGAAGUCCUUGAUGAUCGAGUUCUUAAGGAAGCUGAGAAAGAAGAGAUUAUUACCGUUGCUAUGCUUGCCAAAAGAUGCUUGAACUUGAAUGGGAGAAAGAGACCUACGAUGAAAGAAGUGGCAUUUGAAUUACGGGGUAUAAGAGAAUCAAUUGGAGCUUCCAUUUUGCAGCAAAAUUGUGAAGAGACUGAUUUUGUGGAUGGUGACAUUAUUGGACAUGAUUUCGGAAGAAAUUCAUCUUCUAGUGGGUCAAGUUUAAAUAGUGUCUCAGUUUCUGUAGAUGCCGACCCUUUAAUUUCAAACAAAUGGUGAUAAAGAGAAGAAUUGCCUUGAAACUGUUUGUCUUUCAUAAAUAAGAUUGUGAGACUUUUCCAAUAUUAUCAUUCUUGUAUCGCUAGAGUUUCUUUGGGUACCAUCAUUUGUAAUUAAAAACUUCCAAGUCAUUUCAAUCAAAUUUUCCACUAUUUCAUUGCAUGCGCUGCAUUUUCCUUUUUUUCUUUUUUAGGCAAAUAGAGGAGAUCAAGGAAAAAUCUUUUGAAAUUAAUUUCUUAGUUGAAGUUUACAAAUGCAAGAUGAUAUGAUCUCUCGGUCUAAAGUGCAAGCACUUUAGCACUAUGCCACCUAAUAUCUCUGAGUAAAUAGGAGAGAACAACUUGAGCACUUAAGAGGGCCAACGUUAAAUAAACUCCAGAGUAGCAUGUUGGAAUUUUUGGCUUAUUGUUAUGCAGGACUUUCUUGGUAGUGAAAUAAAGUCAAAAGGAAGAUGGGAGGAAAUAAAGAUCAAUGCAAAUUGAUAGAUAAAAUACCCUACAUCAUUUGUGAGUGCAUCUUAGGUCAAAUAUGUAAAGUUUGAACGAUCCUCAAUUUUUUAGUUAGAUUUUGAGUAUGGCUUAAACCCAUGAAUUUUCUAAUAUUUUAUUAGAGUUAAAUUUAUCUAGAUUAGGCCCAUGCUACUUCCCACAGUACCUUAUCACUUUACGCCCUUCACAUGGAGGCAUUAUAAAAGAGUAAUGCUAAGGGGAUCCCAACUUGAGUUCUAAUGGAUGUGAUAUUUAUCUAGUAGAUAGUAAAAUAUUUAUUUUAUCAAUUAUAAAAUUUAUUAUCCAAUACAUGAACUACAUAUAAAAUUUGAGAUUCAAAACUUAAUUGGUGGGUCACAAUCAUUAUUGGUUAAAAAUGAUAUCCAGAGAUAACUAGAGGUAAAUCAAAAACUCUCUCUCUCUCUCUGUGCUAAGACCCUUUCUGCCACAGGCUAAAAUUCACCAGCUUUGAUCAAUCAACCUGCCUGAAUUACACAGCCAUCACAUUUUCAAACCUCCAAUCUUUCAAAUCUAUUUUUCAACUCUUUGUUUCCAGCCACCGUAGCCGCGAACCAACGACACCUCUCCACUGCUACCUCUCGCCACCAUGUCGCCAAUUGCCCAUCACUAUAGCAAAAAAUUAUGCUAAAGGAGUUUAGGCCGGGGAGGGAACCAGUAGGUCUUUUCUUUUUUCUUAUUUUCUAUUUCUCUUCUAUAUUUCUUUUGUUUUAUUUUUGUAUUUGCUUCUGUUAUUGUACGUUUUUAUGUUUUGUUGUUUUGUAAGAUUUUAUACUGCUCGUACGGUGGUCUACAUAGGCGGUGUUGUUUCAAUGUCCAGAUCGGGAUUGUGUCAGUAUUUGGAUUGGAAUAGUAUGACUACAUUGAAGCUGUUGAGGGCUUUAAUAGUGGUACAUUGAGGUUCCGAUGACCUCAGGCGAAGUUCUGAUGGCCUAGGUCAAGGGCUUAUUGAGAGAUUUUCUAGUGAAUCGUAAGGUUGGUUUUUUUUGUUGCAUUUUGUGGAUUUUUUUUUUUGGUUGUUUGUUUGCAUUUUAUUGUUAGAAUUGUGUUUUCUUGUGUUUUGUUGUAUUAUCGGACACUAGGGGGUAUUUGAACUAUAGUAGCUAAGGUUUGUUCCUCUAGUGUUUCUUUAGAUUUUAAUUUGAGAAAAAGGACACCUACACCUUAAAGUUUGAGGAAAUGAUCGCAAAACUCCUAAGUUUUUAAAAAGGACACUAAAAUUCUUUUUUUACCAUAUUAUCCUUUGAAUUUAGUAAUUAGAAAAUUGACUUUAAAGUUUUUGUAAUUAAUACAAAUUUAAUAUAAAUAAUAUAAUCUAUCUAGUAGAUUAAUAAUAUUAAAUUAUUUUUAAAAUUUAAAAUAAUAUUAAAAUUUUAAAUUAUUAUAUUUAUUUUAAUAAUAUAUUUGUAUUUACUAUAAAGAUUUUAAAUAAAUCUUUGGGUUAAAUAAAUUUUUCAAUUAACAAAUAAUAUCCCUAUUAAUAAGAUCAAAAUUAUUUUUUACAUAAUAUUCAAAAUAAUUUUAAUUUUUAAUUUAUUUUUUUAAUAUUAUGUUUCUAUUUAUUAUUAAAAAUUACUUUAAUAUAAUAAAAUAAGUCUAAUAGAUUGUAAAAUAUUAAAAUAUUUUUUAAAUAUUAAAAUUAUUUUAAAAUGCAUAUAUUAUUACAUUUAUUUUGAUGCCAUAUUUCUAUUUAUUAUAAAAUUUUGGCGUCAAAAGUCAAAGGAUAUCACUGUCAAAAAGGAAUCUUGGCGUCAAUUAUUGAAAAUUUGGGGUUUUUUGUGACUAUUUCCUCGAACUUUGAGAACGUAGGUGUUCUUUUUCCCUUAAUUUGAGAAACAAAUUGGUCUCCUUUGAUUUUAAAAUUUGUUUUAUGUACUGUACUUAAACUUGAUAUAACUCUUAUUUAUAUUAUUAUUAUUAUUGGUCCUUAAUGAAAGUCACGUUUUCUUAAAGAAAGAAAAGAAAAGAAAAGAAAAGUUGGAAGAUAUACGGAGGAGAACUUGUNNNNNNNNNNNNNNNNNNNNNNNNNNNNNNNNNNNNNNNNNNNNNNNNNNNNNNNNNNNNNNNNNNNNNNNNNNNNNNNNNNNNNNNNNNNNNNNNNNNNNNNNNNNNNNNNNNNNNNNNNNNNNNNNNNNNNNNNNNNNNNNNNNNNNNNNNNNNNNNNNNNNNNNAUCAUUAUCUGGUGUUGUUGCAAUCGAUGUUUUUGCCAUUAUGGCCAAUCAAAGCAUCAAAAGAUUUAUGCCAAUAUGAUUGUGGGAAUGCCACUAUCAGGUACCCCUUCGGAAUCGGAGAGGGUUGCUAUUUUGAUAAGAGUUUUGAAGUAAUCUGCGAUUACUCUUCUGGCUCCCCAAAAGCUUUUCUUGCGAGCAUCAACAACCUGCAAGUAUUGGACAAUCAUGUUUAUGGUGUAUCCAACAUUAGGGUAAACAUUCCUGUAAUUUCUUUGAAGAGCAGCAACAUGACAAGCAAUGCUAAAGGGGUCAGUCUUUCAGUUAGCCCUUUUACAUUUUCUCCGUGGGACAAUAGAUUCACAGCCAUAGGUUGCAACAACUAUACUACGAUUAUUAAGCGACAGAAUGAUUCAUCCGUUUUUGGUGGGUGCCUUUCGAUUAGCACUUGUGAUCCUGCUCUCAACCCUGGUUGCUACGAUUUCCUGUGCGCCCUUCCUCAAAAUAUUACUCAGGUUUCCAAUGCAGAAAUAUCUAGUUUUUAUCCGAAAAGUAUUCCUCAGGAAUGUCACUCUGUUUCCCAUUGUUGAAGAAGAUUGGGUCAACUCAAAGUACAUGAAGAAUCCUCACGUUUUGAAAGAUCUCGGACAAGUUCCUGCACUGUUGAAGUGGGCUGAGUCUAGAGGAUAUUUGAUACACCUCUUUGCAACCAAGGAUGUAUCGAUAAGAUUUGCACUCUUCGAGUGAGGGCUGACUCCAAAAGAAAUUCGCGAAGAUGAGCAAGAAUGGAGAGAGAGAUUGAGAGUGAGAGAAGAGUAGAGAAAAGUUAAAAAGAAAUGAUUCAUUCUUGAUUUCCCUUACACGAAUUAGUUAUGCUAUACAUAUACUCCUCUGUCUUUUGGCGUUUAAAAGAAUACAGCUCAGCAUAACUUUGUAACAGAAAAUAUGACAGCAAUAUAUACCAGCAAAAUAUAAAGCCCUAUCAAUUUCACUAUACGACAUAAUCUUUAAACCACCCAGGGGGCCUUCUCACUCUUGUGCCUGUGUACCCUUCCUUACGAGCUACUUCUACUUCAACUUGUGAUGAGGCUUCCUUCAUGGGCUGCGCACAAUUAGACUCAUCGAUGGGCUGCCCUUCUCGUAAACAAUCCGGUUGAUCCAGCUGAAUGUGGGGGGUUGUAUCAUCCCCUCCAGCUUCAAAACUCACCUUGUCCUCAAGGUGAAAAUUAGGAUAAAGCUCACAGAAGGUUUCAAACUCUUCCCAAGUAGAAUCUUCAGGCGAAUUGUUCUGCCAUUGAACCAGAAUUUGGCGACAUCGCGUGCCUUAUUUAAGCACGGUUCUAAUAGCGCAAACUGCAGCAGGGAGAUAUAAUGGCUGAUUGUCCACACUAGUUGAUGGCAAGGAAUGGUGAUCAGGGGUAUGAGAACCAAGAAAGGGUUUGAGAAGUGAAAUGUGAAACACUGGAUGGAUCUUGGAACUGCUGGGCAAGGCAAGCUUAUAAGCUACAGGGCCAACUCGAGCUAGUACAGGAAAGGGGCCAUAAUACCGUUUAGCUAGCUUUUGACAAGAACGAGAUGCCACUGUCUUUUGGCGGUAUGGCUGAAGCUUCACUAGAACUUGGUCCCCAACAGCAAACUGAGCUUUGCGUCUAUGUGCAUUAGCCUUUUGAAUCAUGCGAUGUUGAGCUUGACGCAAAUUCUCUUUCAAGGAACGAAGUAAUGCAUCCUGUUCACUUAAAGCUUCAUCAAGAGCUUAGAUUGAAGUAGAGCCCUUUGAGUAAGGAGGAAUUGCUGGAGGUGGUCGCCUAAAAAGAGCUUGAAAAGGAGACAUUUUGAUGCUGCUGUGAUAAGUAGAAUUGUAGGAAAACUCAGCCCACCCAAGUAGAGAUACCCAUGAGUGUGGUUUGUCUUGGGUGAAAGUGCGAAGAUAUUGCUCCAAGCCGCGAUUGACAACCUCCGAUUGCCCAUCUGUUUGUGGGUGAUAGGCUGUACUGUGUCGAAGGGUAGUGCCACUUAACUCCAAAAAUUGCUUAAGAACACAAGGUCGCGAUCGGAAAUAAUAGAGGUCGGAAACCCAUGAAGCUUUAUUACCAUAUCCACGAACAAUUUGGCGGUCUUUAUGCUGUAAAUUGAGUGGGAAGGGAUCCAAAGUGUGCCGAUUUCGUAAGGCGAUCAACCACUACCAAUAUCACCGUGAAACCUCGCGAAACUGGAAGGCCAGUAAUGAAAUCCAUAGUGAGUUCGUCCCAAACUAAAGUGAGGAUAUGAAGAGGCUGCAGUGGACCUGCUGGUGCUUGAGUAGAAUAUUUAGUCUGUUGGCACACAAGGCAUUUGACCACAAAUCGCUCAACGUCCAUACGCAUUUUAGGUAAAAAAAAAUUAGAUGCCAAGCAGACCAGCGUGCGUUUGAUGCCUACAUGCUCUGCAAGUGGAGUAGAGUGGAAUUCAGCCAAUAGAACCGCUUUAAAGGAUGAUGAUGGACUGAUAUAGUAACGAUUGUGAUAAAAAAGGACCCCAUUAUGCCGCGAAUAAUCCCGUGAAAGAGAUCUCGUAGCAAACUGACGAUGAAGAUCAAUCAUUUCCGGAAGUGUGGAAUUCUCUAGUUUUAGAGUUGCUAACAACUCAAACGACGGGUGACUAAGGAGAGGCAAACAAGAAGCAGUCACUGUUGGUGUUUCCUCACUAGCCUCGUCAUGCAUUCGUGAUAAGGCGUCGGCUGCAAGAUUGGUACAGCCCGGUUUAUACUCAAUGCGGAAGUGAUAGCCUAGUAAUUUUCUGAUGUAGACUUGCCGAUCCGGAGUUUGAACUACCUGCUGGAGAAGUUCCUUAAUGCUCUUAUGGUCAGUUCAGAUUACAAAAAAUCUGCCUAAUAAGUAUUGUCGCCAUUUGUGCACCGCUUCAACAAUAGCGGUUAAUUCCUUGAUGUAGGUAGAAGAAGCACGAAGUCAAGGACCUAAUUUCUUACUGAAAUAAGAUAUGGGGUGCCCCGAUUGCAUAAGCAUAGCCCCGAUACCCACAUUAGAGGUAUCAGUCUCAAGAAUGAAGUCGGAGUCAAAAUCUGGUAGCUGCAACACAGGGGCUUCCACCAUUGCUCUUUUAAGAGCUUCAAAUGCCUCAGCUGCUGCUGGUGUCCACUGGAAGGCAUCUUUACAAAGAAAAUAAGUAAGUGGGGCUGCGAAAGACGCAUAUCCACGAAUAAACCGCCGGUAAUAACCCGUCAAACCCAAAAAAACCUCGAAGUUGUUUUGUAGUCUGAGGAGUUGGCCAACGAACCAUAGUUGUAAUUUUCUGAGGAUCGGCCCGCACACCAGAGGCCGAAACAAUGUGGCCUAGGUAAUCGAUAGCGUCUUGGCAAAACAAGCAUUUGGAUAGCUUGACAAAGAAGUGGUGAAAAUGAAGGCACCACAAGACUUGCUGAAGGUACCGCAAAUGUUCCUCUGCUGUAGCACUAUAAACCAAAAUGUCAUAAAAAAAAAUCACAAAUUUACGCAAAAAUGAAGCGAAAAUCUGGUUCAUAGUAGCUUGGAAGGUAGAAGGCGCGUUUGUUAACCCAAAUGGCAUGACGAGGAACUCAUAGUGGCCCUGAUGAGUGCGAAAAGCCAUUUUAUAAAUGUCGCGGUGGUGCACGCGAAUCUGAUGGUAACUAGCCUGCAAAUCCAACUUGCUAAAGAUUACUGCCCCACCUAAUUCAUCAAAUAAUUCGUCGAUAGUCGGAAUGGGGAAUUUAUCUUUAAUGGUGGCGGCAUUCAAAGCCCUGUAAUCAACACAGAAACGAUAGGUCCCAUCUUUUUUUUUUACCAACAAGACCGAUGAAGAAAAUGGACUUUGACUCGGUUGAAUGAUGCGUUGUUCUAACAUUUCACGGAUCAGUUUUUCCAUCUCAUUUUUUUGGAAGUGGGGGUAGCGAUAUGGGCGGACAUUUAUGGGAGUGGUGUUGGGGAGGAGAUGGAUUUUAUGAUCAAUUGUGCGAUGUGGCGGUAGGGUAGUAGGUGGAAGAAAUAAGUUGAGGUAGGUGUGUAGAAGGCCAACAAAGGGUGCGGUUAAAUGUGGAGGUAAUUCGAAGGAAGAACUCUUGGGAUUACUUUCUGAUUCCUCCCCGGGUACAGGUACCUGUUGCAGAGCGAACAAACUAUAAAUGUCAGCACUGUGGAUUAGAGAUUGCAACUGAUGAAAGGUGAUUAAGGAGGGAGUAGUGGAUAGUUCGCUGUGAAGAGUCACUGGUGCCCCAUUCCAACAAAAUUCCAUAGAGAGGGCAGAGUAAUCAUGAGAGACACGGCCCAAGAAUUGCAGCCAUUGUAUUCCCAACACCACAUCAGGCCCCUCAAUGGGCAGAACAAAGAGGUCCAAAGUGAAGAUCGUUCCCUGCAUCGUGAGAGCAACUUGAGGGCAAAAAUAUUUGCACACUAGAAAAUCCCCAUUGCCAAUAUAAACACGGAAAUGUGUUGUUGGCUGUAUCGGUAAGCCUAAACGCUCUAUCACUGUUGGUUUGAUAAAGUUGUGGGUACUUCUGCUAUCGAUCAAUACUUGAAAGCUGUGAGAACCAACUUCGCCAACCAAACGAAAUGAGUGGGGAUUUAUUUGACCCGCCAAAGCAUUCAAACUGGAAAUAUCCCCUGUUAUGAUCUCUUCGACAGAAUCCAGUGGCAAUUCUUGUUCACAAGAAACAAGCUCAUUAUCAUCAGUACCCAUAAGAAGCAAAAACUUACUACGACAGCGAUGAUUAGCGCUAUAUUUUUUAUCGCAGUUAUAACACAAUCCCUUCUCACGCUUGUCACGUAGCUCUGCUGGAGUAAGGCGGCGAAUCGGUAAGUUGGGUGUGGGUAGAAGUGGUGGUAACGUGUUUGGUUUCGGGGGUGGGGAAGUAUUGUGGGAAUGAGAUAUUGUUUGGGCCAUACCAGUGGAAUGGUGCGGUUGGGUUGAAGCAAGGGGAUAUGUGGUAGGCUGAAAUUUGUGUGACGGGGAGGUUGUGGUAGGAGUAGGUGACAUGGUGUUCCAUUUUGGCAAAAAAGGUGUCCUUGUUUGGCCUCCUCAGCACAGGCUUCAUACGCACGAGCUAGUGCAAAUGCUUCCAUUAGAGAAGAAGGCCGAUCAAAAAGCAGCUCACGACGAAUAUCGAGUUUCAAUCCCGUGAUAAAAAAACUUAUCAGAAGUGGUUCUAAAAUUCCAGUCACUCGAUUCAUUAAAUCUUCAAAAGAGGUCUGAAAUUCUGCCACUGUUGUGGUUUGGGAUAACUUAGACAAAUUUCCUUGAGGAUCUUCAUAGAGGGAGGCACCAAAACGAUGUUUAAGGUUCUGCAAAAAUUCUUUCCAGGUUGUCAACAAGCUGUUCAUUUUCAUCCAUUGAUACAACGCUGUCGCGCGUCCUUCCAUAUGAAAAGAAACAAUCCGCAAACGAAGAGUUUUCGGUGUACCGUGGAAAUCAAAGAACUCCUCAAUUCGAAAAACCCACCCGUUUGGGUAAGAUCCAUCAAACUUACGCACCUCCAUCCUCAUAGAACGGAGCACUGGGGACAACUCAAUACCACUGGAAUUUACCUCAUUAGAAGAAGAGGAUGGGUGUGGUGGAUUAGAAACCCGACCUAAGUGAUUGGAAGACCCAUGGAUCUAUGAACGCAAAUCAUCAAAGCGAGAAUCUACCGUGGCCAUAUAUUGUUGCAGCGUUUGAUGCAAGGACAAUGUUUGGCUCUCGAACUGUUCUUGGAUCGUCUUUAAAAGUUCAGAAUCCGUCAUUACGAUAGCAAUGAAAGCACCAAUGAUACACCUCUCUGCAACCAAGGAUGUAUGGAUAAGAUUUGCACUCUUCGAGUGAGGGCUGACUCCAAAAGAAACUCAUGAAGAUGAGCAAGAAUGGGGAGAGAGAUUGAGAGUGAGAGAAGAGUAGAGAAAGUUAAAAAGAAAUGAUUCAUUCUCGAUUCCCCUUACACGAAUUAGUUAUGCUAUACAUAUAUUCCUCUGUCUUUUGGCGUUUAAAAGAAUACAGCUCAGCAUAACUUUGUAACAGAAAAUAUGACAGCAACAUAUACCAGCAAAAUAUAAAGCCCUAUCAAUUUCACUAUACGACAUAAUCUUUAAACCACCUAGGGGGCCUUCUCACUCUUGUGCCUGUGUACCCUUUCUUACGAGCUACUUCUACUUCAACUUGUGAUGAGGCUUCCUUCAUGGGCUGCACACAAUUAGACUCAUCGAUGGGCUGCCCUUCUUGUAAACAAUCCGGUUGAUCCAACUGAAUAUGGGGGGUUGUAUCAAUAUUGUUAUGAAGAAUAUAAUUCGAAAACUACUCGUAACAAGGACAAUAUAUGUUUUAACACAAUUAAGCUCAGACCUCUUUUGCCUUUGCAAUAGGGAAACAAGCGUUGGCCCACACCGCCAUGGAUAUUGCUUAGGUACAGUUUCGACUACUAAUUAAAUUAAUUUCAUAUAUGAAGUGUAAUUACUUUAUUUCCUCGAACCAACUACGUAUCUAACACAAAAUUAGGGACGGUAAUUGCAGAAUUCGCAUAUGUAAAGAAGGCAAGAUUUAUGUAUAGCCGUGAUUUAAUUUGAUAUUCUAUUUCAUUUUUUUGGUUUGUUUAGGAGACUUGCUCUGUAAUACCACAAGCCGCGACAAUUGCUCAUUGGAAUGUCCCAAAGGUUACUUUUCAAAUCCGAGCGUUGGAUACUGCAACCAAAAUCUUAGUAUGCACAAAAAUUCUCUCAAAUUCAUUAUUAUAGGUAAGUAUUGGAAUUUGCAGAUUUUAUCGACAGAAUAACUUACCCCAUAUAUAUAGGCUCACAAACUUAACAGACUAAACAGUUCCUUGGCAUAAAUCACCUCGAAUGUGCAUUAAAUAUUCUUAGCCUGAAGUGUUGCAGGUUGCAGUAGUGGGCUUGGAAUGUUGUUCUUACUAAUUGGAACAUGGUGGUUAUACAAGUUCGUUAAAAGAAGAAGAGAAACCCAGCUCAAGCAAAAUUUCUUUAAAAGAAAUGGUGGUUUAUUAUUGCAACAACAGUCCUCAUCAAAUGAAGGUAAUACUGAGAAAACAAAAUUGUUUACUUCAAUGGAAUUAGAAAUAGCUGCUGACAACUUCAAUACCAAUCGAAUCCUUGGUCAAGGAGUCCAGGGCACAGUGUACAAAGGAAUGUUGGCAGAUGGAAGAAUUGCGGCUGUGAAAAAAUCCAAAUUAGUGGAUGAGGGUAAUGUUGAGCAAUUCAUCAAUGAGGUGGUAGUUUUAACUCAAAUUAACCACAUAAAUAUUGUUAAAUUGUUCAGAUGCUGCUUGGAGACAGAGGUUCCUCUUUUGGUGUAUGAAUUUAUUCCAAAUGGAACUCUCUAUCGAUAUAUACACGACCAAACUGAGGAGUUCACAAUCACAUGGGAACGUUUACGCAUUGAUGUAGAAGUUUCAGGUGCUUUGUCCUAUUUGCAUUCAACUACUUCUAUUCCUAUUUAUCAUCGAGACAUCAAGUCUGCAAAUAUACUUUUGGAUGAUAAAUUUCGAGCAAAAAUUUCAGAUUUUGGGGCUUCUAGAUAUGUCACGAUUGAUCAAACUCAUUUGACCACACGAGUACAAGGAACUUUUGGAUAUCUAGAUCUAGUGUACUUUCAGUCAAGUCAAUUUACAAAGAACGGUGAUGUUUAUAGUUUUGGAGUUGUUUUUGUUGGGCUUUUAACUGGACAAAAACCUAUCCGUUCAACUGACAUCGAAGAAGAUAAAAGUUUAGCAGGGUAUUUUCUCCGAGCAAUGAAAGAGAACUGUUUGUUUGAUAUGCUUGAUGCUUAAGUUCUUAAGGAAGCCAAGGAAGAAGAGAUUAUUACCAUUGCUAUGCUUGCAAAAAGAUGCUUGAACUUGAAUGGGAGGAAGAGACCUACAAUGAAAGAAGUAGCAUUUGAAUUAGGGGGCAUUAGAGCUUCAAUCGGACCUCAAAAUUGUGAAGGCAUUGAUUUUGUGGGUGGCAAUUUUAAAACUGGUUCAUCUUCCACAGGGGCAAUUUUAAAUGCUGUUGCUUUUUCUGUAGAUGCUGACCCUUUGUUUUCAAACAAGUGGUGAUUAAAGGGAAAUUCUUCCCUUUGAAAUGUAAUUAUUUCAUUUCAAAAUAAAUUUAGUUGUGGACUUUUGCAUUAUGCUUCUCUUAUGGUUAAAAUUUUUCACUCUAGAUCAAAAUAUACAGAGUUUGAUGUUCACUUUGUAAGUAGUCAGUGGAGAAAUAAAUUUACAAGGUAGAUUCCAAAAAAGCAUCUGGUGGCAGACAUAUUUAAAGAUUUAAGAAGUAAACCUCUAAUGCUACCAUUAUUUAGGGGCCCUGUGCAUCAAGAAACAGAGGACCCUGCACUCGAACUUUGAAGCUGAAGGAGUUGGACAUCUCAGCAUCUGAGUCUGCAUACAAGUGGAACAGGAGAUGCUGACAUGACAUCCUACGUGGAACUUAUGCGACACAUAUAAUGAGUCCAAUUCGUUCCUAGUUCAUACGCUUACAUUGUAACCCCGUUCUGUGUUUCCAGUACCAUUGGUGAAUCAUCACUUCGUGCCAUUGUAUUGCUAAUAGCACCUUUGCCUUGAUUGAUUUUGCUGACAAUAUGUAGGUUGCAUUUGGAACUGAGGUGCUAUAACUUUUAAUCUGCAGUUAUUGUGGAGUAAAAGUCAUAGUUGUGGUGUACAAGCUAAUGGUGUUGGGUAAAUUUUAAUAGUUGUGGAGUGGAAGCUAUAGUGUUUGGUAAAUUUUAAUACAUGUAGAGUGGAAAUUGAUGAAUAUUUGUAAUAAUUAAUUUUAAAUAAUAUUAUUUUUAAUUAUUAAUUAAUCAAAUUAGUUUUCAUAUUUUGAAUUAUUAGAUUAACAUAUGAUUGUGUUUAUUACUUUGACAAAUUAAAUUAAUAUUUAAUUAAUCAAAUUUAUUUUUCUAUACAAGUUGUAAUAAAUAUUUUUUAAAACAAAAUAAUUUAAAAUUGAAAAUAAAUAAAUUCUAAUUUUACACAUUGAUUGAAGAAAUAAAUUAUACUAAAUAUGUCUAAUAAAGAUCAUACAACAUAACAUUAUAAAAUUAAAAUGUAAUUAAUUACAAAAUUCUUAUAAACAUUUCCAUUGUCAUGCCUCCAUUAAACUUGCAGCAACGCCAUCUCUGAAGAUUAUUUUAUCUUGAGUUAUGUUAUCGACUGUAUCAUAACUUUUUGUGGGAGAUGCAAUAUAGCUUAUAUGUUCACUAUUAUUAUGAUUUAGCUUAUCCAUUGUUUCAUCAAAAUGAUCAUGAUUUUGUGAAUAUCCUUUGAUGUAAUUAUGUAAGGCCAUGGUAGUAAUAACUAUCUUCACCUGCUUCUUUAAUGUAUGGCUUGGCAUAUUUUGUAAAAUCUUCCUUAUUUGUUUUAAACCCCAAAAGAACUUGUUAGAAUGAACAAUACUCUCAACAUUAAGAGAUUCAAAUGCCUCAUUACUCUUUAAAGGAAAACUAGAUGAGGGAAACCAAACAAGGUCACUUGUAGCCACUGCAUUUGAAUAGUUAAUUUAGUUUUUUCUCCAACUAUGAAUCAAUACCAUUUUUUUGAAUUCUAUUGAAUUGCAAAUUUUCAUUUAUUUUCUUUUCCUACCGGUCCUCACUUGCAUCAACUAUACUUAACUAUGAUUCCACCUUAAAUAUGUUUCCUAGUCAAUCAUAUUCUUCCACAAUUUCCAAUUAGUUCUAAGAGAAUCCUAUUUGUUUUUCAUUUGAGUUCUAUUAUAAUCCAAUCCAAUUUCUUCAGUGAAUUCCUUAAUGAAAUAUUUAUAUGCUUGGAAAGUAGCCUUACUAGCUGAGCUACUAGACCUAAUUUCGUACACUUACACCUAGAAUAAAGAAUAAUAUUUCUUUGUCAAACAACAAUACCGGAAAGAGAUUAAUUAAGAGCAAUACCCAAUUUUUUUAAAAACAAAUAACACUAAUUAAGGAUGAAUUAUGUGUAGCAGCAAUGAACUAUGUCUAACGUUACACACCUGUAACACCCCAGCCCAACUUUGAGGACAAAUCUAACCACAACUCACCUAUGUACUUAAAUAUCUCUUUACAAUCAACAACAAUUCAAGUCUUAAAUACAAUAUUUAAAUAGCAGGAGACUUUAAAGAUUUUGCACAAUCAUCUACCAUCCUCAAUUUAAGUCUUCUCCUCACUCAUCACGAAUAAAUCUUGACUUCUGAAAACUGAAUCACAAUAAACUAUAAUGAGUACAAAACUCAAUAAGUAAACUGGUUUUUCAUAUACCAAAAUAGAUACAUACUUAUAUACAAUGUAAAUAGAUAAUAUGCCAUGAUAUUUUCAAAACACUAUAAAAUAAAUUCAUCAAAAUCUCUUUCUGUUGCUUUCAAACUUUCACAUUUUCUUUCAAUAAAAUACAUAUCAUGCAUAAGGCAUUUUGCGCAAUACUUGGCACUUUGCACUAUGCGUUGCACUUCACGACACUCUGACCCUCGAGAGGUGGCCCCUACAUAGUCUCAAAAGGUGGCCCCCACACGGCUUCAAGAGGUGGCCCCCAAUGCAAACUCUCAUAAAACUAAGUAUAAUAGCAAAAUUCAUGUACAAAUCAUAAAAUUAUAAAAUGCAAUAUUAUUAAACAUACUUUUUAUAAAAGCUUUGCAUGUUCAUGCUUAUGCCAAUGAACUUUCAUGCACACAUAUGCCCAUGCAUAUAAUCAUGUUCAACACAUAACAACACAUCACAUAAACACAUGGGUAGAAACAUAUAAAUCAUAUAUGUGCAUAUAAAAAAUAGGUUUUUCAAACAUGUCAAACAUAUACAUAUUAAUUUAUUGUGAUCCAUUUAGAAGUUUAGUUUACUUACCUCUUGGCAUCCACAUGUAACAAAUGCGUAUUGAUAUCAUCAACCUAAAAAUCAUUUAUAAACUCUCAUUAGAUAUAAUCAAGUCCUAAUCAUAAUUCUAAUGUCCUCAAAUUUCUCAUUUUAAACAUAUCCUAAACUCAACCUCAAAUACUCUCAAUAUUCGAUCCCAAAACAGAACAACCCAUGUUCUCUGAUUUUUGAUAAUUUAUUAUCUUAUUGGAAAAGUCCCAAAUUUUCAAGAGUAUAUGCUAACAUACUAGAAAUUCAUUGAUUAAAAUUUCAUAACUUAAUUCUUUCAAAAACUAUUGAAAAUAAUUUACGUUUCAGAUAUCAUUAAUUCUGUCAAACAACUUUCUAUUUUAAACAUACUUGUUUUAAAAAUACAAAACAAUUUAUUGUUUUAUCAUAAAAUCAUGAAAAUUUCCAAAAUCACACUAGACAAAUAUAAAAGUUGCUAAUCCAAGUUUCAUAAUUUUGGAAGAAAUCUAGCUAUGGUAAGAUAAAUUCGUAAUUCAUGUUCUUCAUUGAAAUUAGAAAUUUCCAUGUUUUCAAACUUGAGUUUAAAAAUUGUAAUUAAUUGAAAUCUUAUCCGGUUAGCUUGAAACAAGUUCCAAACAUUCUUCUAGUUUAAGAUAUUCAAAAUCUAGAAUCAAAAUCAAUUUGUACAAAUGGCUAUGAUUUUCGAAAUAACACUCUGUCAGCAUAUUUUCUGUGAAAUCUUAAGUUCUACUUCUAUUACUACUAUCUAACCAUGCUUCUCUAUAACAAUUAACACACUCUCAGCAUAGUUUCUGUGAAAUUUACCUCCAAUUCUCUCUCGACAUAAUAUCCAAUUCAAAAGCCACUACUUUGAUCUCAUGUGUCGCUCAUGGCUAACAAAGAAGAAGACUUUCUUUUUCUUCUUCUCUUCUUCUUUUUCAUGUGUUCUUUUUUUUUUUAACUCGCUCUCUCUCUCUCUCUCUCUCUCUCACAUUAAUAGCAAAGGAAGGCAUCUAUUGGGGUAUUACGCGUUUACCCCUUAAAAGAAUUUCGUCCUCGAAAUUCGCUUUUAGUUAUGCUCAAAAGAAUCUAAACCUCAAAAUCACUUAUGACCAAUAAAUCCUUAUAAAGACUAAAAAGAAACAUAUCAUGCUGUCGUUGCGCUACUCUGAUGCCUCAAUUAUAUAUUUCUUGGAAACAAAAUCACAAAGCGUAAAGGUGUGGUAUAGACCUAAUUCUAUUCAUCCUUACAACAUCCUUUCCAAGCGAUGUAGGAUGUCACAAAUGUCCACACAUUCUUGAUUGGGAAUGCUCUAAUACCAUUUGUAACAUCUCAACCUAAACUCUAAGGACAAAUUAAUCUAACAAUAACUCACAUAUGUACUUAAAUAUCUCUUUACAAUCAACAAUAAUUCAAGCCUCAAAUACAAUAUUUAAAUAGCGGGCGACUUUAAAAAUUUUGUCAAACCAUCUACCAUCCUUAAUUCAAGUAUUCUUCUCACUCAUCACGAAUAAAUCUUGACUUUUGGAAAUUGAAUCACAAUAAACUAUAAUGAGUACAAAACUUAAAAAGCAAACUAGUUUUUCAUAUACAUAGAUACUUAUAUAUAAUAUAAAUAGAUGAUAUGCCAUGAUCAAUUCAAAAUAUUGUAAAACAAAUUCAUCAAAAUCUCUUUCUGUCGUUUUCAAACUUUCACAUUUUCUUUCAAUAAAAUACAUAUCAUGCAUCUAGUAAUUUACGCAAUGUGUGGUACUUUGGACUAUGCGUAGCACUUCGCGGCACUCUAUCCCUCGAGAGGUGGUGCAACACCUUGGCAAAUCCUACAUUGACAAAGCAUAGAAGAGAUGUUGGGUUUAUAAGAGGUGUUUCAUGACACGACACAAAAGCGUAUUACUCACAAGUAUAAGAGUGUCUAGUUAUAAUAUAACCCGGUGAGUCUAGGGUCGAACCAUAGGGAAUUUUAAAAUCUAGUUGUCAAUUUGUUAAACAGAGAAAAUAAUUCUGGGGAAAUAAAUUAUUUGAAAACAAUUUAAAAAUAUGCUAAGGUUACGGGAUCCACUCUCAGUAUUCAAACUAUAAUUUUUAUACUCUCUCAUUUAUAUUUUGCCUCACUUUUACUAGUUAAUUAUUAUAUCACUUAAUUCUAUGUGUGAGGAUAAAUAUGGAAUAAAGUACCCAAAUUUUGACAUGGAAGAACUGGUUGGAAAGGCUGUGCAUGAUUGUCAUUUGUCCAACUGAAAUUUGGGUGGUUUCUCCAACCAAAGUUGUAAGUUUGGGAGUAUUGAUUUGAAUUUGGCCUUUUGAAAUUGUCAACGACAUUUACUUGUUCAUGCAAACUUUCUCUCAGAGCUGGCAAAGUUGGACAGUCCUGCAUAGAAUGGUCAGUAGAAUUGCAAACAUAACGUGAAAUAUUUUGAACAGACUUUACAUGAUCAUUCCUUUUCAACUCUAAUGCUUCGACUUUUCUAGCUAAGAAUGCAAAUGUGGCUUGAAAAUCACGGUCUUCCCUAAGGUUGUGCAUGCCUCCACUAAAUGGAGAUGACUGAGGCUUACUUGAUGACUCAUAAGAACCAACUGUAUCCCAGUGUUGUGCAUUCUCUGCUAUAUAGUUAAGAUAGUCUAAUGCAUUUUCAAGACUUUUAUCCCUAAACUCACCAUUACACAUCAUUUCAACGACUUGUCUGCCUUGGGAUGUUAAUCCCUCGUAGAAAUAAGACACUAAUCUCCAUGUUUCAAAAUCGUGGUGUGGGCAAAUGUUAAGUAGUUCUUUAAACCUAUCCCAACAUUGGUAGAGGGUUUCUCCUGGUUUUUGAGUGAAUGUGGUGAUUUGUCUUUUGAAAGAAUUUGUUAUGUGGGGUGGGAAUAAUGUUUUCAAAAAUUAUACUUGCAUUUCAUCCCAAGUUCUGAUAGAUCAUGACCUAAUGUUAGAGUGCAAUUUAUGCACUAGUUUUGUAUUGUUUACUUCCUUUAAUAUCGAUGUUUUGUACUUAAUGAUAGUGAUUUACUUGUCUUUUAUUUUUGUAGGUGCAAUUCUAUUGAUUGGUGCUAAAAUUGAGCUACAAGAUGAUGUUUGAGGAUGAUUGUUUUCCUGGAGAAAUUAUGAGCUUUAAAAGAACUUUGUUGAUAAGGCGUGGGCGCGUGCUGUCAACUAAGGACUUGCAGUUUUUAUUUUAACGUGUUUUAUAUUUUUGGUUAUUUUUGUAAUUUCAAAUUUAAUAUUUACAUAAUAUUUUAGAUAUUAGUAUUUUAUUUUGGGAGAAACGCUAGAAGAGGGGGGAGAGAGAUUUUUGGAAAAAGAAGAAAAAGUAACCCUAAAUCUAAUUUUUCUCUUCUCUCUAUGAAGAACUAAACCUAUUAUUCUGGUUAAAGGUUAAUAAAGCUUUGAUUCAUCAUUAUUGUGAGAUCUUUCUUAUGCUUUAAUUGUUUUAUUGCUUUUUGGGUAUUUGUUUAUUCUCUAAAUUAUUGUCAUGAUUAUGUUUGUUAAUUAGAUAAUUGGCCACUACUUAAUUAUCAACUUAAUCUAUUAUCAAUUAAAAGAUUCAUCGUAUGAAGAUUUUAAUGUUUAUGACAAAUAAUAUAGUAGUGCGUUGUGUUAUGAGAAUAAACAAUCUAAUUUAAAUGAAGUAUCGUAUGCGUUUGUUGAUUAGGAUUUGGGUCUCUCUGGUUUUUCAGGCUGUCAAUUGAUUAAAUCCUAUGAUCGUAUCUAGGGUUGUCUAUUGUUUAGGGAAAUAACCAAUGGUCGUACCUUGGUUAUAGACUAGUUAAGGAGAGAUUGACUAUUAGAGAGUCUCAGUAGCUAUAACCGGUCUAUUCAUAAGUAGUAGUGAUUUAUAUUUGAAUCAAUGAUUAGUAGUUGAAUUAAGCUGAGUUAAUUCCUUCAACCAGAGCUUUUCCUAAUUUGAAUUAAAAUUUGAAUUUGCAUUUUUGUUAUUUUAAUUUGAUUUUUAUUAUUGUCAACAAUCCCCCCCAUUUUGCAUUUUACAUUUUAAAAUAAUUUAAAUAAUUAUCGAUAUCUGUGGACACGACCUUAUGAAGGUUUUUCGGUGAAUAUUGUGGAGGAAGUGACUCUCGAGAGUCCCAUUUAUGCAGAUUGAUGCAUGAAUGUGUCUAACCAAAGAUAUAAAACAAAGGCGCUUUUUGGGAGGAAACCCAAAUGAUUUAUUUAUUUUGAAUUUUGUUAUAUCUUUUGUUUUUAAUUUUGAUUCAGAUUGUUUAAAUAAUGUUUUUGCUUAUUUUGGCCAGAAGAAAUUUUUUGGUUAGGCGUGCCCACGUUUUAACUAAUAAGAACUUCUAUGAUUUUAAAGUACAAUGGUUUUAAGGCUUGCCCAUAUGCUUAUUAAAAAAGUACUUCUGUAAAUUUUUUUGGUGUCUCAAGUGUCUCUUUUAGUUUUUAGUUUCAAUAAAAAAAAUAUUUGAAAAUAAAAAGGUUUUUUAAAAAAUUUUAUUUGAUAAAAAAAAUUGAAAUUUUUUUUUCAGGUUUUAAUCCCUAGCGCGCAGCUCUAGCCCGCGUCUCCAGUGCAAGCAGCCGCGUCUGCACCAGCCCAGCAUCCUGCGCGCAGUACCAGCCUUGAAACCAGCACCAGCGUCUCCAGCGCGCGUUUGCACCAGCCCUGCAAGCAGUCCAAGCCCAGCAACCCGCACAGCCUCACUCUCCUCUGUUCAAAGGACCGCCGCUUUUCGCAUUCAAACAAAACCCGUGAGUGAAAUUACUGUAACAAUGCCAAAGAGGAAAGCAUCAACUUCCAAGUUAUCAACGUCUAAAAAAAACUCGUUGCAAAGAAAUCCAAGAUUGCCGCUCCCACUACGGUCCCAUGGAACACAGUUUCAGAUUCACGCCAAGCCGUGAGACAAAGAUCGAAAUAUGGAAAAGGCAUGAGUGUUUUGCCACUUGCUGAAUCUAAUCUCAGAGGGUGCCUCACAUUCACGACUCAACAAGAGAAAGAAAUGUACAAAGAUAUUUCCAAGUGAAAAAUACUUCCAGCUAAGUAUAUUCAUUACCCGACUCUUGAAAAAUUGAAUGUUAAGGAUAAUUUUAAUUCUUUGAUAGAUAAGAUUGGUUUGCGUAAGUUUGUUGAUGUUGAUUGUUUGGGUUAUGUUGAGUUGAUUAGGGAGUUCUAUGCUACUUUUCAAUUUAAUAUACCGAAUGAUUUUACUUUGCAUACUCUGAAUGUUAUAAAGUUUAGGUUAAUGCGACGAAAUUUUUCACAAUCUAUUACAGAUUUUAACCUAGCUUUAGGAUUCAUUGAUGAUGAUUAUUCUUCUAGUGAUGCAUAUUUAGGGACAAAUUGUGACUUUAGCAAAAAUUUUGAGCCUUAUGGUCUUUGGCGUAAUUUAUUUUUUGAUCACAAUGCCUACGACCCGAGUAAAUCAAAGAGCUCUUUUUUACGUGAUCCUGUUUUGAAAUGUGUGCAUCGGUUCUUAGCAUUAGGAAAUAAAGAUCACUCGAGAGUUUUCUCUAAAAUUGAGUUUUAUUUUAUUUGGUGCAUGUUAAAUGAUGUGAGGCCUAAUCUAGGUUUUUAGUUAGCAGAUCAAUUUUAGAGUGUGCUUAAACGGUAUAGGACUUUAUUUCUUGGUCCAUACAUUACUCUGUUAGCUAUAAACUUAUGUGUACUUGAUCUUGACAAUAAUGAUUUACAUCUUGCUUGCAAAAAGGAAUUUUUGGAUAUGUCUUUGUUUGAAAGAGCAGGUUUGGUCUAAUUCGAGGGGAGAUUUCAGUUUACUGAACCAGGACCCACUCAAAUUCCAAAGAAGCUUUAUGCUAGGAGUCGUGCUACCUCUGAUGACGUGUUUGGCGACGAAAUUGCUGCCCCACCAACUAUUCCUGCUACAUCUGCACCACCUUUGAGCAUUUAGUUAGAGAAAAUGGAGCACAUGCUAAACAAGAUGAAGCAGAAUUUGGCCGCAUACUUCGAGAGUGUGGGAUUUAUCCCACCAUUUCCGUCAAGCCCAUAAACGUUAUGUGGAUCAAAGCUCACAAUUCAGAGAAGUUUUGCCUUUAAUCUUUUAUCCUUAUGCUUUAUUUCUUUAUGUGAGCUUUGAUUAUCAUACAUUGAGGACAAUGUAAGUUCUUGGUGUGGGGGAGGGAUUUUUGCAAUAUUGAUAUCUGGAAGUAUUAUUUUCACUCUGCUCAUCUUUAAAUGAUUUUGGAGUUAGUAUGCUUCAUAUAUUAUUCUUAAUUUUUUUCUUUUCUUUUCUUUCUCAAUACUCUUUUCCCAUCUAUCUCAAAUUAUUUACAUCUAUUUUUAUUUUAUCAUACUCUUUCAUCACUCACAUUUUAUAUUUCACUUUUUAUAUUACUACAUACAUCUUUCUCGCUUCUUAUCCUCUUGACCUUUCCUUUUAUAUAUCACUCAUACCUUCUUCUCAUUCUACACCACUAUUGAUGGUUGUUUCAUUUGAAGAGUGUACAUGAUUUGAUGGCAAAUUUACCAACUUUGUGAGGAUUUGAGCCUAUGAGCAACCAUUUUGCUCUAAUUAUUUUUGUUAUGUGAAUAUCAAUCUUAGUUUGUUUAUUCUAGAACUUGCUUUGUUAUGCAUGUUGAAGCCAUAUUACGGGAUUUUAUGCAUUAAAAUGAUAAGGGCAAACCACUUUCCAUUUCUCUAUUUUCGAAUUUUUCUUCUUUUUCUCCAUCCGAAGACCUUUAUUUGUUAUCUUUGUUUGAGCCUUAACCAUUCUCUUCACUUGUUUUAUUAUUAUUACUUUUGACCAUCUAAUUCUCUCCAUCUACUUACCCAUUUUCCUUUUUUUUGAGCUCCAAUUUAAGGAGAUUUUUGGACUCAUUGUUUGGAUAUAUUUUGUAUAUAUUCUGUUGCUUUUGCUACAUUGAAUUAAAGUUUCUCAAUUAGAUCAACAAGCAUUAUGCUUGAAUUAAAUUGUGCAAGGUUCAUUUCUUUUGUUUGGUUCACCAUUACUGUGAAAAAAGAAAAAAAAGAAAAAAAACAUUAAAAAAAAGUGUUUAUAUUCUUGGCGAUUUGAGUAGAAAUAAGUGUUUUGAUAUUAUAAGGUUCAUUCAAUGAGUUCAUUCUUCUCGGUUUGAUCUCUUUUUCUUUCAUAGACCUUUCUUUUUUAUUUAACCCAUUUAACCUUGUUACAACCUUUUUAAGACCCUUAGAUUUUUUCAUUUAAUUCAUGUUUUGUGGAUUGAGAUGUGAUAUAUGAGCAAUCUUAUGGUAAUAGCAUUCUUUGAUUUGAUUUGAGUGCAUAAAUGAUACCCUAAACACUUUGAGUGCAUGAAGUGAAGUCAAUGAGAGGGCUAUUAAAUCUUGUUGCACUUGAAUUUUGAAUGGAUCUUCUUGGUGGAUUGAAUGCUUUUAUACUAGCUUAUGAGAUCCUAUACUUUAAAAUCCUUGUCUCUCGAAUGUUGAUUGACUUAAAUUCUUGAGGUAUGCUUGCUUAAAUUUGUUUUUGGAUGAGUUGAGAUGAGAAUUGAGUGGAGAUUUGGGAUUAGUCUUGAGUUAUAUGCUUGAGGACAAGUAUUAUCUUGGUGUGGGGGAAUUUGUUAGAGUGCAAUUUAUGCACUAGUUUUGUAUUGUUUACUUCCUUUAAUAUCGAUGUUUUGCACUUAAUAAUAGUGAUUUACUUGUAUUUUAUUUUUGUAGGUGCAAUUCUAUUGAUUGAUGCUAAAAUUGAGCUACAAGAUGAUGUUUGAGGAUGAUUGUUUUCCUGGAGAAAUUAUGAGCUUCAGAAGAACUUUGUUGAUAAGGCGUGGGCAUGUGCAGUCAACUAAGGACCUGCGGUUUUUAUUUUAACGAGUUUUAUCUUUUUGGUUAUUUUUGUAAUUUUGAAUUUAAUAUUUAGAUAAUAUUUUAGAUAUUAGUAUUUUAUUUUGGGAGAAAUGCUAGAAGAGGGGGGAGAGAGAUUUUUGGAAAAAGAAGAAAAAGAAACCCUAAAUCUAAUUUGUCUCUUUUCUCUAUGAAGAACUAAACUUAUUAUUCUGGUUGAAGGUUAAUAAAGCUUUGAUUCAUCAUUACUGUGAGAACUUUUUUAUGCUUUAAUUGUUUUAUAGCUUUUUGGGUAUUUAUUUAUUCUCUAAAUUAUUGUCAUGAUUAUGUUUGUUAAUUAGAUAAUUGGCCACUACUUAAUUAUCAACAUAAUCUAUUGUCAAUUAAAAGAUUCAUCGUAUGAAGAUUUUAAUGUUUGUGACAAAUAGCAUAGCAGUGCGUUGUGUUAUGAGAAUAAACAAUCUAAUUGAAAUGAACCAUCGUAUGCAUUUGUUAAUUAGGAUUUGGAUCUCUCUGGUUUUUCAGGCUGUCAAUUGAUUAAACCCUAUGAUCGUAUCUAGGGUUGUCUAUUGAUUAGGGAAAUAACCAAUGGUCGUACCUUGGUUAUCGACUAGUUAAGGAGAGAUUGGCUAUUAGAGGGUCUCAGUAGCUAUAACCGGUCUAUUCAUAAGUAUUAGUGAUUCAUAUUUGAAUCAAUGAUCAGUAGUCGAAUCAAACUGAGUUAAUUCCUUCGACCAGAGCUUUUCACAAUUUGAAUUACAAUUUUAAUUUGCAUUCUUGUUAUUUUAAUUUGAUUUUUAUUAUUGUCAACAAUCCCCCCCCCAUUUUGCAUUUUACAUUUUAAAAUGAUUUAAAUAAUUACUGAUCUCUGUGGACACGACCCUGCUUAAUCACUAUACACAAUUUAUUUAGAGUAGGUAUUUAUUUUUGCUGGCUUCGACAACCAUCACCUAAGAUUUUGUAGCCAAGUUUUAUCUUUAUCCUUUAGUAAGAAAAGAAAAAACUUAAGCCUGAUUAUAUUCAUGCUACAAUUUUGAUCAGUACAUGUGUUACAGACUUCCUCAAAUUCCCUUAAAUGCAAAUAUGGAUUUUCAGACACAAAACCAUGAAAAAUAGGAAGAAGUUGAAUGAUACCAGGUUUGAAAUUAAAACGUGAUGCAUCAGGAGGGAAAACUAUGCAUGAUGGUGAUCUUGUUCUAGUGGGAUGCAUGAAGUCUUUAAGGGUCCUAGGCUGUUCAUGAAGAUUUUGCAAGACUUGGUCAUUUUCGUACUCCGAAAAUUUUUUAGCUCCUAUGUCAGCCAUAUCUAAGGGUGGUGAAGGUGAUCUCCUAAUUAAUCUGCCACUAUUUGUACGAGACCAACAAUGCAUGCAAUGCUAAUGAUGUGUGCUAAACCAAUGAUGCAUAAAAUGCUAAAUGAAAAUUGUAGAAAAUAAAAAUAAACUGGAAAUUAAAUAAGUAAAAAUGCGAAAUAAAAAUAAACAAAUUGAAAAUAAAUUAGGUGGUGAAACCAGCCAUAAACAAAGAAAUUACAAAAAUAAAUAAAUUUGGCAGUGAAACCAACCAUAAACAAAGAAAUUAAAAAAAACAGUUUAGGCGGUAUUUUAAAACCAGCCAUAUAAUAAAACAUAAAAUUAAAUUAAUUAAUGUACAAGAAUAAAUAAACUGAAAUUAAAAUGAUAGGCCGUAAAACCAACCAUAUCAAUAAAUUAACAAAUUGAAAUUAAAAUUCUAGGCGGUAGAACCGAACAUUUAAAAUAAAUGCGGAAAGUAAAUUGUAGAAAUUUGGGAACUGAUUUGCAAAGGUUUUUGGGCUAAAAUGAAGUUUCUCACAAAUUUUAUAGAUAAUGUUAAAGUUUGAAAAGAGGAGGGGCACUGACUGAAGUUUUACAAAAAGAGAAUAAAAUAGAAUCACAGAAAGAUAGUAACGACAAAAAAAUAUUAAAAUAAACUAAAGUAAAGAUAAACUGACACCAAAUUUAGAAAACUCCGCGGUAACGGCGCAAAAAACCUGACACGACUUAAAAGUGUAUUACUCCCAAGUAUGAAAAUGUCUAGUUAUAAUAUAACUCGGUGAGUUUGGGGUCGAACCACAGGAAAUUUUAAAAUCUAGUUGUCAAUUUGUUAAACAAAGAAAAUAAUUGUGGGGAAAAUAAAUUAUUUGAAAACAAUUUAAAAAUAUGCCAAGGUUAUGAGAUCCACUCUCAGUAUUCAAACUAUAAUUUUAAUACUUUCUCAUUUAUAUUUUGCCUCACUUUUACUAGUUAAUUAUUAUAUCAUUUAAUUUUAUGUGUGUGGAUAAAUAUUGAAUAAAGUACCUAAUGUGCCACACUAUAUUAAUGUGUCGACAUUAUGUCAAAAUACCAUACAAAUCCAAAGAAAUUUAUAAAUUAACAUGACAUAAAAAUAACUAGAAAAGAAUAAAAUAAACUUAAAAACUCAUUUGAGAAAAUAAUAAAUUUAAUAGUUUGAAAUAUUGAGUUUCACCCUUCACUUCAACUUAAUAAAAUUAGUCACUCAUAUUGAAAGAAAACACAAUACUCUUUUUAUUUCUUGUACUUUUGAAAUAUGUUACAAAGAAAAUUGAUACAGACGAAAACAAGAAAAGAAAAGAAAAGAAAAGAAAAGAAAAGAAAAGAAACAAAGAAACAAAGAAAUUCUUCAACUACACCCUUAGCUAUCACUCUCUCUCAGAACUCGGCUCCGUCCCCCAAUGGCUUGUAUCUCCUUGCAUUUUAUAGGCAAGGGAAGCAUCUUCUUUUCUUUUAUUUCAUUAAUAUUAAUAUUUUAUUUUAUUUUUAUAUUAUAAAUAUGUUAAUUGAAAUGUGUGAUGGCCUCCUGACCAUCACCAACAUGCUUGCCAAUCCUUUUUUUUAUUUGUUUUAUUUUUAAUAACAUCUCCUCGAUUGAUGAAUUCUAAAUUGCUCCAGCUGUCUUUCUUUAUUCUCGCUUUUAACUCCAAUUCCAUCUUUAUUCCUGAAAAAUAUUUAUAAGGUAAAAAUUAACAUAUUGCAAAUUAAUUUAACAAAAAAAUAUAUUUGGGGAAUAUUAAAAUAAUUUAAAAAUAAUGAGCGCAUUAAUUGACACAAUAAGUGAAAUACUAAUAAUUUUAUCCUUAUUAAAUGUGCACUUUUUAGUGUCAAUCACACCCCCCAACCAGCCCCAACCUGCUUAUUGCUAGGUAUUAGCAAUUUAAGCGAUAAAAGUUUAGUAAAAUUCAAACUCAAAUUGAAUUUUUUUUAAAAAAAUUGUAUUUACUUCUUUCAUCAGAUUAAUGACAACAAUCAAAUAAAAGUAUACUCAUUAUCUUUAACCUAAAGAAAAUCACACCUGCACAAAAAAGUUAAGUAAAAUCACGUAAAAUAAUCAAUUAUCAGAGCUAUAUUAAUCAAGUCACUUUUAAGAAUGAUACAUCAAAUCUCAAAACCUCACAAAUAAGAGUGACUCUCUCAAAAAAAAAUAUUCCCAAAAUUAAAUUGUCACUCUAAACAUGGUAGAUUUGAGAGAAUAAUAAAAUAAUAUCACACGCUCUCACUAAGAUGAAAAAAUAAUGUCUACAGCUUAAAAAUAAAAUGAUCUCAAGUCCAAGGAAUUACUAGCAAAAUUUAUUUUUAUUUUUAUGCAUCACCACAUCUUUUAGUCCAUAUUACCAGCUUUUACUUCAGACUAUAGUUCCGAAAAAUCGAGAAGGACUUUUAUUAGGACGUAACGUAGGCUAAGAUUAUCGCUAACAAAAAAGGUAAUAGGGAAAACAAAAAUAUAUGUUUAAAAAAUAAGGGACUUUUUGGAGAUUACAAGAUUCUUUUUUUUUCUUGGAUUUGUUUUCUCUUUUUUUGUUUUUUUUUUCAUUUUUAUUUUUAUAUACAUAUCCUCUCUUUUUUUUCAUAACACCAUUAUUAGAAAUACAUAAUCAUCCCUAUUUUCAAACAUAAUUGGGUGGUGGAAAACAUAAUAUAUAAGGUGAUACUCCACAUUGGAGUGGGAUAAUAUAAUAGGUUAUCAAAGGAAAAGUUUUUUUUUUUCAAAAGCUCAAAGGGGUUAACUAUGGACUCUUUAUAAUAGAGUUUGAUACAAAAGGCUUAAACAAAUCAAAGAUAGCCUUCUGUCAUUUUUUAGAGCUCUAAAUAAUCUUUCAUAUCUACUAGUUCAAUGGACUUUUAGAUGCAGCUGCACAAACUUUCUUUUUUUCACUCUUUUUUUUAAUAAAAAAUAUUGAGAUCUUGUACAAUAAAUUGUGAAGCUGUAUAGGCAAACAUGGUUACUCUCCAAGGAUAAUAGGCUCAAAAACUCGCUUGAACUUUUCAUAACAUGUACAUUCAUCCAAAUAGCUUAAUCAAAUUUACUCAUCAAAUUUCUCAAUUUAUGUUUCAACAUGCAACGGGGAAAACAUAGUGUAACAUAACUCCAGGCCAACGAUAAUACAAAUACCAAAAUUUGAAAAUCAUCAUGUUAUCCAAUGUUAAAAGAUCAUAUUGAAAAAGAAAACUCUUUUUUUUUUGUUAAAGAAACACUAAAAACAAUCUGGACUGAUUACAGAAACUUAAGGGAGAUGAUUAAGAGAAAAAGAGAAAAAGACAAAAAACAAAAAGUUAGAAAACAAUUUUUUUUUUAAGAACAAAACACUAAAAUUAAGAAGAUGCGUUUCUAGAGAUACUACAUUCUAUAUUUUGAUAUCUUCGACUCAAAUUUUUAUCUAAAGUUAGUCUUUACAACACAAAUUAGUAAAAACAUCACCAGGACUGAGACAUUCCACAAUUGUCGACUAUUCCCUCCCCCCAACCUGAAGGAGACAUUGUCCUCAAUGUCUAAAGAAAGAAGUAGAGUUUAGAAGAUAUCACCCGGCCACUGCUGAAAAUAUUUACAAACAGAGAGUUAAAUCUAAUUUAUAAUUUUUACGAGAGUUACUGCCAUCGUCAUCAGUUGCCCAAUCUAACGCCAAAGUCAUGGGAUCUGGCUCUAAUUUGUAAGCUUGCAAAAGAUCAAGUAACUCAUUAGCAGUAGGAGCACAAAUGAAGAGUUUUUUCGCUGAGGGUGGAAUGAAAUAAUUUUUAAUUGCAUGAUUAAGAAAUGUUAUUAAGCCAUCAUAAAAGUUAUUAACAUUUAACAAACCGAUGAGUUCAAGAAGCAAAUGUAAUUAGCGCCUCUAAAGUUGCAAGAUCUCCUGGCAAGAAAAUGAAAGCAUCAACAUGAUUUAACAUUUCAAAUAUUCUUUCUUGCAUACCUGAGACAACUAACUCUUCUCCAGUUGGUGGGUCUGGUAGACAUCCUAAAGGUUUUAAGGUUUUUGGAAUGAUUCCUAGCACUUGGCUUCCUCGAACGAAAGCAGCUUCAGAGACAAGCUUUGAUAACCCUCGGUCAUCUCCUCCAUAUAUAAGAUGUAGUUUCUUCUCUACUAUAACACGACCAAGAUCUAUCGCUGCCUGAACGAACUCCUUAUACUUUCCAUAGCGAAAUCCAGAAAGCACACAAAUGUUCUUUAAUUGUUUGCUUGAAGUUGUUGCCAUUAGAAAAAUUAUAAAAAGAAACAAUUUGUGAGUGCUUGAAAAGGAGGUCCUAUUUAAAGAUCUUGGUGACGGACAUAAUGAUAUACAUUUGUAAAUGGGGUGGUGUGUUUAUCAAAUGACGCGUGAAGCUUUUAGCUUAAUAAUUCAAAGGCAUAUAGUAAAAAGAAAAAGCAAACAGUGAUUAGAUAUAAAAAAGACACACAAUAAUAAUAAUAAUGCAAAAUAUAAAAGAACAAUAAAAUAAAAGGAUAUUUACUAGUAGUUGUGAUUGUGGCUUACAUCUUCCUCUGGUUUUACAUCCAGUAACGGCUUGAACGCCCUCUGUGGGUCGAGGAUAGGCUUCCCAUCCAGUUUUCUUAUAAACUGGCAAAUAGGGUCUUUUAGGAACAACUUCCACAAAUUUUGAAUUUCACAUUGAACAUAUCCGCUCGGAUGUGUCUCAAGAGAUCGUAAGAUAUCAUCCAACGAUUCUUUACUUAUGCCAUCCUUAACGAAUUUGAUUUUAUCUUCAUGAUUUACAGAAACCAUUCCUAAAGUUUUACAACAUGGUUUUCUACAAGCAAGUCUUACAUAGUUAGGACAUUUAGAGCCAAGUCUCUUAGCUCUUCUUUUCUUAGCAAAUGUACUUUUACCAAAACCAGGCAUGUAGGAAAUGAAUGGAUCAGAAAACUCACAUGCCAGUCGGACCUUUGCUUCAAUUAACCGGCGAAUGUCAGCAAGAAUCCCAUUGAUCAUUAACAAACGCAGUCGUUCACAACGAGUUUUGUAAAUCUUCUUAAGAGCAUUUUGAGGGAGAGAAGGAAAAUGUUGAUGCAAUUUUCGUUGUAUUUCUUCCAUGCUUGACAUUGAGGUUUCAGUUAUUGUGGAAAACUGAGAAUACCAACUUAAAAUGUCACAAAGUACUGUUAUCCGCCAUUUAUAUUGGAGAGUGAAUCAAAACAAAACGAAUCAAAUCUGCAAAAUCAAAUCAAAAGUGAAGAACAACAACAAAAUAAAACAAAAACCCACAAGGAAUAUUACUCACCUUCGUCCUUUUAUUGAAUUUACCUCCAGUUCCAAUUGCAGAUUAUAAAUACCAUCAUCUAUUUUCUUGAGUUGUCUUUCUAGAUCUUUCACGUGGUAUACCAACUCUGGUUGUUGUAGAUCCCAAAUGGGAUGUGAUUUACAAAAUCUGAGCAAUUUCCUCAAGUGAAAUUUUACAUGUAAAAGUUCUUUAAAAUGUUCGAAAAUGAUACUUCUCAUGGAGGUACUCAUGAUAAGUAUAACAAUUUGGUGAGCUAAAGCACAAUUGUCAAACAACACACAAUUAAAAACAAUGCAAUGCACUCCAUUCAAGACAUAAGGAAAAGGAAAAAAUCAACAAUUCAAACGAUAAAGUAACAGUAAAUCAAAUUCACAAAAAGUUGAAAUGAAAAAAGCUUAAUUAAAAUUUGGUGGGUCACUCAAAUUGAUUUCGGUAUCUGCUUCACGCGGUUGGUAUUCCAGAUAUGGUUUCAAUCUUUGACCAUUAACUUUAAAUAAGGCACCAUAAUUUGGAUUCUCAAUUUCUACGGCUCCAUAUGGAUAUACAUUUUUUACAACAAAUGGACCAUUCUACUUUGACUUUAAUUUUCCUGAAAAUAAAUGAAGACGAGAAUUAUAAAGCAACACUUUUUGACCAAUGUUUUCCGAAAAAUUCUUUUGCCAUGAAAAAAUUUGGUUCUUGCCUUAAUAAUUCUGGAAUUCUCAUAUGCAUUAUUCUUUAAUUCCUCAAGUUCAUUUAAUUGCAAUUUACGCACAUUACCAGCAUCAUCAAGAUUUGAAUUAAAAGCUUUAAUGGCCCAAAAUGAUUUAUGUUCAAGUUCAACUGGUAAGUGGCAAGAUUUUCCAUAAACAAGCCGAUAAGGUGACAUUCCUAAAGAUGUUUUAAAAACAGUACGAUAUGCCCAAAGUGUAUCAGUUAGUCGAAGAGACCAAUAUUUACGGUUUGGAUUAACUAUCUUUUCUAAAAUUUAUUUUAUCUCCCUAUUUGCUAAUUUAAGUUGACCACUUGUUUGAGGGUGAUAAGGGGUAGCAACUUUAUGUGUAAUUCUAUAUUUCUUCAUUAAGGACUAAAGUAGCUUAUUACAAAAAUGCUUACCCUAUCACUGAUAAUGACUCGAGGUAUUCCAAAUCUGCUCAAAAUAUUUUCUUUUAAAAAGCGAAUCACAAUCUUGUGAUCAUUGUGCCGACAAGGAAUUGCCUCGAUCCAUUUUGAAACAUAAUCAACAGCAACCAAAAUGUAUACAAAUCCAAAUGAUGAUGGAAAAGGGCCCAUAAAAUCAAUUCCCCAACAAUCAAAUAUUUCAAUGACAAGGAUGGGGUUUAAAGGCAUCAUGUUUCGCUUUGAAAUAGACCAUACCAUUUGACAAUUCUUACACACUUUACAGAAUGCAUGUGAAUCUUUAAAUAAUGUAGGCCAAUAAAAUCUACACUGUAAUAUUUUUACAGCUGUCUUUUUUCAAGAAAAAUGGCCACCGCAUGCUUCAGAAUGACAAAAUUGAAAGACCCUACUUACCUCGUCGUCUGGUAUGCAUCUUCAAAAAAUUUGAUCAGAGUAGUACUUAAACAGGUAUGGAUCAUCCCAGUAAAAGCUUCUCACUUUUGUUAAGAAUUUCUUCUUGUCCUGGGAACUCCAGUCACAUGGAAUUUCACCUGUUGAAAGAUAAUUAACAAUAUUAGCAUACUAAGGCAUUUUGUUUAUAGAAAAUAAAAAUUCAUCAAGGAAAGAAUCAUUGAUGGGUGUUGUUUCAAUUGAAGACUCAUUCGUAAGUAUUGAAAGAUGAUCUGUAACAACAUUUUCAACGCCUUUUUUGUCCUUGAUUGUCAAGUUAAAUUCUUGAAGUAGCAAAAUCUAUCGUAUCAACCUUGGUUUGACAUCCUGUUUUGACAUUAAAUAUCUCACAACAACAUGAUCAGAAUAAACAAUAGUGGAUGAACUAAUUAAAUACGAACGAAAUUUAUUCAAUGCAAAUAUUACAGCAAGUAGUUUUUUAUCAGUUGUAGUGUAAUUCAUUUGAUCACUAUUCAAAUACGAACGAAAUUUAUUCAAUGCAAAUAUUACAGCAAGUAGUUUUUUCUCAAUUGUAGUGUAAUUCAUUUUAUCACUAUUGAAAGUUCUACUUGCGUAAUAGAUGACAAAGGGCUUACCUUCCUUUUUUUUUUACCCCGAACAAUGCAAACGGUAUAACCACUAGCAUCACACAUUAGCUCAAAAGGUAAAGACCAAUCAGGGGGUUGCAUUAUUAGGGCUGAUGUCAAAAGAGUAGUUAUUCAUUUGAUCACUAUUCAAAUACGAACGAAAUUUAUUCAAUGCAAAUAUUACAGCAAGUAGUUUAAUUAAAUACGAACGAAAUUUAUUCAAUGCAAAUAUUACAGCAAGUAGUUUUUUCUCAAUUGUAGUGUAAUUCAUUUGAUCACUAUUGAAAGUUCUACUUGCGUAAUAGAUGACAAAUGGCUUACCUUCCUUUUUUUUUUACCCUGAACAAUGCAAACGGUAUAACCACUAGCAUCACACAUUAGCUCAAAAGGUAAAGACCAAUCAGGGGGUUGCAUUAUUAGGGCUGAUGUCAAAAGAGUAGUUAUUCAUUUGAUCACUAUUCAAAUACGAACGAAAUUUAUUCAAUGCAAAUAUUACAGCAAGUAGUUUUUUCUCAAUUAUAGUGUAAUUCAUUUGAUCACUAUUGAAAGUUCUACUUGCGUAAUAGAUGACAAAGGGCUUACCUUCUUUUUUUUUUUACCUCGAACAAUGCAAACGGUAUAAUCACUAGCAUCACACAUUAGCUCAAAAGGUAAAGACCAAUCAGGGGGUUGCAUUAUUAAAGCUGAUGUCAAAAGAGUAGUUAUUUUUUCAAAAACUUGUUGACAAUCUUUAGUCCAUUCAAAAGGUUUGUCUUUUAUUAUGAGGUUACAAAGUGGUCUAGAUAUGACACUAAAGUCUUUUAUAAACCUCCUAUAAAAUUCUGCGUGUCCUAAAAAUGAACGGACUUCUUUAAUUGUCUUUGGUGAGGGUAAUUUUGAAAUGACUUCAACUUUGUCUUUGUCAACUUCAAUUCCUUUUGAAGACACAACAUGGCCCAAGACAAUUCCAGAAGUGGUCAUGAAAUGACAUUUUUUCCAAUUUAAAAUUAGUCAUUUUUCUUUGUACCUUUCCAAAAUUUUUUCUAGAUUAUCAAGACAUGUAUCAAAAGAAUUACCAAAUACAGUUAAAUCAUCCAUAAAACCCUCUAGACAAUUUUCAACCAUAUUACUAAAAAUGCUUAGCAUGCACCUUUGAAAUGUUGCAGGAGCAUUACAAAGUCCAAAGGGCAUUCUCCUAAAUGCAAAUUUUCCAAAUGGGCAUGUGAAUGUGGUCUUUUCCUGGUCUUCUAAGUCUAUAGGGAUUUGAUAAUAGCCAGAGUAGCCAUCAAGAAAGCAAUAGUAAGGAUGUCCAACUACUCUUUCGAGAAUUUGGUCUAAAAAUGGAAUGGGAAAAUGAUAUUUUCUAGUGGCAUCAUUUAAUUUUCUAUAAUCAAUGCACAUGCGCCAACUAGAUGGAAUUUGUGUUGGGAUUGGUUCACCUUUUUCAUUUUUUACAACGGUUAUUCCAGAUUUCUUUGGCACUACUUGUGUUGGACUUACCCAUUUACUAUAAGAGAUAGGAUAGAUAAUUCCUACAUCUAGUAGUUUAAGGACCUCAUUCUUUACCACUUCUUCCAUAUGAGGGUUUAGUCUUCUUUGUGGUUGACGGGUUGUUUUGGCAUUUUCCUCUAAGUGUAUUCGGUGUGUACAAAUUAAAGGAUUAAUGUCUUUUAUGUCUUUUAAGGUCCAACCAAAUGCAGUUUUAUGCCUUUUGAGUACAAAUAACAACUUACUUUCUUGAUCAUGCAUGAGCUGGGAAGAAAUUACCACCAGAUUUGUCUUCUGCUCUCCAAGAUAAGCAUAUUUCAAUUCUUCUGGUAAGGGCUUUAAUUCGAGCUCUGGUGCUUCCUCUUCGUUUGAUUCUUCAGGUUGUACCGUAUCUUUAAAGUUCGAUUGGCCAUCGUCACCUGUAGGUACCUGCAUAGAAUCAAGUGUAGAACAUAUGUUAGCAGUAUUAUAAUUUAAUUCUUUACUUGAUCCAAAAGAACCAGCAAAAUAAAUUUCCAUAAAGUUUGUAAAAUUCUCAUCCUGAAUGUGUUCCUCAAUGAUUGGCUUGAUAAGAUCAAUCUUCUCAUUCUCAUUAUCAUCAUAUUCUUGGUGGUGGGGUUGUUUACACAUGUUGGACACAUUGAGUUCUAAUGUCAUGUUGCCGAAAGAUAAAUUCAUUACUUUAUAUUCCUGCAAUUAAUUAAAGUAUUAGUAGUAGUUAAAAAUGGUCGACCCAAUAUAAUAGGAAUUUGUUUGCAUUCAUUAGCAAUUGGUUCCGUUUCCAAAACAAUAAAAUCCAUAGGGUAUAUGAAUUUAUCGACUCGGACUAAUACAUCUUCAAUUAUUAUUCUUGGAACUUUAAUCGAUCUAUCAGCAAGUAAAAGAGUGGUAGAAGUUGGUUUUAACUCAUUGAGAUUGAGUUGUUGGUACAUUGAGUAAGGAAGCUAAUUAACACUAGCACCAAGAUCAAGUAGAGCAUGUCCAAUUUUAUGAUCCCCAAUAAUGCAAGAAAUAGUUGGACAACCAGGAUCCUUGUAUUUCAAAGCACUAUUGGUUGAGAGAAUGGAACUUUCCUGUACUACUAGAAACGCUUUCUUUUGCACUUUAUGUUUCCUUUUCACCGUGCACAAAUCUUUCAGAAAUUUAGCAUAAGAAGAUAUUUGUUUAAUGGUGUCCAGCAAAGGAAUGUUGACCUUCACUUGUUUAAAAACUUCAUAAAUUUCUAGACUGUGCUUUGAUUUCUUUGGCUUGAUUAGUGCUUGAGGAAAUAAGGGUAGAAGGGGAGAGUUGGUUAUUUCUUCAUGGGUUAAAGGUUCGAAAGACUCUUCCCUAUUUUUUGAAAUUAAAUCUUUACUAGUUUCAUGAGGGUCCACAAUGUGUUUUUCGACCACUUUACCACCACAAAGGGUUAUAACCGAUUUGACUUGAUUUAUAUUUUGGUUUCCUGAAUUUCCCAUUUGAGGAUGUUGUUGACUCUUGGGGUUUGGUUCAGGUUGAGCAGGAAACUUUCCUUUUUCAUGCAUGGUCAGAGCAAAUGUAAGUUUGGAGAUAGUUUCUGUCAAAUUGGUUAAGGUUUGCAUUGUUUGGUUAUUAAUCGACUCUUGUUUUUCAAUAAACAAAUGCAAUGUGUCUUUCAGAGUUUUUCUUGAUGGUGGGACAUAUGGUGAGUAACUCUGGGGGUUUUGGAAAUUUUGACAUUGAAGAACUGGUUGUGAAGGCUGUGCAUGAUUGUCAUUUCUCCAACUGAAAUUCGGGUGGUUUCUCUAACCAGAGUUGUAAGUUUGGGAGUAUGGAUUUGAAUUUGGCCUUUUGAAAUUGUCAACAACAUUUAGUUGUUCAUGCAAACUUUCUCUCAGAGCUGGCAAAGUUGGACAGUCCUGCAUAGAAUGGUCAGUAGAAUCGCAAACAUAACAUGAAAUAUUUUGAACAGACUUUACAUGAUCAUUCUUUUUCAACUCUAAUGCUUCGACUUUUCUAGCUAAUGAUGCAAAUUUGGCUUGAAAAUCAUGGUCUUCCCUAAGGUUGUGCAUGCCUCCACCAGAUGGAGAUGACUGAGGUUUACUUGAUGACUCAUAAGAACCAACUGUAUCCCAGUGUUGUGCAUUCUCUGCUAUAUAGUCAAGAUAGUCUAAUGCAUCUUCAGGACUGUUAUCCCUAAACUCACCAUUAAACAUCAUUUCAAUGACUUGUCUACCUUGGGAUGUUAAUUCCUCGUAGAAAUAAGACACUAAUCUCUAUGUUUCAAAACCGUGGUGUGGGCAAAUGUUAAGUAGUUCUUUAAACCUAUCCCAACAUUGGUAGAGGGUUUCUCCUAAUUUUUGAGUGAAUGUGGUGAUUUGUCUUUUGAAAGAAUUUGUUAUGUGGGGUGGGAAGAAUUUUUUCAAAAAUUGUACUUGCAUUUCAUCCCAAGUUUUGAUGGAUCCUGACCUAAGAAUUUUUAGCCAAGUUUUAGCUUUAUCCUUAAGUAAGAAAGGAAAAAACUUAAGCCUGAUUAUAUUCAUGCUACAAUUUUGAUCAGUACAUGUGUUACAGACUUCCUCAAAUUCCCUUAAAUGCAAAUAUGGAUUUUCAAACUCAAAACCAUGAAAAGUAGGAAGAAGUUGAAUGAUACAAGGUUUGAAAUUAAAACGUGAUGCAUCAGGAGGGAAAACUAUGCAUGAUGGUGAUCUUGUUCUAGUGGGAUGCAUGAAGUCUCUAAGGGUCCUAAGCUGUUCAUGAAGAUUUUGCAAGGCUUGGUCAUUUUCGUGCUCCGAAAAAUUUUCAGCUCCUAUAUCUAAGGGUGGUGAAGGUGAUCUACUAAUUAAUCUGCCACUAUUUGUACGAGACCAACAACACAUGCAAUGCUAAUGAUGUGUGCUAAACCAAUGAUACAUAAAACGCUAAAUGAAAAUUGUAGAACAUAAAAAUAAACUGGAAAUUAAAUAAGCAAAAAUAUGAAAUAAAAAUAAACAAACUGAAAAUAAAUAAAAUAAAUAAAUUAGGCAGUGAAACCAGCCAUAAACAAAUAAAUUAAAAGAAACAAUUUAGGUGGUAUUUUAAAACCAGCCAUAUAAUAAAACAUAAAAUUAAAUAAAUUAAUGUACAAAAAUAAAUAAACUGAAAUUAAAAUGAUAGGCAGUAAAACCGACCAUAUAAAUAAAUUAACAAACUGAAAUUAAAAUUCUAGGCGGUAGAACCGACCAUUUAAAAUAAAUGCGGAAAGUAAAUUGCAGAAAUUUAAAGAAAUAAAUUCGAUUUGGGGACUGAUUUGCAAGGUUUCUGGGCUAAAAUGAAGUUUCUCACAAAUUUUAUAGAUAAUGUUAAAGUUUAAAAAGAGGAGGGGCACUAACUAAAGUUUUAUAAAAAGAAAAUAAAAUAGAAUCACGGAAAGAUAGUAACAACAAAAAAAAUAUUUAAAUAAAAUAUAGUAACGAUAAACUAACAUGGCUUAAAAGCGUAUUACUCCCAAGUAUAAGAAUGUCUAGUUAUAAAAUAACCUGGUGAGUUUAGGGUUGAACCACAGGAAAUUUUAAAAUCUAGUUGUUAAUUUUUUAAACAAAGAAAACAAUUGUGGCGAAAAUAAAUUAUUUGAAAACAAUUUAAAAAUAUGUUAAGGUUACGGGAUCUACUCUCAGUAUUCAAACUAUAAUUUUAAUACUCUCUCAUUUAUAUUUUGCCUCACUUUUACUAGUUAAUUAUUAUAUCAUUUAAUUUUAUGUGUGUGGAUAAAUAUGGAAUAAAGUACUUAAUGUGCCACACUAUAUUAAUGUGUCGACAUUAUGUCAAAAUACCAUACAAAUUCAAAGAAAUUCAUAAAUUAACAUGACAUAAAAAUUACUAGAAAAUAAUAAAAUAAACCUAAAAACUCAUUUGAGAAAAUAAUAAAUUUAAUAGUUUGAAACAUUGAGCUUCACCCUUCACUUCAACUUAAUAAAAUUAGCCACUCAUAUUGAAAGAAAACACAACACUCUUUUUAUUUGAUAUACUUUUGAAAUAUGUUACAAAGAAAAUUGAUACAAACGGAAACAAGAAAAGAAAAGAAAUAAAGAAAGAAAGAAAUUCUUCAGCUACACUCUUGGCUAUCACUCUCUCUCAGAACUCGGCUCCGUCCCCAAUGGCUUGCAUCCCCUUGUAUUUUAUAGGCAAGGGAAGCAUAUUCUUUUAUUUUAUUUUAUUAAUAUUAAUAUUAAUAUUUUAUUUUUAUAUUAUAUAUAUGUUAAUUGAAAUGGAGGCCCAUCACCAACAUGCUUGCCAAUCCUUUUUUUUUCUUUAUUUUUUUAUUUUUAAUAACAUCUCCUCGAUUGAUGAAUUCUAAAUUACUCCAGCUGUCCUUCUUUGUUUCCGCUUUUAACUCCAAUUCCAUCUUUAUUCCUGAAAAAUAUUUACAAGAUAAAAAUUAACAUAUUGCAAAUUAAUUUAAUAUAAAAUAUAUUUGGGGAGUAUUAAAAUAAUUUAAAAAUAAUGAGUGCAUUAAUCGACACAAUUAGUGAAAAACUAAUAAUUUUAUCCUUAUUAAAUGUACACUUUUUAGUGUCAAUCAUUUCACAUCCUAAUUGGCAAGACAAGUUUUUGGGGUGUAUGGGCGCCUCAGAAACAAAACCGUGUGGGUCUUGUUAAGGCCCAAACCUGACAAUAUCUUGUCAGAUCUGGGUUGGGACAGAACAGAUGGUAUCAGAGUGGGUCCGUGUGUCCUCUUGAAUGAUGGAGGCAAACGGCAAACCUCAGUGAGAACGUUGAGUUCCUAAGGGAGGUGUAUGUAACACCCUAGGCAAAUCCCACAUUGACCAAACAUAUGAGAGAUGUUGCGUUUAUAAGGGGUGAUCCACACCCUAAUUGGCAAGAUGCGUUUUGGGGUGUAUGGUUGCCCUAGAAACAAAACCACGUGGGCCUUAAAGUAGAAAUAUCUUGCCAGGUCUGGGCUAGAUCAUGUAACAACCCAAUUCUCUUAAGGGUAGUUUAGUAUUUUUAAUUUAUUAAUAUUUUUGUACCCUAGUAUAAAAAGAAUAAGAUGGCUUUCCUCUAUUAUUAAUAAGAGAGAGAGAGAGAGAGAGAGAGAGAGAGAUCAGCUAAAAAAAAAAGAACGAAAGAAGAAAAAGAGAAAAGUAAAGGAGAAGAAGAAAAAGAGAAAAGUAAAGGAGAAGAAGAAAGUCUUUUUCUUCAUAUAGCUAUGAGCAAUAAAUGAGAUCAAAGUAGUGUCUUUUGUAUUGGAUUUGUGCCGAGAGAGAAUUGGAGAUAAAGUUCAAUUUUUUAUCCUUGUUAAUUGCUAUAGAGAAGCAUGAUUAGAUAGUGGUAAGAGAAGUAGAACUUAAGAUUUUAUAGAAAAUAUGUUAAUGGUAUGUUAUUUUGAAAAUCAUAGUAAUUUGUACAAAUUGAUUUUGAUUCUGGAUUUUGGAUAUGUUAAACUAUAUAUCUUCGAGAAUGUUUUGGAACUUGUUUCAAGCUAAUCGGAUAAGAUUUCAAUUAAUUACGAUUUUUUAAACUCAAGUUUGAAAACCUUGAAAUUUCUAAUUUCAGCGAAGAACAUGAAUUACAAAAUUAUUUUACCAUAACUAGACUUCUUCAAAAAUUAUGAAACUUGGAUCAACGAUUUUUAUAUAUGUCUAGUGUGAUUUUGGAAAUUUUCAUGAUUUUAUGAUAAAACAAUAAAUUGUUUGAUAGAAUUGAUGAUGUUUGAAACAUAAAUUAGUUUCAAUAUUUUUUGAAAGAAUUAAGCUAUGAAAUUUUAAUCAAUGAAUUUCUAGUAUGUCAGCAUAUGCUCUUGAAAAUUUGGGAUUUCUCCAAUAAGGUAAUAAUUUAUUAAAAAUCGGAGAACAUGGGUUGUUCUAUUUUGAGAUCAAAUAUUGAGAGUGUUUGAGGUUGACUUUAGAAGAUGUUUAAAAUGAGAAAUUUGAGGAUGUUGGAAUUAUGAUUAGGACUUGAUUAUAUCUUAUGAGAGUUAUAUUAAUGAUUUUUAGUUCGAUGAUAUCAAUACGCAUUUGUUACAUGUGGAUGUCAAGAGGUAAGUAAACUAGACUUCUAAAUAGAUCACAAUAAACAAUAUGUAUAUAUUUGACAUGUUUGAAAAACCUAUUUUUGAUAUGUACGGAUAUGAUUAUAUACAUGGGCAUAUGUAUGUGUGAAAGUUCAUUAGCAUAAGCAUGAUGAAUAUGCAAAGCUUUUAUAAAAAGUAUGUUCAUUAAUUUUGCAUUCUAUAAGUCUAUGAUUUGCACAUGAACUUUGCUAUUAUAUUAAUGGUGCGUUUACUUUCUGGAUUAGGGAAUCAAAAUCCGAAAUUGAAAUCAUUGACAGCGUUUUCCCCACAAAUAGAGUCGAGAACCGAAAUCAGAAUUGUGGGGCCCACCACAAUGUAAAUGAGGAAUGGGAGACUCAUUCCCAAAGAAGAGGGUGGGAAUCAGUCUCCCAAUCCUGGGGCUAACCAUUUUGCCCUCCCCCAAGAUGAAAAAUGCCACUUUGUCCUCAUUUAUAAUUAAUCAAUAUAUUGUUAUAAUUUAUUUAUUUAUUUUUUAUAAUAAUUAUUAAUAUAAUUAUUAUAAUUAAGUAAUAUAAUUAUUACUAUUAAUUAAUAUAUUAAUAUAUUUUAUUAUAAUUAAUUAAAAUACUAUUAUAAUAAUUAUUAAUAUAAUUAUUAUAAUUAAUUAAUGUAUUAUUAUUGUUGAUGCGAGAUUCCGGUUCUCCUCGUUCUACGACCAGGAUCCCUGCUCGAUCAACUCUACCACGACCAGGAGGUCUCCUAGUAAUGCUUCUUCUCCGGAUGUCCCUGCACACACAGACAAGUCAGAGUACGCCGGUUGUUCUCCCGGCGCAAACCCUCCGACGCUCAAGUCAGAUAUGAAGGUUCGGGGAACGCUUGCCACAGGUCUUAUGGCUUUUUUGUGGUUUUCUCUUUUAUCUUAAAAAUGCUAACCCUUUUACCUUCGUUGGCUACCUUUUUAUAGGCUUCCUCUGAAUCUCAGUCUUCCGCUCUUUUCGAGACGGUAUGGGACUCCAACUGCUGCGUUAUGGGCAAAACAUGGGAUCUAGCGUGUUACGCCACGGUUCAGGGGAAAGCGUGGCUGCCACGGCUCUGUGAGACCUUGCGUGUUACGCCACGGUUCUGGGGAAAGUGUGGCUGUCAUGGCUCCGUGAGAUCUUGCGUGUUACGUCGCGGUUCUGGGGAAAGCGUGGCUGUUGUGCCUAGGUUCUCGUGCUGGAGAGCGCGUCUUGCCAACUGCCGUCGACCGGGUCUCCUCGCCUCUCGGUCUCUAGCCGGAAUGGCCUCAUGCCUUUUAUAGGAAUUGGCCUCGCGGACGACAACAUCGUGGACGAGCAGGAUGUUUCUGCUCCUGUUCUUCCACGCGCCAGGCUUUAACGGAAAACACCGGUGCGCAGAACUCCGCCAUCAGAUGUCUGCUCGUCAUUCCUGGUCCCUUCGACGCAUUUGUCCCAAACAGUAUCCCUCCCAAACACCGGUCCCCCAGUUUCUGGUGUUGGGUAAUGUAGUGGACCAGCAGUAGAAACUCGAUAGUACUCGCUCGCGUGGGUUUGGAAAAGGCUGCCAGGAGUCAUGUCGCAUUUAAUUGCGGACGAGGUGACGUGGCAGAAAUCCCCCCCUCCAUUUGAAUUUCAAACCGACGGUUACGGGAUUCUCGGAAUAUGCGUCAUUAAAUGCUGGCAGCCCAAGAGUUUGCUUCUCAGUAAGGAAACCCAAAAUCUUCAAACACGAACUCGUCAUUUUCUCCAUUCUUGUCUCUCCGGCGAAUGAACCUCGGCGCCAAAGCUGUCAUCCCUGUCUCUCUCUGACCGAGUCCCUGCUUCAGGUAUUUUUUCUAUUUUUUUUUUUUUUUUUUUGGUAUCGGUUAGUUGUAGGUAAUCUCCUUUCUCUCUGCUUUGCUUGAGGUUGUAGUUGGCGGUGGUGUUUUGGUUAGAACUUAGGAUAUGUCGAAGGGUAAGGAGAAGGUCGUUGAGGUUGGUGACGACGAACUAGGUUUUUUGCCUAGUCUGCCCGCUGAUUUUGCUUUUGAUCCCGGGAUCCCCUUAGAGCCCAUUAGGUCUAGUGUUGGUACUAGCGCUAGGAGGAUGUCUCCCCAAACAACCUCCUCGAGCGACAGUAGCGAUGAAGAAGGGUCUUCUGGAUCGGAGAACACUUUGAGUGAGGGUCAAGGGGAUGAUUCUAGUGAGGCGUCCCCAUCAGGAGCAUCACGACCAGAAGAACGGGGUACAGUAGGGGGUAGAGCCUUGUCGCGUGAUUAUGCCAUUGACUACAUGUCGUGUACGACCACGUUUGACGAGCUCAAUGACCUCCGACUUAGGUAUAGUAUUCCUGGUGAGAUACCUCUUAGGAUCCCAGGAAAAAAGGAUACACCUAGCCGGCCUCCCAGGGGAUACGUUACCCUGUAUCUGGAGAGCUUUAAGUAUGGGCUGAGGUGUCCUUUGCAGCCUUACUUUGCCCGGAUACUUAACGGGCUAAAUCUGGCUCCUGGUCAGCUGAACCCCAACGGGUGGAGAGUGCUCUCUGGUCUGUUCAUAUUGUGGGACAGAUGUUGCCAAAGCGAGCCCACGGUUGAUGAGGUGAAGCAUCUGUACCAGCUGAAGAGCAGCCCUAAAGAUGCCGGCUGGUACUACUUCCAAUCUGGUACCAAGAGCAGGAAACCCAUAACUGAUCUUCCAACUGGUGGUGGUGGGACUUGGAAGAGGAAAUUCUUUUUUGCUGGGGGUCCCUGGGGUCAAGUUGCACAAAUAGACGGGAAGGAUUGUCGCGUCCCACCCCGUUUCACGGUCCCAGGUUGCCUGCUCGCUUUAGAUGUCUUGUAUCCAUAAUUGUUCCUGCUGUAUUGGUUUGUCUCUAACCAAGUGUCUGUUUGUGCUGUAGUUUCCUGGGGUGUUCACUUCCCGCGACACGGGACAAGAAGACGCGAUAGUUACUUAUAANNNNNNNNNNNNNNNNNNNNNNNNNNNNNNNNNNNNNNNNNNNNNNNNNNNNNNNNNNNNNNNNNNNNNNNNNNNNNNNNNNNNNNNNNNNNNNNNNNNNNNNNNNNNNNNNNNNNNNNNNNNNNNNNNNNNNNNNNNNNNNNNNNNNNNNNNNNNNNNNNNNNNNNNNNNNNNNNNNNNNNNNNNNNNNNNNNNNNNNNNNNNNNNNNNNNNNNNNNNNNNNNNNNNNNNNNNNNNNNNNNNNNNNNNNNNNNNNNNNNNNNNNNNNNNNNNNNNNNNNNNNNNNNNNNNNNNNNNNNNNNNNNNNNNNNNNNNNNNNNNNNNNNNNNNNNNNNNNNNNNNNNNNNNNNNNNNNNNNNNNNNNNNNNNNNNNNNNNNNNNNNNNNNNNNNNNNNNNNNNNNNNNNNNNNNNNNNNNNNNNNNNNNNNNNNNNNNNNNNNNNNNNNNNNNNNNNNNNNNNNNNNNNNNNNNNNNNNNNNNNNNNNNNNNNNNNNNNNNNNNNNNNNNNNNNNNNNNNNNNNNNNNNNNNNNNNNNNNNNNNNNNNNNNNNNNNNNNNNNNNNNNNNNNNNNNNNNNNNNNNNNNNNNNNNNNNNNNNNNNNNNNNNNNNNNNNNNNNNNNNNNNNNNNNNNNNNNNNNNNNNNNNNNNNNNNNNNNNNNNNNNNNNNNNNNNNNNNNNNNNNNNNNNNNNNNNNNNNNNNNNNNNNNNNNNNNNNNNNNNNNNNNNNNNNNNNNNNNNNNNNNNNNNNNNNNNNNNNNNNNNNNNNNNNNNNNNNNNNNNNNNNNNNNNNNNNNNNNNNNNNNNNNNNNNNNNNNNNNNNNNNNNNNNNNNNNNNNNNNNNNNNNNNNNNNNNNNNNNNNNNNNNNNNNNNNNNNNNNNNNNNNNNNNNNNNNNNNNNNNNNNNNNNNNNNNNNNNNNNNNNNNNNNNNNNNNNNNNNNNNNNNNNNNNNNNNNNNNNNNNNNNNNNNNNNNNNNNNNNNNNNNNNNNNNNNNNNNNNNNNNNNNNNNNNNNNNNNNNNNNNNNNNNNNNNNNNNNNNNNNNNNNNNNNNNNNNNNNNNNNNNNNNNNNNNNNNNNNNNNNNNNNNNNNNNNNNNNNNNNNNNNNNNNNNNNNNNNNNNNNNNNNNNNNNNNNNNNNNNNNNNNNNNNNNNNNNNNNNNNNNNNNNNNNNNNNNNNNNNNNNNNNNNNNNNNNNNNNNNNNNNNNNNNNNNNNNNNNNNNNNNNNNNNNNNNNNNNNNNNNNNNNNNNNNNNNNNNNNNNNNNNNNNNNNNNNNNNNNNNNNNNNNNNNNNNNNNNNNNNNNNNNNNNNNNNNNNNNNNNNNNNNNNNNNNNNNNNNNNNNNNNNNNNNNNNNNNNNNNNNNNNNNNNNNNNNNNNNNNNNNNNNNNNNNNNNNNNNNNNNNNNNNNNNNNNNNNNNNNNNNNNNNNNNNNNNNNNNNNNNNNNNNNNNNNNNNNNNNNNNNNNNNNNNNNNNNNNNNNNNNNNNNNNNNNNNNNNNNNNNNNNNNNNNNNNNNNNNNNNNNNNNNNNNNNNNNNNNNNNNNNNNNNNNNNNNNNNNNNNNNNNNNNNNNNNNNNNNNNNNNNNNNNNNNNNNNNNNNNNNNNNNNNNNNNNNNNNNNNNNNNNNNNNNNNNNNNNNNNNNNNNNNNNNNNNNNNNNNNNNNNNNNNNNNNNNNNNNNNNNNNNNNNNNNNNNNNNNNNNNNNNNNNNNNNNNNNNNNNNNNNNNNNNNNNNNNNNNNNNNNNNNNNNNNNNNNNNNNNNNNNNNNNNNNNNNNNNNNNNNNNNNNNNNNNNNNNNNNNNNNNNNNNNNNNNNNNNNNNNNNNNNNNNNNNNNNNNNNNNNNNNNNNNNNNNNNNNNNNNNNNNNNNNNNNNNNNNNNNNNNNNNNNNNNNNNNNNNNNNNNNNNNNNNNNNNNNNNNNNNNNNNNNNNNNNNNNNNNNNNNNNNNNNNNNNNNNNNNNNNNNNNNNNNNNNNNNNNNNNNNNNNNNNNNNNNNNNNNNNNNNNNNNNNNNNNNNNNNNNNNNNNNNNNNNNNNNNNNNNNNNNNNNNNNNNNNNNNNNNNNNNNNNNNNNNNNNNNNNNNNNNNNNNNNNNNNNNNNNNNNNNNNNNNNNNNNNNNNNNNNNNNNNNNNNNNNNNNNNNNNNNNNNNNNNNNNNNNNNNNNNNNNNNNNNNNNNNNNNNNNNNNNNNNNNNNNNNNNNNNNNNNNNNNNNNNNNNNNNNNNNNNNNNNNNNNNNNNNNNNNNNNNNNNNNNNNNNNNNNNNNNNNNNNNNNNNNNNNNNNNNNNNNNNNNNNNNNNNNNNNNNNNNNNNNNNNNNNNNNNNNNNNNNNNNNNNNNNNNNNNNNNNNNNNNNNNNNNNNNNNNNNNNNNNNNNNNNNNNNNNNNNNNNNNNNNNNNNNNNNNNNNNNNNNNNNNNNNNNNNNNNNNNNNNNNNNNNNNNNNNNNNNNNNNNNNNNNNNNNNNNNNNNNNNNNNNNNNNNNNNNNNNNNNNNNNNNNNNNNNNNNNNNNNNNNNNNNNNNNNNNNNNNNNNNNNNNNNNNNNNNNNNNNNNNNNNNNNNNNNNNNNNNNNNNNNNNNNNNNNNNNNNNNNNNNNNNNNNNNNNNNNNNNNNNNNNNNNNNNNNNNNNNNNNNNNNNNNNNNNNNNNNNNNNNNNNNNNNNNNNNNNNNNNNNNNNNNNNNNNNNNNNNNNNNNNNNNNNNNNNNNNNNNNNNNNNNNNNNNNNNNNNNNNNNNNNNNNNNNNNNNNNNNNNNNNNNNNNNNNNNNNNNNNNNNNNNNNNNNNNNNNNNNNNNNNNNNNNNNNNNNNNNNNNNNNNNNNNNNNNNNNNNNNNNNNNNNNNNNNNNNNNNNNNNNNNNNNNNNNNNNNNNNNNNNNNNNNNNNNNNNNNNNNNNNNNNNNNNNNNNNNNNNNNNNNNNNNNNNNNNNNNNNNNNNNNNNNNNNNNNNNNNNNNNNNNNNNNNNNNNNNNNNNNNNNNNNNNNNNNNNNNNNNNNNNNNNNNNNNNNNNNNNNNNNNNNNNNNNNNNNNNNNNNNNNNNNNNNNNNNNNNNNNNNNNNNNNNNNNNNNNNNNNNNNNNNNNNNNNNNNNNNNNNNNNNNNNNNNNNNNNNNNNNNNNNNNNNNNNNNNNNNNNNNNNNNNNNNNNNNNNNNNNNNNNNNNNNNNNNNNNNNNNNNNNNNNNNNNNNNNNNNNNNNNNNNNNNNNNNNNNNNNNNNNNNNNNNNNNNNNNNNNNNNNNNNNNNNNNNNNNNNNNNNNNNNNNNNNNNNNNNNNNNNNNNNNNNNNNNNNNNNNNNNNNNNNNNNNNNNNNNNNNNNNNNNNNNNNNNNNNNNNNNNNNNNNNNNNNNNNNNNNNNNNNNNNNNNNNNNNNNNNNNNNNNNNNNNNNNNNNNNNNNNNNNNNNNNNNNNNNNNNNNNNNNNNNNNNNNNNNNNNNNNNNNNNNNNNNNNNNNNNNNNNNNNNNNNNNNNNNNNNNNNNNNNNNNNNNNNNNNNNNNNNNNNNNNNNNNNNNNNNNNNNNNNNNNNNNNNNNNNNNNNNNNNNNNNNNNNNNNNNNNNNNNNNNNNNNNNNNNNNNNNNNNNNNNNNNNNNNNNNNNNNNNNNNNNNNNNNNNNNNNNNNNNNNNNNNNNNNNNNNNNNNNNNNNNNNNNNNNNNNNNNNNNNNNNNNNNNNNNNNNNNNNNNNNNNNNNNNNNNNNNNNNNNNNNNNNNNNNNNNNNNNNNNNNNNNNNNNNNNNNNNNNNNNNNNNNNNNNNNNNNNNNNNNNNNNNNNNNNNNNNNNNNNNNNNNNNNNNNNNNNNNNNNNNNNNNNNNNNNNNNNNNNNNNNNNNNNNNNNNNNNNNNNNNNNNNNNNNNNNNNNNNNNNNNNNNNNNNNNNNNNNNNNNNNNNNNNNNNNNNNNNNNNNNNNNNNNNNNNNNNNNNNNNNNNNNNNNNNNNNNNNNNNNNNNNNNNNNNNNNNNNNNNNNNNNNNNNNNNNNNNNNNNNNNNNNNNNNNNNNNNNNNNNNNNNNNNNNNNNNNNNNNNNNNNNNNNNNNNNNNNNNNNNNNNNNNNNNNNNNNNNNNNNNNNNNNNNNNNNNNNNNNNNNNNNNNNNNNNNNNNNNNNNNNNNNNNNNNNNNNNNNNNNNNNNNNNNNNNNNNNNNNNNNNNNNNNNNNNNNNNNNNNNNNNNNNNNNNNNNNNNNNNNNNNNNNNNNNNNNNNNNNNNNNNNNNNNNNNNNNNNNNNNNNNNNNNNNNNNNNNNNNNNNNNNNNNNNNNNNNNNNNNNNNNNNNNNNNNNNNNNNNNNNNNNNNNNNNNNNNNNNNNNNNNNNNNNNNNNNNNNNNNNNNNNNNNNNNNNNNNNNNNNNNNNNNNNNNNNNNNNNNNNNNNNNNNNNNNNNNNNNNNNNNNNNNNNNNNNNNNNNNNNNNNNNNNNNNNNNNNNNNNNNNNNNNNNNNNNNNNNNNNNNNNNNNNNNNNNNNNNNNNNNNNNNNNNNNNNNNNNNNNNNNNNNNNNNNNNNNNNNNNNNNNNNNNNNNNNNNNNNNNNNNNNNNNNNNNNNNNNNNNNNNNNNNNNNNNNNNNNNNNNNNNNNNNNNNNNNNNNNNNNNNNNNNNNNNNNNNNNNNNNNNNNNNNNNNNNNNNNNNNNNNNNNNNNNNNNNNNNNNNNNNNNNNNNNNNNNNNNNNNNNNNNNNNNNNNNNNNNNNNNNNNNNNNNNNNNNNNNNNNNNNNNNNNNNNNNNNNNNNNNNNNNNNNNNNNNNNNNNNNNNNNNNNNNNNNNNNNNNNNNNNNNNNNNNNNNNNNNNNNNNNNNNNNNNNNNNNNNNNNNNNNNNNNNNNNNNNNNNNNNNNNNNNNNNNNNNNNNNNNNNNNNNNNNNNNNNNNNNNNNNNNNNNNNNNNNNNNNNNNNNNNNNNNNNNNNNNNNNNNNNNNNNNNNNNNNNNNNNNNNNNNNNNNNNNNNNNNNNNNNNNNNNNNNNNNNNNNNNNNNNNNNNNNNNNNNNNNNNNNNNNNNNNNNNNNNNNNNNNNNNNNNNNNNNNNNNNNNNNNNNNNNNNNNNNNNNNNNNNNNNNNNNNNNNNNNNNNNNNNNNNNNNNNNNNNNNNNNNNNNNNNNNNNNNNNNNNNNNNNNNNNNNNNNNNNNNNNNNNNNNNNNNNNNNNNNNNNNNNNNNNNNNNNNNNNNNNNNNNNNNNNNNNNNNNNNNNNNNNNNNNNNNNNNNNNNNNNNNNNNNNNNNNNNNNNNNNNNNNNNNNNNNNNNNNNNNNNNNNNNNNNNNNNNNNNNNNNNNNNNNNNNNNNNNNNNNNNNNNNNNNNNNNNNNNNNNNNNNNNNNNNNNNNNNNNNNNNNNNNNNNNNNNNNNNNNNNNNNNNNNNNNNNNNNNNNNNNNNNNNNNNNNNNNNNNNNNNNNNNNNNNNNNNNNNNNNNNNNNNNNNNNNNNNNNNNNNNNNNNNNNNNNNNNNNNNNNNNNNNNNNNNNNNNNNNNNNNNNNNNNNNNNNNNNNNNNNNNNNNNNNNNNNNNNNNNNNNNNNNNNNNNNNNNNNNNNNNNNNNNNNNNNNNNNNNNNNNNNNNNNNNNNNNNNNNNNNNNNNNNNNNNNNNNNNNNNNNNNNNNNNNNNNNNNNNNNNNNNNNNNNNNNNNNNNNNNNNNNNNNNNNNNNNNNNNNNNNNNNNNNNNNNNNNNNNNNNNNNNNNNNNNNNNNNNNNNNNNNNNNNNNNNNNNNNNNNNNNNNNNNNNNNNNNNNNNNNNNNNNNNNNNNNNNNNNNNNNNNNNNNNNNNNNNNNNNNNNNNNNNNNNNNNNNNNNNNNNNNNNNNNNNNNNNNNNNNNNNNNNNNNNNNNNNNNNNNNNNNNNNNNNNNNNNNNNNNNNNNNNNNNNNNNNNNNNNNNNNNNNNNNNNNNNNNNNNNNNNNNNNNNNNNNNNNNNNNNNNNNNNNNNNNNNNNNNNNNNNNNNNNNNNNNNNNNNNNNNNNNNNNNNNNNNNNNNNNNNNNNNNNNNNNNNNNNNNNNNNNNNNNNNNNNNNNNNNNNNNNNNNNNNNNNNNNNNNNNNNNNNNNNNNNNNNNNNNNNNNNNNNNNNNNNNNNNNNNNNNNNNNNNNNNNNNNNNNNNNNNNNNNNNNNNNNNNNNNNNNNNNNNNNNNNNNNNNNNNNNNNNNNNNNNNNNNNNNNNNNNNNNNNNNNNNNNNNNNNNNNNNNNNNNNNNNNNNNNNNNNNNNNNNNNNNNNNNNNNNNNNNNNNNNNNNNNNNNNNNNNNNNNNNNNNNNNNNNNNNNNNNNNNNNNNNNNNNNNNNNNNNNNNNNNNNNNNNNNNNNNNNNNNNNNNNNNNNNNNNNNNNNNNNNNNNNNNNNNNNNNNNNNNNNNNNNNNNNNNNNNNNNNNNNNNNNNNNNNNNNNNNNNNNNNNNNNNNNNNNNNNNNNNNNNNNNNNNNNNNNNNNNNNNNNNNNNNNNNNNNNNNNNNNNNNNNNNNNNNNNNNNNNNNNNNNNNNNNNNNNNNNNNNNNNNNNNNNNNNNNNNNNNNNNNNNNNNNNNNNNNNNNNNNNNNNNNNNNNNNNNNNNNNNNNNNNNNNNNNNNNNNNNNNNNNNNNNNNNNNNNNNNNNNNNNNNNNNNNNNNNNNNNNNNNNNNNNNNNNNNNNNNNNNNNNNNNNNNNCUACUAGCUGAUCGAUCUUUGGUAAAGGGAAGCUGUCUUUUGGGCACGCCUUAUUGAGGUCUGUGAAAUCCACACACAUCCUCCACUUGCCGUUCGCCUUCUUUACCAACACCACGUUCGAUAUCCACUCUGGGUAAUUAACUUCCCGAAUGAACCCUGCUCUCAGAAGCUUCUCCACCUCAUCACUUACAGCCUCAUACCUCUCCUGGUUGAAGCACCUCCUCUUCUGCCUUACUGCCCGAGCACCUUUCUUUAUUGCCAGCCUAUGACAUGCUACCUCUGGGUCAAUCCCUGGCAUGUCCUCAUGUGUCCAGGCAAACACGUCGGCAUGAGCCUGUAAGCAUUUCACCAACUCCUGCUUUUGCUCUCCCUCAAGUCUCGACCCGAUUCUGAUCGUCUUUCCCGGGUUCUCCGGUCCCAUGCUUACUGUUUCCAGAUCCUCUACGGGUUCUUGUCUGCCAGUCUUGUUUUCCACUCGGGUAUCGAGGGAUGUUAUCUGCAUCGCCUCCCUUGCUGCCGAGGAGUAGCAGCUUCUUGCGAUCCUCUGGUCUCCUCGUACCACUCCGACUACCCCAUUCACCCGGUACUUUAGAGACAGAUAAUGGUUGGACAGCACCGCUUUGCUCAUCCUUAAAAAUGGCCGACCCAGGAUCAUCUGGUAAGGACCUUCCUCGUCCACUACGACGAAGUCCAGUAUCAUUGUUCUUUCUGACGGGGGGCUCCCGAUUGUGAUAGGCAGUUCGACCACGCCCAGAGGGACCAGCUUCCCUCCUCCGAACCCCUUCAAGGAGGUGUUGGUGUAUUCCAACUUCCGGUCGGCUAUUCCCAUCUCUUCCAAAGUUGAUUUAAAUAGCACAUCAACUGAGCUCCCCGUAUCAACCAGUAUCCGGUCAAACUUCUUGCUAGCGAUCGUGGCCUUGAUGACUAAAGCGUCCUCGUGGGGGUAUAGAAUCCCUUCCUCAUCCUCAUCCGUCCACAUGAUUGGCACUUGCCUGACCCUUGCUCGUUUGGCUGCUGGGGUGUUGAAGAGUAUCUCUUUACUGGUCAUGGCGUAUCUGGCAUAAUUUUUUCUCGAUCUGUUCGAAUCUCCAGCCAACGUUGGGCCCCCAGCUAUCACCCUCGCUGCGGGCGGCUCGCGUCUCAAGAUUCCAUCACUCUGCUCCCCUUCAUCCAUGGUGGCCACCAUCGGGAAAGUCCCAUCCAUAAACUCGUCCAGGUACCGAUUUCUCACCAAAUCUUCGACCUGGGUCUUGAGAUCUCUACACUCUGCUGUGGUAUGGCCAUGGGUGCCAUGGAACUUACAAUAACGUCCUCUAUCCCUCCUGUUGGGUAGCUUUGUUAUUGGUGUGGGGAGGUGCAGCAGCCCUCGACCCUUUAUGGCCUCGUACACCUCAUCCAGGGGCAUCUUCAAGGGAGUGUACCGCCCAUAGUCCUGGUUCUGGUCGACCAGAUGCACUGCUCUUUCUCUGUUUGCCCCACUGUGAGUUGGGGGCGGUGGGAGUGCUUCUGGUCUGCUCGUCCUGCUACCGUGGGAAUGUUGAUGAAGGUCGCCGGAUGCCGAAUCAUGUCUUCUCCAAGGCUCCCUAGCUGGGGAGCGAGGAGGUGGCGCCCUGCUGCGCUGAUACUGUGGCGGCCUCUGAUGAGGCUGGUAAGCAAUUACCCUACCUCCUGCUCCACUACCGGAGAUCUGGUGGUCCCUCCUCCUGUUUGGUCCAUUAGUUGGUAAUGCUUUCUUCUCUUUCCUCCCUAACCCUUCCAACUGGUCUGUCUUGAUCCGUGCAGCCUUCUCCUCCUCAAUCUCGAUGUCUCUUUUAGCCUGUUCGUAUGCGGCUGCAUACGUUUGAAUAGCUGGGCUUCUCAAAUUGUACCACAGCCUUCCUAUCUUCACCCCUUCUUUCAGUCCCCUUAACGCCUGAGGGUGGUUGAAGGCUCCCAAGUCGAGGACAGCCCGAUGAAACCUCUUGAUGAAUUCCCGAAGGGUUUCUUGCUCCCCCUGUUUCAUGCUCUUCAGCUCCAUCAUGUCAUCUUCCGGCGACAUUGCCCCACUAAACUGCUCUGCGAAUUCCUGGCACAUCUGCUCGAAGGUUUUUAUGCUGCCCCGAGGAAGUUUCCUGUACCAUUCUCGUGCACGUCCCUCAAGGGAUAGUGGGAACACCCUGCACCUUUGGGAUGGAGAUAAUCCCUGGACCCCCGUUAAGUCGUUGAAGCGCUCUAUGUGCACCAGCGGGUCAGUUCUUCCCGAGUAUCUGAGGUCGGGGAGGCGGAAAUCUCUUGGAAUAACUGCCCUCAUGAUCUCUGCUGCGAGCGGUGAUUCCCCGUCCAGCAUUAUCCUCCAACCAGGGGCUCUGUUCCUCCCUUGCAUGUCAUCAAUUAUUUGCGCUAGCCUUCGCACUUCCUCCUCCAGCUGUCCUGCGCGACCAGGGUCGCGCGCUGCAGCUUGAUCCCGCUCUCGCUCUGCAUCAUGUAAGUGUUGCCUCAGUUCUGUUUCCUCUGUGUUCACCACCCCGUCGCCCCCGUCACAAGUCUGUCUUACCGGGGACUGCUCUCUUUCUCUAUGAAAUUCUCCCCGCAGAGGUACGUUACCUCUCUCACCGCCAAAUCUCCCAGCGGUUCGACUUCUCUCCGCACUAUCGGUACCUGGUGUCGCUCCACCGCCUCUCACCCUUCCCUCUUGGGUUACCCUUCGCUCGUUCCGCAGCUCAUGCAGGAUGGUUGUCAAGGUUUCCAUCUGCUUUUCCAUUCGCUCCAUCCGGUCGAACAUGACUUUUUCCCGUGCUUCGCUGAUCACCUCCCUCAGCGUCACGGAAUCGUUAAGCCUUAUGUCACCCCCUUGUGCGCUACUUCCUCCUAUCUCCAUUGACUUUCGCUUACUCCACCCCUCUUCUUGCUACCGACAGAAGCUUUUUGCUCUGGAUCCCCACAGACGGCGCCAAAAUGUUGAUGCGAGAUUCCGGUUCUCCUCGUUCUACGACCAGGAUCCCUGCUCGAUCAACUCUACCACGACCAGGAGGUCUCCUAGUAAUGCUUCUUCUCCGGAUGUCCCUGCACACACAGACAAGUCAGAGUACGCCGGUUGUUCUCCCGGCGCAAACCCUCCGACGCUCAAGUCAGAUAUGAAGGUUCGGGGAACGCUUGCCACAGGUCUUAUGGCUUUUUUGUGGUUUUCUCUUUUAUCUUAAAAAUGCUAACCCUUUUACCUUCGUUGGCUACCUUUUUAUAGGCUUCCUCUGAAUCUCAGUCUUCCGCUCUUUUCGAGACGGUAUGGGACUCCAACUGCUGCGUUAUGGGCAAAACAUGGGAUCUAGCGUGUUACGCCACGGUUCAGGGGAAAGCGUGGCUGCCACGGCUCUGUGAGACCUUGCGUGUUACGCCACGGUUCUGGGGAAAGUGUGGCUGUCAUGGCUCCGUGAGAUCUUGCGUGUUACGUCGCGGUUCUGGGGAAAGCGUGGCUGUUGUGCCUAGGUUCUCGUGCUGGAGAGCGCGUCUUGCCAACUGCCGUCGACCGGGUCUCCUCGCCUCUCGGUCUCUAGCCGGAAUGGCCUCAUGCCUUUUAUAGGAAUUGGCCUCGCGGACGACAACAUCGUGGACGAGCAGGAUGUUUCUGCUCCUGUUCUUCCACGCGCCAGGCUUUAACGGAAAACACCGGUGCGCAGAACCCCGCCAUCAGAUGUCUGCUCGUCAUUCCUGGUCCCUUCGACGCAUUUGUCCCAAACAGUAUCCCUCCCAAACAGUUUCUGUGAUUUUGGUUAAUUAUUACUACUAAUUAAUAUAUUAAUAUAUUAUUGUUAAUAAUAUAUUAAUAAUUAUAAGUUUUGAAUAAAUAAUAACAAUAAUUAAUAUAUUAUUAUAAUUAAAUAAUUAAUAUUAAUAUUAUUAGUUAAUAUAUUUUUAUAACAAUUAUUAUACUUAAUUAGCAUAUUAUUAUAAUUAAUUAAUUAAAAAUUUUUAUAAUAUAUUAAUAUAAUAUUGACAAUAAUUGUUAAUAAUAAUUUUUGAAUAAAUAAUCACUAUAAUUAAAAUAUGAAAUAAUAAUUAUGAUAAUAAUUCAUUAAGUACUUUUUAGUAAUUUGUUACAAUUUAAUUCAUUAUGAUUCCGAUUCCAAGACAAAAUAAACACAUUAAUGGCAAUCCAACUCAUUCUGAUUUCGAUUCCUAUAGUUCAAGUAAACAACUUAUUCUCCAUUCCUUAUUCCCAUUUCAGCCCAUUCUUAUUCCUAUUCAUUUCGAUUCCUGCCCAUUUCAAUUCUAGUUUAGUAAACGCCCCAUAAGUUUCAUGAGAGUUUGUAUUGGGGCCACCUCUUAAAGCUGUAUAGGGGGCUACCUGUCAUGACCCAACUCAGACCUAGCAUGAUAUUGUCCACUUUAGGCUUUAACAAGGCCUACACGAUUUUGUUUCUAGGGUGCUAGUACACCACAAAACAUGUCUUUCCAAUUAGGAUGUGGAUCACCCCUUAUAAAUCCAACAUCUCUCCAGUGUUUUGUCAAUGUGGGGUUUGCCUAGGGUGCUACAUAUACCCCUCCUUAGGGACUCAGAGUCCUCACUGAGGUUUGCCCCACCAUCGUUCAAGAUGACACACGGACCUGCUCUGAUACCAUCUAUUGUGACUCAGUCUAGACCUGGUAAGAUAUUGUUCGCUUUGGGCUAUACAGUUUUGUUUCUAAGGCGCCUAUACACCAUAAAAUGCGUCUUGCCAAUUAGGGUGUGGAUCACCCCUUAUAAACCCAACAUCUCUCCCGUGCUUUGUUGAUGUGGGAUUUGCCUAGGGUGUUACACAAUACCCUAUUUCAAAAUGAGUUGUUAGUUUAAUAAACUUAUGGGUUCCUCUAAUUACAUACCUUGUUUCGAAGAAAUUACAAUAGUCUCAAUUGUUUAAAUUUUCUUUAGUUACCUUUAAGUGAAUCCUUUAAAAUUUAUGUGAAGCUGAAAUGAUUUGUUAAAAAACAUGUAUUGUUGGAAUAUGCAGGAGUUGGUUACUUGUCUGUUGCUGCCUUUGACAAUUUUUAUUAGAGGAAUUUCAUCAAACAGAUCGUGCAUGUCUACGAAAAGUAACUAAAAAAUAAAAAAUGCAAUAAAAACAGUGACUAAAAGCAAAUAAAUCACGCAUGACCCAUCAUCUAUUAAUUUAUUCUAAGUAAAAGCCCCAACACAUUGUGAACAAAGGAAGAAAAUGAAAAAUUACAUGUAAUAGAGUAAAGAAAAACUCAAAAAAUAAACAAUGCAUAAAGGAAAAUGUCACCUUUCUUGGAUAUUUUAAACACAAAGAUAGAAGAACAGACGUGUAUGAAAAUGGCUGGUGUCAGAAUCAUGUCGAUGAAAAUUACUGAUGUUGGAAUCGCAUCAAUGAGAACCACUGGUGUUGGAAUCGUGCUAAUGAGAACAACAUUUAGAGUUUGUUUUAUGGAAAAAUUGAUUUGAAAUUAAGUUUAAAAAUAAGGAGAAUAAAAUUGAAAUGAAAUAAUAUGUAAGGGUAAUUUAGUAAUUUAAUAUACAGGUGGGAAAAAAUCUACUGAGGUGUCAAAGUCUAGCUACAAGGUGUUACUACUGAAAAUGAGGGGAUGAUAUAUGGAAAAAAGAAGCUUCAUUUUAAAUUAAUGAAAAAAAAUGAUUUAAAGAUUUAAGAGAUCCGAUUUGUGUUUCGUUUCACUAAAAUAUAUUGAUAGAUAGAAUUAGCCAUUAGGUGUGUCUUAACCUAAAAUUAUUCUUUCACAAAGUAUUAAAAAACAAUAAAAUACUAUUACAUAGCUCGGAAAGUUUGUAUUAAGUUAUAGAAUUAGGUGUCUCUUACAUAUAUGUCUUCCCAUGAAUAAAAGCAUUUGUAUUAAGUUAUGAAAUUGUGGAUUAUUAUACCAGUCUAAUGGCUCUUUCCCUUUCAACAUUAUUGUACGUAUUUUGCAAGGAAACAUCCUCUAUCUUUCUUUCAAUUAAUGUCCAAUUAAGAGUUCCGCGUGCCCAAUUAAUGUCAAUCACUCAAUUGUUUUUGAACGUGUACAGGAUAACAACUUAAAAGACUUUAGAGGGCCAGCGUUAAUUCAAAGUCAAAACUAGGUUAUUACCCUACAGGAUUCUUGAUAGUGAGGUGAAAAAAAGGUUGAAAAGGAUUAGGAUUUAAUCUUGAGUUUAGUUUUUAUUGAGCACUGAAUUAAUAAUUAGUAUUUAUUUUGUGUUUUUUUUAUUUAUCUUACCUAACAACCAUUUACUCAGAUCCUUGUCCUGUUGAAGGAGACUAUGUAAAUGAUUUUUAAAACUUUAGUUAUUUUUGUGUAUAAAACAAAAACUUUAAAUUAUUUAGUUUCAAAAGAGAGAAAAAAAAAUCUAGACUUUGAGCUGCUUGGGAACAAAUUAUAUUUGUUAUUUAAAAAAAAUCAUACUAUGAGAAAGAGAAAAUAUAAGUGGGGUUAAUUCUAUUUGUAUGUCCUUAAAUAUAAUUGUAUAGAAGAGGGAUUUUAUAAUAUUAAUGAAUUGGUGCCAAUACUCCAACCUUUUCUCAAAAUGAUUUUAAUUUUUAUUCAUAUACCCAAUGGCUGAAUUUAUUUUCAUUAUUAUGUAGGUGUGGUGUUACUAGAAAUUAAAAAAUAGGAUCCUCUCAUGAUCUGAGCUCUACUAAGCUUUUAAAGAUCUUCUUUUAUGUGUCAUUUAGUGGGUAGUGUAGGGAUAAGAUUUAACUUCUUUUACUUUUUUAUUUAUUAACUACCAAUCAACAAUUGAAUUAUUUGCUCGGAAUAUGAUCAGAUCAUGAGAGAAUCCUAAUCCAGAAAUCAAAUGCUUCCUUUUUUUUUCCCUCCUCUCCUCACUUAUGGUGGAAUAUGGAGAAUUGAACCAAACCAAUAUCCUAAUUACUAACAGAUUUGAGACAAAAUUAACAUUUUAAAAUAUUGCAAACUGGCAAAAAGUCAAACUUUUAUUUGCUACAUAAAUAUAAUCUCCUUUACAUAUUAAUAUCAAAUUCGUUAGGUUAAAUUCUAGGUUCAAAUCCUAGCAACGAAAUUAAUUUCUUUAUAGCUGGCAAACAUAUAUGCACUUUUUUUUCUUAAUUUACGCAGAAGUUUGAGCUAAACUGGUAAAGGAAUUAUUUUCUAAUUAACUUCUUUUUUAUUUUGGAAAAAAAAUUGAAAGAAAGAUAGGAAGCUGAAACUGAAGCCGAAUCAACUGGAGCAGCCACUACUAUAAAAAUGACAUUUAUUAACACUGUCUCUGACACUUAGUAAAAAGUGUCAAAAAUGGUGUACGUUUGGACCAUUUUCCGCCUUUAACAAGUGUGUAUCAUAAAUCAUUGAUACGAAGGUGUCAGUAGCUUAAAACUCAAUGAUUAUUGAUACUAAAGCAUCAGUGAAAAAAAAUAAUAUUAAUUUUGUUUUAAUUUGAACUCGAACUCAAGAGCUCUAAACUUAAAAUUUGUAAGUUUAGAGUGUAAACUAUUGAUGCAUGUGUUUUUAAAUUUUGAAUUUGAUUAAUUUUUUUAUUUAAUUAAAUUUUACACAAUUACUUUGUGGACAAUAAUAAUAAUAAUAAUAAUAAUAGUAUUAAUAGUUUUGAGAAUAAUAUUUUUUAUUUAGCCACAUGUCAACUUGUAAUUCGUUGUUAAUAAUAAUAAUUUUACUUGACCACGUGUCGACUUAUAGUCUGUUGUUUUAUUAAAUUACAAUGCGGACAAUUACACUAUAUAAUUUUUCAUACUAUAAAAUGAAAAAUAAGAAACCCUAAAUCUUACCUAAUCAAACACACCACUUCUUAAGUUGCUGCCGCCGCUCCCCUGCUCCUCGACUUUCACUGCUGCCGGCCGCUGCUCCUCAACUUUCACUGCUGUCAGCUGUCGUUCCUUGACGUCACUGCCACCUCUACUCUGCUGUUGUCAAGCUUCAGCCAUUGAUGACUAGCUAGCCACCUUUCAGUACGUCGCUGCUACCGCUUUUAUGCCGUCACAUCAACUUCAGCCCAGCCAGCCACCGUUCCUUUACCGUCAAGAUCAAGAACCAUUUCUUUCUCUUUUCUCUUUUGGCACAGGUAUGAAAAUACUGCUGAGGAGUUAAUCUGUUAAUCACCAUUCGUGUACGUCGCUACUAUCAUUCGUGUACGUCGCUGCUGCUGCUCGUCUUGGUCACUGCUGCCGCUCCUCUACCGUCACGUCAAGCUUCAGCCUUUUUGACAAAACAUUUCACUUGGAAUUAUAAGCAAACUCUUUUGAGACCAUAAAAAACUAAGCCAAUUUCUUUGGUUUCAAGGCCUUGUUUUUUCACUUUGAAAUAUGAUCAUACAAUGACAAGCCAAUUGAAAACUUUUGUUCAAGAUUUCAUUGUUAAAUUCACCUUUAUUUUUAUUAUUUGUGUUCCUGUCAUUUUCUUUCCCUUUUUUCGAUUUUUAAUUCAAUUUGGGAUUUGACAGAUAUAUUUUUUAAUUUUUAUAAAAAUUUAUCUUAUUUGCAGGAUGCUAAGGGACAGGAUGUUGAUCUUAGCAUCUACAAGGGAAAGGGUCUUUUGAUUGUCAAUGUUGCAUCACAAUGGUGUGCCUCAGCUCCUUUAAUUUUUAAUUUUUUUUCCAUAAUGAUUUAUUGAUUAUUGUUGAUGCUUCCAUUUAAUUAAUGCUAAUACGUGUUAUCUAUCUAUCAGGAGUCUAAAUUUUAUAGAAUUAUAUCAUACUCGAAAGUAUGCAUGCUCCCAAUACAAAUAAGUGUUUAUAAGAGAGGAUUUCACCCAAAAUCUUUAAUUCUUGCAAAAUGCUAGUGGCUCCGUUUGCACAAGUUUAUUUUUCUUCCAUGUUCGUUCCUUUACCAUAGUGGUUCCUUUACCACCGAGGUCAGACACCAUUUCUUUCUCUUCUCUGUUUUGGCACAGGUAUGAAAAUACUACUGAGAAGUUUCUCUAUUAAUUACCUUAUAUAUAUAUAUAUAUAUAUUUUCACAUGUUUAAUUGAGAACAUCCAAUAAUAUAGUAAUAAUAUAGUGGGCAAACUAUAGGAAGGUUGUUAGUAGACAAUUCUAAUUUUAGCUUUACUUUGCAAAUGAAAGAUUAGAAAUAGUCCGUUGAACCCAUUUUACUAUAUUGGAGGUUUGGGCUAAUCUUGUAUAGAUUUUUGCUCAGAAGAAGGAUGGUUCUCCAAGGGCGGUGGGUUGGUUUUUGUAUAGACUAUUCCCCUAUUUUCCCAUUUUGCUUUUCUUUGAGGAAACCUGGUCCUUUUUUUUUUGUGUUUUCUUUCUUCAAUCAAAUAUGUAUUUCUCAAUCUCGUCUCAAAAAAUAUCUAUCUCAUUUUACUAUAUGUUUAUGAAUUACUAAUUGUAUUUUGUUAGUAUUCCAUGUUCGAAGAAGAAUAUUAGAUUGAAGAAAGAAGAAGUUGUUCCUUUGCUAAUCGUUUGAAACCCAGGCUUGCACUGAAUUUGAUUUUUAUCUUUUACUUUUUUACUUGACCUAUACUUGAAUCUAAUUUUUGCUCCACUUUCCUUUCUUUCGUCAAUUUAAUUAUCAAUCCACUUCAAACCUAAAAAGAUUUAGUAAUUGGGAAACCCUUUUUUUUUUUGAAAGAAUUGCAAAGUACUGUAAUUGGAAACUGGGUUCAUGUCUUAAAAAGCAACCUAAUUUGUAAUGUUUGGCUUAUAGUGGCCUUCUAUUUCUGUUUUUCAUCUCGGCUUGGUUAAUUUCUUCACUAGUCGUUUAAAUUUUGUUAAUUUUUAUUUUUCCUCUUUAAGCUCAUUAAAUAUCUUUUUUUUUUCAAUUUAUGGCUUUUGGUCCAACUGAUCAUCGUUGAAUGUGGGCACUAUAAAUGUUAUAGUGCUUGUUAACUUAAUGUAUUUGAUCAUAUAUUAUAGUAUUGUUUACUUUAAAUUUAGACAAUGAAAUAGAUUACAAAAAAAGUAACUUAUGCUUGUCAAGUUGUAGACACCAUUGUUCAUGCCAUCAUUACUGAAUAUUGAUGUACUUAUUAAGUGUUCUCUUUAAUACUUGAUAGAAUACUUUUGGUGAAGCAAUUUGUGGUAUCAUGAUUGCAGGCUGUAAUUAACUUAGGAACGUGUAGAUUCUACAAUUUCUUUUUCCGAUUCCUUAACUUGCUUCUUUUAAUCCUACUCUUCCAUGUUGAAGUAAUUUAUGAGUAUUUUUGCUUCAAAAUAACUAAGAUUUAUUUUUCACAGUAUACUAAUUGAUUUUAUGCACUUGUAGGUGGGAAAAAAAUGAAGCCGUGGAUGGAUAUUGAGUGACCUUGUGCUUUUUUUUUUCUUUUGGGUUGGAAACUUAAUUGAGUAGUAGUUAGCACUUGUUGUUUAGAGAUUGUUGAAAAUUUAAUUUGAUACUUAUGUUAAGUCUUUUACAUAUAGUGAUGUAGUUGAAUUGUUUGAAUUUAAGUGAUGUAUUUGAGAUGUUUAUUAUAUGAAUUAUGUUGCAAGAUAUUUAAUAAUAAAUAUAUUUCGAGUUUUCUUUUGGUUGUACGACAAACACGAAAAAUAUAAUUAAAGUAAAAGGCAAAUGCUAUGUUACAAUUAAUGUAACAUACACACUCAACAACAACCACACAAAUUAUGUGGGCCCAUCAUUUGUAUGGUUGUUGUUGAGUGUGUAUGUUACAUUAAUUGUAACAUAGGGGCUCCCAAAGUAAAAAUAUACUAUUAACCAAAAGCAACAUAACAUUAUUAAAUACUGACACUACAUAUUUAAAAUAACAAUAAGAAUUUUUUAUAUUAUCGAGUCAGUUUCUGAUACUAUAGUCACAUAAAUCACUGACGUGUAAAUAGUGUCAUUAAAUACCAACAUUAUCGGGUCAUUAUUUUAGUGAUACUAUAGUGAAAUAAAUUACUGACACAAAAAUCACUGACACCAAAAAUUAGUGUCAGUGUAUGGCUUGAGCAACACUGACACAAUUAACAAGUGUCAAUAAAAGUAAUUACUGACGCUAAAUUAGUGUCAGUAAAACUCAUUUUUCUAGUAGUGAGCAUCAAGCAUCUUUUGAAAUUCUUCUUCUUUUUAUUUUUAUUUUUUUUAAUGUUAUUGAGGGCAAAUAAAGUCUAUAUGCUUAAUAUUGAACAUAAUUUUUAACAAAUAAAAACUAACACUAACAUUGUGCCAAAUAAAUUGUUUAUAGCUUAACUGGCCCAUUUAGGAUAGCUGCGCCGCCAAACAGGGCUUUGAUUUUAUUGCUAUAAGUAUGCACUAAAUCUUUUUAAUAGAUUUUCUUGGGUGGCUGAAUGGUUAAAUAAAUUAAUUUAAAUGAUUGAAAUAAGAAUUUUUUUUAUAUUUUAAAAAAUGUACAUAUUAAAAUUUAACAUAUAAAUAUAUAAAAUAAUAGAGUGUUUAGAAUAAUUUUUAGAGCGCAAACAGUCUUACUCAUUUUAUUAUUAAUCAAGACUUAAGAGUCACUAAACUAAAUCUCCAUUUUCCAAAUCUUUAGGACGAACGAGAAAAGGUAGCAAAUGCAAGCGAUCCACUGUUCAUCAAUAUUAUCUGGUGUUGUUGCAGAUCAUUUUGUUAUUUUGGUCCAUCAAAGCAUCAAAACAAUUUGCUUGUAAAAAUGAUUGUGGAAAUGUGCAGAUCAUAUGCCCCUUUGGAAUUGGAGAAGUGUGCCACUUUGGUAAGAGUUAUGAAGUAAUAUUCACUCUUCUGGCUCUCCCAAAGCUUUUCAUCCUAGUAUCAAGACGGAAUAUCGUACCGUUACUCCGAAACUAAAAGUAGAGUCAACAUUCCUGUAAUUUCUUUACACACAGUGCUAUACUGCUAUUGCCACAAGCAAUAAUAUUGCUAGAAGAGUCAAUCUAUCUGGUGGUCCUUUCACCUUUCCCUAGGGGCUCAAUAAAUUUAGAGCUCAAUUUGUUUUAGGUUCAAAAUUGAUGAACCCGUACUUAAUAACUAUACAAAUUGAUAACUUCUUGAUUUAUGAGGACAUAGAAAUUUUGGAACACUAAAUGCAUUUUUCUAAGUUAUGAGAGCUAUUACUGGUUAGGCAUUUCUAUUGUUUGAAGGACAAACCUGUUAGGAACCAGAUCUAGAUUCCUCAUGCUUUGGUCAAACCAUUGUGUAAUUGUGGGACUGGCAAUUCCUUUUCUUUUUUCCCAGUGUCAGUGGUCAUCAAUGAAGAAAAAAUUAUGAAGCUUGUUAGCAGCCUGCUGAAUCUUAGGUUGAAAUAGAGUUGCCUUCUACAUUACUGGAAAAUCUGAUUUUUGUAAGUUAAUGAUAUUCUAGUAGUCUGCCUAGAGACCAAUGCAUACUGAUUAAACAACUGGUUUAAAUCAUUAGGGCAUGAUCAGCCCGUUAUCUGGCACUCUUAAACACAAUAGGCAGGGAGGCUUUGGGCAAAUCAUAUUCAAUGAUUAGAAAUGUUCAAAAAUUUCAAGAUAACAAAUACGCAAGCGUUUCAAUUGGACAUAAGUAUUUGGGUUUCUAGUUCUAAUAGAGGUUUCUCAAAGCUAUAUUCUAGUCACUUUACUAUUCUGAAUCAGAAUCAGAACUAGAAUCAGCGGAUGUUUUUCAUUGUAAACUUUUAAUAGAUCUCUUACUUAUUAUGAUUUUAAUCCAAUGAUUGAACUGGAUAAGAGAAAAGGGCUAGGGUCAAUAGGUUCAAUUGGGCUCCAAAUGGCAAUCAACUCAUGACAUUGCAUGAAAUAUACAACAUGCUUCUUUUGAAAUAUGAUAUAUUAAAAAAUUUAGUGCAUAUAUGCUUAUAUUUGUAUAUUUACAAUGCAAUGCAUAUUAAUAUCAAGGAGGCAGAAAUUGAACAUAUACAUUCAUAAUGCAAUUUUUAAUAAUUGUUCGGAUUUUCUUUUCUGGGUGAUAACAUUCAGGGAAAAGAAAAAUAAAUACAAGGUUAAGACAAUCUAAGACAUGAAGCCCGUGAAGCAUGGCUUAGGACAUGGUCAAGUUGUAAAAACUAUGGCUAGGACUAUCUAAUACAUAAAACUUGUACUGUAAACAAAUUUAACUGUGGAUGUCAUUGCUUAGGAAUUGGAACUUCAAGCAAUGUUCUAAAAACAAUUCUUUCUCCACUAGUUUUUCUCACCCUUUUAAUAUUGAAAGGGAUGGGAAUGGUAUAAAGAUGAUUCUGUUUGUGGUAAGAUUCCUUUCAGGCUAAUUACUAUUUUUGACGUGGGGUGCAGGAAUAUCUUGAAGAAUAUGUUGGAUCUUCUACUAGAAGAGCAAUUUUAUAUCAAGUAAGAACUCUUGUUUUCUAGAUGAUCAUAUAAUUUUAACAAACCUGCUUCCCUUGAAUUUGGAGUAAGAUGCUGUUAGUCUUUAUAUCUCUGGACUUUUCAGCUUGGGUCUGUUCAAAAUUGAGCAUCCGAUAAAUCAAGGAUGACAAAGCUAUCUAAGUCAAGUGAAAUGGUCAAUUAUUCAGUUUUUGGUCCGUUGUCGACAAAAUUAAAUUUUAGUUUUGCUUGCUAUCUGGCUUUUGGUAUGUAGCGUCAAGAGGCUGUAGUUAGAUAACCAAGUAUUUGGUUGAGUAUUUGGAGAUUUUUCUUUUUCAAGGUUUGCUUUUUCGUUGGCACCCUCGAUGGAAUCGAUAUCAGUUGAGUGAUUCAGUUGGGCCUGACAGUCUUAGGCUUUCUUUUGGUAAUGGAUAUUUAUUUUAAGAUAAUCAUUGUAGUUUCCUUAACUCGUUACAACAUUGACAAUAUUUAAAGUUCUUAUUUUAUAUAUACCUAUUUUCAAGGAAAAUGCUGAUAGCUUGACCUCAAAUAUGUUACUCACAGGAAUAUGUAAAAGGUAUAUCAGCAACUGGGAUGCAGUCUAAUUAUGGUUUUGAUGGUCAAAUCCAUGCCUGCUGGAUGCAUAAAAUGACACAAAAAGACAUUCAAACCAUUCGUUCAGCUGGAUUUCUUGUGUCACUGAUUCAUGGCAGGUACAUGAGCAACCAUAAUGCACAUGAGCAACCAUAAUGCACAUGAACAUAGCUGUAUAAUUGUGUCUUGUUAUAAUUUUGGAGAUAAUGGAUGUUAUAAUUUAAAGGGAUUGUAUGUAAGCAAUUAUUUAAUUGGGAAUAUGUAAGUAAGGAAUACUCAAAUGAAGAUUGAAGAAAACAAGCAAAAUGCCUUGAGCGAGGAAUUGAAUUGUCUUCAUUCAUUAACAAAGAAAGGGUUUAUAUAGGCAUUACAAGGUGGAGUUAUUCACAAUUAUUAAUUAUAAAAAGGAUAAUGGGAAGAGCAAUAAGAUGAUAAUGGGAGAGCAUUAUUUUGGUGGAAUCCACCAUGAUUUACAACACUCCCCCUUGGAUUCACCAAUUAUUUAUUAGAAGUGCUCCCCCUGAUGACAUUGGAUAUUGCCUCAUUAAAAACCUUUGCCAGUAAAAACCCAGUGGGAAAACUUGGUCAAAAGGAAAAAAGAGUACAGUACAUAUGUGCCCAAUAUUCCUAUAAUUCUUCUCUUGUAAGAUCAUGCUCCUCUUGUUGAGUGCUCUUCCUGAAGGCAACAUGCAUUAAUUUAACAGUUUGUUAAAACGACGCAUGUCGAUGCCAUAUACGAUUUUUUCAAAUGUAGAUGUAGGUAGAGCUUUUGUAAACAUAUCAUCUAAAUUUUCCGUGGAGCGUAUCUGUUUGAUAUCAAUCUUCUUGUUCUGUUGGAGCUCAUGAGUGUAGAAGAAUUUCGGCGAAAUAUGUUUUGUUCUGUCCCCUUUAAUGUAUCCUCCUCUGAGUUGAGCUAUACAUGAGAAAACAUUGUCUAAUCAAAAUGACAAUCUGUAAAUCGUGCGGUAAAUACAUCACCUGUCAAUGGUUCAAGAUAUCUGAUAAUAGAUGGUGAGUCAAAUCCCACAUAAAUUCCCAAUCGUCGUUGGGGUCCCAUUUUAGUACGUUGUGGGGGCGCAAUCGGCACUUGUACUGUGCAACCAAAAAUGCGUAAAUGGGAUAAAUCUGGUUGAUGUCCCAAUACCAAUUACAAUGGGGAAUAUUUAUGAUAGGCAGUAGGCCUUAAGCGGAUUAAUGUCGCAGCAUGCAAAAUAGCAUGUCCCCAUGUCGAAAUAGGUAAUUGAUGUUGUGCAAAUUUUAUUGAACUCGCAAGUGCACGAAUCUAUUGUAGUAUAGAUCAAUGGUGACGAGUGUCGAUCCCACGAGGAGGUGGAUUUUAAUUGUGUGUAGAAUUAAUUUUCUAAAUGGGUGGUUGGAUUUGUGGUGAAAAUGAUUUGGAUUAUCCUAAAAUUGGAAUUGAAUUGGCGAGAAUAAUUUGAAGAGAAUUCUAUUGAAAUGACUUACUUGGGUAUCUGGAUCCGUAUCAACAUGCACCAUGGGCUAAAUAUUCCUUAUUAGUGCCAAUUAAAUCAUGAGGGGGGAAUCCACACCUCAUGAACCACACUCUAAUCAAUAUGGUACUAAGGGCUUAUCGUGCCAAAUAAUAAUAACCUUGUACUAGGGAGCCGGUGUAACCAAGGCGGUAUCUAGACAAGAUUGUUAUUAUUUGUCGACGAAAAGUCAAAUCAUCCACAAAAAUUAGAGGGGAAAAGAAAAUAAAUUUACCAAAUAAAGCCCAUGACACAUGUUGAGACUUCACCUUUAACCCAAGCUUGAAAGAAAAUUAGCUACUCAUAAUUGAACUAGGGGCAAAAUGAGAAUUUAUUAAAAUACAUAGAAAAUACAAAAUGAAGAAGGAAUUACAGAAAAUGGAUCCCAAAAAUGGAUUCAGAGCUAUCAAAUUAGGGGGGAGAGGCCCACUUUUUAGAGAUACAUUGAGUAAAUCAUGGCCAUCGGAUUAAAAACAGUUCGGACGCUCAGGAUUGCGCCACGUCAUCAGUCAACAGUACGCAGUUUGACCACGCAGUUUGGACAGUAACACAGUUUGACCCAGCUUGAACAGUGACGCGGUUUGAUUGAAAAUAAUCCUGUGUAAUGCAUGUACCGUACGCGAGAUUUUUGGUCCACUGAUAUGCUGCCACAUCAUCGAUCAACAGUGCAUAAGAAUUUUAGUCCAACAGGAUCGUGACACCUCAUCAGUCGAUACCACAUCAUCGGUCAAUGCCACGUCAUCGAUCCGUCUAUGUGAUAAGUGUCGUGAACAGUAACGUAGACAGUACCGUACAUGUGAACAGUGUCAUUUUUCCUUUUAUGCUCCUCUUAAGGUUUUCGACCGUCUUGAGUUCAAAAGUGAUGUCCGUUUUGCCAUCUGAUCUCUCGUUUAUUGUGAAAUGACUCUAAUGCCCCUAAAAUACAUAAAAUACUUAAUUAAAAUAAAACACACAUAAUUAAAUCACAAGAAGGUUAAAUACAUAAAAGUAAGGGUGUUAGUAAAACUUGAAGUGUAAAAUGACUAUUUUCUCCUUUAUAAAUAUACAUUUUCUAACACUCAACACACCUCCCAACCAGCUUAUUGCUAGUCCCUAGCAAAUAAAGCGAAAAUAAAAUUCAAAUUCAAAAUGAUUUUUUUUUUAACAAUCAUGUUUAUUCAAUCAGACUAAUAAUAAUAAUCAAAUAAAAGUAUAAGUAUUAUCUCCAGUCUAAAGAAACAUCACACCCACAUCAACCAUCCACAUGAAUCAGCCUAGUAGACUUUGUUAUAGCUACUUUCAAGAAUGACAUGUCAAACCCCAAAAUCUCACUGGAAGUAGUGACACUCUCACAAAGAAAUUAAACCUAAUAAAAAUAGUCACUCCAAUGAAUGGUAAUUUGAGAGAAAAUAAUAAAGAAGUGAUAUCACAUGCUCUCACCAAGAUGAAAGAAAUAUGCCCUCAGCUUAGAAAUAAUAUGAUCUCAAGUCAAAUAAAAAUGCUAGUCAACCCAAUUUAUUUUUUUUUUUUAUGCACCACUACAUCUUUUUAGCCCAUAUAAUUAGCUUAUACUUCCGAUUAUAGUUCCUUAAAAUCAAGAAUGACUUUUAUUAGGAUGUAACGUAGGUUAGGGACAUGGCAAACAAAGGAAGGGAAAUAAGGAAAACAAAGUGUAUGUUUGAGAAAUAUGUAGAGAUUUUUUUUUGGAAGUUGCAAGGUGGAUUUCACCUAUUAUUGUUUUUUUUAAACAACAAUUUUUUUCUUUUUUUUCUCUUUUUUUUUGUUUGGCAUAACUUCACUGAACAAAAUAAUUAUUUACAUUUUUCUCAAACAUAAAUAGGUGAUAGAACAUGUAAGAUAUUGGGUAAUACUCCAAAUCGGAGUAGUCAAGAUGAUAAGUUUGACAAAGAAAAUAUUUUUUUUUUAAAGACUCAAAAGGGUUAAUUAUGGAUAUUUCAUAAAAUGGAUGGUUAGAAAUGAUCAAACGGAUCAAAGAUGGCCUUUCCAUAAUCUUUUAGGGCUCUAAAUAAUCUUCCAUAUUUACUAGUUAGAUGGGCCUCCAAAUGUAGCAACACACAUUUUUUUCUUUUUUUCUUUUUUAAUUUUACAAUAUUUUUUUUAAGGGUUAACUCAAAAGAAAUCUAGAGAUCGUGUAUACAAUAAAAAACUGCUAAGCUGUAUAAAGAAUAGGCAAAAGGGUUACUCUCCAAGAAAAAUGAUAGGCUCAAAAACUCACUUGGUACUUAUUAUGACAUGUUCAUUCCUUCAAGCAACUCAUAUUUGUCUCCGACAUCAACAUGUAGAGUAGCAAACAUAGUGUAACAUCACUUAAGACCAAAGAUAAUACAAAUACUAAAAUUUGAAAUUAAUCAUGUCAUCCAAUGUUAAAACAAAUCACACAAUUUUUUUUAAACAACAUUUUACCCCCCAACCUAUUCUAAAGAAAGGAAAAUAUGCAUGCAGAAAUGUGAAAAUGAUGCAGAAAAACUAAUUAGAAAAGUUACACUUAAAAUGAUAGAAAAAGAAAUGUUUUUUUUUUAACUAAGAAGAUGCGUUUCUAGAGGCACUACACUCCAUAUUCAGCCAUCUUCGACUAAAAAAAAAUAAAAUUGGAAAGUGUAUAUUUAUAAAGGAGAAAUUAGAAAGAAGUACAAAAAUUAAUAGAGAAAAAUAAAAUAUCUGAAUUUUUUUUAACAAAGAAGAUGCGUUUCUAGAGUAACUACACUCCAUAUUCAGCCAUCUUCAACACAAAAAGUUAGCAACAGUUAGUUUCUACAACAAAAAAUUAGUAAAAACUUAACCAAGAUUCCACAAUUGUCGACUAUUCCCUCCCCCCAACCAAAACAAAACAUUGUCCUCAAUGUUUUAAAGGAAAGAAGUAAAGUUUAGAAGACAUCGCCUGAGUGGUGCAACACCGAAGAAAAUAUUUACAGGCGGAGAGUUAAAUCUAAUUUGUACUUCUUACUGCGGCUACUGUUACCAUCAUUAUUUGGACGCUCUAACACAAAGGUCUAGGGGUCUGGCUCGGGUUUAUAAGCUUGUAACAUAUCAAGUAACUCAUUAGCAGUGUGAGCACAAAUAAAAAGCCUUUUCACAUUGGAAAGAACGAAAUAGUUUUUUAUUGCGUGGUUAAGAAAUGUGAUAAAGCCAUCAUAAAAGUUUUUGACAUUUAACAAACCAAUGGGUUUCUGGUGAAUGUGCAGAUGAGCCCAAGAUGCUAGUGUGAUAAGUGCCUCUAGUGUUGCAAGAUCUCCUGUAAGGAAAAUAAAAGCAUCAGCAUGAUUAAGCAUUUCAGUUAUUCUUUCUUGCAUACCUAAGAUGACUAACUCUUCUCUAGUCGGUGAGUCAGACAAACUGCCCAAAGGUUUUAGGACUCUUGGGAUGAUGCCUAACACUUGGCUUAUUUUGACAAAAGCAGCUUCUGAGACCAAUUUUGAUAACCCUCGGUUACCUCCUCCAUACACCAAGUGUAAUUUUCUCUCUGCUAUGCUUUGACCAAGAUCUACUGCUGCCUCAACGAACUCUUUAUGUUUGCCAUAGUUAAAUCCAGAAAGCACACAAAUGUUCUUGAAUUGUCUAUUGGGAGUAGCUGCCAUUGGAAUAUUUCUCAAAAAUAAUUUUUGAGUGCUUAACAAAAAGUUUUAUUUAAGAAUCUUGGUAACAGUGGAUCACAACUAUGUAUGAAGUGGCAUGUUAGUGUCAAAUAACGCGUAAAGCACAUGGCUCGCGAGUCAAAAAGGAAACAGUAAAAAGAAAAAGAAACAAUGAUAAAAUAAAAUUAUUAAAGACAAUAAUGCAAAUGAUAAAACAAUAGUGAAAUAAAAUAAUAGUGAAGUAAAAGGAUAUUUACAGGUAGUUGCGACUGUGGCUCACAUCUUCCUUUGGUUUUACGUCCAGAAACGGCUUGAACGCCCCUCUAUAGGUCGAGGAUGGGUUUCCCAUCCAGUUUUCUUAUAAACUGGCAAACAUGAUCGUUUAUCGUCAGAUUCCCGAGACUAUAUCGUGCAUGCUCUUUCUGGAAUAAUGGCCAUAACUGGAAAAUCGCUCCUUGCACAUAUUUAUUGGGAUGCGUUUCAAGAGACAGAAGGAUAUCAUCCAAUGACUCCUUAUUCUAGCCAUCCCUAAUGAAUUGAAUCUUAUCUUCCCUGUUAUCAGACACCAUUCCUAAAGAACAUGGGUUUUUAUCGCAACUCAUUAUGACACACUUAUGACAAGCAACAGAAAUUCUUUGAGCUCGUCGUUUUCUUGCAUAAUUUCCUUUACCACAACCAGGCAUGUAUGCAAUAAAUUUUGGAGGUAACUCACCUGCCAAUCGUACUUUAGCCUUGAUUAACCAACGGAUGUCAGCAGGUAUGUUAUUCCUCAUGAGCAAUCGCAUGCGUUCGGACCGGGCUUUAUAGAUUGUAAGGAGGGCAUUAUGAGGAAGUGAAGGGAAUCGCUUGUGAAGUUUCGCUAGAAUCUUGUUUCUGUCCAUACCUUCGCCUUAGAAUAUCAGUUAUUAUGGGAAAACUGAAGUAACCGACUUGAUUGUCACGGAGUACCGUUAUCCGCCACUUCACCGGGGUAACAAACUAAAGCACACAAAAAAAAAACAAAUUAAAAUACAAAAAGAAAAUUAAAAUCGUCUUUUUAUUAAAUUUACCUCAAGCUCCAACUGGAUGUCGUAAACACUUCUCUCAAUGUCUUUGAUUUGGCUUUCUAAAUUCUUAACGUAGGCUACUAACUCUGGUGGUUUUAGAGCCCAAAUGCGAUGUGUUUUACAAAAUCGAAUCUGCCUUUUGAGAUGAGAUUUUACACGUUGAAGUGGUUUAAGAAUGUUCAGGAGGAACAGUUUAAGUAUGGUACUCAUAAUUAAUAAUGAUAAGAGAAAACUUAAUGGUUAAACAAACACAAUUAUGCAAAAAUAAUUUCAAUUAGCAAAAGAAUAAUAAAAAGAAAGAAAUAAAGAAAAAAAUAAAAUCACCGAAAAGAAAGAAAAGAAAAAAAAAUCAAUUCAAAUCUGGUGGGUCAUUCAAAUUUAUUUCGGUGUCUUCUCCAUGUGGUUGGUACCCUAGAUAUGGCUUUAAUCUUUGACCAUUAACUUUAAACAUGACACCGUUCUUUGGAUCCUUAAUUUCAAUUGUCCCAUGUGGAAAAACAGUGUGAACAAUAAAGGGGCCAGACCAUCGAGAGCGUAACUUACCUGGGAAUAGGUGCAAGUAAGAAUUGAAUAAAAGCACUUUCUGACCUGGAGUGAAAGAUUGUCUCAUAAUUUGCUUGUUAUGGAAGACUUUCAUUCGUUACUUGUAAAUCUUGGCAUUUUCGUAUGCAUCGUUACGAAUUUCUUUAAGUUCUGCCAGUUGUAAUCUUCUUUCUGAGCUAGCUUACUGCAUGUUAAAGUUGAAUUUCUUGAUGGCCCAGUAUGCACGAUGCUCGAGUUCCACAGGUAGGUGGCAAGCUUUUCCAUACACUAGCCUGUAGGGUGACAUCCCAAUCGGGGUCUUGAAAGCUGUUCUAUAUGCCCAUAAUGCAUCAUCAAGUCUUAAUGACCAAUCUUUUCUGUCUGGCUUCACCGUCUUUUCUAAUAUGUGCUUUAUUUCUCGAUUGGAGAUCUCAACUUGGCCACUGGUUUGCGGAUGAUAUGGGGUCGCCACUUUGUGAGUGAUUGAAUACUUCAUCAAAAGAGCUUUGAAUGCUUUAUUACAAAAGUGGGCACCACCAUCACUGAUUAUUGCUCGAGUGAAUCCAAAGCGCGAAACAAUGUUGCUUUUUAAAAACCCUAUCACCACCUUGUGAUCAUUGGUUCUGCAUGGAAUUGCUUCUACCCAUUUUGAUACGUAGUCAACAGCAACCAAUAUGUAUUGAUGGCCAAAAGAAGGGGAAAAGGGUCCCAUGAAGUUGAUACCCCAUACGUAAAAAAUCUCAACCACUAAAAUUGGAUUUAAUGGCAUCAUGUUCCUUCGUGUAAUGCUCCCCAUUCGUUGACACCUAUCACAUGAAGUGUAAGCAUCUCGAAAUAUAGUUGGCCAAUAGAAACCACAUUGUAAAACUUUAGUAGCUGUUUUCUUAGCACUGAAAUGGCCUCCACAAGCUUGUUCAGGGCAGAAUGAAAGGAUAUUCUGAAUUUCACUUUCUGGGACACAUCAUCUAACAAUUUGAUCUGCACAAUACUUGAACAAAUACGGGUCAUCCCAAAAGAAAUUCUUUAUUUCUGCAAAGAAUUUAGCCUUGUCUUGCUUGGUCUAAUGCUUUGGAAGUUGACCUGUAACAAGAUAAUUAACGAUAUCAGCAUACCGUGGUAAUACUUCCACACUCAUCAAUUGUUCAUCUGGGAAUGACUCAUUCAAUGUUAAUGGUUCUGAAAUUGUGUCAAAAUGGAGACGAGAGAGAUGGUCUGCCACAACAUUUUCUGUGCCUUUCUUAUCUUUAAAUUCCAAGUCGAAUUCCUGCAAAAGUAACACCCAACGAAUUAGUCUAGCUUUUACAUCUUUCUUUGUGAGAAGAUAUUUAAGAGCAACAUGAUCUGUGAAUAUAAUUAUUUUACAACCAAUGAGAUAAGAUCGAAAUUUUUCUAAUGCAAACACUACUGCUAGCAUUUCUUUUUCAGUAGUUGAAUAGUUCAACUGUGCAUCAUUCAAUGUCAUACUAGUAUAGUAAAUAACAUGGGGAAUUCGAUCAACUCUUUGUCCUAAUACUGCUCUUACUGCAUAAUCAGAUGCAUCACACAUGAGUUCAAAUGGUAAGCUCCAGUUUGGGGGCUGAAUGAUGGGUGAUGAUGUCAACAACCGCUUUAAUUUUUCAAAUGCCACAAGACAUGAAUCAUUAAAGACAAAAGGUACAUCCUUAGCAAGUAAAUUACAUAAGGGUCUAGAAACUUUGCUAAAAUCUUUAAUGAAACGUCUAUAAAAAUCAGCAUGCCAAAGGAAAGAUCUUACUUCUCUGACUGUUUUGGGUGGAGGAAGAUUAGAAAUGAGAUCCACCUUAGCUUUGUCAACCUCAAUACCUUUGCUCAAAAUGAUGUGACCGAGAACAAUACAUUGUUUUACCAUAAAAUGACACUUCUCUCAAUUUAAGACCAAGUUCUUUUCGAUACAACUCUGCAGAACUAGUGUUAGAUGAUGUAAACAUUGAUCAAACGAGUCACCAAAAACAGAAAAGUCAUCCAUAAAGACUUCAAGGAAUCGUUCAACCAUAUCAGAAAAAAUGCUCAACAUGCAACGUUGAAAUGUAGCAUGUGCAUUACAUAAUCCAAAUGACAUUCUCCUAUAUGCAAAAGUGCCAAAAAGGCAAAUGAAAGUAGUAUUCUCUUGAUCUUUUGGUGCUAUGGGAAUCUGAUUGUAUCCUGAGUAGCCAUCUAGAAAGCAAUAAAAUUCAUGGCCUGCUAAUCUAUCAAGCAUUUGAUCAAUAAAUGGUAGAAGAAAAUGGUCUUUACGUGUGACAGAAUUCAACUUUCUAUAAUCAAUGCAUACACGUCAUCCUGUAGUCACUCUAAUGGGUAUCAAUUCAUUAUCGGCAUUGGUAACUACUGUGACUCCUGACUUUUGGGGACAACUUGUACAGGAUUGACCCAUGAACUAUCAGAAAUUGGGUAAAUGAUACCUGUGUCUAAUAGCUUAAGGACUUCAGUUCUAACAACUUCUUUCAUGUUAGGAUUUAACCGACGUUGCAUUUCCCUAGUAGGUUUAACAUUUUCAUCAAGAUGAAUGUAAUGCAUAUAGUCUACUGGGUUUAUACCUUUGAUGUCUGCUAUGGUCCAUCCUAAUGCUCCUUUGUGCUCUUUUAAAACGUCCAACAACUUACCUUUUUGUUCGUCAUUUAGGGAUGAUGAGAUGAUUACCGGCAGAGUACUUUCUUCUCCCAAAAAUGCAUAUUCCAGAGUGUUGGGUAAUGGUUUGAGCUUGAGUUUCGAUAGUAAUUCUGAUGAUGGAAUGAGUUUCUUUUCUGAUGGUGCUAGUUGUUCAACUCUUGACUUCCAUUUAUUAGUGUCCAUAGAUGAUGCUGAGUCAAGUAGAGCAUUGACCUCAUUGACUGAUCUGUCAAUAUCAAAAUCCAAACCAAAGUGAGAUAAACAUGUUUGUAAAGGAUCAUCACUAAGGUUUGAAAGAAAAGUGUCAUCAACUAAUGCUUCAAUUAAAUCCACAUCAACAAUUUCAUCAUCUGCAUUGUGAGGUUGUUUGGCAAUGUUGAAGAUGUUCAGCUCCAUAGUCAUGUUGCCAAAGGACAACUUCAUAUGUCCAGUCCUGCAUUGAAUGUGAGCAUCCGCAGUUGCCAAGAAAGGUCGGCCUAGAAUAAUGGGGAUGUGCUUCCUUGAAUCCUGUAUUAGUUGAGUGUCAAUUACAAUGAAAUCAACAGGAAAAUAAAACUUGUCUACCUGGAUAAGCACGUCCUCCACAAUACCACGAGGUAUUUUCGUGGACCGAUCUGCAAGCUGUAACACCACUGGAGUUGGGUGCAAUUCUCCAAGUCCAAGUUUCAAAAAUACUGAGUAAGGCAACAGAUUUACACUAGCUCCUAAAUCCAACAAAGCAUUCUCAAUUGUGUGGUUUCCUAUACUACAUGAGAUAGUGGGGGAGCCUGGGUCUUUGCAUUUUAAAGGAAUUUUAUGUUGGAGUAUAGAACUAACGUUUUCUAUUAAAAAUGCCUUCUUUUGAACGUGAAUGUUUCUCUUUUUAGUACAAAGGUCUUUAAGAAACUUGGCAUAAGAUGGAACUUGUUUAAUAGUAUCAAGCAAAGGGAUGUUAACACUUACCUGUUUAAGGAUUUCAAGAAUCUCACCUGUGGAUUUUCCCUUCUUUCCUUUAGCUAACCUCCGAGGAAAUAGAGCUUUGGGAACGUAUUCUCGUGGGUUAGUUUCUUCUUUCUCCUCCGAUAGUGAGUCAUCAACAUUCACAGGUACAAUUUGAUUUUCUUUUGUCACCAGAAUCUCCACUUUGUUGUCGACUUCUUUUCCUUUUCGCAAGGUCAUGACUGCUUUGACCUCUCCAUGCUGCUGUGGUGAACUGGUACUUGCUUCAUGUACUCCUUUAGGAUUAGGCACUAGUUGACUUGGAAAUUUACCUUUCUCAACUGUCAUUGCCAAGGUCUGAACUGAAGAAGUAAGUUGUCUCAUCAUCUUCUCGAGGCUUGAAACUGAUUGGGCUUGUGAGUUGAAGCCUGCUCGCAACUCAUUUCAUAAUCCAUUAAUGGUGCGGUUCUGUUGCUCAAUCGUAGAGUGAGUAACAUUCUUGAAAUUUUGGAAUGCAUCCUCCCAUGGUCUGGGUUGAGAGUAGUCCUGGUUCUGAUUGUAUGGUCUAAAUGGUGGCUGAGAGGCUUGAGGAUUUUGAGGAAUUGGUGGAGCUGGAGCUGCUGGUCCAUUUUGUUGGAAUCCUUGAGACCAUGAAAAAUUGGGGUGGUCUCUCCAUCCAGGGUUAUAUGUGUUGGAGUAUGGGUUGUAAUUCGAUGGUUUUCUCAUUACACCUAUGGCAUUGGCUUGAUCUGAAUAUGAGUCAUGGUCAUGUGGCUCUAUUGAUUUAGCAAUCGAUAACGAUGCUAUUUGUCGAGAGAGACCUUCAAUUAUCGUUUUGACUUCUUUAAUUUCUUAACUUGACUUGCCAAUGUGAACCUCAUUUACUCCCUUAAUUCUUUUAGUGUUCCUGAGCUACCGACUCCGUUGUUGGGAAUUAUCCGCUUGUCACUGGAAAAAUUCCCAAAUCUUUGAUGCACUUUUUGACAUUAGUUCUCCUCUACUUGUUGCCAUUAGCCAUUCUUGCACAUUCGGCAAUAAUCCCUCCAAAAAGUAUUGGUAUUGGUGUCAUUUCUCGUACCCAUGAUGUGGACACUUCAAGAGUAGCCCAUUGAAUCGCUCCCAUGUUUCGAAAAACUGCUCGUCUUCUCUCUGGGUAAACUCUGAAAUCUCCCUGCGAAUAGCAUUGGUUUUAUGCACUGGAAAAUAUUUAUUCAAAAAUUUUGUUACCAUUUGUUCCCAUGAUGUAAUGCUAUUAGCAGGCAAUGUAUUGAGCUAUGAACGAGCUCUAUCUUUUAAAGAAAAUGGGAAUAAUCUAAGUUUAACAUCAUCGUUUGAAAAAUUCGCAUAUCUAAAUAUUUGACAAAUAGCAUGAAAAUCAUUCAGAUGAUUAUAUGGGUCCUUAUUUUCUAAGCCAUAGAAUGUGGGGAGACAAUUUAGCACACUAGGUUUUAGUUCAAAACUCCUAGCAGCUACAUUUGGGUAUCUUAUACACGAUGUGCUCAAAUUAGCCAAAGGACUAAAAUAGUCCUUAAAUGACCUCUCCUAUGGUGCUUGUAAAUCCAUUCCAAAUUUAUUUUUAACGUGCUUGUAUGUGUGAAGUGUUUUUUCUAGUUCAUGGUCUAUAGGUUCAAGAUUAUGUAAUAAUGACCUACGACCAUGCAUGUAAGAAACACAAAAAUAAAUGAGAACAAAACAAAUAAAAAUAAAGAAGAAGGAGAAAUUACGUUACUAACCUUAUCACGCUGUUAAAACCUUUCUAUAAAAAUACACAAAAAUAAAUACGUGAAAUAAAUUAACUAAAAAUAAAUUAAUAAGAUAAACAAAAAAAAUUAUAAAGAAAAACAAAUUGAAAAUUAAAUUACAGAAUUUUAAAGAAGAGAAAAAGAAAAGAAAUACUAACCUUUAAAUGUAGAUUCACUUUUUUUUUCUUUUUUUUUUAAUAAAAAAAAUUACAAGAAAACAAUUAAAAGAAAUUAUUCACAAAAAUUAAUUCUACGAAUUAAAAUAACUUACCUCCCCGGCAACGACGCCAAAAACUUGUUGUGCAAAUUUUAUUGAACUCGUAAGUGCACGAAUCUAUUGUAGUAUAGAUCAAUGGUGACAAGUGUCGAUCCCACGAGGAGGUGGAUUUUAAUUGUGUGUAGAAUUAAUUUUCUAAAUGGGUGGUUGGAUUUGUGGUGAAAAUGAUUUGGAUUAUCCUAAAAUUGGAAUUGAAAUGGCGAGAAUAAUUUGAAGAGAAUUCUAUUGAAAUGACGUACUUGGGUAUCUGGAUCCGUAUCAACAUGCACCAUGGACUAAAUAUUCCUUAUUAAUGCCAAUUAAAUCAUGAAGGGGGAAUCCACACCUCAUGAACCACACUCUAAUCAAUAUGGUACUAAGGGCUUAUCGUGCCAAAUAAUAAUAACCUUGUACUAGGGAGCCGGUGUAACCAAGUGAGACAUUAUCACAAACAAAUAAAAAGAUAUUAUAUAAUAAAUAUUGAAAAGAGUGUAACUAAUAAGUAUUACUUAUAGGAAAUUUUUUUAAAUAAAUACGUAGAAAAUAAAAAGGUAAAUGGAUAGAAUACUUCUUGUACCAGAGCAAACUUCGUGCUGAUAACGUGUUAUAAAUUUGGAGAUAAUGGAUGUUAUAAUUUAAAGGGAUUGUAUGUAAGCAAUUAUUUAAUUGGGAAUAUGUAAGUAAGGAAUACUCAAAUGAAGAUUGAAGAAAACAAGCAAAAUGCCUUGAGCGAGGAAUUGAAAUUGUCUUCAUUCAUUAACAAAGAAAGGGUUUAUAUAGGCAUUACAAGGUGGAGUUAUUCACAAUUAUUAAUUAUAAAAAGGAUAAUGGGAAGAGCAAUAAGAUGAUAAUGGGAGAACAUUAUUUUGGUGGGAGGGCAUUAUUUUGGUGGAAUCCACCAUGAUUUACAACAUGUCUAAAUUUAUAUUAUUAAAGUGACAUGCUUUAUGAUUUUAUUAUUUUAAGAUACUUGUAAGGAAUACGCAUAGGGCAUACAGGAAUGACAAUUGUUACAAAAUUAAACUUCAUUUUUCAAAUGUCAUUUAGAUGAGUUGAAGUCUGCAAAAUGUUUCUUUAAUAUCAUUAAACUGUUUCAUGAAUUAAUAAACUAUAUAAUGUCAAUUAUCAUAAAAGAAAACAAUAUGCUUAUAUAUUCUUGGAUUCUGUAGAUAGAAUGUUAUGAGAUAGGCUCCAAAUACUGAUGGGAAAUUAAAAUUGGGUUCUUCGUGAAAAAAAUAAAAUAAAAUAAAUUGGGAAAAAUUGGCUGAAAUGGAAGUUCGUGUUGUGCUUUAUAGUAAAUUGUCAAAGUUUGCAAUCAACCUGUAUUUAACAAGGAGAUGACAGGAUUUGGCAAGAAUUUGGUAUUUUCGGAGUGAAGAGUAUUAGUUUUGUUUCAAUGCUUUUCUUAAUCUCAGACGAUCAAGAGAAUCGUUAUUUCAUUCAUGCACAGACAAGCACAAAGAGAAAACAAAUGUAUACACAUGCAAACUUGAAAAUAGGUUAAUAUACAUUGAACUUCGAAGGUCGUGCAUGAGCCUGGUUAAUAUUUUGGGCAUUUCCAGUAGUGAGUGAUACAUGGAUAACUGAAUGUUACAUAACUGAAUUUGAGCAAAAAUAUUAAUUCGCUCCACUGAAUGUAUAGGCAUGAUAUCAUUGCACAAAUCUUUUAUGCAAGGACACUAGCAGAGAAGUUGUACCAUGUUGCUAGAAUGAUAGAUCUUCCUGGAGGACAUCUUGUAAGUCAUGAGAGGACAGAAGAGGUAUUUCCUUUGCCCAAUAGAUCAGACAAAUAUGCAAGUAGUCCAAUUGGUUGUGUGAGACAUUUACAAUUAAUGAAUUAUUAAAUGGAGUACAGUUGUACAAACUGAUUGGGAAAGUUUUCUUAUCAAAGUCAGUAAAAAAUUGUCGUAAUCGAAUUUGAUUGAGACAAAAGGGUCCUUACAUUUGUAUUAUGGACAAUAAUCUUCCUAAUAUUGAGGAUUGACCUUGAGCGACUCAAGAUUUUUGAAUAACUGGGAUUGAAUUAAAUCUUCACGCGUAAAAUAAUGUUAUGAAUUUAUUGGUAGAAAGAUGUCCCAAUACUUCUUGAAGUUUUACUUUCCUAAAUUAUUGAUAUUUGUUUAAUUUUACUUGGCUACAAAUUAAGCAUAUAGACGUUAAACUCUUUCUUGAAAUUUCAGGUCAAUCAAACUCUCAUCGACUUGAUCAAGGCAUCUGAAAAGAAGAUAAGUCCACAAGAUUGGACUAAUCUGCCCCAGACAAGUUCUGGUAAGCACGCCACAAUCAAGAUAGUCUUUCUCUUUUCCAUGUUAUGUGUGGGCAAUACUGUUAGAGCAUACUUGCCUAACAUAGGUUGAAAGCUUUUCAUACUGAGUUUUCUAUGAAGAUAAACUCGUGGUUAAUCCAUAGAGUUCCCAUUUUUCCAAUAAUAUGUUCAUGGAUUUGGAAACCUAAGAGUUCCAGAAGGACACAUGAUAACUACUUAAGAGAGCUCAAAUCAACACUGAAACUUUUUCCAGACACAAAAAUCAUCAGUGGUCAAUUUGUUUUCAGCUAGGUUAUCUUCCUCUCUGUUUGGUCAGGAUUGAGAGGGACAAUUAGCAAUUUUGAUAUUUCUACAUCAGAACUCUGUUUUCAGUUUUUGACAUUUUCUAUUGAUAUUUUUAGUUCUUUGUCAGGGGAUUUGGCGAAAGGGAUGUCAUUCGUAAGAACAACUUUGGGACCAAGAAGUUAUGUUUCAGACCCACUAGAGAAGCUAUGUCUUUAUCUAUUAUACCUCUGUGGCCUCUUCAUGUUAGCAUUUGAGUAUGCGAGAAGGCUUCUACAGAGUCUGAUGAUUUUCUAAAUAAAUCAUGCAAUUUAUUUUGUUCCAUCAAAUCCAUACCUUAUUAGUUGAUGUGGAAACGAAUCGUCACAAAUCUGCAAGAAUAAAAAUAAGCUCCCUCCAAUCUCCCAAAAAUCAGGAACUAACACAAGAAGAUCCCAACGAACACGAAUCGAUUGCUAGGAACUGGAACCUUCACAAGAAAAUCUCCUUCACGAACGGAUCAUCACAAGUUUAUGUCACUGAUGAUCGGAGGAUAAUAACGUAUUUGGAAAAUCCCCUCAAUUGACGAAGCAAGAACCCAUUGCCUUUUUUCCUUUUCUCUCACUCUCUUUUGAUGUUGCUUUGAUUCUUGUGAUUAUUAUUUUACGUGCUAUCACUCACUCUUGUAGUAUUUAUAUAGUACAAUAAGUGUAGUUUAAUUCAAAUCAACUUUCUAGAGUUAUUUGAUAAGCUACAUCUUAUGUGAUUAGGAUUAAGAUAAAAUACUAAUUUUAUCUCAUAAGAAUCCUAGACAAACUCUAAGUUUAUCUUAUCACUUACAUUAGAUUAAUCCAUCCCAUCAUGGACAUUAAAUCUAACAUCUACCACUCGCAUGUGAUGGGAUGAUUGAGUAAUCAUAGCAACGAGAGUAGAGUUUUGGGCAUAAAGCCACAACCGCAGUAUCAUACGGGCAAAUGCUACGUGUGACCCAUGAACAAUAUAAAUUGGAGCUUGUAGAGCGAAAAAAAUCUCAAUUGCACUUUUUGCAAGAGAUUUAAAUAACUUAUUCAUUAUAUUUCCUAGAUUUCAUUAUCCUUUACAUCGGUACAAACAUAUUUAAUCCCUCAACAAAAAUUAUGUUGACGUUGUGCACUCUAUGUAUUCACAAUUGUAUUCAUCCCUAGGCAGAUUAUACAACUGGUCGACCAGUGAAUGCAUAAGUCAGAUGUAAGGAGAAUAAAUCUUCGUACUCUACUCAUAUCUUUUAGUUCUAGGCUAGUUGCUUUCUUAGACAUGUUUCAUAGAUCGAAUAACAUUAUAGUCGUAGAAAAAACAUGCUAAAGUAGCUAUCACCAACCUUUCCUUUUAAGAUAUAGUCAAUGGUAACUAAGGAAACUGUUGACGUCUUUCUUAUACCUCGAAAGAACUUACACAAUGAGGAAUCAGGGAUUCAUUCACUCAUUUUCCUUUCAAUCACAAAAGCACACAUGGUAUGAAUCACGCGUUACAGUGAAUUCUCUUUGUAUAAGAGCAUAUGUCUAGCUAUCCACUGUACAUAUCUUAAAUUAGUCGCUUAUUCGAGCGCCUAAUUUGAGUCUCAAUAAGCUUGCCUUCAUAAGGCACCAAAUGAACUAAUAUCUGGCUUAAUUAGGUUCUUUAUCUUGAUCCAGUCAAGGCGACAUUUUCAAGAUAUAAGCUCCAUGAGUACGUAUCCAGUACUUUCUCUUAAUAUUGUGUCUCAUCCUAGCUUGCUUUCAUUAACAAUUGAAGUGACCGCUUGUGUAAGAAAGCUGGUCAUAACCUGAGGACAUAUCUUUUAAUAAUUAUAUAUAUGUGUGUAAUCAUGCUAAUUAGUAUCUUAUGAGAAUAAAUCAAAAUAAUUUUAUUGCAUAAAGAAUUUAUUAAGUACAACUUUUAUAAUAUGCGCAAUCCUGAUGAUUGCAUAUGUGCGAUAAAAACAUCUCGUGUCAUGGCUUUAGUUAAUGGAUCUACAACCAUGAAGUGUGUAGAUAUGUGUUGCAUCAACACUUCCUUUUUCACCACAAUAUCUCUCACAAAAUUGUACUUUGUCUCUAUGUGUUUAGAUUUGCUGUGGUAUUUUGCAUCCUUGGUAAAGGAUAUGGUUGCUUGGCUAUCACAAUAUUUGGUUACUGGCUGAGGAUGACCAAUAACGAUCUCGAGAUAAUUUAAGAAGCGCCUAAGCCAAACAGUCUCUUGUAUUGUGACUGAACAUUCUACAUAUUCUGCUUCCAUAGUCGACAGAGUUGUGCAUGUUUGCUUCUUGUUACUCCACAAGAUCGCACUGCAACUAAGUAGAAAUACGUAUCUUGAGGUUAAUUUGCGCUCAUCAAGAUCGCCUCCCCAAUCAGCGUAUGUGUAUUCAAUUUACCGUAAAUCACCUCCUUGAUAACAUAAAGAAUAGCCGGUAGUGCCUUUCAGAUAUGCUAAAAUUCUUUUGACAACAUUCCAGUGUUUGCGCCCAGGAUUUGAUUGGUAUCUGCUUACCAACCCCAUAGCAUAACAAAUAUAUGGUCUUGUACACAUCAUAGCAUACAUGAGACUUCCAACAGCAUUAGAGUAUGAAACUCAUGUCAUUUCAUUUCGUUCCUUUGAAGUCUUUGGACACAUUUCAAGGUUAAGAGUUUGUCCUUUAGAUAUGGGAGUAUCCAUAAGUUUACACUUCUCCAUUUUAAUUUUUUCAAGAAUUCUUCUAAUAUAAGACUCUUGUGACAGAGCUAGAAGUUUUCUAGAACGAUCCCUAUGGAUUUUAACUCCCAAGAUAUAAGAUGCUUCACCCAUAUAUUUCAUUUCAAAGUUUAAAAAUAAUCAUUCAUUGAUGGUUUGAACAAACUCUAUAUUAUUUCCAGCCAACAAUAUAUCAUCCACAUAUAACGAUAAGAUGACAAAGUUACCCUCUGUCCUUUUAACGUAUGCACAAUGAUCUUUUUCAGUCAUUGAGAAUCCAUAAGUCAUCACAGAUUCAUGAAACCUAAGAUACCAUUGCUUGGAGGAUUGUUUUAUCCCAUAUAUAGACUUUUUGAGCUUGCAAACUUUGCGCUCUUGAUCAUUGAUUAUAUAACCAUCUGGUUGUUCCAUAUAAAUUUCCUCCUUUAGCUCUCCAUUGAGAAAAGCUAUUUUAACAUCCAUAUGAUGUAAUUCAAGAUCCAUAUGUGCAACGAUGGCUAGAAUUAAUCUUAUAGAGGCAAACCUUACCAUUGGGGAAAAAGUUUCCUCAUAGUCUAUACCCUCUUGUUGGUUAUAUCCUUUCGCUAACAAGCAUGCCUUGUAUCUUUCAAUUAUGUCAUAUGCCUUUCAUUUAACACGUAAAACCCAUUUGUUUCCAAUGGCCUUACGGUAGAGCGGUAGAUCAACCAAGUCCCAGACGUAGUUUGAUCUCAUUGACUUCAUUUAUUCAUCUAUUGCUUUAAUCCACAAUUACUUAGUUGAUGAUGUGAUAGCCUCAAUAUAAGUUCUUGGCUCAUUACCAUCAUGUGAAGCAAUCAUAAACGCCUCCCCCUCAAUCUCAAAACGAUGACGUGGUAUGGUUGUACGAUUACUUCUUCAAAUUGAGUUGUCAAGUGGAGUAAAGUCAUUUUGUGGUUGACUGCCACUAGAAUUAGAAUUCCCAGACAUAUCUAGGUUUCUCUCAAUUUGUAAAUCAGAAGUGUCAUUCAUCUCUGAAUCAUUUAACUCGUAUAGAUGGAUGUCUUUAUGGACCUCUGAAAUGCUAAGGAAUUCAUUUUCCAAAAAUGUGACAUCUCGUGAUUUUAUCUUAGUUAUAGUUCUAUCAUCAUGUUCACCUAUGAACACAUACCCUUGGGAGUGUUCUGGGUAUCUUAAAAAGAUACAUUUCUUUCCUCUCGGAUCUAAUUUCCCAUGUUUAUGAGAUGGGUUAUGAACAUACGUUGCAGACCCCAGGGAUGCAAAUGAGUAAGAUUAGGUUUUCUAUGUGUCCAUAGCUCAUAUGGAGUGGAACUUACUGACUUACUCGGAACUCGAUUAAGUACAUAAGUGGCAGUCAACAAUGCAUCCCUUCAGUAAGAAACUGGAACUAGCACGAGCAGAUUGCAACGAAUAAAAAUCGAUUGCUAGGAACUGGAACCUUCACGAGCAAAUCACCUUCACGAACAGAUUGUCAAGAGUUUAUGUCACUAAUGAUCGGAGGAUAAUCACGUAUUUGGAAAAUCCCCUCAAUUCAUGAAGCAAGAACCCACUGCCUUUUUUCCUUUUCUCUCACUCUCUUUUGAUGUUGCUCUGAUUCUUAUGAUUAUUAUUUUACGUGCUAUCACUCACCCAUGUAGUGUUUAUAUAGUACAAUAGGUGUAGUUUAAUUCAAAUCAACUUCCUAGAGUUAUUUGAUAAGUUACAUCUUAUGUGAUUAGGAUUAAGAUAAAAUAUUAAUUUUAUCUCAUAAGAAUCCUAGACAAACUCUAAGUUUAUCUUAUCACUUACGUUAGAUUAAUUCGUCCCAUCAUGGGAGUUAAAUCUAACAGAGUCUAAAACCGGUUAGAGUGCGAGCCUCUCCCACUUAAGCCAGAAUGUAGUGAACCCUAUUUUUUACUGGUAAUUUUCAGUUUGCUUCCCAAUCUUUCUUCUAGAACAAAGACAACUAGCUAGAAAACAAUACAUACUAUCCUCACUGUUUCUAUCCCUUCUUUUUGCAGGGUUUCACUAAUUUGUCACACUAAUGGCGCGGCUCUUUGCAUUUUAAACAGUUUGCUUACAGGAUUCUUGAGUAAAUCUACUAAAAGUUAUACAAAAGAUCAUAAAUAAACCAGAAUCUGCUGUGGGAGAGAUCAGAACAACCGAUACAACAAAGCAUAUUAAUCAUAUGCAUAUGGAAAGGAAAGAAUAAACUGGAGAUAGCCUUUGUUUUUUCACUAUAAAAAAAUUAUGCUAACUGAUACCACUAUAUCUAUCUCUCUCGCAGCAUAAACAAAAUGAAAACAAUGCGCAAGGAGGGGAAUACUGUUUUUUGUAUCUAAGGCAGUAAAUAUUGCUGCUUAUAUUAGAGUAACGGCAAGAGCUCAAGAUUUUAUUAAUAUUAUUAUUAUUUUCAACACUUGUCAGUUAUAUAUUCUCAAAGAUUAGAAACUCGACUUACAACAGUAGGGGAAAAAUGUUAGUAAAAUAGUGGAAUUUGAGCUAGAUUGCAGUACAGGCUGUGAUCUAAAUGUUAAAACCCAACAGAAAAAUGGCUAUUAAGGACCAGAUUGGUUGACAUUUGAUGUGGCUUCUAAAAUAAUCGACUUCAGCUUUGCUGGAUACAUUAUUAUUUAUGAGAUAAUGAAUGUAACAUCAAACCACUUUUAAAAGAUUUUAUCAAUCGCUUAAGAGAGUCUUUGGUGUAGUGGUUGGUUUGUUGUUUUGAUAAAGUUGAGGACAUGUUUAAGGUUUUAUGAGGACUCAAAAUAUUUUUUUCCCAUAUAUGUGAAAAUAGUAGGAUUUGAUUUCCAAUUUGAAUUUCUCACAGCCAAAUUCACGGAUGAAAGUCGAACAUAAAAUCUCAUUUAACACCAUCUGUCAAUUUGGUUUGGGAUUGUUAUUUUCGAAAUGACUAUAGGUGUCGAAUAAAUUUUAUUAUUGAAAUUAAUAACCUUGAUAGAUAUAAAUUUAAAAUAUAUAUGAAAUUUUUUUAUGUCAAUUUUUAAUUAUAGUUUCUCUAAGAACUAUUUUAAAAAAUGAAGAUACAGUAAAAUCUUUUUAUAGUAAUGAUUUAUUAGGAAUAAUUUUUGUUUAGUCAUCUUAAGAAAUCCGCUUCUACAUAGUAAUAAUUAUUUGUGCAUUACAAAAGUAUAUGUUAUGUUAGAUUAAAUGAACUUGCUUCCACAUAAUACAAUUACACAAUGAGAGAAAAUUAUUAAAGAGAAUGUAAACAUUUAGAGAUUUUUAAGAUGACUUUACAUAUUUCUAACAAUGGUACAUAGAUAAUAGAUAUAUUGGAUUUGACAUGCUCCAUUAGUAAAUUAUUAAUACAGUGUAUAUUUUACCUCUAUAUCUUUGUAAUAAAGAUAACUAAGUUAAAAAAAUAAUUUUUGUAAUUAUACCUCUAUUAAAUUAUAAUCCCCUCAUGGUACCAAAUUAAUCUGGUCUCAAUAUUAUAAAUAUAGAGAGGUUUCGCUAUAAUAUUUUUUAAAUGUAAGGGCAAAAAAGAGUACUAAUAAAAGUUGAGCUAGUUUGUUUUGAAAUAUAUAUAUGUUUUAAGAAAACAACUUAAAACAAUAAAAAGAUGUUUCUCACCGCAAGAAAUAAGUUUUUUAGAAACAGCUAAACAAAUUGUUCUAUAAUUUUUGAAAAUAGAAAACAGAAACUGUGGUAACAUUUAUAUUAUAUAAAAUAGGUCAUUAUUCUUUCAAAAUCCAUAGUUAUCCUGCACACACCGUAAUGUAAGUUGAUACUUGAUCAUCAUCACUUUUCACCUUCACAUGAUCAAUUCUAGAAACCCUAAAAAAUAAAAACUUGUAAUUAUUAAACAAAACAACAAAAAGAACAAGAAGAAGAAACGAAAAAUGUAAAGAGCGUACUUGGAAUUGCUUGGGGGCUACAGAAGUUAGCUUUUGCUGUGAUUGGGAAGACGAGUGAAUGAAUGAUUGAUUGAUUGAUGAAAUCAAAAAGCAAAGCAAAAAGAUCGAAAUGGAAAUUGUAAGUUGAAAUGUUUUUCUAAAGAGAGAGAUUCUAAAAUAACUAAUUGCGUUGGUGCCAGGUAAUAUUCCAAAUUAACCAAUCAAAGAUUCGAAAUGAAUGAUGCCAAUGCAGUUACCAAAUAUACCCCUUAGGAAUAUCCCAAUAUGAUCCUCCAGUAUGCGCGAUGCAGAAGCAAACAAACAAGUUACCUUGCCUCUCUGGUCUUUACUUUCAAGUCUCUCAAUUGAUGACUCGAUUUCCAGAUAAGCAUAAUUUAUAUACAUAUUUUACCCUUUAUUGUAUAUUUGUUAGUUAUUUUUAUUUUUUAUUUUUAAUUAAUUGAAUUAUUUUAUUGAAUAGAGAAUUAAUUGGAGAUUAUGAACAAAAAGUGCAUAAAAAAUCCAUAAGAGGAAAGAACUAAAGAAUUAAAGAUUAUGUUCCAAAGCUUCCGCAUGAGCUUAAGAUAAUUAAAGAAAGAUUUUAUUUAAUUUGGAAUGCAUGUGCGGCAUUAAAGGAAGAAAUCAUUAAUUGGCCUUUUGCUUUGGAAGUCAAACGUGUGGCUAGCUUUCCAAUUUUAAUAAGGAAAUAAUAUACAAAGGAUUUGGCAUGUGAGAGUGAAUAUGGGCUUAAAGGAGGCGGUUUCCUAGCAAUUAUAAUUGGAGAAGAAUUCGGUCAACUAGCAUUAUAAAAGGGGGGAGCCGCCAAAGAGGAGGAAAAAGCAGAGUAUUCGGCAGAUGAGAGAAGAAAAAUAGCAGCAGCAGUUUAAUUCUUCAUGGCUGGAUUUUAUUUUAUUUGUUGUCCCAAUUUAAGUAUGUCUAGUUAAUUUUCUUAUACUGAGGUUAAGGAUGAAAUCCUAUUCAAUGAAAUAAUUAUCUUUUUAUUUAAUUAAUUCCCUACAUGCAUGCUUUGAUGAUUAUGAUUUUUGUUUCACAUAAUUAGUUGGAUGUUAUUAAAAUAUUUUCAUCAAUUCUGUCAUGCAUUAUUGAUUGUUAAGAUUAAUAUUCAAUUAAAUCUAUGCUUGAAUCUAUAAAGUUUAUACAUGAUUAUCUUUCAUUCUAUAUCUUUCAUUAAAGAGUUGGACUAUUGGCGCACCUCUAACUUUCUUGUUAAACCCAUUUUCUCUACAUAUUCUUUUUAAUUCCUAAAAUAACCCUCAUUUGUUGCACUUUCUUAAUAAACCCCUGUGUCGAUACUUUAAAAAAAAAUUGUUAGGCGCUCUCUCUCACCCUUCUCCCAUUCCAACCACUUUCAAUCUCUUCUUGAUUAUAGCAUCAUGAAUUUAUGAUUUUUAUCUAAAUCUGUUUUGUUUUUCCUAGUAGGUAAUAACCUUAGUAGAUACAUAAAGACAUGUGUGCGAAUCUUUAAAAAAAAAAAAUUGGAACUUCACAAAAUUAUCUUUCCUACAAAACCUUUAUUUAUAUUUAGAUCAAAUUCUUAUUCUAUGACAAAUCAUUGUUUUUUCAAAUUUUAUAGAUUUAAUGAGUUUAUAAUGGAGAAAAAAAUAAGAAAACAUAGGUGGGUUUAAUUAGACAAGUGUUAUUUUUAAUAUAAUUUAAAUAUAAAUGACAUAUUUGCAAAUAAAGAACAAGAGGGGUUUCAUAAGAGAUAUAGAGGGGUGCCAAUAGCGUCACUCUUCAUUAAAUUGUUUACACAGAGUGUUUAGGAAAACUUUAACUCUUUAUUAUUCAAUAUGUUUACAUGUGAUUCUUAGAUAUCAUACUAUUAAGUAGAAAAAGAACUUACAUUAAAUUUAAUUACUUAGGCUUAAUUGUUGUAUCCAUGCGAUGACAUAGAUUGAUUUCGAGUUGUCACUUUAAAAUUGGGGAUUAAUUAAUAUUUAGAUAAUUUCUAAUUGAAUAGUGGUGAAUUCUGAAACCUUGGUAAUUUUUGUCUUGUUGAAUUCUGUUUUACUUUAAUUGUUUUCUUAGUUUAAUUAGUUUAAUUUCUCUUAAAAAUUCAAAUUGCUCAACUAGGUUAGGAUUAAUAUUAAUUUUAGAUUUAAAUUAGACUUUUCAAUUUAUAACAAUCCCUGUGGGUUCGACCUCUUUACCACUAUUCUAUUUCUAGAUUCGUGCGCUUGCGAGUAUAUUAAAAUUUUUCACAACACUUCCUACCAAAUACUCAAGUCCAUACGUCAAUUUGUCUUUGAGAAAUACCUUUUUAACUUGGAAAUAUAUUUCAUAUUGAUAAGAAAUAACUAAUAUCAUUUUACUCAAUAUUUUUACUUAUAAAUUUUCAUUUUACUUACCAAUAAUACAUUAAUCUAUCAGUUUUAUGUUAAAUCUAUUUAUUUUACUUUUUAUUUAUAUUUUAUUAUGUUUCAUUUCUAAAAUUUAUAUUAUAUAUUGCACUUAAUGUUGAUUUUAGUAGUUUUAUGUUGUAUUUGUAGGUUUUAUUUUAUUUACUAGUGAUACAUUAAUUUAUCAAUUUUAUAUUAGUUUACUUUUUUUUAUCUUUCAUUUACAAAUCUUAUGUUUUAUUUCCAAAGUUUAUCUUUUGUUUUAUAGUUUACGAUAAUUUACUAGUUUUCAUACUAUAUUUACUAAUAUUCCUUUUAUUUACCAAUAGUACAUCAAUUUACCAUAUUUAUGUUAAUUUACUUAUUUUACCUUUUAUUUACAAGUUUUAUGUACCAUUCCCAAAAUUUAUGCUUUAUGUCCACUUAAAUUGAUUUACUAGCUUUAUACUAUAUUUGUAAGUUUUUGUUUUAUUUACCAAUAAUACAUUAAUCUACUAAUUUUGUAUUGAUUUACUUAUUUUAUCUUUCAUUUAUGUUUUACUUCUUAAUUUUAUGUAUAUUGAUUUAAAAAUUUUAUGUUAAAUUUACGAGUUUUAUGUUUUAUUUAUAUAAUUUAUAUUUAAUUACAAUAUUGAUAUUAUGACUUUAAUCACGACAUUAUAAAAUGACCUGAUAAGAAAAUAACUAAUAUCAUUUUUCUCAAAAGUUUUACUUAUAAAUUUUGGAUUUACGAUAAGCUUUAAAUGUUAAAAAUCUUUUUUAGAAAGUUACUUAAAAAAUCUAUAUAUUAUCUAAAAGAGUUGUACUAAAAUGCGAAAACUCGGCUCGUGCUGGUUCAACUCAAAAUGAAAUAUAUACAUAUACAUAUACAUAUACAUACAUAUAUAUAUAUAUAUGUAUAUCAGAGUUACAGAAUGUUAAUUUUUGUAAAUUGGUUGCAUUUCUCUUAGUACAACCAAGAUCGUGGAGUGUGUGUGUGUCCAAAAGAAUAAAUAAUUUUUAGACAAAUAAAAGCAAUAUUAAAUUGGUACGUGGUGUUGUUUUACCUGAACUAUACGGAACUUAAUCUGCCUUAGGGACCAGAUCUGACUUAGAACAGAUCAAUAUCCCGCAAGUUCGGGUUUUCAGCCAAUAUACUGAGAAAAUUAUACUCAAAGGCUCAUAGAUAGUACUAGAUCUGGAUCCCAGAAAUAGUACUUUGAUUGAAUGGAGGGAGAAGAGAAAUACAACUAAGGGCAGAGAUCCGGUCUCUAUGCCUUAGAGGAUAAGUAACAGUUUACAAAGGAAUUUAAAUAAAUUUUAAAUAAUUUACGAAAUUUAAAAACAUACAUGCUUUAUUAAAAUAUUGAAAUUGAAAUGCUUACAUGAGUUGCUUGAAUCCGAAAGCUUCUAUAAACAGAAAGUGUUUUACAGAAAGGGAUAGAAAGGAAAAUCAGAAGACAGGAAAACUUCCUCUAUGUCUUCAGUUCAUCUUUUCCUUGAGUGAGAGAGAGAGAGAAAUAUAGAGAUCUCCAAGAAGUGCCGAGUCCAAGAAGUGAUGAGUCUCAGUCUUCAUUCACUCCUUUAUACAAAAAUUGAUUUAUAAAAAGAAAAUGCUACAGCUGGUCUUCACAUGUGUUGGUGGAGAGUGGGGUCAACAACAGUAAAAGCAGUAUGAGCUUUUGGAACGUGGGAGACAGCAUUAUUUGAGGCAUCUUCGGCUUUGUAGACUUUUGGAAAUUCUUCACGUGAGUGGGUCCUUGAACUUUGGCAAAUGUCUUCACGAGGAGAGAUGCUUUACGAGGCAAUAGUUAUAUCUUUUGAAAACAUGGCACAUGUGCGGCCACACUUGUGUCUCAAAAGAUGUUUUCAAAAAAUAUUCGUAUCAUUUCUUUAUAGGAUGCUGAUGUUUUCUCGGGCAAUGAAGGCUUUACAAAGAAAUGUUGGAAAAUUACAAAGAAUAUACAAGCGAUAAUUACAGAGAAAAUACAGAAAUGGGAAAAUACUUUUUUUUAUUAUUUACAAUGCUUUAUCGGAGGCAGGAUUCCGAAGCAAUCGUCUUCGUUAUCAUCUCCAAGGGAAAUGAACGGCUCAGCAUCAUCAGAUUCAUCAGAAGAGCUUGCAAUGGAUGGUUCUGAUCUCGAGGCGAGAAGCUGCUGCAUUACUUUAAAAUAUUCCUCUUCAGUCUUUGCACUGGCCAACAGUGAUUGGGCCUUAGAUCUUUGGGCAAGGAAUGUGUUUUGGGCUUUGACAUCUUGAAUGUUUGGUGUGAGGAGGCCUUUUGAGGAAAGCCAAGCCUGAACUGUGGCUUCCGAAAGUUUGGACUUUUUAUCAAACUUAGACCACCAUUUAACUUUAAAGGUUCUUUGUAAAAUAAGUUGGGCUUCUUGAGUGUGGUAAUUGAAAUUCCACAUCCAGACCCAAGGAAGAAAGAAAUUUGUACAAAAGCAGAGAAAAUGAGGAAACCUCUUCUCAGACUCAGAAGGAACAUAAUGGGCUUUAAAAAGGUUUAAACAAUUUAUGGCAUUUGGGGUUAGGAUGUCUGGGCUUGGCCCAAAAUAGUUCCACCAUUGUUGGAACCAAUUUGGAAGGCUUUGAACGGUUAUUUUUUAGUUGAAGAAAAAUAACCAAGAGUGGGCCUUUUUGGGGUUUUGUAUAAAGAAUGUGUUAAACCAGGCCUGUUGAUAGUCACAGUAAGAGAAAAAUAAACAGUGUUUUAAAGUCUUUUGGAAAUUGGCGGGAAAGGUUUUUAGUUUGUGAAGUUUAUCACCCCACUGUUUUGGACUCAAAACUUUAAGAAUGGUAGCCAUGGAAUAGGCUGGCUCAGAAUGAGUUUCACUAAGGAAGAAAUGUUUGAAUUUAACAGACUCAGUGAACUCAAGGAUGCUUUGAUAGAAAGACUGGGGUUUUGACAAAUCUCAUGGUUUGAAAAACCAGCCUUUUGGGAAAAUCUUUGAAAUUGCUUGAAAAGGAUCAGAAUGAUAAAAUCCAUGUUCUAUAGAUAAAAUAUUUUGAUGAUGGGUUUUAUUAAACUAAUCCGAAGAUUUUUGUGAAAGCUUUGAUUGAGAAACAACAAUUUAUGAAGAAGAGCUUUCACAGGAAAUAACUUCUUUAGAAAAAGAAGGCUGUGAAAUUGUUUUGUCUUUCUCAGGAACUUGGGAAAGAGCUUUAUUUUGGGAAAUACUUUGUAAAGCUAACAUAAGUUCAGGGGACUUUGUAAUGGAAUUCAUCCAUUCUUUUACCUGCUCAUUUGAGGCAAUGGCUUUAGACUGUGCUUCCUGAUCUUCGAUCAUAUCAAUCCAUGAUUUUAUAGGCAUGGCAGAAGAAAGUAAUUUGUCUUUAAGGGGGGUUGUCUGAGUUUCUUUAGAGAGUGUUUGUGGUCCAGAGUCUUUAAGAAUGGCUUUGCCUUUGUCUUUCUUUUUGGGCGGCAUUAUCUGUUUUAAAAAAAUUCCCUGGUUAGAAAAUCAGGGAGAGAAUUUGUAUCUCCUUUAAUAAACUCAAUGUCAAAAUCGAAAACACUCAAAAUGGCUUGCCAUCGUGCAAAAAUUUGUUUUGAUGCAAUGUUUUGAACAUCUUUUUCUAAAACAUGUUUUGCAGCCUUGCAAUAAAUUCUAAGUAAAAAUUUUUGAUUUAACAAAUCACUUUGAAAUUUAGAUAUGCAUAAAACGAUAGAUAAAAUUUCUUUUUUGAUGGUAGAAUAAUUUCUUUGACAUUCAUUCCAAUGUGCAGAAACAUACUGUACUAUUUGUUCUUUAUUAUUAUCAAUUUGUUUUAGUAUUCCUCCAUAACCUAAAUCUGAUGCAUCAGUUUCAAGAAUCUUAGGUAAUGCAGGAUUAGCAAGAAAUAAGCAUGGGAUAUCUUUAAUAGAACUUUUUAUGAGCUUAACAAUUUUAGUGUGUUCAUCAGUCCAUGCAACAAGAUUUUUCUUUAAUCUAUCAUGCAAAAGUUUUGAAAUUCUAUUAAUAUUAAGGCAAAAAUCAAGAACAUAAUUUAAACUUCCUAAAAAUCUUUGCAAUUGUGUUUUAUCAAGGAUUUUAUCAGGAAAUUUGUCAGCAAAAACAAGAGAUCGCUCAAUAGGUGUAAUGGUUCCUUUGGAAAUGUAAUGACCAAGGAACUUGAUUCUUGUUUGAAAUAAAGAAACUUUAGAAUUAGAAAUGGCUAAACCAGCUUUCCUAGUGGCAAGAUAGAAAGUCUUUAAAUGUUUGAAAUAUUGGUCAAUUGUUUGAGAAAAGAUUAACACAUCAUCAAUAUAAACAAUACAGAAUUCAGAGAAAGGAUUAUAAAUAUCAUUCAUAAUCCUUUGAAAUUCUGAAGGCGCAUUCUUUAAUCCGAAUGGCAUAACAGUCCAUUCAUACUGUCCAAAAGGAACAGUAAAUGCAGUUUUAUAACGGUCUUUUGGAUGGAUUUGAAUUUGCCAAAAUCCAGAUUUCAUAUCAAAUUUUGAAAAGAUGAAAGCAGAAUGAAGUUUUUGAAGCAAAUCCUUUUUAUUAAGUAUGGGAUACCUAAUCCAUUUUAAUGCUUUAUUAAGGGGUUUGUAAUUAAUGACUAAUCUGGGUGUCCCUCUUUCUAUCUCAGAAUUUUUAUUGACAAAGAAAGCAGCACAAGACCAAGGAGACCUAGACUUGACUAUGAGGCCUUUAGAAACUAAAUCUUUUAUCUCAUCUCUGCAAUGUUGUUCUAAUUCCAUGUUCAUUUGGAUUGGACGAGCUUUGGUAGGUGUUGAUGCGAGAUUCCGGUUCUCCUCGUUCUACGACCAGGAUCUCUGCUCGAUCAACUUCAUUACGACCAGGGGGUCUCCUCGCAAGGCUUCUUCUCCAGAGGUUCCUGCGCACACACACAGGUCAGAGUACGACAGGCUUUGAGACUUUGUCGAGCCUUUGCAUGCCUUGGAUUCUUCGAGGAUUGGGAUUCUGCUCGCCUUCUCGUGGCCGAGCAGAUCCUGGCAUGCUUGGCUUCUGUCUCGCCAUAAGACAGGCAUUGAGACUUUGUCGAGCCUUUGCAUGCCUUUGAUUCUUCGAGGAUUGGGAUUCUGCUCGCCUUCUCGUGGCCGAGAAAAUCCCGGCAUGCUUGGCUUCUGUCUCGCCAUAACGCAGGCUUUGAGACUUUGUCGAGCCUUUGCGUGCCUUGGAUUCUUCGAGGAUUGGGAUUCUGCUCGCCUUCACGUGGCCGAGCAGAUCCUGGCAUGCUUGGCUUCUGUCUCGCCAUAAGACAGGCUUUGAGACUUUGUUGAGCCUUUGCAUGCCUUUGAUUCUAAAUGGAUUGGGAUUCUGCUCGCCUUCUCGUGGCCGAGCAGAUCCUGGCAUGCUUGGCUUCUGUCUCGCCAUAAGACAAGCUUUGAGACUUUGUCGAGCCUUUGCGUGCCUUCGAUUCUUCGAGGAUUGGGAUUCUGCUCGCCUUCUCGUGGCCGAGCAGAUCCUGGCACGCUUGGCUUCUGUCUCGCCAUAAGACAGGCUUUGAGACUUUGAUGAGCCUUUGAAUGCCUUUGAUUCUUCCAGGAUUAGGAUGCUGCUCGCCUUCUCGUGGCCGAGCAUAUCCUGGCAUGCUUGGCUUCUGUCUCGCCAUAAGACAGGCUUUGAGACUUUGUUGAGCCUUUGCAUGCCUUGGGAAUUUCUUCGAAUGCUUUGGAGUCUGCUCGCCUUCUCGUGGUCGAGCAGAUCCUGCCAUGCCUGGCUUCUGUCUCGCCAUAAGACAGGCUUUGAGACUUUGUUGAGCCUUUGCAUGCCUUGGAUUCUUCAAGGAUUGGGAUUCUGCUCGCCUUCUCGUGGCCGAGCAGAUCCUGGCAUGCUUGGCUUCUGUCUCGCCAUAACACAGGCUUUGAGACUUUGUUGAGCGUUUGCAUGCCUUUGAUUAUUCGAGGAUUGGGAUUCUGCUCGCCUUCUCGUGGCCGAGCAGGUCCCGGCAUGCUUGGCUUCUGUCUCGCCAGAAGACAGGCUUUGAGACUUUGUCGAGCCUUUGCAUGCCUUGGAUUCUUCGAGGAUUGCGAUUCUGCUCGCCUUCUCGUGGCCGAGCAGAUCCUGGCAUGCUUGGCUUCUGUCUCGCCAUAAGACAGGCUUUGAGACUUUGUUGAGCCUUUGCAUGCCUUGGGAAUUUCUUCGAAUGCUUUGGAGUCUGCUCGCCUUCUCAUGGCCGAGCAGAUCCUGGCAUGCUUGGCUUCUGUCUCGCCAUAAGACAGGCUUUGAGACUUUGUUGAGCCUUUGCAUGCCUUUGAUGAUUUCUUCAAAGCUUGGGAUUCUGCUAGCCUCCUCAUAGCCGAGCAGAUCCUGGCAUGCUUGGCUUCCGUCUCGCCAUAAGACAGGCUUUGAGACUUUGUUGAGCCUUUGCAUGCCUUGGAUUCUUCGAGGAUUGGGAUUCUGCUCGCCUUCUCGUGGCCGAGCAGAUCCUGGCAUGCUUGGCUUCUGACUCGCCAUAAGACAGGCUUUGAGACUUUGAUGAGCCUUUACAUGCCUUUGAUUCUUCAAGGAUUGGGAUGCUGCUCGCCUUCUCGUGGCCGAGCAGAUCCUGGCAUUCUUGGCUUCUGUCUCGCUAUAAGACAGGCUUUGAGACUUUGUUGAGCCUUUGCAUGCCUUUGAUGAUUUCUUCAAAGCUUGGGAUUCUGCUAGCCUCCUCAUAGCCGAGCAGAUCCUGGCAUGCUUGGCUUCUGUCUCGCCAUAAGACAGGCUUUGAGACUUUGUUGAGCCUUUGCAUGCCUUGGAUUCUUCGAGGAUUGGGAUUCUGCUCGCCUUCUCGUGGCCGAGCAGAUCCUGGCAUGCUUGGCUUCUGACUCCCCAUAAGACAGGCUUUGAGACUUUGAUGAGCCUUUGCAUGCCUUUAAUUCUUCAAGGAUUGGGAUGCUGCUCGCCUUCUCGUGGCCGAGCAGAUCCUGGCAUGCUUAGCUUCUGUCUCGCCAUAAGACAGGCUUUGAGACUUUGAUGAGCCUUUGCAUGCCUUGGGAAUUUCUUCGAAUGCUUUGGAGUCUGCUCGCCUUCUCGUGGCCGAGCAGAUACUGGCAUGCUUGGCUUCUGUCUCGCCAUAAGACAGGCUUUGAGACUUUGUUGAGCCUUUGCAUGCCUUUGAUUCUUCGAGGAAUGGGAUUCUGCUCGCCUUCUCGUGCCCGAGCAGAUCCUGGCAUGCUUGGCUUCUGUCUCGCCAUAAGACAAGCUUUGAGACUUUGUCGAGCCUUUGCGUGCCUUUGAUUCUUCGAGGAUUGGGAUUCUGCUCGCCUUCUCGUGGCCGAGCAGAUCCUGGCACGCUUGGCUUCUGUCUCGCCAUAAGACAGGCUUUGAGACUUUGAUGAGCCUUUGAAUGCCUUUGAUUCUUCCAGGAUUGGGAUGCUGCUCGCCUUCUCGUGGCCGAGCAUAUCCUGGCAUGCUUGGCUUCUGUCUCGCCAUAAGACAGGCUUUGAGACUUUGUUGAGCCUUUGCAUGCCUUGGGAAUUUCUUCGAAUGCUUUGGAGUCUGCUCGCCUUCUCGUGGUCUAGCAGACCCUGGCAUGCUUGGCUUCUGUCUCGCCAUAAGACAUGCUUUGAGACUUGGUGAGCCUUUGCAUGCCUCAGGAAUUUCUUCGAAUGCUUUGGAGUCUGCUCGCCUUCUCGUGGUCGAGCAGAUCCUGGCAUGCUUGGCUUCUGUCUCGCCAUAAUACAGGCUUUAAGACUUUGUUGAGCCUUUGCAUGCCUUGGAUUCUUCGAGGAUUGGGAUUCUGCUCGCCUUCUCGUGGUCGAGCAGACCCUGGCAUGCUUGGCUUCUGUCUCGCCAUAAGACAUGCUUUGAGACUUGGUGAGCCUUUGCAUGCCUCAGGAAUUUCUUCGAAUGCUUUGGAGUCUGCUCGCCUUCUCGUGGUCGAGCAGAUCCUGGCAUGCUUGGCUUCUGUCUCGCCAUAAGACAGGCUUUGAGACUUUGUUGAGCCUUUGCAUGCCUUGGAUUCUUCGAGGAUUGGGAUUCUGCUCGCCUUCUCGUGGCCGAGCAGAUCCUGGCAUGCUUGGCUUCUGUCUCGCCAUAAGAUAGGCUUUGAGACUUUGAUGAGCCUUUGCAUGCCUUGGGAAUUUCUUCGAAUGCUUUGGAGUCUGCUCGCCUUCUCAUGGUCGAGCAGAUCCUGGCAUGCUUGGCUUCUGUCUCGCCAUAAGACAGGCUUUGAGACUUUGUUGAGCCUUUGCAUGCCUUUGAUUCUUCGCGGAUUGGGAUUCUGCUCGCCUUCUCGUGGCCGGGCAGAUCCUGGCAUGCUUGGCUUCUGUCUCGCCAUAAGACAGGCUUUGAGACUUGAUGAGCAUUUGCAUGCCUUAUUAGUAAACCUUGAUUGGCUUCUCAACGCUAGCCUAGCUCUCUUUUCUUAAAUUAUUCUUACAUUGAGCACAAUCAAUUUAAUGAAUAUCAGAUAUCCUUAUCUCACAUAGCAGAAUUUAGAGAAAUAAUUAAAUUUUCAUAGAAAAAACUGCUUUUAAAUCAAAAUAUAACUUCUGACCUGUUCCGAUUCCUACAGAUGUGUGCCUUCGAUGUGCUCUUAUUUGAGGUUUUUUCUUGAAAUCCUUAAAUAUGGAUUUGCUCUGCAAAUUGAUCAACUGGGAUUGUGCUCUGGGUUUAGAUCUUGGCUCCUGGGCAGCAUUCUCUCAAGCACAUAUGUAGUAUAUGUAGUGUAAUCAGCAACAAACUCACUUUUGAACUUUCAUAUCCCUUGAGACGAUUUAACGAACAGCUCCUGAUUGAAUUUUAACAAUUCUGCCUCAACUUGUAAUGAACCGAGUUUCAUACCAGAAUUGUCUAAAUACUUUCCUUUAUAUCUUUACAGGUAAGCAUUCCAUCCAGCCUUGAUUGGUUUCCGUGUUUGAGCCAGCUUAUCAAUCGGUGCAUGAUAAUAUUCUGCCUUUGGCUUAGCCAGAUGAAAAAUCGGUGGAGACAAGAAGUUGGCUUUUGUACCGAGUCCCCACAGACGGCGCCAAAAUGUUGAUGCGAGAUUCUGGUUGUCCUCGUUUUACGACCAGGGUCUCUGCUCGAUCAACUUCACCUCGACCAGGAUCUCUCCUCGUAAAGCUUCUUCUCCAGAGGUUCCCUUUUGUUGAUGCGAGAUUCCGGUUCUCCUCGUUCUACGACUAGGAUCUCUGCUCGAUCAACUUCAUCACGACCAGGGGGUCUCCUCGCAAGGCUUCUUCUCCAGAGGUUUCUGCGCACACAGACAGGUCAGAGUACGCCGAUUGUUUUCCCGGCGCAAACCCUCCGACACUCAAGUCAGAUAUGAAGUGUUGAUGCGAGAUUCUGGUUGUCCUCGUUUUACGACCAAGGUCUCUGCUCGAUCAACUUCACCUCGACCAGGAUCUCUCCUCGUAAAGCUUCUUCUCCAGAGGUUCCCUUUUGUUUAUGCGAGAUUCCGGUUCUCCUCGUUCUACGACCAGGAUCUCUGCUCGAUCAACUUCAUCACGACCAGGGGGUCUCCUCGUAAGGCUUCUUCUCCAGUGGUUCCUGCGCACACAGACAGGUCAGAGUACGCCGGUUGUUUUCCCGGCGCAAACCCUCCGACGCUCAAGUCAGAUAUGAAGGUUCGGGGAACGCUUGCCACAAAUCUUAUGGCUGUUAGGUUGUUUUCUCUCUUUUAGAAUUUCUUUUCUAAUCUCAAAAAUGCUAACCCCUUUACCUUCGUUGGCUACCUUUUUAUAGGCUUCCUCUGAAUCCCAGUUUUUCGCUUUUUUCGAGACGGUAUGGGACUCUGACUGCUGCGUUAUGGGCAAGCGUGGGAUCUUGCGUGUUACGCCACGGUUCUGGGGAAAGCGUGGCUGUCGUGCCUAGAUUCUCGGGCUGGAGAACGUGUCUUGCCAACUGCCGUCGACCGGGUCCCCUCGCCUCUCGACCUCUAGCCGGAAUGGCCUUAUGCCUCUUACAGGAAAUUUGCCUCGCGGAUGACGUGCUCGUGGACGAGCAGGAUAUUUCUGCUCCUGUUCCCCCGCGCACCAGGCUUUUACGGAACACACCGGUUCGCAGAACUCUGCCAUCAGAUAUCUGCUCACCAUGCCUGGUCUCGUCGACGUAUUUCUCCCAAACACCGGUCCCCCAGUUUCUGGUGUUGGGUAAUGUAGUAGACCAGCAGUAGAAACGCGUUAGUACUCGCUCGCGUGGGAUUGGAAAAGGCUGCCAAGAAUCACGUCGCAUUUAAUUGCGGACGAGGUGACGUGGCAGAAAUCCCCCUCUCCAUUUGAAUUUCAAACCGACGGUUAUGAGACCCUCGGGAUUCGGCGCUGUUAAAUGCUGGCAACCCUAGAGUCCGUCCUCAUUAGGAAAACCAAAUCCUCUCUGUUAAUUAUUAACAAAUUAAUAAAAAUAUUUUUUGAUUACUUUCUUGUGUUGUAAUUAUGAAUUAAUUUUCGUUUGAGAAUCUGCUUGUCUUUGUCUAGACGAGCAGGUUCCGGCUUUGCUCAUGGUUUUGCCACAUGCCUUUGAAGAUUCUUCAAUGCCUGGGAUUCGGCUCGCCUUCGCGCGGUCGAGCAGAUCCUGGCACGCUUGGCAUCUGUCUCGGCAUAAAACAGGCUUUGAGACUUGGUGAGCCAUCGCAUGCCUCAGGAAUUUCUUCGAAUGCUUUGGAGUCUGCUCGCCUUCUCGUGGUCGAGCAGAUCCUGGCAUGCUUGGCUUCUGUCUCGCCAUAAAACAGGCUUUGAGACUUUGUCGAGCCUUUGUAUGCCUUGGAUUCUUCGAGAAUUGGGAUUCUGCUAACCUUCUCGUGGCCGAGCAGAUCCUGGCAUGCUUGGCUUUUGUUUCGCCAUAAGACAGGCUUUGAGACUUUGUCGAGCCUUUGCAUGCCUUUGAUUCUUCGAGGAUUGGGAUUCUGCUCGCCUUCUCGUGGCCGAGCAGAUCCUGGCAUGCUUGGCUUCUGUCUCGCCAUAAGACAGGCUUUGAGACUUUGUUGAGCCUUUGCAUGCCUUUGAUUCUUCGAGGAUUGGGAUUCUGCUCGCCUUCUCGAGGCCGAGCAGAUCCUGGCAUGCUUUGGCUUCUGUCUCGCCAUAAGACAAGCUUUGAGACUUUGUCGAGCCUUUGCGUGCCUUUGAUUCUUCGAGGAUUGGGAUUCUGCUCGCCUUCUCGUGGCCGAGCAGAUCCUGGCACGCUUGGUUUCUGUCUCGCCAUAAGACAGGCUUUGAGACUUUGAUGAGCCUUUGCAUGCCUUUGAUUCUUCAAGGAUUGGGAUGCUGCUCGCCUUCUCGUGGCCGAGCAAAUCCUGGCAUGCUUGGCUUCUGUCUCGCCAUAAGACAGGCUUUGAGACUUUGUUGAGCCUUUGCAUGCCUUGGGAAUUUCUUCGAAUGCUUUGGAGUCUGCUCGCCUUCUCGUGGUCGAGCAGAUCCUGGCAUGCUUUGCUUCUGUCUCGCCAUAAGACAGGCUUUGAGACUUUGUUGAGCCUUUGCAUGCCUUGGAUUCUUCGAGGAUUGGGAUUCUGCUCGCCUUCUCGUGGCCGAGCAGAUCCUGGCAUGCUUGGCUUCUGUCUCGCCAUAAGACAGGCUUUGAGACUUUAUUGAGCGUUUGAAUGCCUUUGAUUAUUCGAGGAUUGGGAUUCUGCUCGCCUUCUCGUGGCCGAGUAGGUCCCGGCAUGCUUGGCUUCUGUCUCGCCAUAAGACAGGCUUUGAGACUUUGUCGAACCUUUGCAUGCCUUUGAUUCUUCGAGGAUUGGGAUUCUGCUCCCCUUCUCAUGGCCGAGCAGAUCCCGGCAUGCUUGGCUUCUGUCUCGCCAUAAGACAGGCUCUGAGACUUUGUCGAGCCUUUGCAUGCCUUAGAUUCUUCGAGGAUUGGGAUUCUGCUCGCCUUCUCGUGGCCGAGCAGAUCCUGGCAUGCUUGGCUUCUGUCUCGCCAUAAGACAGGCUUUGAGACUUUGAUGAGCCUUUGCAUGCCUUGGGAAUUUCUUCGAAUGCUUUGGAGUCUGCUCGCCUUCUCGUGGUCGAGCAGAUCCUGGCUUGCUUGGGUUCUGUCUCGCCAUAAGACAGGCUUUGAGACAUUGUCGAGCCUUUGCAUGCCUUGGAUUCUUCGAGGACUGGGAUUCUUCUCGCCUACUCGUGGCCGAGCAGAUCCUGGCAUGCUUGGCUUCUGUCUCGCCAUAAGACAGGCUUUGAGACUUUGUCGAGCCUUUGCAUGCCUUUGAUUCUUCGAGGAUUGGGAUUCUGCUCGCCUUCUCGUGGCCGAGCAGAUCCCGGCAUGCUUGGCUUCUGUCUCGCCAUAAGACAGGCUUUGAGACUUUGUCGAGCCUUUGCAUGCCUUGGAUUCUUCGAGGAUUGGGAUUCUGCUCGCCUUCUCGUGGCCGAGCAGAUCCUGGCAUGCUUGGCUUCUGUCUCGCCAUAAGACAGGCUUUGAGACUUUGUUGAGCCUUUGCAGGCCUUGGGAAUUUCUUCGAAUGCUUUGGAGUCUUCUCGCCUUCUCGUGGUCAAGCAGAUCCUGGCAUGCUUGGCUUUUGUCUCGCCAUAAGACAGGCUUUGAGACUUUGUUGAGCCUUUGCAUGCCGUGGAUUCUUCGAGGAUUGGGAUUCUGCUCGCCUUCUCGUAGCCGAGCAGAUCCCGGCAUGCAUGGCUUCUGUCUCGCCAUAAGACAGGCUUUGAGACUUUGUCGAGCCUUUGCAUGCCUUGGAUUCUUCAAGGAUUGGAAUUCUGCUCGCCUUCUCGUGGCCGAGCAGAUCUCGGCAUGCUUGGCUUCUGUCUCGCCAUAAGACAGGCUUUGAGACUUUGUCGAGCCUUUGCAUGCCUUUGAUUCUUCGAGGAAUUGGAUUCUGCUCGCCUUCUCGGGGCCGAGCAGAUCCCGGCAUGCUUGGCUUCUGUCUCGCCAUAAGACAGGCUUUGAGACUUUGAUGAGCUUUUGCAUGCCUUUGAUUCUUCAAGGAAUGGGAUGCUGCUCGCCUUCUUGUGGCCGAGCAGAUCCUGGCAUGCUUGGCUUCUGUCUCGCCAUAAGACAGGCUUUGAGACUUUGUUGAGCCUUUCCAUGCCUUUGAUGGAUUCUUCGAGGAUUGGGAUUCUGCUCGCCUUCUCGUGGCCGAGCAAAUCCUGGCAUGCUUGGCUUCUGUCUCGCCAUAAGACAGGCUUUGAGACUUUGAUGAGCCUUUGCAUGCCUUUGAUUCUUCGAGGAUUUGGAUUCUGCUCGCCUUCUCGUGGCCGAGCAGAUCCCGGCAUGCUUGGCUUCUGUCUCGCCAUAAGACAGGCUUUGAGACUUUGUCGAGCCUUUGCAUGUCUUGGAUUCUUCGAGGAUUGGGAUUCUGCUCGCCUUCUCGUGGCCGAGCAAAUCCUGGCAUGCUUGGCUUCUGUCUCGCCAUAAGACAGGCUUUGAGACUUUGAUGAGCCUUUGCAUACCUUUGAUUCUUCCAGGAUUGGGAUGCUGCUCGACUUCUCGUGGCUGAGCAGAUCCUGGCAUGCUUGGCUUCUGUCUCGCCAUAAGACAGGCUUUGAGACUUUGAUGAGCCUUUGCAUGCCUUGCGAAUUUCUUCGAAUGCUUUGGAGUCUGCUCGCCUUCUCGUGGUCGAGCAGACCCUGCCAUGCUUGGUUUCUGUCUCGCCAUUAGACAGGCUUUGAGACUUUGUCGAGCCUUUGCAUGCCUUUGAUUCUUCGAGGAUUGGGAUUCUGCUCGCCUUCUUGUGGCCGAGCAGAUCCUGGCUUGCUUGGCUUCUGUCUCGCCAUAAGACAGGCUUUGAGACUUUGUUGAGCCUUUGCAUGCCUUGGGAAUUUCUUCGAAUGCUUUGGAGUCUGCUCGCCUUCUCGUGGUCGAGCAGAUCCUGGCAUGCUUGGCUUCUGUCUCGCCAUAAGACAGGCUUUGAGACUUUGUCGAGCCUUUACAUGCCUUAGAUUCUUCAAGGAUUGGGAUUCUGCUCGCCUUCUCGUGGCCGAGCAGAUCCUGGCAUGCUUCGCUUCUGUCUCGCCAUAAGACAGGCUUUGAGACUUUGUCGAGCCUUUGCAUGUCUUGGAUUCUUCGAGGAUUGGGAUUCUGCUCGCCUUCUCGUGGCCGAGCAAAUCCUGGCAUGCUUGGCUUCUGUCUCGCCAUAAGACAUGCUUUGAGACUUUGUCGAGCCUUUGCAUGCCUUGGAUUCUUCGAGGAUUGGGAUUCUGCUCGCCUUCUCGUGGCCGAGCAGAUCCUGGCAUGCUUGGCUUCUGUCUCGCCAUAAGACAGGCUUUGAGACUUUGUUGAGCCUUUGCAUGCCUUUGAUUAUUCGAGGAUUGGGAUUCUGCUCGCCUUCUCGUGGCCGAGCAGUUCCCGGCAUGCUUGACUUCUGUCUCGCCAUAAGACAGGCUUUGAGACUUUGUCGAGCCUUUGCAUGCCUUGGUUUCUUCGAGGAUUGGGAUUCUGCUCGCCUUCUCAUGGCCGAGCAGAUCCUGGCAUGCUUGGCUUCUGUCUCGCCAUAAGACAAGCUUUGAGACUUUGAUGAGCCUUUGCAUGCCUUUGAUUCUUCAAGGAAUGGGAUGCUGCUCGCCUUCUCGUGGCCGAGCAGAUCCUGGCAUGCUUGGCUUCUGUCUCGCCAUAAGACAGGCUUUGAGACUUUGUUGAGCCUUUGCAUGCCUUUGAUGAUUUCUUCAAAGCUUGGGAUUCUGCUAGCCUCCUCGUGGCCGUGCAGAUCCUGGCAUGCUUGGCUUCUGUCUCGCCAUAAGACAGGCUUUGAGACUUUGUUGAGCCUUUGCAUGCCUUGGAUUCUUCGAGGAUUGGGAUUCUGCUAGCCUCCUCGUGGCCGUGCAGAUCCUGGCAUGCUUGGCUUCUGUCUCGCCAUAAGACAGGCUUUGAGACUUUGUUGAGCCUUUGCAUGCCUUUGAUUCUUCAAGGAUUGGGAUACUGCUCGCCUUCUCGUGGCCGAGCAGAUCCUGGCAUGAUUGGCUUCUGUCUCGCCAUAAGACAGGUUUUGAGACUUUGAUGAGCUUUUGCAGGCCUUGUGAAUUUCUUCGAAUGCUUUGGAGUCUGCUCGCCUUCUCGUGGUCGAGCAGACCCUGGCAUGCUUGGCUUCUGUCUCGCCAUAAGACAUGCUUUGAGACUUGGUGAGCCUUUGCAUGCCUCAGGAAUUUCUUCGAAUGCUUUGGAGUCUGCUCGCCUUCUCGUGGUCGAGCAGAUCCUGGCAUGCUUGGCUUCUAUCUCGCCAUAAGACAGGCUUUGAGACUUUGUCGAGCCUUUGCAUGCCUUCGAUUCUUCGAGGAUUGGGAUUCUGCUCGCCUUCUCGUGGCCGAGCAGAUCCUGGCAUGCUUGGCUUCUGUCUCGCCAUAAGACAGGCUUUGAGACUUUGUCGAGCCUUUGCAUGCCAUGGAUUCUUCGAGGAUUGGGAUUCUGCUCGCCUUCUCGUGGCCGAGCAGAUCCUGGCAUGCUUGGCUUCUGUCUCGCCAUAAGACAGGCUUUGAGACUUUGAUGAGCCUUUGCUUGCCUUGGGAAUUUCUUCGAAUGCUUUGGAGUCUGCUCACCUUCUCGUGGUCGAGCAGAUCCUGGCAUGCUUGGCUUCUGUCUCGCCAUAAGACAGGCUUUGAGACUUUGUUGAGCCUUUGCAUUCCUUUGAUUCUUCGCGGAUUGGGAUUCUGCUCUCCUUCUCGUGGCCGAGCAGAUCCUGGCAUGCUUGGCUUCUGUCUCGCCAUAAGACAAGCUUUGAGACUUUGUCGAGCCUUUGCAUGCCUUGGGUUCUUCGAGCAUUGGGAUUCUGCUCGCCUUCUCGUGGCCGAGCAGAUCCUGGCAUGCUUGGCUUCUGUCUCGCAAUAAGACAGGCUUUGAGACUUUGAUGAGCCUUUGCAUGCCUUUGAUUCUUCCAGGAUUGGGAUGCUGCUCUCCUUCUCGUGGGCGAGCAGAUCCUGGCAUGCUUGGCUUCUGUCUCGCCAUAAGACAGGCUUUGAGACUUUAUGAGCCUUUGCAUGCCUUAUUAGUAAACCUUGAUUGGCUUCUCAACGCUAGCCUAACUCUCUUUUCUUAAAUUAUUCUCAUAUUGAGCACAAUCAAUUUAAUGAAUAUCAGAUAUCCUUAUCUCACAUAGCAGAAUUUAGAGAAAUAAUUAAAUUUUCAUAGAAAAAACUGCUAUUAAAUCAAAAUAUAACUUCUGACCUGUUCCGAUUCCUACAGAUGUGUGACCUUUGCAUGCCUUAUUAGUAAACCUUGAUUGGCUUCUCAACGCUAGCCUAGCUCUCUUUUCUUAAAUUAUUCUCAUAUUGAGCACAAUCAAUUUAAUGAAUAUCAGAUAUCCUUAUCUCACAUAGCAGAAUUUAGAGAAAUAAUUAAAUUUUCAUAGAAAAAACUGCUUUUAAAUCAAAAUAUAACUUCUGACCUGUUCCGAUUCCUACAGAUGUGUGCCUUCGAUGUGCUCUUAUUUGAGGUUUUUUCUUGAAAUCCUUAAAUAUGGAUUUGCUCUGCAAAUUGAUCAACUGGGAUUGUGCUCUGGGUUUAGAUCUUGGCUCCUGGGCAGCAUUCUCUCAAGCACAUAUGUAGUAUAUGUAGUGUAAUCAGCAACAAACUCACUUUUGAACUUUCAUAUCCCUUGAGACGAUUUAACGAACAGCUCCUGAUUGAAUUUUAACAAUUCUGCCUCAACUUGUAAUGAACCGAGUUUCAUACCAGAAUUGUCUAAAUACUUUCCUUUAUAUCUUUACAGGUAAGCAUUUCAUCCAGCCUUGAUUGGUUUCCGUGUUUGAGCCAGCUUAUCAAUCGGUGCAUGAUAAUAUUCUGCCUUUGGCUUGGCCAGAUGAAAAAUCGGUAGAGACAAGAAGUUGGCUUUUGUACCGAGUCCCCACAGACGGCGCCAAAAUGUUGAUGCGAGAUUUUGGUUGUCCUCGUUUUACGACCAGGGUCUCUGCUCGAUCAACUUCACCUCGACCAGGACCUCUCCUCGUAAAGCUUCUUCUCCAGAGGUUCCCUUUUGUUGAUGCGAGAUUCCGGUUCUCCUCGUUCUACGACCAGGAUCUCUGCUCGAUCAACUUCAUCACGACCAGGGGGUCUCCUCGCAAGGCUUCUUCUCCAGAGGUUUCUGCGCACACAGACAGGUCAGAGUACGCCGGUUAUUUUCCCGGCGCAAACCCUCCGACGCUCAAGUCAGAUAUGAAGGUUCGGGGAACGCUUGCCACAAAUCUUAUGGCUGUUAGGUUCUUUUCUCUCUUUUAGAAUUUCUUUUCUAAUCUCAAAAAUGCUAACCCCUUUACCUUCGUUGGCUACCUUUUUAUAGGCUUCCUCUGAAUCCCAGUUUUCCGCUUUUUUCGAGACGGUAUAGGACUCUGACUGCUGCGUUAUGGGCAAGUGUGGGAUCUUGCGUGUUACGCCACGGUUCUGGGGAAAGCGUGGCUGUCGUGCCUAGAUUCUCGGGCUGGAGAGCGUGUCUUGCCAACUGCCGUCGACCGGGUCUCCUCGCCUCUCGACCUCUAGCCGGAAUGGCCUUAUGCCUCUUACAGGAAAUUUGCCUCGCGGAUGACGUGCUCGUGGACGAGCAGGAUAUUUCUGCUCCUGUUCCCCCGCGCACCAGGCUUUUACGGAACACACCGGUUCGCAGAACUCUGCCAUCAGAUAUCUGCUCACCAUGCCUGGUCUCGUCGACGUAUUUCUCCCAAACAGUAGGUAUUUGCUUUUCAUCAAAAGAAUUUUCAUAAGGCAAAUCAACUAAAUGUUGUUUUCUGUUCCAAAAAGCAGAUGGUAGAUCCGCGCAUAUUUCUUUUUCAAUGAGGUCUUUAAAAUCAGAGAUUUUUCUUUUUACAAAUUCAUUUUGUAAUUGGUUUUCAAUUCUUUGUAAACUCAAAUCCUUUUUUAAACAAAUCAUAUCAUUUUGUUUUGAUUUGAAGAGUGUAUUGAUUUGGUUCUGGUAAACAGAACAAGCUUUAACUAUAUUCAAAUUUCUUGUUUUAAGUUUCUCAAUAAAAGGAAAAACAAGUUUUUUGGUUUUUGCUUUAAAGGAUAUACUAUCAUAGUUGACAGUAUAAGGAGUAAUGAGAUUUAUAAAGGGGGUUCCUAAAAUGACAGUAUGGUGUAUGUCAUUUGUAAGAAUGAAUGAAGUCUUGAAUUCAAAAUUAUUGUUAUGAAUAGAGGCUUCAACUUUAGAUUUAACAUUAAGUUUUGAAUUAUUAGCGGCAGAAAGUCUUUCAUUCGUUUGUUCAUGAAACCUUCUAGGGACAAUAUCUUCUUUUAUGCAAUUUAAAUCAACACCAGUGUCAAAAAGGGCAAUGGUGUCAAUUUCAAAAUCUUUGAAAAAAAUCAAGGUAAUUUUAAUCAAAUACUUUCUCGUGGUGAUUUGCUUUAAAACAAACAGAAAAUCAUUGGGUAUAGAUUCAAUGUUUUCUAGGCUUUGUUCUUCAUUAUCACCAUCAUUUGAUUCUUUAUCAGAAUUAUCUUGUAAUUGUUUUUGUAAGAAGAGUUGGAUGGUUUCAGAAUCAUUCUUUUGUUUUUCUUUUAAUUCCUUUAUCUCAAGUUUGAUUUCUUUAAUCUCUCUUUGAAGGUCUUGGAUAUUGGGAACUGUUUUCUUUGUUUUCUUUUUUUCCAAGAUAUCAGUUAGGUCAUAAGUAUUCUUUUUAAUGGUAGGGGCUUUAGAAGUUUCUAUUUUAUCUCUUAAUUUUAAGGUUUUUAAAAGCUUAUCUAGAUACUCUUUUUGAAGAGUAGGGUCAGAAAUGUGUUUAACUAGCUCAAGGAAAGUUUCUUGUUCUUUGGUUAACAUAUUGAGUUUUUUUGUUUUUAAAUAGGAUUCUGUGUCAGAAUCACUAUCACUAGAUACAGAUGUGUCUGAGUUAAUUAACUCAUCAACCUGUAGAGGCUCACUAUUUCCUGACAUGGAAAACUCAGAGUCAGAGGACUCUACAAGCAAAGAGGCCACUUUAGAGAAAAUCUCUUCACCUAGGUCAAGUUCAUGGAGCUUUCUGCUCAUUCUACAGAAUUUUGCUAUGGUAUCUUUCUUUUUAGUGAAAUUAGGUUUCCUAUAAGGCUUCGAUGGUUUUCUAUAGGAAGGUUCUCUAAACUCGUGGAAAGGCUUCCUAUGGCUUUUAGACUUGUAAUGUUUCUUGUAAGGUUUCGAAGAACACUUACCAUUACAAUCUCUAGAAGUGGAGGCUUUAAAAGGGUCAUAGUUAAACUGUUUACAGAAACUACCUAGUUCUUGCUUAGACUGUCUAAGCUCCCAUUUUAAUCGUUUCUGUAAUUUCAAGUCCUGACAAAUCUUUAAUCCUUCUUUGUUUAUGAAACUGACAAGUUCACCGUAGGUGAGCUCAUCGUAGGGAAUACGGUUGUCAUAAAGGGCUUUAAUAGAAUUUCUAACCUUUUCUCCUAAUAGAAUAGGUAAACCUGCAAGGAAUUUUUCCUUCCAAGUUAUAUGAUUUGCAUCAUCCCUAAGGAAAAGUCUGGUAAAUAAUGUAGUUUUGUAGCUUUGGAAUUCACUAAGCUUCCUACAUCUCAGGUUGUGUAGUAACUCAGCGUUCUUGUCCCUAAGGUGUGAAAGAUAACCUAUGAAAUGAAGGGAUAUAGUCAGAAUCAGGGUAGCAACAGCAUCCUGAAUAGGACUAUUAAAUUCAUCACAGAUGGGUGCUCUAUUUUCAUCUGUCUGAAUGGCAUGAUGAAUGUCUAAUUGUUGUUGUUUGGUGAGAAGAUGAUCCCACCAACCUUUUAGUUGACCAGUAAAACCAGCAAUGAGAAUUUCUGCAAUGGCUUUGUCAGAAGUUCCCGACUGAGUUUUAUAAGCAUUAGCUGCCAUGGUCAUCUAUUGCAACAGUCCUAAGAUGCUGUAUUCAGACAUACCAUCAAUGUUCCACUCAUAAACAGAGGAUGCAUUAAAGCGAGAUUGGUUUAAUGCACUAGGUCUGUUGUCUAUGGCUAAGUCAGGUGGAGACUUGACGGUAGGAAGGGCUAAUUCCCAAUGAAUUUUAUUGGCUUUAGGAACAGGUUCUUCUUUAAAAGCUUCUAUAUCAGAAGAGGCUAUAGACAUAUUGUCUUAUUCUAGUACACCAAUUUUACUAGAUUGGGCAAUAUCAGGAGCUAUUUGGAUUUUACUAGACGAGGAAGAAGAAGCUUCGAUCCUAUCUAGUUGUUCUCUAAUGGCUUUAGCAAAAUUUGAUUUUGACUCCUGGACGAGCUUUUGGCUAGUUUUCAAAACCUGAAAAGGUUUGAAAAUAGGUUCCUUAAGCUUUUUGUCAGAAUCUGAUUUUGAAGUAACAGGAGAAACAGUUACGGUUGACUUCUGGAAUUGGUUUUCUAUCCUAGUCAACUGUUUUCCUAGUGUAUUUAGGUUAACAUUAUAGAAAUUAUUCUGUUGAAUAAUGCUGCCUAAAUUUGUCUCUGGAUCAUUUGGUUUAUGGAUUUUAUAGGGUGAAGCUUUAAUCUCAACAUGAGGCACACCAUGGUCAAUGGUCAAACUCUUAAGAGGUGGAUGUUCAGAUUCUAUAGUUCUGUCACUGUCAGAAAGAUUCCACUCAGUGAUCUUUUUUCUAACUGUGAUCGGGUUAGUUUAUUUAAAGGGAUAUGUAAUGUUAUGAUCAGAAGCAUACAUAUCAAACCAAUCAAAAAACAAUAUACGAACUUUAUGUAGAUUUACAAAUUGAUAAUAAGUUUCUUGUAUUUCUUUUCUCUGGUUUAAGAAAUUCUUGAAAAACCAAAGUCUUUUUUCUUUGUUAUUAUCAGAAUAAAAAUCUGUAUGAAGAAGGGUUUUAUUUAGCUCAAAUUCUUUUUCGAGGACAUUUAUUACAUUUUCCGUGACAGCGGAGAAUGUAGGAGAAGUUGGAGGAGAAGGUUCCUUCUCUUCCUGGCUUUGUUCAUGUUGACGGCUAGUGUAAAUGGGGUGUGGAACACUAGUAGUAUAGUCAACAGAAUGUAUAGAAGAACUAGGUCUAUCCGAAGUGGAAAACCUAGGUUGACUUUUUACUGGUUGGAAAGGGAGAUUGAUAAAGGAAGGAAUCUUUGUAAAUUUCCUUUCCAAUGAAGGAAUACUUGAGCAUGAAUCCUUAUUAGAGAAUCUAGAAGAUGUAGAUCUCCUAAAGGACAGUUUAACUUUCCCAUCAGAAUACCGAGUCACAUUCUGUAACUUUGUAUUAGGCUCAAGUUGUUUUGGAAUCACUGGUGCAGUGGCUCCUUCAAGAAUCCAUUCGUCUGGAAGAUUGACAUGUUUCUAUUGGAUUGGUUUUGGAAUAACGGUGUUGGCUUUAGAGAGGUCAGUCUGCAAGAGAAGAGUCUCAUCUCUUUUCGACUGAAAUUUAUGUUGCGUACUAAACGCAUAAAUCAUAGCUUUGUAUGAAAUUUAAAAAUUAAGGCAACUGGGACAGAUCCCUCAAUCAUGUGAUAAUUAUGGGUCUUGAUUUGCAAGAUCAUGCUUUUUAGAAUGUUUUUGUCUUUUAGAGAAAUUGUUAUGUUCGGAUUAUAGUUGAAUGAGAUGGGACCUUUACAAAGACUUGAUUCUAUAUUACUUAGUAAAGAAUCAUCAAAAGAGAUGAAUCGCCCAUCUCUUAAGACAGCAAGGAUAAAGAUAUUAAGACCUUCUUUUGUUAAGGGUUUUAUACCAACUUGUAUUAAGCCGAUGUGAACAUAACUAAAAUUUUUAUCUUUUAAUUUCUUUAAAGAGUGUUCUGAAAAUAGGUGAAUAGUUUCAAAUGGUUUUGAAAGGGUUAUAUCACGUUCUUCAGUUUUUAUAACAUAAUCAUUCUUUAAAAAAUCAAGCUUUUUUGUUUUAUAAAUCAUUUCUUUAGAUAUCUUUGGUAAAUCCCAAUUAUCAAUUACUUUAUUAAAGUCUUCAAUUACAAAUUCUUCCGAAUUCACAACAUUCUUUGAAUCACUAGUUUUUCCAGAAGAAGAACUAGAAAAGGACGAUGCUCUACAGAGUAGAGAAUCCAUGGGUAAAAACCUAUAUUCUAGUUUUAGUCCUGUAGGUAUGGUUACAAUCCAAGGCUAAGAAUUGGUUUUACUGCCCUUCAACCAAAUCGGGACUUACGACCAAAUGCUACCAAGGUACCCAGAGGUAAACACUCACCAUACAAACAAUAUUCAACUAAAACACAAGUCUUUAUAAACACAGAGUCUCUAUUCUAUAUAACACUAUCCUCCCCAUGGCUCUGAUACCAGUACAACCAAGUUUUUGUAUGAAAUAUAUAUGUAUAUGUGUGUGUGUUUGUGUAUGUGUGUGUGUGAUGGGAGUUGCUCUACCUUCUGAUGCAUCGCAAUGGGAAUUUAGCUGGUUUUAAUUCUCUCUCUUGGCUGCUUAUGCUUCUUUAAUUUAACAUUUUGAAAUGUAUUUAUUAUGCUAGAGUUUCAACUAAGUAUCCAUUUACUGGAAUUUUCCACUUUUCGAAAAAUGUUAAUUUUGCCUUAUUUAUUCAAUAUUAUUAUCUUCCUAUGUGAAAUUUGCAAACAUUUUAUGCUUUGGUUGGUUAUUCAAUGUGGGUUUGUUGCGUUUUGUUCUUAUACUGUUUUUAUAUAUGAGAGGUUUGUUUUUUGAAGAUGGGUUUCAGUCAAUUGUCUUUAAAGCUUUAUUUCCUAAAAGAGGAAAAAAAAUACCAAAAUAUUUAAUUCUACUGUUACAUGUUUGUGUUCUUAGGUUCUACUAUGCUUUGUAUAUUUCUUAAUGCUAGAAAGAUAUGUUCUUUUCUAAUAUGAUUGUUUAGGAUGAAUAUGAGUUCGUUAUCGAGUUGUAAUAUAUCAAAUAAAUUGAAGACAACUUGCUUCAUAGGUUUUGAUUCUAUUAAUUGUUUUUAUUUCAAGUAUGACAUGAUUGCAUGGGUGUUUGAUGAGGCUAAUAGUGAUUUCUCAGGGUUGACGCUAUGAGUUUCUUUUAUUUAGGUGUGGGCAAAAAAAUCGUGCACUAGAGAAAACCGAACCGAACCGAUCCAAAUUGUUCCGUUCGAAUCAGUUUUAAUUUUAAAAAAUGACCAAAUUAUAUGGUUUGUAAAAAAAAUCGAAAUGCAGGUUCGGUAUUCGGUUCACUCAGCUGAACCGAAAAACCGGGUUGUUCUUGGAAUUUUAUUUAAAUAGAAACGUGUUAAAUUUUAAUUGGUUGCGUAAGAUAACUAAAAUAGGCAUGCACACACACGAUUACGGGUAUAUAUAUAUUUAAAAAUUGUUGUUGGUGUUUGUUUCCAAAUUUUCUUUUUAUUUUGUGUUGUAAGUUUUAAUUGUUGUUAUUUUUAUUUGUCUUUACAACAUUAUGUUUAUGUAGAUGGAAUAUUGGAGUUUGAUUAUGUAUUUUAAAUCUUAAUAUUUCAUAUUUUGUAAGUACCUUAUUAGUAGUUAGUAAGAUAUUAGUGAUAAAAUGUGUUUUGAAUACUUUGUAUUUAUUGUUAAUAUUUGUAAUGAAAUUAGGAUAAAUUAAUUGUUGAAAAAAAUUAUUACAUUAUGAGGCCUAAUGGGCUAAAAAUUUAGAAAUUCAAAAUAGGCCCAUUAGGCCCAAAACUAAAAAAACCGAACUGAACCGUACCAAUCCGAAAAGAUCCGUUUAUAUUCUGUUUUUAUCAAGUUCGGUUCUUAUUUAGUUCUUUUUAUAAAAUAACGGAUUUAAAUCGGUUCUGCUUAAUUUCGAUCCGAACCGAACUGGACCGAACUGUGCCCACCCCUACUUUUAUUGUUGUCUAGUAUCGAAACUUGAAAACAAAAUUUAAAGAUAAUGCUUACGAUAUGAACACAAAUGUUUGUAACAGUAGCUUGAACAAAAUAGAAGGAAAUUUGUUGACUGGAAUGAUUCAUAAAGCUAAAUCAGUUUUUUUGUUGCUAUUUUUUAGGACUAUGACCACUUCUUCAUGCUAUUUUCCUGCACUUAGUUAUUAUGCUCAAAUGUAGCAGAUUUUUCUGCACUUUAGUUUUCAUUAUGUUGUAUAAAUAGAUGAUUUUGUUGCUCAAUCAAAUAUAACUCAGCAGUCUACAAACCAGCCUUCUCUCAUUAUCUUUAUAUCCAACGUAAUGGUAUCAGAGCUAUAAUUUUUAGGGACAUGUGAGAUUGAGAAAGUUUGAACACAAUUCCUAAACAAUUAUCACCUAUCUUCCCAAAAACACAAAACCUUUCCAGAAUGAAUUCAAAAAGUCCAUUCACUGCAAUUGCACCUCUAGUGUUUGAUGGAAUAAAUUAUCAAGCGUGAGCUGUUAGAAUGAAGGCUUAUCUUGAUGCUAAUGAUCAGUGGGAAGUUGUUGAACAAAUAUAUGAAGUUCCACCCCUGCCAGACAAUCUAACUCUUGCACAAAUUAGAAAUAAAAAAGAGAUGAAGUAAAGAAAAUCAAAAGCAAAAGCAACAUUGUUUGCAGCAGUCUCAUCCACCAUUUUUUCCAGAAUAAUGACGCUCAAAACAGCCAAGGAAAUUUGGGAUUUUUUGAAGCAAGAAUACGAAGGAAAUAAAAGGGUCAAAGGGAUGCAAGUGUUGAAUUUGAUCCUAGAAUUUGAGAUGCAAAAGAUGAAAGAAUUACAAAACAAUUCAGGAAUAUUAUGACAGACUUUUUAAGAUUUUCAACAAGGUAAGACUCAUUGGCACUGAUUUUUCUGAUUCUAGAGUUGUUUAAAAAAUCCUAGUCACAAUUCCUGAAAAGUUUGAGGCUACAAUUUCAUCUUUGGAAAACUCAAGCGAUCUAUCAAGUAUUACCUUAGCAGAAUUGUUGAAUGCACAGCAGGCACUGAAGCAAAGGAGGCUUAUGAGACAAGAAGGAUCUCUGGAGGGUGUUUUUCAAGCCAAAUCACAAAACAACAAAGGUGGCAAAAAUAAGAAAAAACAGAACAAAGACAACAAGCUUGGAGGUUCUGCAAGCAGUAAUAAAAAUAGCCAAAGUAGCAACACUCAAGUCUUUCCACCUUGCCCUUACUACAAAAAAAUCAAUCAUCCACAAAAUAAGUGUUGGUGGAGGCCAGAUGCAAAAUGUCACAAGUGUGGUCAGUUAAGGCACGUGGAAAGGAUAUGUACAACUCAACAACAGCAAAGAGAAGCCAAGGCUAUUGAGGAUCAACCCCAAGAGGAACAGCUGUUUGUGGUAUCGUGUUUUGCCACCAACAGCUCCACAGAGAAUUGGCUUAUAAAUAGUGGUUGUACAAACUACAUGACUUAUGAUCCAUAGCUCUUCAGAGAGUUGGACGCGACUACUAUUUCCAAAGUCAGAAUUGGAAAUAGGGCACACAUUGCAAUAAAAGGCAAAAGAACAGUAGCGAUUGAAGGCCAUACAGGUCUGAAAUUGAUUUAUAAUGUUUUAUAUGUUCUUAAAAUUAAUCAAAAUCUUUUGAGUGUUACUCAGUUGUUAGAAAAAGGCUAUAAGGUGUUGUUUGAAGACAAGAACUGUAUGAUCAAAGAUGCAAAAGACAGAGAAGUAUUCAAAGUUCAAAUGAAAGGCAAAAGCUUUUCUUUGGAUUUGAUGAAAGAAGAGCAGGCUUUUGUACACAGAGAAGAUAGCAAUACAUUGAUUUGGCAUAAGAGGUUGGGGCAUUUUCAUCAUAUUACUCUACUGUACAUGAAAAAGAACAAUCUAGUCAAAGACUUGCCUGAAUUAAAGGAUGAGUCUUCUAGAUGUGUUGCCUGUCAGUAUGGAAAGCAAACUAGGAUUCUGUUUCAACAAAAUAAGGCCUGGAGGGCUAUACAGAGGUUGCAAUUAAUACACACAGAUGUGGGAGGACCAAUGAAAACACCAUCUUUGAAUAACAGUAAGUAUUAUAUUGUUUUCAUUGAUGAUUACUCAAGAAUGUGCUGGAUUUAUUUUAUGAAGCUUAAAUCUAAGGUUGCUGACAUCCUUGUGAAGUUUAAAGCUUGGGUUGAAACUCAAAGCAGAUGCAAAAUAUAGGUGAUUAGGUCUGAUAAUGGAACAUAAUAUACCUUUGAAAAAUUUAACAAGUUUUAUGAAGAUGCAAGCAUUGAACAUGAACUGACAGCAUCUUACACUCCUCAGCAAAAUGGUGUUGUGGAGAGGAAAAACAAGACAAUAAUAAAGAUGGCAAGAUGCUUACUUCAUGACAAAGGGCUGCCGAAGAAAUUUUGGUCUGAGGUCGUAAACACUGCAGUUUUUUUAUUGAACAAAUUGCCAAUAAAAAUGUUACAGAAAAAACUCCAUUUGAAGCAUGGUAUGGCUACAAACCAAAGCUGCUUAAUAUAAAGAUAUUUGAUUGUCUAUGUUUCUCUUACAUCCCUAAAGUUAAGAGAGACAAAUUAGACAAAAAAACAAAACCUGGGAUUUUUGUAGGCUAUAGCUCAACCUCAAAAGCCUACAGGAUUUACUUACUACAAAGCAACAAAGUAAUUGUCAGCAUGGAUGUUUAAUUCUUUGAGUUAGAUAACUGGAGUUGGGAAAAUGACAAGAAGCUUAAGGUCGAUAAGGAGAAUGAUGAUACGGACAAUGAAGAUGUUAGAGGAACCAGAUCACUCUCUGACAUCUAUCAGAGGUGUAAUAUUGUUGUAAUGGAGCCUGCAUGAUAUGAAGAAGCUGCAAAUGAUCAGAAGUGGAUAGCUACAAUGAAGGACAAGCUAAAGAUGAUUGAAAAGAAUCAGACAUGGGAGUUGGUAGACAGACCUGAACACAAGAAAGCUAUAGGAGUCAAGUGGGUUUAUAGGACCAAGCUCAAUCCUGAUGGUUCUGUAAACAAGCACAAGGCAAGCCUUAUUUUUAAAGGAUAUGCCCAGAUGUUUGGGGUAGAUUUUUUUGAAACUUUUGCCCCUAUUGCCAGGUUAGAUACCAUAAGGAUGUUGCUAGCUCUUGCUGCACAACAAGGUUGGGUUAUACACCAAAUGGAUGUCAAAUCAGCCUUUUUGAAUGGAUACUUGGAGGAAGAAAUUUUUGUGGAGCAACUUGAAGGGUUUGUUUUUCCAGGACAAGAGGAGAAGGUAUAUCGACUGAAAAAAGCCAUGUACGAUUUUAAAAAGGCACCAAGGUCCUGAUAUAGCAAAAUUGACACAUACUUAACAAACUUAGGCUUCGAAAAAAGUCUAAGUGAAUCUAGUUUAUAUAUCAAGAAGGCGGAUAAUAAAAUACAUGUGGUAUCUCUGUAUGUUGAUGAUCUACUCGUUACAAGAAGUAGCAAGGAGUUGAUUGACAGGUUUAAAGAAGAAAUGAAAGAUGUCUUUCAAAUGACAGACCUUGGGAGGAUGACAUUCUUCCUUGGUAUGCAGGUACAUCAAAAGGAAAAUGAAAUAUUUCUAUGCCAGUAAAAAUAUGCAAAGGAAGUUCUCAAGAAAUUUAACAUGGAAGAGUGCAAGCCAACUGCAACUCCAAUGAAUCAAAAGGAGAAGUUUUGCAAAGAAGAUGGAGUUGAAAAGGUGGAUGAAAGGUUGUACAGGAGCCUAAUAGGCUGCCUAAUGUAUUUAACUGAACCAGACUAGAUAUCAUGCAUGCAGUGAGUUUGCUAUCAAGGUAUUGCACUGUGCCAGUGAAAUUCAUUUUCAGGCAGCAAAAAGAAUUCUUAGAUAUGUUAAGGGCACAAUUGGUUAUGGAAUAAGGUUUAAUCAAGUUAAAAACUUCAAUCUUCAUGGAUAUUCUAAUAGUGAUUGGGCUGGAUGUGUUGAUGACAUGAGAAGCACCUCACGUUACUAUUUUAGCUUUGGUUCUGAAAUUGUUUCUGGAAUUGUUUCAUGGUGUUCUAAGAAGCAAGAAGUCAUAGCUCAAUCCACAGUAGAAGCAGAAUAUGUAGCUGUUGUUGCUGCUGCUGUGAAUCAAGCUCUUUGGAUCAGGAAACUUAUGAUAGAUUUGCAUAUGGAACAACAAGUAGGCACACAAAUAUUUGUGGACAACUAAGCUGCAAUUUCAAUUGCUAAUAAUCUAGUGUUCCAUGGCAAAACAAAACACUUCAAGAUAAAACUUUAUUUUCUAAGAGAGGUACAAAGAGAAGGAGAAGUGCAACUGAUCUACUGCAAAACAGAAAAUCAAAGUGCUGACAUCUUAACAAAAGCACUUCCAAAGAUUAGAUAUGAAUUCUUGAGGCAAAAGUUUGGUGUAUGCAGCUCCAGAUUCAAGGAGGAGAAUCUUGACUGGAAUGACUCAUGAAGCUAAAUCAAUUUUUUUGUUGCUAUUGUUUAGGAUUAUGAUCACUUCUUCAUGUUAUUUUCCUACACGUAGUUAUUAUGCUCAAAUGUAGCAGAUUUUUUUGCACUUUAGUUUUCAUUAUGUUGUAUAAAUAGAUGAUUUUGUUGCUCAAUAAAAUAUAACUCAGCAGUCUACAAACCAGCCUUCUCUCAUUAUCUUUAUAUCCAACAAAAUCGAUAAGAAUAUGUUAAUUCUAGGAAAUCUAGACCUCCAAAAUAGUAUUGGUUAUUUGAUAAACCAAUAAACUCCCAAAAGACAACUUACAACUCGCGAGAAUAGUAAUACUCAAGACACUCUUUUAUUGAAUAACAUCAAGUUUUAAAUAAAACUUUAGUUCAAAGUAACAAGCAUAAAAAUAGCAAGCGUUAAGCAUGUUCUCCAUCAUGCUCCAUGAAUCCACAAAAUAAGGAACCAACUAAAAACUUAAUUUUGACUUAUUAAAAACCAACUACUGUCAAAAUAUAAAGUAAAUAAUUAAAAGAAAAUUAUAAUGGAAAGAUUGUAACAGUUUUUCUAAUUUUCUAGUAUGGUGUUUACUCUAAUGGAUGGGCGGUGGCUCAUAUUGUUAAAUUCUGGAUUAGGCAAUUUACUGGCAUGCGAACUAAUUUGUAAUUUAGUUAUAAGUUGUGUGAACCAUAAAAAAACAAAGGGUAAAGUCAGUGGUAAUAUUAUCAGAAUAUUGGAAUUGUUCUAAAAGAUUUUGAAUAAACUGGCAACGAGUAAACUAUAAUAUUGGAACUUGAGUGGGUGAAUUAUUCUCAGUUUUGUUUGUUGAGGAACACAACAGAGCGUUCAUAAUUCCUCUGUUGUUUACGAUUGAUCUAUUUCUUUUUUUCCUUUGACGGGGUAGUGCUCUUUGUCCACCUUUCAAAAGUUUUUUUAGAGGAACUGUACCUGAAAUGUUUUGUUGUUUCUUAGAAAAGGGUUUUUCCCAUACAGUGACUUUGAAGUGGAUUAUGAGUCCAAUGAGAAUGCAUCAAUUGUGUAUGCAGCAUUAGCUAUUGAUAAGGAGAUGAUGCAUCAUGAUCCUAAGAUCAUACCUUGCUCCUUUAACUUUGUUGCUUCUUCAAUAAAUUCUAACUUGGAUUCAAUUUCCCAAUACAGUUGCAACUAGACAAAGUGAAAAGGCAGAUAUAUGUCGUUAAUGGGAAACUUUUAGUGUAAGUUUCUAUUCUUUGAUCAUUCAUGGUUGGAAGACUCAUUACAUAACUGAUUUUUCAUUCUUGUCCAAUAUUCAUUCAAUUUGCACCUACCAGUUUAUCCUGUGAGACAAUAUUCAUUUGGAAAUUUUGUGUGGCCUGUUUAAUAAUCAUUUUUUCCUCUUUUCCUACCAAAUUUUCAAAUAUGUUACUUAAGGAGAGUCCUUCCUCUAAAAUACCAUUUUUCUUUAGUCUAUCAAUUUUUCCUAGACUUUGUGGUUUAGAAGUUUCUUCAUUUUGUUUAUUUUCUCGUCUCAUUCAGGCACUUUGAGGCAGUUGAGGCUAGGUUUCUUCGUGCAUCAUUUUCUACUUUUGGAUUAGUUGACGUUUUUGUAACAAGAGAAUCUAUAGUGUUAGUUUUACAAUUAAAAUAUUAAAAUAUUGGAAAGCUGUAACAAAUUCUUCAAAGCUGUGAAUUAUAUUUUGAAAGAAUUAGCAAGGCUGACAUUGAGCAACAAUUUUCUGCAUACGUUUUAUCUUGGGUAGAAUCACCAAAAGUAGAUGCAUCUUUAAAUCUAGAAUAAAAGCAGGUUUGACUUGUAUUAUAAUAAAUUCAAAUGGGGUGUCACGACUGCUUCCAUCGCUAGGAAAACUUGCUUAGAAAAUAUGGAGAUUAAUGAAUGCUUUGGCAGUUCUUGAUGGCAUCAAAAUGGCAGUUGAUUCUGGACUGCACCCACCAUUAAUUGUUGAAUCUGACUAUUUUAAUGCAAUGAAAUCAAUCUUAAAGAAGAGAAUUAGGAUGGAUGAUCAAAGGUGACAACAUAUAUCAAGGCAUAAAUUAUGUAUCAUAGAUGUAUAUAUAUUGUAAUUAGGAGUAUCUGUAAUUUCCUUAUGUCGAUAGAUCUAAUUACUAGAAAUUAGACUAGAUUUGGUUGAUGUAAUAGCUGAAAAUCAGCCUUGUAAAUCUCUACAAUUUCUAUAUAAUGAUAGGAACUCUCACAAUGAGAGAUAUUUAAUCCAAUUGAUAUGGUAUCAGAGCCAUAAUUCAAAAUUUUAGAAAACAUUCUUGUGAGUCUAAGAUCUUAGUUUUGGGUAGAUUUCUGGUAUUUUUUGUGAACUCUUAGGUUAGUUGAUUUGCUUUACUUCUUGUUACAUUUGGUGAGUUGCGGGUAACAUGUCAACUAGCAACAUGGAAAAUUUUGGUGUGCGUUUCACAGGUAAGAAUUAUUCUACCUGGGAAUUUCAGUUUCGAUUAUUUAUCAUGGGAAAGGAACUCUGGGGUCACAUCGAUGGUAGUGAUCUAGCUCCUACUGACCCUCCUAAAUUGGCUCAGUGGCAAGUCAAAGAUGCUAGAGUCAUGAUGUGGAUUAUGGGAUCAAUUGAUCAGUCACUCGUUCUCAAUCUGAAGCCAUAUAAAACAGCUAAAGACAUGUGGGAGUAUUUGAAAAAGGUUUAUAAUCAAGACAAUACAACCAAACGUUUUCAUUUAGAGUACGAGAUUGCUAGGUACUCUCAAGCUGAUCUCUCCAUUCAAGAUUAUUUAUUCGGAUUUCAGAAUUUAUGGGCAGAAUAUGUUGACAUGAUUUAUGUCCAAGUACCAGUUGAAUCUCUGGCUGAUGUUCAAAAAGUGCAUGAACAGAGCAAGCGAGAUCAGUUUUUGAUGAAACUACGUCUUGAAUAUGAGGCACCCCGCUCCAAUCUGAUGAAUCGUGAUCUUUCUCCUUCUUUAGAUGUGUGCUUUAAAGAAUUACUUCGUGAAGAGCAACGUCUUGCAACACAAACUAUUCUCCAGCAAAAUAAAAUGCAUGAUAAUGCAAUUGCUUAUGCUGCAGCUCAUGGGAAAAGUAAGGGGAGACAUGCGACAAGUUCAAUUCAUUAGCUGUAAGGAAUACAGAUAUAUUGUUGUUAACUGUGCAAAGAAAUUUUGCAACUAUUGUAAGAAGUCUGGGCAUAUUAUCAAAGAAUGUCCUAUUCGUCCCCAAAAUUGUCAAGCUAGUCAGGCCGUUGUUGUUAGUUAGGCCGUUGUUGCUAAUCAGGCUGUUGAUGGUUCAACAAUUGUUGAUAAAUCAGUUCUUACUCUAGAAAUGGUUCAGCAGAUGAUAAUUACAGCCUUUUUAGCCUUAGGGCUUCAAGGUAAACGCACUCUACCAUCUUUCUCUUGGCUUGUUAAUUCUGGUGCAUCCAAUCAUAUGACUAAUUCCAGCGACACUCUUAGCAAUGUUCAAAAAUUUUAUGGAAACAUUCAGAUUGCUAAUGGUAGUAAGUUACCUAUUCAUGCUAUUCGGGACAUCAGUUUUUCCAUUAAAGAUGUUCUUGUAUCUCAUCAGCUUUCUACUAAUCUUAUUUCAGUAGGACAAUUGGUUGAUAAUAACUGUGAUGUUUAAUUUUCCUGUGAUGGUUGUAUUGUGCAGGAUUAGGUGUCGAGGAAGAUACUAGCGAAGGGGCCUAAAGUUGGACGUUUGUUUCCUUUGUACUUUUCUGUUUCUAAUUUCGUUUCUUUGGCUAGUAUUGCGGUAAAUCAAAAGAGUGAAAUAUGGCACAAACAUUUAGGCUAUCCUAAUUCUGUUGUCCUAUCUCAUUUAAUAAAUUUAGGUUUCUUCUACGGACAAUCAGCCCUCAAACACUACUGUUCGCUGCUCUUCCAGAAUCAUCUGACCACCUAAUCGGUAUGGAUUUCACACAUCUCUUCAUACUACUUUGACCAGUGUUUCUAUUCUUUCAUGUUAUUCAGAAGCUGCUAAAUAUGAUUGUUGGCGUAAGGCUAUGGAAAAAGAACUUCAAGCUCUUGAGGACAAUCACACAUGGGUUGUAAUGUUAAACCUAUUGGUUGUAAAUGGGUCUACUCAAUCAAGCUUCAUUCAGAUUGGUUCUCUAGAUCGCUAUAAGGCACGACUAGUUGUCCUUGGUAAUAAACAAGAGUAUGGGGUCAAUUAUGAAGAGACUUUUGCUCCGGUUGCCAAAAUGACUACAGUCCGUACAAUUAUUUCGAUUGCUGCCUCACAAGGCUGGCCACUUCAUCAAAUGGAUGUUAAAAAUGCUUUUCUUUACGGUGAUCUCAAAGAGGAGAUUUACAUGGUUUUACCACAUAGCUUGCCUUCCUCUUCUUCUUUAGAUGUCUGUAAGUUGAAGCGAUCGCUCUGUGGGUUAAAGCAAGCUCCCCGGGCUUGGUUUGAUAAAUUCCGAUCCACCUUGCUUCAAUUCUUGUUUAAGCAAAGCCAAUAUGACUCAUCAUUGUUUCUUUGCAAGACAGCUACUAGUAUUGUUCUUCUCCUAGUUUAUGUUGAUGCUAUUGUUAUUAUUGGGACAGAUUCUGCCUUAAUUGCUCGGUUGCAACAACAUCUUCAAGCCUCAUUUCAUAUGAAGGAUCUUGGUCCUCUUACUUAUUUCUUAGGUUUGAAAGUUCAUUAUGAUUCUUCGGAGAUUUCUUUGAAUCAACAUAAAUACACACAAGAUUUGCUUAAAUUAAUUGGUCUUCAUAAUGCCUCUUCUAUGGAUACUCCACUAGAAGUCAACACAAAGUAUAGUAGUAAGGAAGGUAAACUCAUUUCUGAUCCUACUAUCUAUCGACAAUUGGUGGGAAGCUUGAAUUAUUUGACUAUUACGAGGUCGAAUAUUUCCUUUGCUGUCCAGCAAGUAAGUCAAUUCAUGCAACAUCCCCAUCAUUUACAUUUAGUUGUUGUUCAUUGUAUCCUUCGAUACCUUCGCAGGACUCCUAGCCGUGGAUUGUUCUUUCCCGCUGGUUCUCUUCCUCAUCUUGUUGCCUAUAGUGACGCUAAUUGGGCUAGCUGUCCGGACAGUUGACGAUCUGUCAUGGGCUGGUGUAUGUUUCUUGGGAAACCCCUGAUUUCUUGGAAAAGUAAGAAGCAAGAUCGUGUUUCUAAAUCUUCAACUGAAUCUGAAUACCGUACUAUGUCUGCUGCUUGUUCAGAGAUUGUUUGGCUUCGUGGACUUCUAGCCGAGCUUGGUUUCUCUCAAUCUAAUCCUACUCCAAUCCUACUCUACUCCAAUCCUACUCCACUCCAUGCUGAUAACACUAGUGCUAUUCAGAUUUGUGUAAACCCGAUUUUCCAUGAGUGUACUAAGCAUAUUGAAGUGGAUUGUCAUUAUAUUCGCGAAGCUUUAGACACUCGUAUUAUUUCUCUUCCUCAUAUUUCCACUACUCUCCAGAGAGCCGAUGUAUUUACCAAGGCUAUGACACGAAAGCGUCAUCAAUUUCUUGUGAGCAAAUUGAUGCUUCUUGAUUGAUCAGCAUCAAUUUUAGGGGGGAUGACAGCAUAUAUCAAGGCAUAAAUUAUGUAUCAUAGCUAUAGAUAUAUUGUAAUUAGGAGUAUCUGUAAUUUCUUUGUUUAGAUAGAUCUAAUCACUAGAAAUUAGCCUAGAUUUGGUUGAUGUAAUAGCUGAAAAUCAGCCUUGUAAAUCUUUACAGUUUCUAUAUAAUGAGAGGAACUCUCACAAGGAGAGAUAUUCAAUCCAAUUGAUAAAAGGAAUGCUCGAUUAUGUAAGAAAAAGAAAAUAAUUUAUAGUUGCAAUACACUCAUCAAUAGUCUCAGGAACCUCUGAUGAUUGAAUUACAAUUUUUUUAAAUCCAUUCCAGAAUUCAAGCAUACCUGUUCAUGCAAGAUACUCAAUGCUCUGCAUCCGAAACUUCAUCGACCUUUGCAUUUAAGGGAUCAUUAACUUUACAAGUCACAGAACCCAAAUGGUCCACAAUAUUGACAGAGCGUUGAUGGCAUAAUAUUUCAAUGUUUCCACCACUUUGCAUAAAUGUGAAGAUGGUUUAUUUUCUCAAUAGAAAAUUGAAAUUAUCAGCAGUAAUUAGAGCAACUCACAUUUGUUUUUUGUCAUCAUUGGUGUACCAUAGUUCAAGAUAUUCAGCCUCUGAGUAUAACAUUGUUCUCAGUUUUUUCAAAUCCUGAAAGUAAAGUCGCUUGAGUUAAAAAAAGACCAAAGUAAAUAUUUCCAUAAGAAUUAAAAUCUAUUGCAAAUUGGUGCUUUUGUAUUUCCAUAAAUGGCUAUCUACCCCAAGGCUUGUUGAAAACUGAGUAUAAUUUGGAAAUUGACACACGAUCCACCGUUUGAAUCAUAUAAACAAGUAUCACAUGAUUAAACAAGAAUUGGCUUUGAAGACAUAUGCCCCUAUUUGCCAAAAUCAUUUUUUUUCUCUUUUUCUUUUCUUAAAAGUGAAUGCUGAGGUGGGUGCAACUUUUAGUAAUAGCUAUUAGUAGCAAAAACAAAGAUUGCACACUGUAAAACAACUGUAAUAGGGAAACUGGUAUAGGCAUCUAAUCCAACAGAUUAAAACAAAAUAGAGAAACAGUAGUACCUUGAGACUAUCAGAGAACAGCAAGCUCUGCUGUCUUUUCUUAAAAGUGAUUGAUUAUGAUGAAACAUUCAGCCUUGUAAUUAAGCCUGCUCUGGUUUGCUUUGUGUUUGACAUUAUUACAAGAUGAUAUUUGCAACAACUUGAUGUGAGCAAUGCCUUUUUACAUGGUUUUAUUGAUCCCACAUAUCCUACUCAGGUUUACAAACUUGAAAAGGCACUCCCCGGCCUUAAGCAAGCCCACGUUCUUGGAAGAACACUGAGCUUCAAAACUUUCUUCUAUCGACGGGGAUUUUUCACUUCACAAUCAGAUUCUUCUUUAUGUAUCUAAUCUUAUGCUGGUGUGCAUGAGAUUAUCUUUGUAGGUAAAUAAACUUUCAUCUGUCGCCACAAUGUAGGGGCAUAUUAGAGAUACUCUCAAAGUCACGGUGUAAUUGUACAAUCUUUUUAUCAUUUGUAUAUUUGACUUUCAUAACUUUAAACUACAAUUGUGCACUUACUAUAAUUAACUAGCUUUAGUUGUGUAUAUAUUGAAAUCAUAUCAAUAGAAACAGUAAGCUGCAUUGUUAUUUCCUUUCUCUAUAUUAUUUAUUGUAUAAACCUAACAACUUUCAGCCCUUUUUUUCCCCAAAUCUGACACUUUUUUUUUUAUAAAUUUAUUUACCCACACCUGUGUCGUUUGUCUCACUUUUUCUUUUUAUUUUCACUUAUUUCGUUACCCAAGCCACACUUUCAUAAACUUUGUCCCGGCCCCGCACUCUACUUUUGUUAGUUUUAUCAAAUGAGCAGCAUUAGCAUCACCAUGUAAUUAUCUUUUCAAACCCCCUUUUGGUAUAUCAGGGAAGCCCAAUAACAAAUACAUCUGCAAAAUAUCUACCAAAGAUAUUUCAACAAGCUGGUCGAGCACUGGACAAGGAAUUCAUCCACAAUUUCUAUUUGUAUUAAUUGACGACCUGUCCGGUGUCCCCUUGCCUACUCAUCAUACAACAAAAAAUUGAAAUUAGGCUAUUUAGGAUUAAAGAUAAGACGGAAUGGAAAUAUGGAAUCGUUAAUUGUUAUACCCAUGACCCAUCUAAUUUGCAAAUGGUUCUUUCUCUUUCAAUAUUAUUGUACGUAUUUGCAAGGAAACCUCCUCUAUCUUUGAUAAGAAGCCACGUAAGUUAAAGAGGACACCUAAGCCUAACAACAAAUAUGAAAGAGUAUGCUUGAGCAUGAAACAUGCAUCAUGUCGAAAUAGCAUAAGAGCAAGUUCAAUCCGGUAAACCGAUUUUUCUUAGCUUCAUCUCUACCUCACAACCGGCCUACCGGUUCUCCAAAACCGGCAAGCCGUUUUCGCGUUAUGGCUCUCAGGUUCACAUCCGGCAAACCGGUUCUCCAAAACCGGCAAGCCGUUUUCGGCUUUCAACUCUCUGACCAAGAACCGGAUUUCCGGAUUUUUUGUUUCCCAAGCGAACCGGCAAGCCGUUUGUGAAAUUGUGACUUGCUGCCCAUUAACCGGCAAGCCGGAUUCGUGGUUUAUGUUGUUGUUCAUCUUCUUCCUCCUCCAUUUGGCAAACUGUUUCUUGUUCUCUCACUAGAAGCCGUUUUCUCCUCUCUUGAUUUCAUUCCAAAAUCCAUCAUUCUCAUUCGUUUUCAAUCCAAAUUGAUUCAUAUAAAUUAUCCACAUCCAUUCUUGUGUCUAAAAUCAUCUUUAAAAUCUAUUUUCAUUAUAAAACUCACAAGUAAUCUUUUAUACUUGUAUUUGGACACACCAACAUUUACUAUUUUUUUUGAAUUAUAUGGAUGUUUGCUAUGAUUUUGAAUUAUAUAAUUCGUCUCACUCUAAGGACUUAAUUUUAGGAGAUCCAUCACAAGAUGUAACUACUAGAUCAUCAUUUAGAAAUAUAUAUAAACAUUUGUAAUAAUGGAUUUGAUCACUUGUUCUUUAGCUCAUUAUGAUGACUUUUCUUAAUAGCUAUGUUGAUUUUGAUGAUCUUAUAUUGCAAUUAUACACUUAUGUUUUGCUUAAGAUUUGAGACAAAGAAUAUGCUUUGAUAAUUACAUGUAUUUGAGGAAGUUUGAUCUUAUGGGAUCUAUGAUUGGUGAAUGGAUGCACUUUUUGUUCUUUAUUGAUGUAUUGUCGAAUAUGCAUUACUUGCUUUAAAUAAUAUCGAAAUGGGAGAAAUACAUAUAUUUCGAGAAUUUUAAGCAUAUAAUGGCAUAUGUUGAUUUUAAUGAUCUAUAUAUUGCUAUUAUGUCCUUAUGCUUAUGGAUAUUUUUUUUUUACUAAUAUGCUUGUAUUGAGGUUUUGAUAAUUAAUAGGGGGAGACAAAUAUGAUAUGUUUUUGGAUAAAAUCAUUUUGGUUAAAUUUUUUAAUUGGCCAUAUAUUUAGGGGGAGCAUAUAAUAUGAUUUUGGAUAAUAUGUAUUUUGAUUUUUUUUUAUUGUCCAAAGGGGGAGACAAAAUAAUAUAUCAUUUCAAUAUUGUCAAAAGGAGGACAAUAAUAUGCACUUUGAAUAUUCUUUUGAUGAUUUUGAUGAUAUGUGAUUAUGGUGAGUACUUGAUGAUUUUGAAAUAUGAUGAUGAUAAUUUAUGAGUAAUAUUACUAAAUUUGUAUUUGAGGUGAUGCUUGUUGUUAGGGGGAGAUUUUGUGGAAAUUUCUAUUCGGACAACAUGGGUAACAAAUUUCCUACUCUUAUUCUUUUCCUUUACGUUUUCUUUUUUAUGAUGAAGGGGGAGAAGAAUACAUGUUUUCAAAUCUAUAAAAAAAAAAAAAAAUUGCUACUUUUGUCUUUGCCAAUUAAGUUUUUCUUUUUGAUGAUGAGGGGGAGAAAAAUCCAUGUAUUUAAAUCAUUAAUUUAGCUAAUUGGCAAAUUGUAAAAGAAGAUUAUAUUUAGGGGGAGCAAUUUGUGGAAUCAUUCUUUAAAUACAUGAAAUGUUUGUCAUCAUCAAAAAGGGGGAGAUUGUUAACAUAUAUAUUUUCAUAAUAUUGAUUUUGAUGAUAACAAACAAGAUUAAGAAUGAUUAAUCUUUUAAGCCUAAAUUAUUUAAUAUUCUUUUUAAAUAAAAUCAUUUUUUUUACAUUAUAAAGGUUUUAUAUUUAAUGGAAAAAUGAUUUCAUGAAAUUGAUUGUUUUUAUUCCUUUUAAAUAAAUCAUUAUUUUCACAUUAUAAAUGUUUCAUAUUUAAUGGAAAAAUGAUUUUAUGAAAUUGGUUGUUUUUCAAAGUUUAUGGUUUAAUUGAAAGAAUUUUGAAAACUUUGAAAUAAACAAGUAUUGCUUGAAAUUUUGGUAAAGGACUUAUUUGAAAAGUGUCAUAGCAUCUUUGGCAAUAUCAUAAUUUCAGAAAGUUUUGGGAUAAACAAAGCAUUAUUUAGAAAUUCUAAAAUUGGACCUAUUUGUAAAGUUUCAUAACAUUUUGGACCGUAGUACAGUUUUAUAAAGUUUUGGGGUCAAACUGUAAAUUUUGGGAAAUAUUUUACUAUAGCAGUUACUGUAGCAAGCGGCUUACCGGAUACUGAUAAACGGCAAGCCGGAUACGGGGCAGUAAGCACCAGAACGAAAACGGCUUACCGGAUUCCUGAAUCCGGCAAACCGGUUAGGCAAAAUUUUGAAUUUUGCCUUAGCGAUAACAUAAAUCCGGCUUACUGGAUUCCAUAAAACGGCAAACCGGAUAGCCCAAAAUGUGAGUAACGGCUAGUUUUCGAGCUCAAGCUAUAAGAACUCAAAUCCAACUCAUUUUGAGUCUCUCCAACAAGCAAAAACAAAAAGCACACGUGAUAUCUUGAGCUUACAACUUGCAAAAUACAAAAUCAUUGAAUCAUUCAUUGUUCUUCAUCUUUGAAUAUCUACUCAUUGAGUGAGUUUCAUUGUAUCUUUCAUUUCUUCAAUUCAUUUGUAAGAGUUUGAGUGUGUGAGACACUUGAGUGAAGAGAUUGGGAGAUAAUCUCUUUGUUGUAAAGGUUUAUUGACACCUCGAAGUCAAUUUUAAUCGUUGAAGCCUUGGAAAGGCUUGGAUAGUGAAAUCCUCAAGCUUGGAUCGCUUGGAGAGGUGGACGUAGGCGGGGAUUGCCGAACCACGUAAAAAUUCGUGUGUUUGUUUCUCUUCUCCCUUACUCUUUAAUUAUUGUGCUAUUAUUGAACUUAUUAUUUUCAAUUGUUGUUAAGACAUUAGAUUGCUUGUUGUGUGGAUUUGCUUGGUUAAUUUUUAAAUUUCCAAUUCAUCCCCCUCUUGGGUUGCACACUUAUAUUUCAAUUUUAGCACUUAACUUUAACAAAUCUUUAUUAACCAUUCAAAUAUUAACUAGAUCCAUAUAAAUUUCAAAGGAAAUUUGGUCUUGCUCCCAAGUUCCUAUAAAAUAAAAUAAAAAAGCCAUACGGCUUAUGUCUGGGCUUUUUUUUUUUGCUAUGUUUCUGAAGGAGUGAAGGGGUAGAAAGAGAGAGAGAGAGAGAGAGGAGGAGGAGGAGGAGGAGGAGCUUGUGAAAAAAGCGAGUAAAAAAGUGUUAUAAAAAAGUUUGCUUAAAGAGACAGGAGUGACGACUUGUUGUAAUGCUGUUGCUGCAUGUCUGGGCUUAUAUUGCGUGUUGACUAUGAUAAGUAUAGAUAUAUUAAUUACUGUAUCACUAGGGAAUAAUUAAGAUAAAGAUUUCUAGCACUUUAAUAUUCAAGAUUAAAGAUGAUUAAGGCAAAAGAGGUUUAUGUGGUACUCUGUGAUUUGUUUAUCUGUCAAUUUAAAUAUGAAAUAUUUUGUUAAUAUUUUUAGUUAAGAAUUAUGGUAAUGAUUUAAUAUGCAGCUCACAAUUUUACAGUUUAAAUUAUAUAUCAAAAAAUAUAAUCAAAUUCAACAUAUAGGAAUGGAGGAGGAUGGAGGUGCAAGCCACACCAUUGGAAACAAGGCAGGUACAAGGCGAGCAUGGACAUAUGUCGAAGAAGAAGCACUGUUGGAAGCACUAGAUGCAGUGGUUGUAAGCGGUGGUCGUGCUGAUAAUGGAUUCAAAUCUGGUACAUUUAUACAUCUUGAAAAGGUAAUAAAUCAAAAGUUACCAAAUUGUGGUUUGAAGGCUUCUCCUCAUAUUGACUCCAAGAUUAGGAAAUGGAAGAAACAAUAUGGGUUGAUGUUUGAUAUGUUGAACACGAGCGGUUUUGGAUGGAAUGAUGUAAAAAAAUGUGUAGAGGUUGAUAGUGAUGAAGUUUGGAAUUCAUAUGUGCAAGUUAGAGAAAUUUUUAAAAGUUUUGAAUUUAUUUACUCUCAUUUGCGAGUUUUUGAAAUUUUCUUUUUGGAGAUUGAUAGUCAUUUAGCAAUUGUUAUGUCCAAGUUUAUUAAAUUUUUUACUAUUUAUUAUAUUGACCUUUAUUAUUUUUUAUUAUGUACUGUAUCUAACUACAUUUUGAUUAAAUAUUUGUAGUCUCAUAAUGCUGUAAGAAACUGGAGAGGCAAGCCAUUCCCACUUUAUAAAAGAUUGGCGAACAUAUUUGGAAAGGACCGUGCUGCUGGACAUGGAGCUCAAACUCCCGCUGACAUGGAAGACGAAGCAAAUCAAGAAGAAAUUCGCGAUGAUGAUAAUGAAAUGGAUGAUGGAUGUUCUUCAAUAUCGGCUACACCACCUUCAAGUUCUCAACACAUUGCUCGAGCUCACUCACAACCACCAAAUAGGAAGAGAUCUAGAUCAGAGGGUGACUUGCAGGCUGGCAUUGAUAAGAUUGUUAAUCUUAUCAGCCAAUCAUUUGAAAACAUGAAUACAAUAGCUCAACGCAUGUUCGAUAACAAAGAAGAUCGUUUUGACAUUUCUGAUGAACUUGCAACUAUGGGACUUUCUAUUGAAGAAGAACUUCUAGCCCUAGAGCUAAUUCUAAAAGAACCCCAUAAUAUUUCAGUUUUCAAGUCCUCGAGAGGUGAGCGUAAGGUAACAUUUGUUCAUAUGCUCUUGUAUAGAGCACAAGGUUGAUAUGUUGCUUAAAAUGGUUGUGAUGUUUUAAAGCCAAUAAUUUUUUGGUAUAGAAAAUAUGUCCGUACUAAACACAACCCCAUAUUUUGGUAUAGUUAUAGCAUGUGGGUGCAGGUGUGUACUUCACACAACCUGAUAUUUUGGUAUAGUAAUGUUGUAAUAUUGUAUUAUUAAUUUCAACAAAUUUUUGUAAACUUUUGAAUGAUUAUAUUAAGGUUGAAAAUUCCCCUAUGAAGGAAAAUCAUAUGCUUUAUUUGUGUAAUUUGAUUAGAAUUAUUAUUUUUGAUUAAUUUUCACAGGAAAUGUGUAAAAAAAUUAUGUGUCGAAAUUUUUUGAAACUUAUAGUUACAUAAAUCUCGAAACAAAUAUAAAAAUAUUAAAUUUGUAUAUGAGUAUUUUCUUUAUAUAUAUAUAUAUAUAUAUAUAUAUAUAUCCUUUUUAGCAUUAAAAAAUUAUUCCAUAUUCCAAGGAUUAUAAUACUUAAUAUAACAAGGUUAGUUAUUUACUUAAAUCAUUUACUUUUAACAAACAUUAAAACAAUCCAAUACAUGUUAUAUGCCAAACACAGGAUAAUUGAUAAUAAUACAAUACAGCUCAGCACCAAACCCUGUAUAAUUUAAACAACAGGUCAAUUUAAUACAUACCAUUCUAAAAUAAUACAGUCCAAUACAAUAUAAUACAGUCCAGUGCGGUGCACCAAACACACCCUUAGAACUAUUAAUAAGCUCCAGUGAGGAAUAAAGAAUUAGGCAGAAAAUUAUUCAAACUCUUUGUCUUGUGGUUGUUGUUCUCAUCCAAAGAAGAACAUUUUAAUUUUAUUGAUCGAUUGUAGCUAGCUACUGACUGGGACCGCAUCAAUCUUUCUUGCAAUUAAGCCUUUUGCGUAUCCAAUUGCUGUCAACUGUUUUUGAACGUGUAGAAGAAAACAACUUGAAGACUUGAGAGAGGGCCAGCGUUAAUUCAAAGUCAAGACCAACUUAUUAGCUUGCAGGACUCCUGAUGGUGAGAAAAAAGAGGGUUGACAGAUGCUGGGUAUAAGGUCUAUAAAACUUUAAUUAUUUCAUAAAAUUGUUUUAUUUUUUAUUCCUUAUCACGUUGGGGAUUGGCCCCCAAUGGCCCAUUUUAUUUUCAUGUUUAUGUAGGUCAGUAAUGUUAUUGGAAAUCAACUAUUGCCUCUUUUUUUCUCACUUAUUGAGGACUAUGGAGAAUUAAACAAAACUGACCUAAAAAAUAUAUAAUGAAUAUUUAUUAUCAGAUUUCAGACAAAAUUAAUUUUUGAACCGAUUGAAACUUCCAAAAACUCAAAUUUCGAAUUUGUUAUAUAAAUAUAAUCUACUUUAAGUAUCAUUAUCAAAUCCUCCUCUAUAGCACAUGAGCAAAUUUGCAACCUUUCUAGCUUAAAAUCUAGGUUUCAAAUCUUGGCAGCGGAGUUAAUUUUUGUUAUUUUUUAAGCCACAGUUAAUUUUUGUUAUAUAAUUUAGAUCAUAGAUAAUUUUAAAAAUAUAACGAGUAAUUGUGUAAUUCAAUCAAAUCUUAGAGACUAAAGGAAUAUUUACCAAAGAUUAAAAUAUAUAUAUAUAUAUUUUAAAGCUACAUUUUGUUUCAUCCAAAUGAAGCUACUCAAUCUAUAUUUUAUUCCAAUAAGACUAUGGCUUCAUUUCAUGUCUUAAUUAAAUUAUAUAAUGAUGAAAUAUUAUAUUCUGAACUUAACUGAAUCCAAUAUCAUUUCACCAAUCCGUCAUAUGAGAUGAAGGGAAAAAAAUCUGUUGAAAUUAAUUUUAAAUUAAAGUUGAGGAAUGGUGAUAUGAUACAUACACAUACAUGACUCUGAAUUUAUUAAAUUGAAGAUGUACUCAUCGUCUUGUCGAUGUGACCAAAUACUGGAAUGUGAUAAUGGUCUUUGGACUUUGGAGAAGACUUGAGAGGGCCCAGAGUAAUUAAAAGUCAAGAUUGGCAAUCUGAAAUUAAUCUCGGGCUUUAAGAUGCAGGACUCUCUUGCCGGUGGGAAAAGUUUCUGAAUUAAUAUAGGAGCUAAUACAUGCACUUUCCGAACUAAAGAAAACUGAGUUUAAGCGGCGAAUGGCUGUGCAUCUUUGUCUGGUGUUGUUGCAGAUUAUUGUUUUUCAUCUCAGGCCGAUCAAAGCCUCAGAAAGAUUCGCCUGUCCAACUGAAUGUGGAAAUGUCAGCAUCAGCUACCCCUUCGGAAUCGGAGAAGGGUGCUACUUUGACAAGGGUUACGAAGUUAUCUGCGAUCACUCUUCUGGCUCUCCCAAAUCUUUUCUUCCUGGCGUCAACAGGCUAGAAUUAUUGGAUACUCUUUCUUAUGAUUCAAGGCCCGCGGUUAGAGUCAACGUUCCUACAAUUUCUUUAAACAGCAGUAGUAAGCGAACAAGUAAUAUUCUUAAAGGCGUCAACUUAUCAGGUACCCCUUUCGCCUUUUCGUCUGACAAUAAAUUCGCUGCCAUAGGCUGCAACAUGAGAUAUCACCAAGGGAACGAUUCAUCUUUGUUUGAUGGGUGUCUGUCGAUUUGUACUUGUGAUCCUACACUCUACCCUGCUUGCUAUGAUUUCCUAUGCCCCCUUCCUCGAAAUAUUACUCAUCUUUUGAAUGUAAAUACAUCAUACUUGUUUUCUCAAAGUAUUCCUCAAAAAUGUCAGUCUGUUUUCCUGGUUGAUGAACAUUGGGUCAACAGCAAGUACCUUGAAGAUCCUCUUGACUUGGAAGAUCAACGAGAAGUUCCUGCAGUGUUGAAGUGGGGAGAAAAGAUAGGCAGUUGUUUUGAAGGGAAUAACUCAUAUUCUAUUUUUUGUAAUUCGGAUAAAAAAGGUUGUUUAACACAAUUAAGCUCAGGCCAUUUUUGUCUUUGCUCUUCUGGCUACGACCUAGAGAAAGGAUACUGCUCAGGUACAGAUUGGAUUAUGAGUUAAAGAGUAAUUUUAUUUUUUUCAAAGAAAAUAUCCGGACGACAAGAAGAAAAGGGAAAAUUCUUGGUGCUCCACGAGCAUUAUGAAUAGAUGCUAUUUCCGUAUAAAUAUUAGCAAUAAGGGUGAAUGAGAAACGGAAAAUGCUAUUGGAGCACCUAGACUUUACUAGCAAGAGUUAAAUGUCAAAUGAUGUAACAUUCCUCUGUUGGAUGGUAAGAUGAUCAGAAAAGUGUUGUAAAAUUUAUCAUCCAAUAGAUGAUUGAAAUUAUUGAUUUUUAAAAUAUCCAUCGGAUUACUUGCAAAUGAGUAAAGUCUUCCAAUUACUGUAACUGUCUAUGUAAACAGAAAAUUAAAGACAAAAAUGGUGGAGUUUUUUUUAGUUGUAGCCAUGAUUUAGUUUGAUCUUCUCUUUGAUUUAUUUAUUUUUAUUUAUUAUUUUCUGGGCAGGCGACUUGAUCUGUAAUAUCUCGAGCGGCUACAAUUGCUCCAAUUGUCCUGACGGUUAUAAUCGUCUCUCAUAUGGUUGCAUUAAAGUUUUCAACAAAUCUCGGGUUAAAUUCAUUGUUAUAGGUAUGCAUAUCGAUCCUUUAUUUUACAUCAUAACAAAUUAAUAAUGUUUUUUAACAUAUAUUUCAAAUGAAAAUACUAAGUGUUCAUUCGUUCAUUUGAUGAUAUCUUUCAUUAUUGUCCUCGAGAGCCGCAGGCUGCGGUGGUGGGCUUGCGUUAUUCUUUCUACUCAUUGGAAUAUGGUGGUUGUACAAGUUUGUAAAAAGAAGAAGGGAAAUCAAGUUUAAGCGUAAGUUCUUUAAAAAAAAUGGUGGUUUAUUAUUGCAACAAGAAUUGUCUUCCAAUGAAGGUAAUAUUGAGAAAAUGAAGUUAUUUACUUCAAAAGAUUUGGAGAAGGCCACCGACAACUACAAUGCCAAUCGAAUCCUUGGUCAAGGAGGCCAAGGCAUUGUAUACAAAGGAAUGUUAGCAGAUGGAGGAAUUGUGGCUGUAAAAAAAUCUAAAAUAUUGGAUGAGAGUAAUCUCGAGCAAUUCAUCAAUGAGGUAGUAAUUUUGUCUCAAAUUAAUCACAGAAAUGUUGUUAAGUUGUUGGGAUGUUGCUUGGAGACAGAAGUUCCUCUUUUGGUGUAUGAAUUUAUUCCAAAUGGAAGCCUCGAUCAAUACAUACACUACCAAUCUGAAGAGUUUCCAAUCACAUGGGAAAUGCGUUUACGCAUUGCUGUUGAAGUUUCAGGUGCUCUAUCUUAUCUGCAUUCAGCAGCAUCUAUUCCUAUUUAUCAUCGAGACAUCAAGUCUGCAAACAUACUUUUGGACGAUAAAUAUCAAGCUAAAGUUUCAGAUUUUGGGGCUUCUAGAUCUAUCACAAUUGAUCAAACUCACUUGACCACUCAAGUACAAGGAAGUUUUGGAUAUCUAGAUCCAGAAUACUUUCGGUCAAGUCAUUUUACUGAGAAAAGUGAUGUUUAUAGUUUUGGAGUAGUUCUUGUUGAGCUUCUAACUGGACAAAAACCUAUCCGUUUAACUGAAGCUGAAGAAGAUAAAAGUUUAGCAAGAUAUUUUAUCCAAGCAAUGAAAGAGAACUGUCUGUUUGAAGUCCUUGAUGAUCGAGUUCUCAAGGAAGCUGAGAAAGUAGAAAUUAUUACUGUUGCUACACUCGCAAAAAGAUGCUUGAACUUGAAUGGGAAGAAAAGACCUACGAUGAAAGAAGUGGCAUUUGAAUUACGGGGUAUAAGAGAAUCAAUUGGAACUUCCAUUUUGCAGCAAAAUUGUGAAAAGACUGAUUUUGUGGAUGGUGACAUUACUGGACAUGAUUUCGAAAGGGAUUCAUCUUCUAGUGGGUCAACUUUAAAUAGUGUCUCAGUUUCUGUGGAUGCCGACCCUUUAAUUUCAAACAAAUGGUGACAAAGAGAAGAAUGGCCUUGAAACUGUUUGUAUUUCAUAAAUAAGAUUGUUAAGACUUUUCCGAUAUUUUCAUUCUCUUGCAUCGUUACAGUUUCUUUGGGCACCAUCAUUUGUAAUUAAACACUUCCAAGUCAUUUCAAACAAAUUUUCCACUAUUUCAUUGAAUGCGCUGCAUCUUCUCUCCCCCCCCCCCCCCCCCCACACCAAAAAAAGGGGAGGCGGCGCAAAUGGAGGAGAUGAAGGAAAAAUCUGUUGAAAUUAAUUUCGUAGUUGAAGUUUAUAAAUGCAAGAUGAUAUGAUCUCUCAGUCUAUUAAAUACUGAUGUGCAAGAACUUUAGCACUAUGUGACCUAAUAUCUCAAGUAAAUAGGAGAGAACAACUUGAGCACUUAAGAGGGCCAACGUUAAAUAAACUCCAGAGUGGCAUGUUGUAAUUGUUGGCUUAUUGUUAUGCAGAACUUUCCCGGUAGUGAAAUAAAAUCGAGAGGAAGAUGGGAGGAAAUAAAGAUCAAUGCGCUUUCUUGUAUUUCAUGGGUUAAAAAUCUUUUUAUCUGAUUACAAACUGAUAGAUAAAAUACCCUUAUAUCAUUUGUGAUUGAAUCUCUUAGGUCAAAUAUAUAAAGUUAGAACAAUCCUCAACUCAUUAGUUAGAUUUUGAGUAUGGCUUAAACCCAUGAACUUUUAUAUUUUACUAGAGAUACUCACCCACGAUUAUGCCCGCACUACCUCCCACAGUACCUUACCACUAGACGCCCUUCACAUGGAGGCUUGGGUACCACUUGAAAAGUCAUUUGAAAGAAAAGUCUGUUUAAAAUUACGUUCCAAUUCUGUAUUUUCAACUCUCCAAGUUAUAAAUUGAUAUUCAACUCUUAUGUUAUAAAAAAAGUAAUGCUAGAGCAUUCCAACUUGAGUACCAAUGGAUGUGGCAUUCAUUCAGUGGAUUGUAGAAUAUUUAUUUUAUCAGCUAUAAAAUUUAUUAUUCAAUAGAUAAUGAUAUAUGAUAGUUGGGACUCAAAUUGGGACUUAAUUGGUGGGACACAAUCAUGAUUGGUUAAAAAAGAUAUACAGAGAUAACCAUCGUAAGAGGUAAAUCAAAAACUCUUUCUUUCUCUCUGCUAAGACCCUUUCUGCCACCAGCUGAAAUUCAAACACUAGUUUUGAUCCAUCAACGUGCCUGAAUUACACAGCCACCACAUUUUCAAACAUCUAAACUCUCAAAUCUAUUUUUCAACUCCGUUUUUCCAACCACUGCAGUCUCGAACCAACCGGAACUCCACGCUGCUACUUGUAGCUGCCACGUCGCCAAUUUCCCAUCACCACAGCACAAAAAUAAAAUAAAAUAAAAAAUAUAUAUAUAUACACGGAGGAGAGAACAACUUGUAGACUUGAGAGGGCCAGGGUUAAUUAAAAGUCAAGUUGACUUGCAGGACUUUCAUUGUAUUGGGAUAAAAGCUAAAAGGAACCUAGAAGGAAUUUAAUUAAAGAUCAACGCAUGCAAUUGCUCUGUUAAAUCUUCAUUCUUCCAAGUAAAAAUAUUGAGAAUGGUUGUUCAUCAUUAUCUGGUGUUGCUGCAAUUGAUGAUUUUGCUAGUAUGGCCAAUCAAAGCAUCAAAAGAUUUAUGCCAAUAUGAUUGUGGCAAUGUCACUAUCAGUUACCCCUUCGGAAUCGGAGACGGUUGCUACUUUGAUAACAGUUUUGAAGUAUUCUGCGAUUACUCCUCUGGCUCCCCAAAAGCUUUUCUUGCGAGCAUCAACAACCUGCAAGUAUUGGACAGUCAUGUUUAUACUGUUUAUGAUUCAUCUACUUCUUUUUAUGUAUACAUGAUUAGGGUAUACAUUCCUGUAAUUUCUUUGAAGAUCAGUAACCUGACAAGCAGUGAUAAAGGGGUCAGUCUAUCAGGUAGCCCUUUUACAUUUUCCCGGUCGCGCAAUAGAUUCACUGCCAUAGGUUGCAACAACUAUUCUACGAUUAUUAAGCGACAGAAUGAUUCAUCCGUUUUUGGUGGGUGCCUUUCGAUUAUCACUUGUGAUCCUGCUCUUAACCCUGGUUGCUACGAUUUCCUAUGCGCCUUUCCUCAAAAUAUUACUGAGGUUUUCAAUGCACAAAUAUCUAAUUUUUAUUCUAAAAGUAUUCCUCUGGAAUGUCACUCUGUUUCCAUUGUUGAAGAUUAUUGGAUCACCUCCGGGUACCUGAAGAAUCCUCACGUUUUGAAAGAUCAUGAACAAGUUCCUGCACUGUUGGAGUGGCUUGAGUAUAAAGGAUAUUGUUAUGAAGAAUAUAAUUCGAAAACUACUUGUAACAAGGACAAUAGAUGUUUAAUACAAUUAAGCUCAGGCUACCUUUGCAUUUGCUUUAGGGAAACAAGCUUUGACCGACACCACCAUGGAUAUUGCUCAGGUACAAUUUCGAAUACUAAUUAAAUUAAUUUCAUAUAUGAAGUGUAUACUACAUUUCCUUGAACCAACUACGUAUCUAACACAAAAUUAGUGAAAGUAAUUGCAGAAUUCGCAUAUGUAAAAAAGGAAAGAUUUAUAUAUAGCCAUAAUUUAUUUUGAUAUUCUAUUUCAUCUUUUGGGUUUGUUUAGGUUUCUUGUUCUAUAAUAUCACAAGCCCCUACAAUUACUCCUCAGGAUGUCCCAAAGGUUACUUUUCAGAUCCCAACUCAAGUAUCUGCGCCCAAAAUCGUAGGACAAGUUCAUAUGAACUUCUUCAAAUUAUGCACAAAAAUUCUCAUGUCAAAUUCAUUAUUAUAGGUAUGUAUUGGAAUUUGCAGAUUUUGUCGACAGAAUUAACUGAUUUUUAAUUACCGUAUAUAUAUGGGCUCACAAACGCAAAAACGUUCUGCACCUGAAAUUUGCAAUAGCAUAUACAUUUAUGAUCUCCUACUCUUAACAGACUAAACAGUUCCUUGCCAUAAAUCGCCGAACGCGUAUUAAAUAUUCUUGUCCUGGAGCGUUGCAGGUUGCAAUAGUGGGCUUGGAAUGUUGUUCCUACUAAUCGGAAUAUGGUGGUUGUGCAAGUUCGUUAAAAGAAGAAGAGAAACCAAGCUCAAACAGAAGUUCUUUAAAAGAAAUGGUGGUUUAUUAUUGCAACAACAAUCGUCAUCAAAUGAAGGUAAUACCGAGAAAACAAAAUUGUUUACUUCAAUGGAAUUGGAAAUGGCUACUGACAACUUCAAUACCAAUCGAAUCCUUGGUCAAGGAGGCCAAGGCACAGUGUACAAGGGAAUGUUGACAGAUGGAAGAAUUGCGGCUGUGAAAAAAUCCAAAUUAGUGGAUGAGAGUAAUAUUGAGCAAUUCAUCAAUGAGGUGGUAAUUUUAACUCAAAUUAACCACAGAAAUGUUGUUAAAUUGUUCGGGUGCUGCUUGGAGACAGAGGUUCCUCUUUUGGUGUAUGAAUUUAUUCCAAAUGGAACUCUCUAUCAAUAUAUACAUGACCAAACUGAGGAGUUCUCAAUCACAUGGGAAAUGCGUUUACGCAUUGCUGUAGAAGUUUCAAGUGCUCUAUCCUAUUUGCAUUCAACUACUUCUAUUCCAAUUUAUCAUCGAGACAUCAAGUCUGCAAAUAUACUUUUGGAUGAUAAAUUUCGAGCAAAAGUUUCGGACUUUGGGGCUUCUAGAUCCGUCACGAUUGAUCAAACUCACUUGACCACACGAGUACAAGGAACUUUUGGAUAUCUAGAUCCAGAGUACUUUGGGUCAAGUCAAUUUACAGAGAAAAGUGAUGUUUAUAGUUUUGGAGUUGUCCUUGUUGAGCUUUUAACUGGACAAAAACCUAUCCUUUCAACCGACACGGAAGAAGAUAAAAGUUUAGCAGGGGUUAUUUUCUCUCCGAGAGCAAAUGAAAAGAGAGAAACCAUUUUGUUUUGAUGUGUGCUUGAUGGCUCUCAAAGUUCUUUAAGAAAGCCCAAGGAAGGAAAGAGAAUUAUUUACCGUGGUUAUGGCUUGCAAAAAGGAUGCUUGAACUUUGAAGGGGAGGAAGAAGACUUCCUAGGAAAGAAGUACCAUUUGGAAUUUAGGGGGGAUUAGAGCUCAAAGUGUGAAGACAUUCAUCUUGUGGAUGCCAAUUUGAAACUGUCAUCUCCAACUGAGAGCCAUUUUAAAUGCUGUUGCUUUUUCUGUAGAUGCUAAUCCUUUGCUUUCAAACAAGUGGUGAUUAAAGGGAAGAAUUUUCCUUUAAAAUCUAAGUAUUUCAUUUCAUAAAUAAAUUAAGCUGUGGAUUUUUGCAUUAUGCUUCUCUUAUGGUUAAAAUUUUUCAUCUCUAGAAUAAAAUAUACAGAGUUUGAUGUUCGGUUUGUAAGCGGAGAAAUAAAUUUAUAAGGUAGAUUCCAACAAAGCAUCUGUGGCAAACAUAUUUAAAUAUCUAAGAAGCAAGCUUCUAAUGCUACCAAUAUUUAGGGGCCCUGUGCUUGAAGAAACAGAACUUUGAAGCUGACAGAGUGAGGCAUCUCAGCAUCUGAAUCUGCAUACAAGUGGAACAGGAGAUGCCGACAUGACAUCCUACGUGGAACUUAUGUGACACAUACAAUGAAUCCAGUUCGUUCCUAAUUCAUACGCUUACAUUGUAACCCCGUUCUGUGUGUUUCGAGUACCAUUGGCGAACCAUCACUUCGUGCCUUUGUAUUGCUAAUAGUACCUUUGCCUUGAUUGAUUUUGCUGACAAUAUAUAGGUUGUGUUUGGAAGUGAAGUACUAUAACUUUUAUGUUACGUUUACUUCCUGGAUUAGGGAAUCGGAAUCAUUAACAACGUUUAUCUCGCAAAAUAGAUUUAGGAAUCAAAAUCGGAAUCGGAAUCGUGGGACCCACCACAAUUUGGGAAUGAGCAAUGGGAGACUCAUUCCUAGGGGGAGGUGGGAAUGAGUCUCCCAUUUUCGGGAGUGACUGUUUUACCCUCCCCCAAAAUUAAAAAUGUUCAUAUUGUCCUCAUUUAUAAUUAAUUAAUAUAUUAUUAUAAUUAAUAAAUAAAUAAAUAUAUUGUUAACAAUAAUUAUUAAUAAUUUUAGUAUUUAAUAAAUAAUCACAAUAAUUAAUAUAUUAAUAUUAUUAAUUAAUUAUUAUAAUUAUUACUAUUAAUUAAUAUAUUAAUAUAUUAUUAACAAUAAUUAUUAAUAAUUUUAAUUUUUGAUAAAUAAUCACAAUAAUUAAUAUACUUUUAUUAUAAUUAAUUAGUAUACUAUUAUAAUAAUUACUAAUAUAAUUAUUUUAAUUAAUUCAUAUAUAUUAUUAAUUAAUUUAUAUAACUAUUACUAUUAAUUAAUAUGUUAGUAUAUUAUUAACAAUGAUAUAUUAAUAAUUAUAGUUUUGAAUAAAUAAUUACAAUAAUUAAUAUAUUUUUAUAAUAAUAGUUAAUAUAAUUAGUUAAAAAAAUUUACAAUUAAUUAAUAUAUUAAUAUAUUCUUGACAAUAAUUAAUAAUAAUAAUAAUUUUUUAAUAAAUAAUCACUAUAAAAUAAUAAUUAUGACAAUAAUUUGUUAAGUACUUUUUAGUAAUUUGUUACAAUUUAACUCAUUCUGAUUCCAAUUCCAAGAUAAAAUAAACACAUCAGUGGGAUUCUAGCUCAUCCUUAUUCUGAUUCAUGUAGGUCAACUAAACAAUUUAUUCUAAUUCUUUUUCCUCAUUCCGAUUCCAGCCCAUUCCAAUUACUAACAAGUAAACGCAGCAUUAAGAUGCAGAUGCUGUGGAGUAAAAGUCAUAGUUGUGGGAUAAAAGCUGCUAGUGUUUAGCAAAUUUUAAUAGUUGUAGAGUAGAAGCUAAUGGUGUUUGGUAAAUUUUAAUAGUUGUAUAGUGAAAGUUGAUGAAUAUUUGUAAUAAUUAAUUUUAAAUAAAAUUAUUUUUAAUUAUUAAUUAGUCAAAUUAUUUUUCAUAUUUUGAAUUAUCAUAUUAACUUAUGAUUAUGUUUAUUACUUUGACAAAUCAAAUUAAUAGUUAAUUAAUCAAAGUUAUUUUUCUUCACAAGCUGUAAUAAAUAUUUUUUAAAACAAAAUAAUUUAAAAAUUGAAAAUAAAUAAAUUCUAAUUUUACACAUUGAUUGUAGAAAUAAAUUAUACCAAAUGUGUCUAAUAAAGAUCAUACAACAUAACAUUAUCUACACAACUUAAAAGUGACUUUUAACCCACAAGUAUAAAAGUGUCUUGUUGUAUUAUAGCUCGGUGAGUCCAAGGUCGAUUCACAGAGAAAAUAUUUAAUUUGUUUAUUUUAUUUUAUCUAAAAAUGGAAAUAAAAUUUAAAUAUAAACAACUUAAUUUAAAUCAAAUUAUGAAAUUGAAUUAGUUAGGGUUAUGGAUCCACUCUUAGUAGUAAAUAAAAUUUAAUAAAUUCUUUUUACUAUUUUUUUAGAUUUAUUACCCAAAAGAUUAAUUAUGUAAAUUAUUAUUAUUUUCCUAUUAAUUUUAUUAUGGAUUAAGUAUUUAAUGUGCCAAAAUUUAAUUUUUCCACAAUAAAUCAAAAUACCAUUUUAUCAUACCUUAUAUUAAGAUAUUAAGAAUUUAUUGUGCCAAACUCUCUUGUUUGUCUACAAUAAAUCAAAAUUUCAAAAUAUAAAAUAUGUAUAAAAUUAAAUAGAAAAUAAUUUAAUUUAUAAAAUUAAAAAUAAAUUUUGAUUAAAUCAUAUUUAUUUCCUAAGAGUUUCACCUUACCCUAACUAUUAUUAUUUAGUUAAGAUAAUUGAAAUAAAAGUAAUUACUAAAAUUAAAUUAAACAUAAUUAAAAUGAAUAAAAAAACUAAAAUUAAAAAUAAAACUAAAUUUAAUUAUAAAAAUAAUUAAGCAAAAUAUUAAAAACACACCUGAAAAACAAGAUUACAGGGAGAUUGAGAGAAAUUGAGAAGACGAGAUGAUAAAAAACAUAAAAAGUGAGGCUCUAUUUAUAGAAAAAUAAAUUCAUGAUCCAGUGUCUUGCAGUCCAUCAUAAGCUUUAUGCAUGCGCUCUUCACAACCAUUAGAUCAAAGAUCCAACGGCUGCUCAAACUUCAAAAGUCAACAUCACACACAGCAUCAUGUGAAACGUCCGAUUCGGUCAAAGAACGGUUGAGAUUUGGCGGGUUAAUGGGUGGAUCAGAUUGACUCGAAUACAAAGGUUCGAAUCCUACAACUUACUUCACCAACCAUUGCCACGUGGCACAAUUGCGGCCAUUGAAUCAUGAACGGUUGAGAUUUAGUUAAAAUUGCAAGUUAUGCCAUGCACUCAUAUAUAUUGUAAGCUCACUUUAUCAUACAAUCAGUGCUCGGUCAACCGAAAACGUCAACCUUCUUUUACAAAAGCUCAAUUUUAAGCCGAUGUGGACUCAUCUUAAGGUUUUCAAACCUCCGGAAUCCAUAUUUGACAUCCGUUUAUCUGUUUGGAGCCUCGAACUAUGUGAAAUUAAUAUUUUACGUAAUAAACACACAAAAAUAUACAAAAUUAAAUAUAAUUAAGACAUAAUUAAUAAUUCCUAAUAUAUUGGAUAAACACAAAUAUAAAUGAUAAUAUAAUCACAAAAUAACAUUUUUAUCGCUUGAUAAUUAAACAAUUUUUAAUACCAAUCAAUUAUAAAAUUAAAAUGUAACUAAUUUCAAAAUUCUUAUAAACAUUUCCAUUGUCAUGCCUCCAUUAAACUUGCAACAAUGCCAUCUCUCAAGAUUAUUAUAUUUUGAGCUAUGUUAUCAAUUGUAUUAUAACUUUCUUUAGGAGACGCAAUCUUGCUUAUAUGUUCGUUAUUACUAUGACUUGGUUCAUCCAUUGUUUCAUCAAAAUGAUCAUGAUUUUGUGAAUAUCUUCUUAUGUAAUUAUGUAAGGCCAUGGUAGUAAUAACACUCGCUUCUUGAAUGUAUAGCUUGGCAUAUUUCGUAAAAUCUUCCACGUGUUAUUUCAAACCCCAAAAGUACCCAUUAGAGUUAGCAGUACUCUAAACACUAAGAGAUUCAGAUGCCUCAUUACUCUCUAAAGGAAAACCAAAUGAGGGAAGUCAAACAUGCUCACUCAUAACCACUGUGUUUGAACAUUAAAUUUAGGUUUUUCUCUAACUUUGGAUCAAUAACAUUUUUUCGAAAUCUACUCAAUUGCAAAUUUUCCUUUAUUUUCUUUUCCCACCAGUCUUCACUUGCAUCAACUAUCCAGGGGCAAAGCUAUGAGGGGGCUAACCCGGGCUGUAGCCUGGGUUAGUUUCUUGAAAAAAAAAAUAGUUAAUUAUAAAUUUAUUUAAAAAAAACUUAUAGUAAAAUAUAAAAUAUAACGAAUAAUUAUUGUCAAUAUCUAUUUUCUCUAAAUCGAAAAACUCACCUUCCCUGACUAAUUGAUCUAAUUAUCCAAAAUCUAAAUUCCCAAAGACUCAACUGUUCAAGUCAUUAACUUGCUGCUUUAUGAGUGACAGCCAGCCUCUACCGCACCCGCAUAAUCAUAUUGUCUUUGAAUUAGUUAUUAGCUUAUACUUUUGUCAAAUUUUUUGAUAAAAUAAUUAAUAAUUCUCUAAUAUAUUAUUAUCGCAGACAAUAUCAAUUCAGAUACGAUAAUACAUGAGUUUUCUUUUUUGAAGAAUCAGAAGACAAAACUUCUUUGAUAGUGUUUUUGAUUUACAUUGCACCUUUACAGUUUUAUUAUUAGUUUUUUGCUUGUCUAGUGUAUUUUAAUAAUUUCAUUUGUAUAGAAUAAAUUUUUUGAGAAGUAAAAUUGAAUUAAAAAAAAAAUCUAGCCCACCCCAAAAUAUAUUGCUAGCUUCGCCACUGCAACGAUCCAUAACCUAUGAUUCCACCCUAGACUAGCUUCCUAGCUAAUCAAAUUCUUCCACAGUUUCCAAUUAGUUCUAAUAGAAUCCCAUUUUUUUUUCAUCUGAAUUCUAUUGUAAUCCAAUCCAGUUUCUUUAGUGGAUUCCUUAAUUAAAUUUUCAUAUCCUUCGGAAGUCACAUGAGUCCUAGGACGAUGUUCGGCAUCCACUGCCUUAAUACAUAACUCACAAAAUACAUUUGAAGUCUGGGAGUUCCAGGUCGCCUUACUAGUUGAGCUAUUAGACAUAAUUGCGUACACUUAAACCUAGAAAAUAGAAUAAUAUUUUGUCAUCAAACAACAAUAUAGGAAAGAGAUUAAUUAAGAGCAAUACCCAAUUUUCUUUUUAAAACAAAUAACAUUAAUUAAGGAUGAAUUAUGUCUAGCAACAAGGAUGAUUUAUGCCUUACAUUACAUAUCCUGUUUCAAAAUGAGUUGUUAGUUUAAUAAACCUGGGGUUUCCUCUAAUUAAAUACCAUGUUUCGAAGAAAUUAAAAUAUUUUUUCUCAAUAGUUUAAUUUUUUGUAGUUACCUUUAAGUGAAUCCUUUAAAAUUUAUGAGAAGCUGAAAUGAUUUGUUCAAAAACAUGUAUUGUUGGAAUAUAUAGGAAUUGGUUACUUGUUUGUUGCUGCCUUUAAUGAUUUUUAUUACGGAAAUUUCAUCAAACAAGGAUUGUGCAUGUCUAUAAAAAGCAACUAAAAAAAAUUAAAAAUGCAAUAAAAAUAGUGACUUCAAAGCAAAUAAAUCACACGUGACCAAUCACCUAUUAAUUUAUUCUAAGUAAAAGCUCCAGUACAUUCUGAACAAAAAGGAAGAAAAUGAAAAAUUACAUGUAACAAAGUAAAGGAAAACUCAAAAAAUGAACAACGGGUAAAGGAAAAUGCACAUUACUUAGAUAUUUUAAAAACAAAGAUAGAACAUAUUUGUAUGAAAAUGACUGGUGUCAGAAUCGUGUCAAUGAGAAUUACCGAUGUUGCAUCGAUGAGAACUGUCGAUAUUGGAAUCAUGCUAAUAAGAACAAUGUUUAGAGUUUGUUUUAUGGAAAAAUCAAUUUGAGUUUAAGUUUAAAAAUGAGGAGGAUAAAAUCGAAAUUAAAUAAUAUGUAAGGGUAAUUUAGUAAUUUAAUAUAUAGCUAAGAAAAAUUUUUGCUUACCUGCUAAAGCCCGACUCCAAAGUGUUACUACUGAAAAUGAGGGGAUGAUAUAUGGAAAAAAGAAGCUUCAUUUUAAAUUAAUGCACAAAAACAAUUUAAAGAUUUAAGAGAUCUAAUUUGUCGUUUCAUUUCACUAAAAUGUAUUGAUAGAUAAAAUUAGCCAUUAGGUGUGUCUUAUCCUAAAAUUAAUCUUUCACGAAGUCCUUAGAAACAAUAAAAUACUAUUACAUAGCCCGGAAAGCGUUUGUAUUAAGUUAUAGAAUUAGGUGUCUCUUACACAUAUGUCUUCCCUGAAUAAAAGCGUUCGUAUUAAGUUAUGAAAUGGUGGAUUAUUAUGCCAAACAAACGGCUAUUUCCCUUUCAAAAUUAUUAAGUUAUGAAAUGGUGGAUUAUUAUACCAAACAAACGGCUCUAUCCCUUUCAAAAUUAUUGGACGUAUUUUUCAAGGAAACCUCCUCUAUCUUUCUUCCAAUUAAUGUCCAGUUAAGACUUCCGUGGGUCCAAUUAAUGUCAAUCGUUUUUGAAUGUGUACAGGAUAACAACUUGAAGACUUGAGAGGGCCAGCGUUAAUUCAAAGUCAAGACUAGGCUAUUACCCUGCAGGAUUCUUGAUAGUGAGGUGAAAAAAAAAAGGGUUGAAAGAGAUUAGGAUUUAACGCUGAGUUUAGUUUUUAUUGACCACUAAGUUAAUUAUUAAAAUUUAUUUUGUGCUUUUUCUUUCAUUUAUCUUACAUAACAAUUAUUUAUUGAGAUUCUUGUCCAAUUGAAAGAUAUUAGAUAAAAGGUUAUUAAAACUUUAGUUAUUUUUGUGUAUAAAACAAAAACUUUGGAUUAUUUAGUUUCAAAAGAAAAAAAAUCGAGACUUUGAGUUGCUUUGGAACAAAUUAUAUUUGAAAUUGAAAAGAAGAAGAAAAAAACCAUACAACGAGAAAGAGAAAAUAUAAAUGGGGUUAAUUCUAAUAAUAUGUCCUUAAAUAUAAUUGUAUAUAAUAGGGGUUUUAUAAGAUUAAUGAAGAGGUGAUCCAACAUUUUCACAAUUUGUUUUCAAUUUUUAUUCAUCACCCCGAUGCCCCAAUUUAUUUUCGUUAUUAUGUAGGUGUGGUGUUACUAGAAAUCAAAUGCUGCCUUUUUUUUCUUUUUUCUUUUUUCUUUUCUUUUCCUCUCCUCUCCUCACUUAUAGUGGAAUAUGGAGAAUUAAACAAAACCAAUUCCCAAUCAACGUUAACAUACGUUAUAUAAUAUAUUACACAUUACAAUUAUUUGUAUUUGAACCAGACUCGAAACAAAAAUUGGGUAGCCGCUUGCUGGAUUUUGUAUGGAACUUAGAGGAGAAACUUGGUAAUGAAGUGUGUGGAGGUGCGGAGACAACAGUCAGUAGGCGGUAGCAGCAGAUCUGGUCGUGGUCCUCACAGAGCAGUAGAUCAGCUGGCGGUUGGCGUUGGCGGUGAUUGUGGCGAGCGUGUGUUGGUUGCGGCUGUGUGUGUGUGUGUGUGUGUGUUUCUACUUGUGUUGAGUGUUGACUUGAGGGUGGGGAAGUGACCCAUGAGGCGUGAAGGAGGGGAGUAGAGGCUGGAGUGCGCUGUGUGGUCUCUCGUUGAGGUUUGAGGGGGAGGUAGUGAGGCGUGAGGGAGGGGAAUGAGGCUGCUGGGUACGGCUGGGUGCGCUGAGUGUGUGGUCUACUAGUUUUAUGCCUCUAUCUCUACUCGUUUUGUGCCUCCAUCUCCGUGAUGUGUGUCGUAUACGUGUGUGGUGUGUGAGGCUAUGUAGUGUGUGGUCUGUGCUCUGCAGCGUCACUAGUGCUUGAGUGCUUGUUGUUGGAUGCAUGUGUGUUGUAUCAGUGUGGGUUGUUCACUUUCUUCUUUAAGCCAACCCAUUCAGGUUAUCGAAUUGGAUCAGAUUUCACCCGAUCCGAUCGGGUUGGCAACAUUUGAUCCGAUCGGAUAUUAUGGUCAAUCCGAUCCGAUCUGAACCUAAUUUUUUUCGGAUCGAAUCGGGUUGGAUUGGUUAUUUUGCCCACCCCUACUGCCCACUGUCCCCCCUUGCCUCCUCACCAUACAAAUAACAAUUGAAAAUUAGGCCAAUUAAAUUAAAGGCAAGACGGGAUGGAAAUAUGGAAUCGUUAAUUAUUAUACCCAUGACCCCUCUAAUUAAUGGUUAUUUCCCUUUUGAUAUUAUUGUACGUGUUUGAAAGGAAACCUCAUCUAUCUUCCUUCCAAUUAAGACUAUUGUAUGUCCAAUUAAUGUAAAUUGUUUUUGAACGUGUAGAGGAUAACAUGACAAUGCGGAGACAUUUAAAGUUGAUUGAUAGAAGGAAAAAAUUUCCUAAAUAAUGAAGUUAAUUGAAAAAAUUUUAAAUUAACAAAACUAGAGUUUUAGAUCUUUUUAUAUAAUAACUUUAACUAUAAUAAAAUUCUCCUAAUCUGAAUAAAAAAUCCAAAACAAACAGUGCUCAAAUAUGUUAUUUAGGAAAAAAAAGAUAAAACUUUUAGAAGAAAUAAGAAAAAAUGGACGAAUAUCUUAAAAACGAAAAAUGACAAGGAAAGAAACAAAUUUCUAGGCUCAAGUAAGGCCCAAAAUGGCAUAAGCUUUAUAAGCUUGAUUUGUCUUCUCGUAAACUUUAAAACGAUAUAUUAUACACUCAAAACGGAUACAUAUGGCCUAAAUUACGCCCUUUGGAAAGUACCCUUCUCAUCCCACACGCCCAUCAUACAUUAGUCCCUCUCACUUGGAAAAGAACUCGCCAUCGAGUUUGACUCGUACAACGCCUCAUCAUCUAAAUGAUAUUUAAACAGAUCAACCAUAUUGAAUGUGUAAGAGAUCUUCUAGUUGUCCGGUAGUUGGAGAACAUAAGAAUUAUUAUUAAUCUUCCUUGCCACACGAAAUGGUCCAUACUUGAUGUGGACUUGCAUCACUUUCCCGUGUCGAUGCCUGUUCGCAUCGACCUUGUACAUAGCAUUUGCAACCUCCAAAUGAGCUCGUACCUUGGCAUGAAUCUGUAGAGCCCUUUCUUUUCUACCACAUUAUUCACUAUUUUUUAUACGAACCCCAUCAAGAACUAACACGACCCUAAUCAAUUUAGUUCCUAAGAUCGAAUCUAAACCAGGAAUUGAAUGGAACCCCGACCCAAUGCUUAAUGAAAGCACGAACCUUGGUAUGUGAAGACGCCACAAUCAGCUAUGGAUGGUCUGAUUGAUAAGUCAAGAGUUUGAACGUCACGGAAAUUCAAUAAGUUCAAAGAGUUUGUAAAGAACCAAAGAGAAUUAACUCUCUCACCAAUUGCAUCAAAAUUUAUCUCUGCUUAUUGGAUACGAAUACAUUAUAUGGGGCUGGUUACAAGAAUUUUUGGAAAUAAAUCCUAAGCCAAAAAUCAAAUCUGAAUAUGAAUAUAAACAAAUAGGAAAGAAUAUAAAUCAAAUUAGAAUCCUAAUCUAAGUAAAUAGGAAAGAAUAUAAAUCAAAUCAGGAUCCUAAUUGGCUUAAAUGUCUUACAUCAAUUAAAAUGGAAACUAGGCGAUUAAAAUAGAAAUAAUUGAUUUGUUUCCUUAAUAGCCUCCUCAAGAAACGAGAAAGUAUCUGAAAAAAAGAAAAAUAAUAUAUUUUCCCGCCAUAAUGUGCAAGCCAACUCCUUAUUUCAUGGAAAUAAUUAUUUGGAAACUUCAAGAGCCUAAAUCAUCCAUUUAUCACGAUUCCUUCAACGGGCCUCCACGAAUUUGAUUGAGCCCAAGUUGCUUGAAUCAAUCCAUUACGCGCUUCUUUGAAUUUCUUUGCUCGAUCUCUUGUAACAGGUCCGACGGGAACUUGAGUAGGAUCUGAAUAUGCCUCAUCCCAUGUGUUUGUGAUAGUUUUAUCCUUAAUCUCAUCAUUCCCCUCCUUUUGAAGAGGAUUUGUCCUCAAAUCAUCACCUACAUCAAAAGAACUCAAAUUAGAAACAUGAAAAGUAGCACUUACAUUGUACUCACCAGGAAAAUCCAGUUUCUAGGCAUUGUUAUUGAUCCGUUCCAAAACUUGGAAUGGGCCAUCCCCUCGAGGUAAUAACUUAGAUUUCCUUUGUUUAAGAAAUCGUUCCUUGUGCAUGUGUAACCACACCUAAUCGUCGGGUUCAAAGACUAGCUUAUGUCGCCCUUUGUUAGCUUGUUUAGCAUAUUGCUCAAUUAUCCUCUCAAUGUUGAACUUCGCCUUUUCAUGUAUCUGUUUAACAAUUUCAGCCUUUUUCUUGCCAUCUAAGUUAACACGAUAAAAAAUAGGUAAUGGAGUUAAAUCCAAUGGGGUUAAAGGAUUAAAACCAUAAACAAUUUCAAAUGGUGAAUACUUAGUAGAAGAAUGAACAGAACGAUUAUAAGCAAACUCAACCUGUGGUAAACAAUAUUCCCAAGUUUUGAUGUUCUUUUUAAUGAUAGCUCACAACAAAGUAGAUAAAGUUCUAUUCACAACUUCUGUUUGACCAUCAGUUUGUGGGUGAAAACAACAACUAAGUUCCUAACUUAGCCCAUAAUAUUUUCCAAAAGUAACUUAAAAACUUAACAUCCAUAUCAGAAAAAUUGUCCUGAGCAUACCAUGCAACCUUACAAUCUCCCUAAAGAAUAGGUCAGUGACAUUAUAAGCAUCAUCCGUUUUGUGACAUGGAAUAAAAUGUGCCAUAUUUGAAAAUUUAUUUACAACCACAAAAAUUGAGUCUUUCCCUUGUUUAGACCUAGGUAAACCUAGUACAAAAUCCAUCGAAACAUCAGUCCAAGGUGCACUAGGUAUUGGAAAAGGGGUGUAUAAGCCAUAAGGUUGCACUUUCGAUUUGGCUUGCCUAUAAGUGACACAUUUACUACAAAGUCUUUCAACAUCUCGUUUCAUAUGUGGCCAAUAGAAGUGUUCCUGUCAAACUGCUAGUCUUUACAACUCCAAAAUGCCUUAUUAACCCUCCUCCAUGGGAUUCUCUCACUAACAAAUCUCUCAAAGAACGGUUAGGCACACAUAAUUUAUUCUCCUGAAAUAAAUAGUCAUCAUGCCUAAAGUAUUUACUGACUGUGGUCUUUUCACAAGCUUGGUAUUCAACAUUAAAAUCAUGGUCAUCAGCAUACAAUUCCUUAAUAUGUUCAAAACUAAGUAGUUUAGCAUUAAGUGUUGAUAUUAAGACAUACCUGCGGGAAAGCGCAUAUGCAACAAUAUUUUUUUACCUUACUUGUAACGAAUGACAUAUGGAAAUGUCUCUAUGAAUUUUACCCAUCGAACAUGCCUCUUGUUCAGCUUGUGUUGGCCUUUAAGGUGUUUUGAGGACUUAUGAUCGGUGUGAAUCAUGAACUCCUUAGGCUAUAGGUAGUGUUGCGACAUUUCUAACGCUCGAACCAGCACAUACAACUCCUUAUCAUAAGUAGGGUAGUUUAAGUUUGCCCCACUCAGGUUUUCACUAACGUAAGCAAUUGGUCGUCCCUCCUACAUUAGGACUGCACCAAUACCAAUCCUGAGGCAUCGCAUUCAAUUUCAAAUGUUUUAUUAAAGUUAGGCAAAGAGAAUAAUGGAGCAUUUGUCAGCUUUUGCUUGAUCAUUUGAAAUGUCUCCUCUUGUGCUUCUCCCCACUUGAAUCCAACAUUUUGUUUUAUUACUUUAGUAAGCAGUGCGGCUAGUGUGCUAAAGUCUUUCAUAAAUCAUUGGUAGAAACUAGCGAGCACAUGAAAGCUUCUCACAUUACUUACACUUGUGGGACUCGGCCAGUCUUGGAUUGCACAUACCUUUUCCUCAUCAACUUGUAUACCAUGUGCACUGACAAUAAAUUCUAGAAACACACAUUUAUUUUCUAAGCAUGUCUAAAAAAAAUUUCAAAUGUAUUACAUGAUCGUUUAUGUUUUUGCUAUAAAUGAGGAUAUCAUCAAAAUAAACAACAACAAACUUGUCAAUAAAAGAUCGCAAGACAUGAUUCAUAAGUCUCAUAAAAGUGCUCGGGGCAUUAGUUAGACCAAAAUGCAUGACUAAUCAUUCAUAUAAACCAUAUUUUGUUUUAAUGGCAGUUUUCUAUUCAUCUUCUUCUUUCAUUCUAAUAUGAUGAUAUCCACUUUUCAAAUCAAUUUUGGAAAAUACACAAGACCCAUGUAAUUCAUCAAGCAUAUCAUCUAACCUAGUAAUGAGAUGUCGAUGCUUUACCGUUGUGUUGUUGAUGGCUCGACAAUCAACACACAUCCUCCACAUCUCAUCCUUCUUAGGAACUAAUAAAACGGGAAUUGCACAUGGACUCACGCUUUCUCUCACGUACCCUUUUUUCCAUUAAUUCAUUAACCUGCCUUUAAAGUUCCUUGGUCUCCUCCAGGUUGCUCCUAUAGGCUGGUCUAUUUGGAAUGGUUGUACCGGGCACAAAAUCAAUCUGAUGCUUAAUCCCUUGGAUUGGAAGUAAACCAUGUGGUGCUUCCUCAGGAAAGAUAUCCUCAUACUCCUGUAAACGAGAAGUAAUAGAACUAGGCAAGGUAUGGUCAAAUUCGUUAGUGCUUAAAAAUGUCUCUUUGUACAAAACUACAAUCAUCGACUGAUGUAAAAACAAUGCUUUUUUAAUCUCAUUGGCUCUCGCGUAGAAAUUCUUUUGUUUUCCAUCUGAUUUUCGCUCAAUGGGCGCAUUUUUCUUUGGUUUUUCUCUCACAUUUUACUCUGCCUCGUUUUGAAUUUCACUACCUUUUUCUCUCAUUUUCUUUUGCUCACUCUUUCUUUGUAAGCUCACUUGGUCUCCAUAAGCCUACUUUGGUGUCAAUGGAACAAGAGUGAUGUUGUAUUAAUUAAAUACAAAUGAAUAUUUAUUGGUGAAGCCAUCAUGCUUCACACGUCUGUCGAAUUGCCAAGGCCACCCAAGUAAUAAGUGUCUAGCCUGCAUUGGCAUUAUAUCACAAAGCACCUUAUCUUCAUACUUUCCAAUCCGAAAGUCACUAGUAACUACUUGUUCACUUGCACCUCACCACUGUCAUUUAACCAUUGUAAUUUAUAUGACCAUGGGUGUUUAAGUGUCGGAAGCCCUAACUUCUCUACCAUGAUAGUACUAGCAACAUUAGUACAACUUCCUCCAUCAAUAAUCAUACUACAUACUUUGUCUUGAGCAUAGCACCUAGUAUGGAAAAUGUUUUCCCGUUGCACUGCUUCGUCUUCCUUUACUUGUACACUCAAACCUCUCCUCGCUACUAAAGUCAAUUCCCCAGGGGCUAUUGUUGUGAAAAUUUUAAUAUACUCGCAAGCGCACGAAUCUAGAAAUAAAAUAGUGGUAACGAGGUCGAUCCCACAGGGAAUGUUAUAAAUUGUAAAGUCUAAUUUAAAUCUAAAAUUAAUAUUAAUCCUAACCUAGUUGAGCAAAUUGAGUUUUAAAAGAAAUUAAACUAAUUAAACUAACAAAGCAAUUAAAGUAAAUGAGAUUUCAAUAAGACAAAAAUUACCAAGGUUUCAAAAUCUACCACUAUUCAACUAGUAAUUAUCCAAUUAUUAAUUAAUCCCCAAUUUUAGAGUGACAACUCGAAAUUAAUCUAUGUCAUCUCAUGGAUAUAACAAUUAAGCCCAAAUAAAAUUAAUCUUGUGUAGGUUCUUUUUCUGCUUAAUAGUGUGAUAUUUAAGCGUCCCAUAUAAACAUAUUGAAUAACAAAGAGUCAAAGUUUCCUAAUUACUCUGUGUAAACAAUUUAAUGAAAGACAUAGAAUCAAAGAUAAUCAUGUAUAAACUUUAUAGAUGCAAGCAUAGAUUUAAUCGAAUAGUAAUCCUAACAAUCAACAAUGCAUGACAGAAUUGAUGAAAAGAUUUUAAUAACAUCCAACUAAUCAUGUGAAAUAAAAACCAUAAUCAUCAAAGAAUAUAUAUAGGGAAUUAAUUAAAUAAAAAUAUAAUUAUUUCAUUGAAUAGGGUUUCAUUCUUAACCUCAGCAUAAGAAAAUUAGCUAGACAUACUUGAAUUGGGAGCAACAAAAGAAAUAAAAUCAGCCAUGGAAAAAGUAAAUUGCUUCAGCUCUUCCUUUUCCUCUCUGCCGAAGCAUUUGCUUCCUUUUUCUUCCUCUGGCGGCUGCCCUUCUCCAAAAACCAAAAGCUUGCUUUUAUAUUACUCUUUAAAAUGGGCCCCACUGACCUUGUUAUUUCUUAAGCCAAAAGGCUUGGCCUUUUAAUUUUCUUUGCUCUCACUCACGUGCUCACCAAUUAAGCUUGCACUAGGAUUCUUUUUUCCACUUAUGAAAGCCAAGUGUGGGUCCUUUUAAGUUGCUUUCCAUGCAUUACAAUGCCAUGCACGUCCAGCUCACUUGAAAAAUUGAAAUUCUUUUUGAGUGCAAAUUACUCCUGUCUUUACAUGCUAUAAACUCUUAAUUGUGUCACGGCUUUGUUUCCCAAACUUGUUAUUCUUUAUGGACUUUUCAUUCUUAAUCUCCAAUUAAUUCCCUAUUCAAUAAAACAAUUCAAUUAAUUAAAAAUAACAAAUAAAAAUAACUAGCAAUUAUAUAAUUAAGGGUAAAAUAUGUAUAUAAAUUAUGCUCAUCAGCUAUAUACUCUUCGUAUUUAACGUCCUCUAAUGGUGGCAUCUCAUUUUCUUCCGUUUCAUCUUCAGUUACAAUCUUACCAUUGUCUCACAACAUCAUAACUCUCUUAUUCACACAUUCACUUGCGAUAUGCUUGUUGUCUUGAUAUUUAAAACAGUUAAUGUCACAAUUCCUAAUAGUAAGAGGCACGGUGUUACCUUGUGAAUUGUGCUUGGAGGGCUCAGAUCUUAGCUUAGGUGCAAUAGAUGCUUGUAGCCUCUCAUCUCGUUUCACACAUAGCUCGACUUCCAAUGAGUGGAACUCAAGCUUGGGGCUGCACGGGUGUUACCCCUCCUGUUGAGUUGCUGCUCAAUCUUGAUGGCUUUGUGUACCAUCUCAUAAAUCUUCACAUAAUGUUGAAACUCAACCUUAUCUGCUCUAUCAUCCUCCACAUUUGCUCUAAUCAUGACAAUCUCCAUUUCAUUAUAAUAAUCCUUCAUGCUUCGGCUACCAUGUGUAAGAUUUGUAAUUUUUUGUACAAGUCUCAAUAAUAGAGGUUAGGUACAAAAUGUCUUCUCAUCAAUGAUUUCAUUUCAUCCCAUAUCUCAACUGGACAUUCUCUAUUUCGCCUCUUACUUAUAACAAGUUUAUCCCACUAAGUAAUAACAUAGUCAGAAAACUCAAUCACAACCAAUUUUACCUUUUUUGCCUCUGAAUAAUUGUGGCAAUCAAAUAUGAACUCUUUUUUCUUCUUCCAUUCAAGGUAUGCUUCUGGGUCGGAUUUUCUUUGAAAAGAUGUGAUCUUCAUCAUUAUGCCACUCAAUCCAUUAUCUCUAUUCCUAACUCUCCUACCUCGUCCAUUUCUCCUAUAGCUACCCACUAGGUCAUUCCCUUCAUCAUACCCAUCCCUAUAAUAGUCAUCAAUCUCUCUUCUAGCUGGAGAUCUUUCUCUUCUACGUGCUUGGGGAACAUGUUGUGGCUGCCCUGCACGUGUGUUCUCUACUUGAUCCAAACGCUCGUGUAUGAGCUCUAAUUCAGCUCUCAUCAUCCUUCUUAUCAAAUUAUAGGAACCUCGUGUGUUCUCCACUUGGUUGCCCUGCACGUGUGUUCUCCACUUGGUUGCGAUGCACGUAUGUUCUCCACUUGGUGCUUAGGCUUUGAUACCAAAUGAUAGGAACCCCGUCAAGAACUAACGCGCCCCUAAUCAAUUUAGUCCCCAAGAUCGAAUCUAAACCAAGAAUUGAAUGGAACCUCGACCCAAUGCUUAAUGAAAGCACGAACCUUGGUAUGUGAAGAUGCCACAAUCAACUAUGGAUGGUCUGAUUGAUAAGUCAAGAGUUUAAACGCCAUGGAAAUCUGAUAAGUUCAAAAAGUUUGUAAAGAAUCAAAGAGAAUUAACUCUCUCACCAAUUGCAUCAAAACUUAUCUUUAUUUAUUGGAUACAAGUACAUUAUACAGGGUUGGUUACAAGAAUUUUUGAAAAUAAAUCCUUUACCAAAAAUCAAAUCUGAAUCGGAAUCUAAACAAAUAGGAAAAAAUCUAAAUCAAAUCAGAUUCCUAAUCUAAGCAAAUAGGAAAGAAUCUAAAUCAAAUCAUAAUCAUAAUCUAAGUAAAUAGGAAAGAAUCUAAAUCAAAUCAAGAUCCUAAUUGGCUUAAAUGUCUUACAUCAAUUAAAAUAGAAACUAGAUGAUUAACAUAGAUAUAACUGAUUUGUUUCCCUAAUAGCCUCCUCAAGAAACGGGAAAGUAUCUGAAAAAAAGGAAAAUAAUAUAUUUUUCCGCCAUAAUGUGCAAGCCAACUCCCUAUUUCAUGGAAGUGUUUAUUUGGAAACUUUAAGAGCUUGAAUCAUGCAUUUAUCAUGUGCGAUUCCUUCAACAGGCCUCCACGAAUUUGAUUGAGCCCAAGUUACUUGAAUCAAUCUAUUAAGUGCUUCUUUGAAUUUCUUUGCUUGAGCUCUUGUAACGGGUCCGCCGGAACUUGAGUAGGAUCUGAAUAUGCCUCAUCUCAUGUGCUUAUGAUAGUUUUAUCCUUAAUCUCAUCAAUUUUACUCCCUCAAACUGCUAUGGGCAUGAUAGCCAGAUCAUAAACAUGGCAUGGGGAACAAGUGUAGACAAUCUCAUAAAAGGUCUUACCACCAUGUUAUUGCAAGCAAACUUGACUUGAGGCAAGAUAGCUUCCCAAUUCUAUUGCUUGUCACCAUAAACAUAACACAACAUAUUGACCAGAGUGCGAUUGACCACCUCUAUUUGACCAUUUGUUUGCAAAUGAAAAGCACUACUAAACUGUACUGAAUUUAUCCUAUAGAUGAUGCCAAAACUUGCUGAUAAACUUCACAUCCAUGUCAGAAGUAAUAGUCUUUAGCAUACCAUGCAAACUUACCACUUCUUCAGAGAACAAAUGUGCAACUAAAGCAGCAUCUUCAGUAUUCUUACAAGCAAUAAAAUGCACAAUCUUUGAAAACAUAUUGAUCACAGCCUAUCAAUAUGUUCCCUUAAAAACUUUGAGGCAUAUAUAACUAAUUAGAUUUGAACAGAUACCCAUCUUGAAUAAGGAAUUCUUUUACAUUUUGAUGAUUAAUACACCAAUCUUAAAUAUGCGCAAAGUUUUCCUCCUUAGCAUACAACUCCCUCAAGCAUUCAAAACCAGUAACUUCAAUGACGAGAACAGUAAAGUAGCUUGCCUACUAAGUGCAUCUGCUAUCUUAUUCUAUUGCCCAAAUUUAUACUUCACAAUAAAAGUGAACUUUUACGUAUAGCUCACCCAUCUUGCAUGCAUCUUGCUCAUAUGUUGUUGGUGUUAAAGUACUUGAUUGCUUGAUGGUCACUAUAAGGUACGAACUCUUUGCAAAUCAAGUAAUGUUCUUAUGACUUCAACACUCUGAGGAUUGCAUAAAAUUCUUAGUCGUAAGUAGACCAUUUAUGUCAUGUUUUAUUUAACUUCUCACUUAUAUACAUAAGUGGUCGUCUCUCUUGAGAAAGAACAGCCCCAAUACCAUUACCAUAAGCAUCACAUUCAACCUCAAACAACUUGAUGAAGUUUGGUAAGGCUAACAUAGGAGUAGUAAAAAAAUUCUCUUUUAAUAAAGGAAAACUCGCACUUCGCAAUAAGUGGGGCUAUGGUACUAAAACUACAAAUAAAUAUCUUAUAAAACAUCGUCAACCAAUGAAAACUCCUAACUUCACCUACUGUCUUCGGCAUAGGCCAUUCUUUAAUGGCUUGUAUCCUCGACUCAAUAGCUCCAAUCAUAUCUACAUCAGUUAUAAAACCAAAAAUUCCACAUUACUUUACAGAAAGCUACAUCUUUAGAUUAAUGAAAAGUUUAUUUUUUUGCAACAUCUUUAUAAUCAUUCUCAAAUGUUCUAGGUGUGCCACCACAUCAACAGAAUAAACUAAGAUACUGUCAAAAUUCACUACAAUAAAUUUACAGGAAAAAGGCUUAAAACUUGAUUCAUUUAGUGCAUAAAAGUGCUUGACACAUUAGACAAUUAGAAUGGCAUAAAAAACCACUCAUACAACCCUUCGUUUAUUUUAAAUAUUGUCUUCCACUCACCAUCAGGCCUAAUUUUGAUAUUGUGAUAUCCAUUAUGCAAAUAUAUCUUUGAGAAAACUCGAGCAUCAUUUAGUUGGUCUAAUAACUCUUGAAACGUAGAAUAGGAAAUCGAUACUUCACUAUAAUAUGGUUAAUUAGCCUACUGUCUGUACAUAUAUGCCAACUCUCAUCCUUUUUUGGUACCAACAAAGUUAGUAUAGUACAUGAACUCAUGCUCUCAUGAAUGAAACCUUUCCCUAACAAUUCAUCAACCUGCCCUUGUAAGAUCACAUGCUUGUGAGGGCUCAUACGAUAAUGGGGCAAGUUAGGUAAACUUGCACCAUAUCUCAUAAAGGUGGCAGCCCGUCUAACAACUUUAGUGAUCUAAUAUCAACAAACUCAAUUAAUAAUGGCCGUACUUUUUUCAAAAACAAUCUUCACCUUUAAUUCUUCUUUUUUCUCUAGCUUCUAGCAAUCAUCGCAAUCAUCUUCUUGAUGAUUUUUAACAACCUUAGUAUUCCUCUUUUUGUUCGUUAAAGGCAUCAACGAACCUUUUUGUUAUUCCACCAAAACUCAUACAUAUUAUCCUCUCUUCUAUACUGUAUCAACAUCAAAUUGCUAAAGUUUACUAAAUAAUAGAUGGCACGCAUCCAUAUUCUUUACAUCGCACAACACAUCACUCUUAUAAAUCUUCCCAAUGGAGAAAAGAACACAACAUACCUUUAUUACUUGCAUUUCUGUCUUUUUAUUUAUCAAUCGUAUUCUGUCAGAUACUGGAUUUUUUUGGUUAAAAGUCCUAUCAUGUCAAAUAGCACCUUUGAAAAUAUGUUCUCGCUACUGCCACUAUUAAUUAUAAUGUUGCACACCUUGUCAUUGAUAAUGCCAUAUGUUUUAAAAAUCUUAUUGCGCUGAUUAUCCUCUUUAAAUUUCAAUGCUAAUAAACUCUUUUAUAUAAUACAAUUUAGUCUCUCCUUCAUUUGCUUCAAACUCUAAAGCUUCUUCGUCAUCCCCAUUCUCAAUGUCGUUCAACUUUGUCUUGCUGACUUUAGCCUCUACUAAAUUCAAAUUUUUAAGAUGAUAGUCACUUGAUCGAUGGCCUGGCUCCCUACACUUCAAACACUUGUUCAGCAUAGGCUUCACUAUAAGUGAUUGUAUCUACUAUCUCAUCUUAUAUCUCUUGUUUUAAUCUACCAAUAUAUUUCGUAACUAUUCAAAAUUAUGGCUCAUCCAUAUUAUUUUUAGUGUGUAGACGAUAAAAUUCCUUUAUGUAUUCAUCGGCAUUGUGAUUUCCUUACCUUCAGUUUUGAUAUUUAAAAUAUAGUUGCUACCAGUAAUCUACUGGCAGGAAAUACUCUCUCAUCAUCCUCUGCAUUCUAGGCCACAAUUUCAUAAUUUUUUUUGCAACUUUUCUUUAGUUUUGUAUGUAUUGCCAUCAUGCAGAAGCUACGAAAGCUUAACUCACUUCUCUUGAGGAAUCUCUAUAUACUCGAAAAAAUUAUCCACUUGUGAUAUCCAGUCUAAAAAUUUUUCAACAUGCCUCCCACAAAAAAAAAUCCAGAAUAUUAACAUUAAUCUUGUAAUCUGAACUCUUUUUGCGCCCCUAUCAUCCUCUACAUAUUCUUCUUCUUCUUAAUCGUUUCUUAGCUCCUUACGCACACGUAUUGGUUUUCAUCACGCAGGGCCUAAAUUUUGAGGUACUACUUCACCAUUGAUGCCUUGAGGUUUUAUUUCAUGACCAAUCGCUUGAGGUAUCUCCAUGUAGUUGUAAUCUUCAGGUUGUACACCACGAUUGACUCUUUGAAGUACUUCCUUGUGAUUAAAUUUUUGUUGUUGACCUCUUUUUCUGUUUUUGUUCAAGCAAAACUUAAGACUCAUGAUUGUCUCGCUCUAUCGCCACCAAUCUCGAGUUAUAAGCUUCCUCAAUUGCUUUCAAGGUUGCUUCUCUAGCCGCCCGUCUGACAGCCUCCACAGUCCUUGCCUGCAUCCCUUUAUUAACAUGUAUUUGUCUAUAAUGAUGAUUUUGAUGAUAACAAAUAAGAUUAAGAAUGAUUAAAUUUUUAAAAACUCAAAUUAUUUUUCAUACAUUUUAAAUAAAUCAUUAUUUUCAUAUAAUAAAGGUUUUAUAUUCAAAGGUAAAGUGAUUUCAUGAAAUUGGUUGUUUUUCAAGUUCAUGGUCUAAUUGAAAAAAAUUUGAGAACUUUAAAAUCAACAAGUAUUGCUCAAAAUUCUAGAAAUGGACUUGUUUGAAAAGUAUCAUAAAGUUAUGGGCCAUAGUAUAAGUACAAAAAGUUUUGGGGCAAAAAUAUAAUUUUAGAAAAUAGUUUCAUUGUAGUAGUCACUGUAGCAAACAGCUAACCGACAAAAAAAAAAAAAAUUCAAGAUUAGCCUCUGGACACUAACGGCAAACCGACUUCUUGAAAAUGGUAAACCGACAUCUUCUUUGCAAGUCACCGGACGAUAACGGCGAUCCGAAAUUUCAAUAACGGUGAUCCGACAAUUUGAAAUUCUUUCCAAUGGUAACUUGCUCAAGUUAAAACGGAAAUUCGACUUCUAUAUAACGCCGAUCCGACUUGGAGCAAAUUAUCUGUAACGGCUAUUUUUCAGCUCAAACUAUAAAAAGGCUCACUUAAACACAAACAAUGGAGAUUCCAACUACUAUCAUUGAGCAAACUAUUGAGCAUACAACUUUCAUUGAGCUUUAAAUUCUUGUAUUCAUCUCAAUUAUUCACAUACUAGGAUUUCAUUUGUAAUCAAACACAUUGUGUGAGAGAGAUUUAUUUGUAAUCCUUUUUGUAAAAUCAAGUUGAGAGGUUGUAAGUGUUGGGAUACACUUGGGUUAAGAGAUUAUGGAUAAUCUCUUAUUGUAAAGGUCUAUUUAAAGGAAAACAUUUGUCCAUGCGGUUCCUAAAAUCGCAACUUUUGUGCAGUAAAAAUAAAACGGACGGCGGAAGCUCUAGAAACCUCGGAUCGGCUUCAUUCAAAAAAGAAAAUCAAGAGGAAAGAUUGAAGUUUAAUUACCUCACUUGCACUUUCAAAAACGACUUCGUGAGGUAGGAGAAAACGACUGAAAACAGCAAGCAACGAACACUGUCCAGAAAAUACAGCUCAGCACGAACAGCUUCUGUUUUGCCACAAUCUAAGAUCCUUAAAGCACCCCAAUUGUGAUGCCUCUAAUUAGUCCACACUUAGAAAUGUUCUAGGAGUUCAGAGCAUUUGGAAUCUCGAAAUUUCGUUUAGAAAUGAGAGAGAUAAUGAAGAAACAUGAAUGCUAGUUCAUGAUGAUUCAUCCCACCAAAUAAAGCUACCAUUAUCUCUAAUAAUGGCACCAAACAUUAUCAUGUGCUAGACCCACCCACUUAGCUAUUAUUUAUUAAAAGUGAUCUUAUCACUUAAAUAAAUUAUUUAAUCAAAUAAAUAAAUAGCUAAAUUAAUUAAUUUCGCAAUUAAUUAAUUAACCCCAUUUUGAUCAAAUCAAAUGGUUAAAUGUGGGCUCAUUUUGUGACAUGUUCUAAUGCUUUCUCUUAAUCCAUAUUAGAUCCAAUAAAAGCCCAAAAUUCUAAACCCAAAAUUGGUCUAGAAGUUCAUAAUCAUAUAUGAACCCGAACAUGUACAAAAUGGUCAUUUUACGUGCUCGAUAUUACAUAAUGUUUAAUGGAGGAUUUACGAAAUUUAUUUUGUUCCUUAAACUAUUUAUGGAACAUCUAAAUUUCUAUCUUAAAUCAUAUUUAAGAUAUAUUUAUAUAUAUAUUCAUUCUCAGUGAAUUAUAAUAUAAAUAUUGAUUUUCCUAAAAUUAGGAAAUUUAACUUCUCAUUUUCUAGUAACUCCUUUUUCAUUUCUAUUUAGUGUGUGACCUUUUAGGUUCUUAGUUAUAAGGUAGUAGAACUAUUUUAAUGAUAACUCUUUAUUCAUUAAAUGAUGCUAAACUCUUUAGUCAUCAAUUAGAACUUUUCUAAUGACCUUAAGAUGCAUUGCUAAUACGCUUUACCAAUAUUGAUCUUAAGGUUUCUACAAGUCAUGAGUGACACCUAGCAGUAUAUCACAACUAUCCAAAUAACAAGAAUUGUUGGAUCUAUAGAACCUAUUCCAUUGUAUCUCUAUGUCUUGGUCUCUUCAUCAUCCAUGUCCAGAGAAAAGCACGGCUUAUGGUUUAUUAUGUUAAGCACUUAUGCUUUAUCUCAAAAUAAAUCUAAAUGAACUUGACAUGAAAAUAUAAUUUGAACUCCUUCAAAUAUAUUUCACCUUGGCCAAGGAUUUCUCAUGCCAAUUCAUAUCAUCUCAUAGGGACAUCCUUUUUGUAUAUUACAAAGUGAUGAAUUCCAUAUUGGCCAUACACUUGUCUUCAUACAUAGCCAACCAUGACAGCUAUUGCUAGAUCUCUUCCGUGAUUAGGAAUCAAUCAUUAUGCUUUCACAUAUCAGAGAUGUCUAUGUAUAAGACAUAUGUUAUGCCUCAGGUCUAAAGACCAUUACUAAACAUAGUGUCUAAUACAAUGUAUAAUAAGCCAUUAACACUCAAAACCAUAUGGCUUACUAUAUUUGGUCAAGUUCAGUAAACUCGUUCUCUCAACAAGUACCUAUGUGUUUGACUUGACAUCUCAUGUCAAUGAUAUGAAACUCACCAUCCAUUUUAGUAUCACAUUCCAUAAGGAGUCAUAACACAUACUAGUGUUUAUAGGAAUUUAUAAUGUCCAAUCAUAAAUCCACCACUAGGAACUAUUUUAGAAGUAUAGUACAAAGGAUGCACGUUUCAUAUUCUCGACGAACUCGAGAAUGUGUUCCUUAACUAUUUUACUUCUUGGACUAUAUUCAUUCAAUUAAUUUAUGAAUAUUGAUAACUAUGCCAUUUUAUAAAUAUCAAAAUGCUAUUCAAAUACAAUAAUUCCCUAAGCAAACAAACACCAUUUGAUUGGCCUUUAAGGCAUAUUACUAACAAUCUCCCACUUGCAAUAAAGCCAAUCGAGUUGUUGAAGCCUUGGAGGCUUACUUAGUAAAAUCUUCAAGCCUGAUAAGCUUGAAGGCGUGGACGUAAGCACGGUUGGCGAAACCACAUAAAAAUCAUGUGUUUGCUCUCUCUUACCCUAUCUCCUUAUUUUUUAUUUCACAUUAAUUUUUUUUAUUUCAAAUUUGAUUGCCUUGUUUAAAUUGCAUUUAGUUUUUUAGUUGCUUAAAUUUUUUAGAAACUCAAUUCACCCUCCCUUUUGGGUUGCCUAAUUAGUAUUUCAUCAUUGAUCGUCGUCUUCGGGACAAUUGCUCCUAUGAUCGUGUGGUCGUACCAUAAUGAUAAGCGAACUUGCUUUGAUACUAAUUAACGAUGCGAAAAUGUUUAAAUUUGCUGGAUAGAAGAAACAAAAGUUUCUAAAUAAUGAAGUUUAUUAAAAUGUCUGAAAUUAAUAAAACUAUAGUUUUGGGCCCCUUUAUAUAAUAAUCAUAAAUAUUUUGAAUUUAACAAAAUAGGUAAAUCUAAAAAAUUAUUUUAUAAUAAAAUUCUCAUAAUUUGAAUUAAAAAAUCUAAAACAAAUGGUGCCCAAAUCUAAGAUCUUAAAAAAAGAUAAAAAUCAUAAUAGGAAUAGAAAAUAUGAGAAAAUAUCUUAAAACAAAAAAAACGACAAGGAAAGAAAUGGAUUUUUACGCUCAAACACUGCCCAAAACUAUGCAACAAUUCUAGUUUUCAUUCGUCUCGUCACAAGCUUCAAAACAGUAUAUAAUAGGCCUAAAAUAGACACACAUAACCUAAGUUAUACCUUUCGAAAAGUAUCUCAUUCGUCCUGCGCAUCCAUCCUACAUCAUAACAGCUUGAAGACUUAGGAGGGCCAGCUUAAUUCAAAGUCAAGACUAGCUUAUUACCUUGCAGGAUUUUUAAUUGUUAGGGAAACAAUUGUUGAAAGAUGCUGGGUAUAAAGUUUAUAAAACUUUAAUUAUUUCAUAAAAUUGUUUUAUUUUUUAUUCAUCAUCACAUUUGGAUUAUCCCCAAUGGCCAAUUUUAUUUUCAUUUUUGUAUAGGUCAAAUAAAUGUUACUAGAAAUUGAUUAUUACCAUUUUUUUCUCAUUUAUUGAGGACUAUGAAGAAUUAGACGAAACUCAUAAAUGACCUAAAAUAUAUAAUGAAUAUUUAGAUAUUUUUUCAUAUCCAUACGAUAUCUUGGAGUACGACAUAGUCUCCAAAAAUAGCCAAACAUUUCACAUCUAUCACAAGUGCUUUCUUGAAUAUUAUGUUGUGGCAGGUGUUUCGUCCUCAUUUUUUUCUUUUGCUAUGGUUCUUAUAACCACCACGAGGUCGACAAUAAUUUUUUUCAGGACCUCAAUCUUAAUAAUAGCCAUGACCACAACCAUGACUACAUCUACAGGCAUGGUUAUACCAAUUUUCAUCAUGAUCACAUAGACAACAUUUGCUCCAAGAACUUGUUUUGUACCAAUAUGAUGGGCUUAAUAAUUCACUAUUCUUUUCUACAAAAAGAAGGCAUGCAAUCAAGUACCGACAGGUAGAGGUGGGCGUUCAGGUCUGGGUGAACCAAACCGAACCAAUUUCGGGUUUUAGUUCAGUUCGGGUCGAACCUAAAACUCGAACAGAUUGAAAGAGUGAAACCGAACGGAUUUGCUAUUUGGUUCGGGUUAGCCCGAACCAAAUAGAAAAAUCGUUUGGUUUCGUAUUAAAAAAAUAAAAAAUAUAUAUAACUAUCCCAUGAAUCUCGAAAUGCCCAAAUCUCCCCCACUGCCCACAAAUCCCUAACCUCUCUUAACACUCACAACUCUCCCCAGUCCUCGCCGAGCCACACCGCGAGACCCUCGCGCACGAGAGGGAAAAAAACAUACAAAAAAGAUAAAUGAAAAAAAAAAUUAAACACUCUGCUUUGCUCGCAGGACCCUGUUCAGCUGCAAUGAAAAUCACACCUCAACGUAUACCCGUAAGUUUCUCCAACAAUUGAUUAUGUGCAUACUUAAUCCCCAAAUAAAGUCUUAUGAUCUUACCAAACUUCACUAGCUAGUUAAUAACGCCACUUACCUGCAUACAUUAAAAAAAAAGAAUCAUUAAAGUUUUUACGCAUUAAAAUGAAAAAUAGAAGUUUACUUCACAAGUUUAUAAUUUGUAUACAAAUUUCUAUCUGUAAAAUGAAAACCAAUGUCAAAAUAAUAACAUACAGUAUCAAUUGGAAUAGAACAUGCCAUUCCACAAAAUGCGCCACUUCUAGAGAUAAUAGAUGUAUUGACUCUAGUAAAACUUCAUGAACAAUCAAAAUCAUACUUGCAGGGUGGCUGAUUACAUGGGCUUCCUCACAUAAUUAUUGGUCUUAUUCGUGUUUUGGUGCAUUAAUAUGCUAGUAGUGCUACACAUUCUAAAUUUUUUAUCUCAUAAAACUACUUCAAAUGAUACAUUCAUCAGUUUGUUGGUGAGACAAAAUAGUCAAUUCACUUAAAUCUUAUAAAAAAUUAUCAAUCAUUCAAUAAACGACAGAUUAUUUUACGAUGAAAUUUGAGAUAAAAAAUUAGAGAUAUCUAUCAUUAGCCUUAAUAUGCAACAUUGCCAAAGUCUUUGUCUUGGUCAUAACUAACAAGUUAAUUUUGCAUAUAAAGUUGAUUGGUUAAAAUAGUGACUCUAUAAAAAUAAUUUGUUGUUUGAAGUAUUUUGUAGAAUAAAUAACCCCAUUAAAAAUAGAAUACAAAUUUAUGGUUUAUUACAAGUUUACAACCACAAGUUCACUUUUGGUGCUCAAGUCUAAUUACAACCAGAUGUCCACUAUAGAUAAACUAUUGAAAGAUAAAAAGAAACUUUUUAUUUAAAAUACAAUGGAAUUAUACAUAAUUAAAAUUCAUAUCAAAAUGAUUACAAUAAUCAUAUCAAUAUCAAACUUCAAUGUAUGAUCACAAUUUUAAUUAAUUAUUUUCACAGUGAAUGAUAAUGUUAGGAAAAAAAGUGCAAUACAAUAUUAUUUUUAUUAUGUUUCAGUUCAAUCAUCCUAAUUUAUAAAUAAAAUUUAUUUCUAAAGGAUACUGCAUUACUAUUACAUGUAUAAAACAUUUCUUUGACUCUGUCUCAUCAGGUUCGACUUCAAGAAUAAUGAAAAUUUCUUCCAAUUGAGUACCGCGCAAGAUCUUCACAAUCACCUGAUAUCAAAAUAAUUCAAAGAAUUUUGCAAAGACAACUAGGACAAAAUAAUUGGAAAAGAGAGUAAUGCAUCAUCGUGAGAUACCUCAUCUCCAACUUUACAUUGAUCAAGAAUUUUGUGCAAAGCGGUAGCAUUGGAGACAUCUUAUCCAUUCAUAGCCUUUAUGAUGUCGCCCAAAAUGAGUUUGCCAUCAGCUCUAAGUUUGGUUGAUCUCAAACCCUACAGAUAAAGACCAAUCAACUUUAUUGAGUGAAAGCACGAGAGGGGAAAAAACAUACAAAAAGAUAAAGGAAAAAAAUGAAACACACUGCUUUGCUCAUAGGACCCUGUUCAGCUGCAAUGAAGAUCACGCCUCUACUUAUACCCGUAAGUUUCUCCAACAAUUUAUUUUGUGCAUACUUAAUCCCCAAAUAAAGUCUUAUGAUCUUACCAAACUUCACUAGCUAGUUAAUAACGCCACUUACCUGCAUACAUUAAAAAAAAAAGAAUCAUUAAAGUUUUUACGCAUUAAAAUGAAAAAUAGAAGUUUACUUCACAAGUUUAUAAUUUGUAUACAAAUUUUUAUCUGUAAAAUGAAAACCAAUGUCAAAAUAAUAACAUACAGUAUCAAUUGGAAUAGAACAUGCCAUUCCACAUAAUGCACCACUUUUAGAGAUAAUAAAGGUAUUUACCCCAGUCAAACUUCAUGAACAAUCAAAAUCAUACUUGCAGGGUGGCUAAUUACAUGGACUUUCUCACAUAAUUAUUGGUCUUAUUCGUGUUUUGGUGCAUUAAUAUGCUAGUAGUGCUACACAUUCUAAAUUUUUUAUCUCAAAAAAUUACUUUAAAUGAUAUAACAUUCAUUAGUUUGUUGGUGAGACAAAAUAGUCAAUUCACUUAAAUCUUAUAAAAAAUUAUCAAUCAUUCAAUAAACGACAAAUUAUUUUACGAUGAAAUUUGAGAUAAAAAAUUAGAGAUAUCUAUCAUUAGCCUUAAUAUGCAACAUUGCCAAAGUCUUUGUCUUGGUCAUAACUAAUAAGUUAAUUUUGCAUAUAAAGUUGAUUGGUCAAAAUAGUGACUCUAUAAAAAUAAUUUGUUGUUUGAAGUAUUUUGUAGAAUAAAUAAAAAAAUUUAUUGUUUGAAGUAUUUUGUAGAAUAAAUAGCCCCAUUAAAAAAAGAAUACAAAUUUGUGGUUUAUUACAAGUUUACAACCACAAGUUCACUUUUGGUGCUCAAGUCUAAUUACAACCAGAUGUCCACUAUAGAUAAACUAUUGAAAAAUGAAAAGAAACUUUUUAUUUAAAAUACAAUGGAACUAUACAUAAUUAAAAUUCAUAUCAAAAUUAUUACAAUAAUCAUAUCAAUACCAAACUUCAAUAUAUGAUCACAAUUUUGAUUAAUUAUUUUCACAGUGAAUGACAAUGUUAUGAAAAAAAGUGCAAUACAAUAUUAUUUUUAUUAUGUUUCAAUUCAACCAUCCUAAUUUAUAAGUGAAAUUUAUUUCUAAAGGAUAUUGCAGUACUAUUACUUGUAUAAAACAUUUCUUUGACUCUGCCUUAUCAGGUUUGACUUCAAGAAUAAUGGGAAUUUCUUCCAAUUGAGUAGCACGCAAUAUCUUUACAAUCACCUGAUAUCAAAACAAUUAAAAGAAUUUUGCAAAGACAACUAGGGCAAAAUAAUUGGAGAAAGAUAGUAAUGCAUUAUCGCGAGAUACCUCAUCUCCAACUUUACAUUGACCAAGAAUUUUGGGCAAACCGUUGGCAUUGGAGACAUCUUAUCUAUUCAUAGCCUUUAUGAUGUCGCUCAAAAUGAAAAUGAGUUUGUCAUCAGCUCCAAGUUUGGUUGAUCUCAGACCCUACAGAUAAAAAUCGAUCAACUUUACUGAGUGAAAGCACGAGAGGGAAAAAAACAUACAAAAAGAUAAAGGAAAAAAAAAAUAAACACACUGCUUUGCACGCAAGACCCUGUGUCAACUGCAAUGAAGAUCAGGCCUCUAUUUGUACCCGUAAGUUUCUCCAACAAUUGAUUAUGUCCAUACUUAAUCCCCAAAUAAAGUCUUAUGAUCUUACCAAACUUCACUAGUUGGUUAAUAACGCCACUUACCUGCAUACAUUAAAAAAAAAGAAUCAUUAAAGUUUUUACGCAUUAAAAUGAAAAAUAGAAGUUUACUUCACAAGUUUAUAAUUUGUAUACAAAUUUCUAUGUGUAAAAUGAAAACCUCUAUGUGUGUUCAGACGAGCCCCAAAGGCCUCUCAUCUCAUAUCAUCUGUAUCACUGUAUCUGGAGGGGAAGGGUAUUGUCCAAUGAUUUUGCAAAUAACCUUUUAUACACAUGUACAUAAACAUAUAAUCACAUAUGAAAUUUCAUUUCCUUUUUAUUUAACAUAUCUCAAUUCCACUCAAUUUUAUUAUCAUGCAUUUACUCAAAAAUGCUAAUAAAAUCAUUAAUCAAACUCAUUUUUAAUAAUAAUAAAUAUCAGCACGUAGAUAAAAAUCUAUUUUCUAGGAAAUUAUCAAAUUGAAGCAUCAAAUACUUAUUAUCAAAACAUGUUGUAUUGCAUCGUAAAAUCAAAAUAUACUAUGAAAAUAGGUUUUGGAUAUUCCACUCACAGUGGC
rnacentral:lncRNA from 1 species